rnacentral:lncRNA from 1 species
CAAAGAAUGCCCUAAGAGACUAUUUAAGCCAUAAAUGGCCUUCUAUAGCUUGCAGACCUCAUCAAACUGCACUUGUGAGACAUGCUGAGAAGAAGGUUGCUCCAUGUGAAUUUCUUCCUAGACAUCACCAUGAAGAACUGGAUCCAACCCAUAGGAGGAUUAUAAUUUGGAAACUAUGAGAGACAAACACAUAUGAAAAAUGUCAAACUGGUUGAGAACCCAAAAACAAAUUGAAUGGGAGAACAUCGGUGGGUCAGUGACAGAGCCAGACCCUAUGAUUUCAUACAGUUAAUACGAUUACAGAUACUACCUGUAUAAAUGCUAAAGUCAGUUACACUUAUAUAGAUCCCUUCCUUCCACUCAGCUGAUCAAAUCAAACAGGAAAACUUAAGAAAGCAAAGAUGAAGAUGAAGAUUGACAUUUGGGAAAAAGGAGAGCAACAUAAGUUGUAUCACUUUCAUGUUGUUGCAGUAUUACUGGGAAAAAGCUUCUUUAUUUCUUCUAGUCUUUUCUUUUUUGUUUUUUUUUUUUUUUUUUGGUUGGGCAGUAUCACACAAAACCAGACCCAGAAUCUCUUGUGGACUGCCUCUUGAACCAGUCCUCAAGAUGCCUAGAGAGUAAAACAAUAAAUCCUUUAACAUUCCCAAGAAAGGCAAGUAAUGACACACACUACCAAAUGAGACUGUAAAGUAAAUGGACGGUUGAAAAUUAAAUAAUACAUGCAUUUUGACCAUACAAAUUUUGUAGACACACGGUUAAUUAACCAACAAUUUGCACUGUGAAUUUAACAGACCUUACAUCCAUCUUAUAACUACAAUGUUAAUUGCAAUGACUUGAUGAUAUAUCAUACUAAAUCAAGUGUCCUAUGCAGCAUAUGAAGCAAAACGGAUGCUUGGACCCAGGUCCCAGGGUCACAUAAAACCACAAAGUGAAUGGAUAUAACUCCACAAUAAAUCAACUGUCUUAUAACACUAAUUUGGGAUGAGAAAUUGAAUCAAAUCCAAAAUUCUAGUAUCAACGAGCAGGCAUCUUAAUCAAUAAUAUAGGAAUACUAAAUAAAUCUAGGUGUCUACCCAUCCCUUUUAACCUCCCUUACCUAUUCUAGCACAACCAGUUUAUACCAAGCCCUCACCAGCACCAAUGACCUCCUUUGGACAGGACAAAACAAUCUUAAUUGAUUCCACACCAUCUUAUCAUAAAUUGUGGCCAGGAUAAUGUGAAGGAUACACAUCUUAGCAAUCUGAUCUACCAAUGCUUUUAUACAACCACCUUGGUUCCCACUUCAAUGAUACCUUAUAAGUUGUUUUCCACCCAACAUCUAUUAGCCAACCAAUUUUCUCCACAUCAACAACAAUGUUCCUUUUGCAGCAAAUCAAUAAAUUGCAAUUCUCACAAGUCAGAACAAAGGGGACACUUUUAAUGAUGAUUUUAAGCCAGGAAACCUACUGCAAAUUAUUCUAGUGAUAUUCAAAUUGAACAAACAAAUAACAAGAAGUGUACAAAGUCAGAGAAGCUCCAAUGAAGCAAGUCAAAGCAUGGUAGCUAAGUGAUUAUUGAAGAAGAUAAAUUGUCUUCAAAACAUUAAGCAGUAAGAAAUGCCAAACACAGCACAAGUUAGCAAGAGUCAAUCCACACAUAAUAUCGCACAAAUGCCUUGUCAAUCUAACCUUUAAACUUCUUAUCUCUUCUUGUAGCUUUUCAUUUGCAUCUUCAAGAUCCUUAGCUUCAUUUCUCAGCUGGUUCAGUACUCGGAUGGCAUCCCCAAGUAUGGCCAAUUUGUCAGUUUUGGCAGAUUUACCAGGUUCUAAAAUGGAACUCAAGUCUAGAAACCUAAAUCGGACAAACAAGAUUUUUCCUUUGAGACACCAUCCAUCACCUUAUAGAUUGAUCAAUGGAUAGAUACACAAAAAGACAUAGAGAGCACAUAAGAAAUCUGUACAAGUAUCAAACUACAAGAAAUCAAUAAAAGAUUUGGACUACUCAAAUGGUCACAUUUCCCGAUGACAGAUAACAUACGCAAUGAUGAUGAAUCCCAUACCAUUAAAGAUUGUGUUUUUUGAAAUAAUUUUUUGAUAGGUAAGCAACUUAUCAAAAACACCAAACAGGCUAUAAACCAGUACAUGUGAUAUGUGUUAGGCACACAAAGGAAAGGAAAAGGAAGAAGAGAGGAAGACACCCUCCCUUAGUUAUACAGCAGAAGCAAUAAAUAGAAUCCAAAAUUGAUGUAUCAUCAGCAUAUUUCACAGACAAAAAAAAAUAACAAGCUUAAGAAGCAUUUCCUUCAGCUCAAAAUUGGAGGUUCCUCAUCCCAAACAUGUUCCCUAUUUCUCUCUCCAUAUGAACCACAUAACACAUGAGGGUACAAAUCUCCAAAACUUCCACCCUCCCUCCCCAGCUUCCUCCCACACCUACAAUUACCAUUCUGGCCUUUGUGAAAUGCAUCAUCUGCUCCAAAGAGCGUAAAUGAAGGUUCACAAUUCUUGCUAUACUACAAUAAACAAAGAGAUGAUUGCAAGCAUCAUAUUCUUUUUACCUUACAUAACUCCUGCAACAGAUUAAAGGCACGUAGCUGGGAAGUGAAAGACCGUUAUUUUUUUAACCUUAGACAAAAUUAAUCUGAUCUAAUAUGCCUCACCUAUUCUUGAACAAAUGCAGUUGCACAUCAGUCAAAUAAAACCAUGACAUCAAAAAAAAAAAAAAAAGGAAUCUGAUCCAACAAAACACAUGCCUGUCAUUCAAUCUUUCCCUUCGCAAUUUCUCACGGCAAGCUUUGGUUCCAGGCCUGGUGGAUGAAUCAUUGCGUCCCCUACAAAUAGUCAACAUGAAAUUAUCAUGAAAAUCUAAUUACAAAAUGAAAAAUAUGGAUCAAGUUAUUCUACCAGAAAGACUUAUAAAAUGAUAAACAAGGAACCAGCUCAUUUGAUAGUUUUCUAUCUUUUUUCAACUCAUAGUGUAAAACGGUCAUGCAAAUGAAAGCAUUCAUAAAGAAUAUCACACUUCUAUUCUAGCAAGAUUAAAAUAAAAAAAUAAAAAAUAAAAAAUAAAAUAAAAAGAUUGCUAUGAUGGAGACAACUGACAGCCACCUUUACAAGUUUACAAGGAGUAAAGGAAUGGGCUUUAAGGCCAAUCUUUAAUUUGGCAUUCUCUAGAUGACAUUGAGCUUACUUGCGAUCUUAUAUAGUUCAACAUGGACUCAGCCUAGAAGUACUUUCCAGAAAUCAGAUAAUGGGCUUCAUCAAUGGUCUUAAGUUCUUACUUUCAGUCGUUUAUGUUGUCAUUUUCCAAGAGUCUUUUAAUAUGGUCAAGUAGUCAUUCAAAGUCUCUGAUAUUUUCAAUCUUCAUUGCUACUGUGUGAGUAUUUCUAAGAAGUUAUAACUCUUUAGAGAAGUUCUAUAUAGUAUUUGAUAAAAUCAAUGAAUGAAUGAUAAAAAUUUCCAACACCAUUAGUAAUAAAUGAUACCACCAUUAGCAAGCACCUAUUAUACAUUUAUUUUUUAGAAAUUUAGAAAAAACAUUAAAAUAAAAAACCAUGAGAAGAACAACUUGAAUCAACUCAAUGACUGGACAAGUGCAACAAUGUUUAGAACAUGAGAGCUCCACAUGUUCAAAAUAUAUAUCCCAUAUAGGUAAUGCUAAAUAGCACAAUUUUCCCUUUUCUACUUUCACCAGUUACAUGGAGAAUAAGAGCUUUAAAGAACAUAUUAAGAGGACACUUAUUCCCUAAAACUUGCUCUUUUGAUUGUCUCAUUUAAAGUAAGGUAAGAACAUUGAAAAACAAAUUUGUGACACUAUCCAACAAUUCAUGGAGCAAUGUUAUAUAGAUACCAGUAUGAGCAUCAAAUUUUCCAUGAGCCCUUAGAUUCAACACCAGAAGAACCUUAGGAUUUGACUAUGAGGCAGAAUAUUUAAAAAAUGUUUUACAACGCAAGUACAUUUAGAGAAUGUUUGGCCUUCAAUGUGUUACAUCUUCUUACCCAUCUACAUCUGAGAUCACAGAAUUCAAAAACUUAACAGUGUAAAGGUUAUGGGGUUGUUAAGCAUAUAAUUACAAACUACAGUCUAGAAGUGUAAACUUCACCAACUCAUGGAUGCAACAAUCAUCAUCCUUAAACCCUCAUGCGAACCAAAUACACUUAUCCAACCAUGUUCAAUAUCAAUCCCUCAAUAUUCUAUAAAAUCCCGAAAUAUAAAUAGCAAUUCAUAUUAAUUGCAUAAUUCUCUGACCACAUACACCAUUGAAUUCAAUCCCAAAGGCAAGAAAAUAAAAAGACAACAAGGGGAAGAAACACAUUGCUACAUGAUGUUACUCAAUCCCGAUAGCAUAGUUUUCCCACAUUUAAAAAAAAAAAAAAAAAAAAAAAAAAAAAAAAAAAAAGCUCGCAUAUUAUUCAAAUCAUACAGUUCAGCAUUGAUAAGAGAUUUCAUUCCAGCAUAUUGCACAUUAGAGUUACAAAUUACCUCUUCUGUCUGCCUUCAUUUUCUUGCGACGCAGCACAAAUACGCGAAAGAUCAAUAUCGACACCAGCACUGAAAUAGAACAAGCAUACCAAUCACAUUAACACGCCGAUCUAAAGUAUCCUCAUUUCAAUUUCACGAUUAAAACAAUUUCAAACAACUUUAGGUCAAAAUGACUCGGACCGAUAUUCUAAUUAUCCGAGGUGAAGCUGAGUCGCCAAGACAACAAUUAACUAUCAAACUUAUAAAAUCAAUCACACAAUUAUGUUUCGCCAAGCCGCUGAUUGGCUGCCGAGAAAGCAAAAGAAAGGAAGAGAAAAUUUAAACAUACAGGUACCCGUCGUUUAUCCAAGAGAGAUCGUUGGAUGUGACGUCGUCUAUCAAUUUAUGAUUAAGAAAAUCCCAAGUAUCAUCGUCGAAGGAAUCCAUGGAUUUGGGAUAGGCAACAGGAAUCCAGCACCUAGUUUGGAGGGGGAGAUGGAUAUUUUGAAAGAAAAUUGCCCAGCAAAGGCCCUAAAGUGGCACCACGUGGAACACGUUUGAAUAAGUAUGACGGCGAGUUGCCGCUUCCUGUUUUGACCAACACGUGUGUCUGCACCUACUCCUUUCCCACGCGCCUCUGUCGUCGUCGAUUCGGGUCCGGUGACCCUCUCAAUUUUAAUUAACUGGAAAAUACGCGAUUUACUGAUUUGAGUGAUUUCCAUUUUUAUUUUUGAAAAAUAAAAAUUAGGAUAAAAAAUAAGUUUCGACUUUAUCUUUUUUAUUUAUUUAAAAAUAAAUAAAAUAAAAAUUUUGGAAAAGGCUUGAUGUUUUAUUUUUCAAAAUUUCUUGAGACAAUUAAAAAUUAUCUUUUGUAAAUAAAAAAGAAUAAAAUUAUAUCUUAUAUUGGGUAUAAAAGGGAUACAUAUAUUAUAAAUAUGAAAUACAUGGAAAAGUAGGUUUUUAUUCACUAAUUUAAAAAAAUAUAGAAAAAUAACCUAAAUUUUUAUUAAUCAUAUUUAUCUUUACCUAUUUAAAAAAAUUUUAAAAUACAUGUAUUUUUAUAAUUUAAAUAAUUUUUUCUUAAAAUGAUCAUUUGACAUAUUUAUAACACUAAUUAACAACUUUUUAUUGUGAGAAAUGAUUUAAGAUUAAUAAAAUAAGAAAUUCAAAAAAUUAAAACUAUAAUACUUUAAUACGAAAAAUACAGCAUAAAAUAUUAAUUUUUACUUCAUUAAAACACUUUGAUAAAAAAUAUGAAUAUCAAAAAAGAGUUGGAAAUAGAAUGAGUAAAUAUUUUUAUUUUAAAAUUUUUAAGUUUUUUUGUUUUUAAUUAUAUUUAAUUUUAAUUGUAUUUUUAAUUUUAAAAUUUUGUAAAAAAAAAUUAUUUAAUUUUAUUAAAUAAAAUGAGAAAUUGAAAAGAUUUAUAUAAUAUAUGAUAUAAAAUCAUUAUUAAUUAGAAGAUUAAAAAGAUUAUAUUUAUCACUUAUGAAUUUUGAAAAAAAAAAUCCACAAAUCUCAUAUUAUAUAAUAAAAAAUUUAUAAUAUAUUUAUCAGUCAAACACCUUUAUUAAAUUAAAAUAAUAAAUUAAUUUUAAAUAAUUUUAUUUAAAGUAAAAUGAUAUUUCAAGAAAUAACUAUUUAAAUUAUGAAAAACUACGUUUAUUUUUAAAUGGGUGGAGAUAAAACUAAUUUUUUUUAAAAAAAAUUAAAGUUAUUUUUCCUAUAUUUUAUCAAAUUAAGGAAUUAAAACCCACUUUUCCUAGUAAAUAUUAGGAUAAAGAAAUAUUUAUAGACAUCAAUUUCAUUCAUUGUUUUGAAUGAAAUUGGAUAUGGGAAAUUCGAUAACAGGCUAAAAUGAAAAUUUUAUUAAACCAGGAUUUCCAUCAGUUGUAUACAUGGAUUUCUGUGUCAAUUUAUAGUUUCGAAACAGAAUCAUUUGAUGAGAAGCGGUCAGCAGAGAGGACUUCCAGCCAAAAAAAGUUGAAACAUAAUCAAAUGACAUGAGCUUCAUUCUUAAGCUGGUCGAUCAGCUCAUCCACGGAAGAAACAAUAACUCCUGCUUUUCUCUUGGGAGGCUCAGUGACCUGAACAACCUCCAAAUCGGAUUUGAUAUCUACAUUCAAUUCCUGUGGAGUGAACUUCUUUAUUACCUUCGAUUUUGCUUUCAUAAUGUUGGGGAGUGUUGCAUACCGAGGCUGGUUCAGUCUCAAAUCAGUGCUGCAUGAGGUACAAAAUAUCAGGUCAAGUAAUGAGAUGAAACACAGAGCCAAGUUGCAUUUAUGCUAGCCUAUGGCAAAUAAUUGCAGUCAGCUUUCUGAUAAUAGCUUUGUUCAUCUGAGAAACACUUCCUAUUCAUGUGUUAUCAGCAUUUCCACAUGUUGCCUACUGCCAUUGGGCAAAAGCUUGGAUGAAAAAGAAGCAUGUUUUUGUCUUAAUUCUCUUAAGCAGAAUCAAGGAAUAGGGUUUUUGAGCAGAACUUCAUGUUACGAGUAGAUCCUUCCAUCAUUUGAGCACUAGCUAGCUAGGAAUUCUUACAAGUACAGAAUAUAAAGCUUGUAAUGACCAUGAAUGGGCUGCAAAGAACACAUGAAUAACUUCAAGAGUUCAAAACAGACAACAAAUUUUGCCCAUAGCAUAUAUUUUUAUACAGAAAAAUCAGUUGCAUACUCUUAAAUGGUCAAUUAAAGCUCAUCAACCAAAUCUGAAGCGUCACAAUUUAACAUUUGCUUAAGCCCACAUGACUUGCAUCAGGUACUCAGUCAAUAACCACAAUAAUCCCACUAGGACCUCCUCCUCUGUUCAUCAUUGAAGACCUUGGAAUUAGGGGACAUCAUUUACAUGGAAUUAGGGGAAUUAGAAGACCUUGGAAUUAGGCAAUAAGCUCAUAUGCUCUCACACUUCCCAAAGACAGUCCUCAUAGAUGGGCAAUCCUCAUCUUAAAAGCACAUCAAUCCCUAUUACAUUUGGUUUCUAACUUUAUCAUAUGCAAACAAUAUGAGACCUUUGACGCUACUGAAAUAUUAAUCUAGACAGACAUUCAUUAACUACAUUUUUCCCUGUUAUACAGAGUAGUGAAAGGUUCUAGAAAGUUUUUAAGCCAAUACACCACUGCAUACACAUCGGAAUAAAAGUUCUGCUUACAGAAACAACGCUACAAUACAUCCUAUUAAGUCCCAUACGAUAUGAAUAUUAUUAACUAUUUUCUGAUAACCCAAGAAAGAAAAGACUAGAAUAGAAUAAAUAUAUUUUAAAGCAUAUUUUCAAACUGGAAGUUAAUUAUAAUCAGUAACACAAUUAAAUAAUGAAUUUAGAGUCACAUGUUUCUAAACCAAAAAAGACAAGUUGUUUAAUUAAUAUGAAUAUAAAUUUAAAAAUAAAACUUUAAAAAUAUGAUCUAUCUAUGUUUCAAAGGUUUGUUAUAGAGAUUUCAGAGAUUUCACGCUUUCUUUUAUAAGCACAGCCAACCAAAAUACAUUAACAAACAGUUUUUCCAAGAGAGAAGACGAAUAAAAACUUCAAGAAGAAAAUUUGUUUAAGUUCAGCAUAAGAAAAUAAUUUGAGUUUAAAUCCCCAAAUCUACAUCAUUCUGUACAUCACCUAGAAUUUUUUUGAUAGGUAACCCAUUUUCCUUUUAUUUAUUUUAUUUUAUUUUAUUUCAUUGUUAAAACUUGAACUUGGAACCUCCCACAUCCAAGCUACAACCCUUUCUCACUUGAGACAAGCAUGAAGGAGUAUAUUUCACCUAUAAUCCUUAGUUAUGUUUGGUUCCUAGAAAGUACCAAGGAAAGAAAAAAAAGGGAAAAUGGUUUCUUAUGUUUGGAUGCUACAGAAAAAGAUAAGGGAAAAAAUAUUGAGGGAAAAUGCUAUAGAAAAAAGAUUUUCCUCCUGAUUUUCCUUAAAAAAUGAUGAGGAAAGUUGGCACAAUGUGCAUUCCUCACAAUUUUACUUCCCUCAAUUUUUCAAUGCACAACCAAAUAAGAGAAUUUUUUUAAAAUUUCCUCAUAUUUUUCUUUCCUUCUAAUUUCUUUCCCACAAACUUUCCAAAACCAAGCAUAGCCUUGAUUUUUUGGUCGAUGGAUCCUAAUAUUUUUUUCCAUGCAAGAAGAACCGAUGGAUUAGUCUUCUCCAUUUAUGGUUCCAAAGGUUUAGAAUUUCUUUAGCAUUUUAUUUUGCUUAAUUGAAAAGACAGAGAACAAUAAAAGUAUUUCAAGAGCUUCAUCAAAAUUUUAAACCACAAAGCUCAAUGUAAGACAUGAUGGCAUGUAAGACAGAAAACAAAAACAAAGACAGAAAAACAGUAAAUAGCAUAAGAAGAACAAAUAGAAAACAGAGUGAGACAAUUACGUGAUUACUGCUGGUAAGUCCAAACAUAAAGUUUCAAGACCACCAUCCACCUCUCUCUCCACUGUUGCCACCUCUUUCUCCUUGUCCAGCACAACCUACUAGAAAGCAGCAGCCAGGUUGAACAAUUAUUAAAGGCAAAGAAGAAUAACUUUUAAAGAGAUCAUCUAAAUGUUCUAUCAACACCAAUUGCCAAUACAUCUCAAAUUCUCUAGGGAAAGUGGGGAGAGAUACAAAAACAUAAGCUAUGUUUGGUUCCUAGAAAAUUUGAAGGAAAAUGUAAGGGAAAUAAGAUAGAAAGGAAAAGUAGAAGGAAAGACAAAGCAAAGAAAAUGCAUAGGUUUCUAACUAAUUUUAAUUAUAUUUGAUUUUAUUUCUUAUUUUUUUAUAGUAAAACAAAACAUAAGAAAAUAAUUUUCCUUAACAUUUUUUUUCCUUAAUACUUUCCAAGAGCCAAAGGUAUCAAUGGUUUUAUUGAUGCACACAACAUAAUUCUUUCAGGUAUGCCCCUUGCAGCUGGAGAACAAAAAGAAUAUAGGUACAAAAUGAUUUAAGAAAACAAAGAUUACCACCAUAGAAAAGCUAAAGUUAAGUUGAAUUCUAUUGCAUACAGAAAUCCAUGAAUCAUGACAGAAAUCCUAAUAAUAUUUUCCAUGAGGAAAAACAUCCACAUUUAUAAUACUACUGAAGAACCACAGUAACAGCAAUUUUAGGGAAAAAAGGACCACUGGCAUAUGAUGGUACCAUAAGAACAAUCUCAGCCCAAAAAACCCUUCAUAGGGGGGGCAAAUUGCUCUAACUCUUGAAAUCUACCCAAAGAAGGGAAACUACCUCUUUAAUCCAUCUUGGUUAGGUACCAGUUCCACAAGGGGCCAUGGUCCCCAGAUCCUUAUUUUUCCUUGUCCACAGUGCUUUUUACAUUCGGAGUAAUUACAAUAUCAGAAACAAGAAGAACAUAACAUCGAUUGAUGUAUUUGGAAGCAAAAAAAAAAGGUUAAAAAAGCUGUCUUAAACCUUUUGGGGUAUCUGUUAUUUUGCUUUCAUCAACUCAAUUGAUGCUUUUUUCAGCCUUUCCCUCCUUUCAUGGCCUUUGAUAUACUCUAUGCAUGCCUUGCUGAUGCUCUUACCAUUCAGCCUAAGGCCACACAACUAGCCUUUCGCAAAGACAUGACUCCAGUUUUCAGCUUUCUCAUCUUUUCAUGGCACACUCGCUAACACUGUCUUCACCCUAAGUGAUAUGAUGUGUCUCACUCAUGCAACCAGUAUUCACCCAAAGAGAUAGAUCAGAGAAAAUUUCUCUGUGUUAAGUUUCUUUAAAAGCAAACAGAGUCUUUGAGAGUUUCUUGUUAUUCCAUCUAUGACCAAAAGGGUUGAGAUUCAUGGCCCCUUGCAAUGAAUUUUCCAUUAUCAUCUUCAAAUCUGACAUUUAAAUCUUGUUUUCUUGUUUUCCUGUUUUUACUCUCAAAAUAAUCCAAAAACAGUAUUUUGGAAACCCUCAAUUACUUCAAACGAUCAAUGAGAGGCAAAUUGGAAACCAUAAUUCACAAGCGCUGGCAAAUGGAAAUGGACUCUAAAAAGAUGUUAGCUGUAAACUAAUUGCUUGUUGGCUCUGGUGGCAUCCAUCAUCAAAGAAAAAAGAUAAAUAAACUGAGACAUGGAAUUUCACUAUCCUUUUUUUCUUAUAGGUAAGCGAAGCUUGUAUGAAAGGAAUAAAGAAAAUAUAUACAACAUAUACAAAGCAACCAAAAUGGAAUUUCACCAUCCUAGCUGAAAAGUGGCGCACUGUUACCCUACUUGAUGUUGUAAUAAGCUUUUUCAUCCUAAACUAGGGGAAAAUGCCACUAGCAUGCACCUUACAAGUCUUUCUAAACAUUUCUGCAUCUCAUCAUGAGAGUUUUAUGGCAGUGAAACCCCAUCCCAUGCCUCCGUCAGUGAGGAUUCUAUAACAACAGAUUCAUAUAUAUCAUUCUCUAAUCCUUUUCUCUUGUAUGUGAAUAGAACAUAGCUCUGUUUGGAUCCAAGAAAGAAUGACAGAGGAGACCAAAACACUCAAAACACUGAACAUAACUUUAGAAAGUUCAAAGUUAUUUUCAGGAUUUGCCUUUUAUUUCUCCCAUUCUCUCUGAUAUAAAGACAAAACCUAAUACUUGUAGAAAGACACAUGGUUAAAUUUUUGUUGUCAACGCCAACAAAUCCAUGUAAGGUGAUGCUUUUCACUAAGAAGAGACUCUAAGAUUAGAUUCCCAAUGUAUAGAGUGUUUGCGCAGUAAACAAAUCAAUCACUUAUCAUUUAUAUAACAGUAGAAGUGUAUGGAGAGUGGGACUAACCUUGGAAGCAAAGGUCCCCUGAGGCCAGUUGAGCAACCCGGCAACCAUUUGCCCUGUUUGAUUGCAAUCGUCAUCAAUGGCCUAGAAAACCCAUGCCCACAUCAGAAAACAACAAUCCACCAUAAAAAGAGUCUAGGAUUUUCACGGAAUCCGCAAAUUUAUUUUUAAAUCGUUACCAAAAACCCUAAUCUCUGGGCACGAAUUCACAGACCUGUUUGCCCAGAAUAAGGAGGCCAGGCUUCUCCACAUCGACGAGAGCUUUGAGAAGCUUAGCAACUGAAAGUGGGUACAGAGUGGCGGAAGCUUCGACGUGGAUGGCCCUAUCGGCGCCCAUGGCGAGACCCGUUCUGAGCGUGUCGACGCACUGGCUGGGACCCACACUGACAGCGAUAACCUCCGACGCCAGACCCGAUUCCUUGAUCCUCAGAGCCUCUUCCAAACCUAUCUCACAAAAGGGGUUCAUCGACAUCUUGACGUUGCUGGUCUCCACGCCGCUCUGAUCGUGGGUUGGCGAUUGUUAUUGGAUGAUGAUGAAAUUACAGAUACUGAAUAACUUGAGAGUUUGGAUUUGGGUUACCUUGUCGGAUUUGACUCUGAUCUUGACAGCGUAGUCCACAACACGCUUUAUCGCCACCAUUAUCUUCAUCUCGUAUAUGGGUGGUUAUCUUCUCCGGCACAAGGGUAUUGGCAAAUGACUGAUGAUGAAGGACGAGGAUAUUCGCCCGAGCCCUACUGCACGACACCACAUCCGCUUAUAAAAUCUUUUGAUACGGAUAAGUACAAGGGAAGUGGAAAAAAAGGAUUAUUAAGAAAAAUAAAUAUAUUACCAAAAAAAUUAUUUAAAAUUUUGUUCAUGUAGAAAGAACCCGUGAAUCAGAUCGAAAAAAUUAUAUUAAAACUGCUGUAUAGCCGAAAAUUGUGUACAGAAUUUAUUUUAACAUUGUAUUAUUGAAUUUUUUAUUCAAAAAUUGCUUAACGUGAGAUAGAAAUUAAAAAAUCAUUAGUAAUUUUGUCCGAAAGUUGUUAUAUUUCAUGUGUUUUAAAAAUAGAUGUAAUUUAUUCCUAUUUGCAUUUUUAACGUACAUUUAAUUAAAUAACCCAAAAAGUUAUUGAGUUCACAUCAUCUAUGGAGUCUACCUCUCUUUGCUUUUGUUGCUUCCAAAAAUACCAUACUCCCAUAUUUUUUUGGUUCUACUCAUUUUACUUUAUUUUUUUCAUUCCAUUCAUUCCACGUGAAGUCUUCAAUCCUAAUAACAUUUACUAUAUUACAAUUAAGUUUAAUUUUUAAAAAACUUAAUUAGGGUUAAAUUUCCUUUGAGAGAACUUCAUUACAAUUAUUUGAGUUGUACGUUAAGUUUCAUUUAAAAAUAACUUAUUUAAAAAGAUGUUAAGCUUCCCCUAUUUUAUUUAUAAAGUUUAAUAUCUAUUUGAUUUUAUAUUUGAAAUCCAACUAAAACCUAAUAACGAAUUGUUGUAAAAAAACUCCAAUCAAAAUACUAACAAAAAUUAAAACAUAAAACUCUGAUAAAAAAUUGUUAAAAAAUCCAACAAAAAAACAAUCAUAAAAAACCCUAAUCAAAAACAUCAUGGAAGUUUAAAUGAAAUUGCCAAAAAAUAAAAAGUAUAGAAAACCCUAACAAAAAAACAACACCAAAACACCUGACAAAAAACAAUUACAAAUUCUAGCACAAAAACCCCCAAUUAAAAAUAUCUAUAAAGAAAAACCUAAAAAAAACCAAUUAUAAAACCUCCAACAAAAAAUAAAGAGAAAGAUGAAGAAUAUGAAAAAUUUUGAAGAAGAAAGAAACAUGAGAGAACUAUCAUUGAUCUUUAUUUGUUAAUCUUUGUUAUAUGUUUGAACUUCACUAGAAAAUGAGAGAGAGAGCAUAAACCUAAAGAGAGAAAGAGCUGAAAAUGAGAGGAGAAAUGAAUCACAAUGAGGGGAAUGACAAUUUGAGGAAAUAUAGAAGGGUUAAAUCAUUUGAACUAGGUUAACGUUUUUAUUAAAAAAAAAGAGUAAUGAAGGUCCUUGUUCUAAUUUCAAGAGUAUGUCUGUUAAUUACCAAAUGUGGCAACUCUAAAUAAAAUCCUUUGUUAUCAACUAAAACUAAAAGUCCCAUUACAUCAUAUCCAACUUUCAUUUGUUAUCAACAAAGUAAAACUAUAUACAACUAUUAUCACCAUCUCUCCUAUUUUGAUGUUAUUUUCUUAGAUGAAUUUGUAAAUCAAAAUUUACACCACCCAUAAAUUUUUUGAGCUUCCUAUUUAACACAACUUCAAUUUGUUAUACUUUGAACAUCACAAAGAUAAAGUAAUCAACAUUUUGCUUGGACAAGUUUUUCUUCUCUAAAGUUUAGAGUCCUAUUUCACUUCCCGUUUAUGGGUUGUUAGUUCAUCUAAUAUCUCACCAUCAUCCAUUCCAUGUACUGUGUUUCCGAAAUGAGUUGAUUCCACAUCCUAAAUGUCUGUGCAAAUUAAUAAGGAAUGUCGAGUUACCAAUUUUCUUAAAAGCUUAAUCUUGCAAGAUUUGGAUUCAAAAUGCAUAUCAUGCUCUCUUUAACACCCCUCCCCCCUCUCACAUGUAGCCCUAUACCCACACGUAGAGAAAUAGACUUAUAGGAAAAUUGGUAGUUUAAUAUAGUAUCAGCACUUGGUUUGGUGGGAGGUCUCCUGUUUGAGUCACCUCUCCACAAUUUACAUUUCUCCUAUUUGUUUAAUUUACAGUUCUUCCCUUAAUCUGUAAUUCUUUGGAUAUAAAUUUUCCCCCUAAUUUGUAGUUUUGUGGAUAUGAAUCUCUCUUCCAUGUUCAGGUAUGGGGCCACACAUAAGAGAGGGUGUUAAAGAGCAUGAUAUGCAUAUUAAACCCAAAUCCUAUAAGUUAAAACUUUUAGGAAAAUUGGUAGUUUAACGCUUUUAGGAAAAUUGGUAGUUCAACAUGUGUACACCCCAUUUUGGGGACUGCUAUUGCUCCCACUUCUUUUUGUCAAAUGGUGGAGCUUUUUAGGAGCACAUGUUGUAUUUGGAAAGGCUAUUAGAAAAUGGCAACAUGACUGUUAAUGGAAGUAAUGAUUUUCUAAAAAGGCAACCAUGGGAAGACACAUAACAAAGAUGUUUGGGGAGGAGGGAGAGUGUGCAUCAAGACUACUCAUGAGGGGUAAGAAACAAAAAAAAAAAAGUGUCGAAGAUAACUAAAAAAUUGGAGAAACAUAAAGGAAUAAGGAUUUUAGGGCUAUGGAUGGUGAACAAGAGUGAAUUAUGGGUGUCUAGGACAGCUAGGAAUGGUGAGAGGAGUAGGGAGCUGUAGAAGGUGAUGAGCUAGGUAAGAUGUAUUUUCGAGAAAGAAAAGAACCAAAGAAAGAAGGUGGUGAAUUAAGUGAGACACGUCUCAGAGAAGCAGAGAAAGUUGGCUUGAAGCCAAGCAAACUUUUGCUUGAGAUGAGCAUUGCCUAGUAAGAUUGUUUCGAUUCAUCGAUUAUUACUGAUCAUCAUACUUCUCUUGUCUUAUAUUCAUGUGAUUAUUUUACAUUGAUUGUGGGGUUGCUUUGGUUUGGUUAUUAUGGCUUCAUCCUCUAUUUCUUUAGUUUUAUUCAAGGAUAAAUCUAAUUGUGCUUUGAUUAGUUAUUCCAUAUUUGAAAAUCUUUGUGUAUUUUGGGUUUUUUCUCUUUAGAUAUUUUCUAGAUUAAUCCACUGACCUUUAAACCCACAAAUAAAGAAAAAUGAAAUGAGUUUUUUCAUAUUUGUUGGGUGUUUGGCCCUUGUUUAUCUUUUUUUAAAGCUUUAUUCCUUUAUAUUCUCUAUUUCUCCCCAUUUUGUACAUGGGUGUUUCAAUCAGAGUCUCUAUUUUGGCUUCCACAUUUGAGAUUUCUUUUAUGAGCGAAGACCCAAAAAUGGAGACUGGCUUCUUGUAAUUGAUAAAAUAGUUAGUCACCCAUUAGCUUAGAUGAAGCAUAGAUGUUAACCGGAUUGUGAACAUGGAUACUCUAUUUUGGGCCUAUUAGGCCUUCCAAUCCUCUCUUAGUUUCAUUAUUCUUGAGGAUAGUGUUUGGUUGUGUCUGCUACUUAUUCUGUGGCUUCGGUGGUCUGUUUGUUUAUUCUUGGCUAUUAUCAAUGCUAACAAUGGGAAAGAGACUGGUUUUGGUUAUGCUCUUACGGAUUUGAAGGUGAUCAAAGGGUCCAGUGAAGAGAAGAUUAGUAGGUCAUAUUAGGUUAAUUAAUUAAUUAGGACAUGUUUUGAGUUAUAUUAAGUAAUACAAGCUCUUAGUGGGCUUAAGUAACUUAAGCCUAGUGGGGAAUGCCAUAAAUACCCCUUAGGGGUUAGCAUUUCCAUAGGUUUUUCUAGAGAGUCAUCUUUCACCUCCAAAGAAGGAGAGUCAUAGCCUUUACCAUUUUUUCCAUCAUUAUCGAAGUGUGUCAAGAUUAAGGUUUAAGUCAUUGAGCGGAAGACUCCAGGUUUAUGAGACUUCAUACAACUUCGUUUUUCAUUUUCAUCAAAUGGAAUUAAUUUGAAAACAUUUGAAUCUGAAGUAUGGUUUUUGUUAGCAUAUUUCGAAUCCCUUUAAAGUUUAAAAAUGCAAAUUUUCCACUAUGUAUAGGAUUUAAAAUCGCUUAAGAUAGUUAAACAUGUUCCCCACUUGAUCUGAAUUGGGAAACGGAGAAAUCUGAUAUUUUCCCAUCACAAGGUAGGAUAAGAACUUGUGAUUGAUCUUUAUGGAUUGGACUAAUUAAUUAAUUGGAACCUAAUUAGGCUAAUUAAUUAAUUAAGACCUAAGCAAACUAGUUUAAGUUACACAAGCCUAGGAUGGACUUAAGUGACUUAAGCCCAUGGGAAGCUUAUAUAAACUCCUUUAGGGGUUAGGGUUUCAAACUUUUAUCAUCUAGUCUUCAAUUCCUUAAAGAGAAUAGAACUCGAGCCAACAACUCUCCUAAAGGAUUCUAUUGCUCCGUGUCAAGAUUCGAAAAAAAACUAUUUGAUGGAAGGUUGUUAUGUUUAUGAGAUUCGUUAUGUUUUUUUACACCUUUUCACUAAAUGGAAUUGAUAUAGGAAUGUUCAUAUCUCAAGUGCAACACACUUAUUCUCUUUAGAUUUAUAUUGCUUAUGGUUUUUUUUUUUUUUGUCAUGGUUUUCCGUUAAGAUUAGAUUAAGAGAGCCCUAUGUCAUAGAAUGCUUCAAAUGAGCCUCCCCGGGGGUUUGUAUAGAGCCCAUGAAGCUUCUAGAGACUCCUAUACUUAGCCAUUGGUGGGAAGAGUGUGAAAGGUUCUACAGAUGUCUAGAGAUAUUUACACAUCUCUACACUAUGGUGGAAGGCAUGAGAGGAGUCUAAGGCAUUCUAAAGAAUUAUAAAGAUCUCUUAUAUAUUCUUGUACAUAGGCUUGUACAUAGAAUUGUGUAGGAAGUUAUAGAUUAUUCUUGAGCUGUAAGGAACCCUCCAAGGUUCCAGAGAGUUCCAUUGGUGCCUAUAAAUAGGUGAAUGCCUCAUUUGGCCAAGACACUAAGCAAGUGAAUUCCAAAACACUUGUAAAGCUUCCUUUGAAUAAUAAAAGUUUCAAUUCUUCAAGAGUUGCCUAUUAUGCCUUCUAAAACUUCUAAGUCAUGAGCAUCUUAACCUAACAAGUUAAGCAUUGGGAGUAAUGCUAACUUAGCAAGAUCAAGGAUCUUGACUUGUCUAAGUGUUGCACGAUCUUAGGAAAAGAUUAAGUUUGUGACAGUUGGUUUCAAAGUGUGACUACGAAGUGAGCAUAGUAAAGGAAACAUGUCGAGCUUCAACAUGGAGGAAACUAGUGAGCAAACCCGUGGGAAAGAAACCGAGCCUACUGCAUAGGACAGGGACAUGAAGGAUAAAUCUCGUAAUGCCAUAGCCAACGUGGAGGCAAGGCUAGCCAAGGUGGAGCUAGCCAUGGCAGACACCCGGGAAGGGGUGGACUUAAUCGAGCAAGGCAUGGAAAAUGGCUUAGAGGAUCUAAAUGAGCAUAUCCAAGACCUUCAUGAGAGAGUGCUAGGCUUACAAGUUCGGCCGAUGUCAUAUGAGGAGUUCAUGUCCUUCCAAAACGAGGUCAUGAGCAUGUUUGCUAGCAUGGAGUCGAAGGUGGAGGCCUUGGCUGCACGCAUAGAGGCCCAAGACCAAGAGGUUCAACAAGAGCUAGCUAUCUACAAGACUGUCUUAUCAGCACGAGUCAUGGCCACUCAUGAGGCACUAAGGGUGGAAGUGCCCAAACCACACACGUUCAAUGGCAAGAGGGAUGCCAAGGAGUUGGACAAUUUCUUGUGGCACAUGGAGCUCUACUUUGAGGUUAUAACACUAAUAGAUGAAGCCACUAAGGUAUGUACCACAACCCUCUACCUCACCAAUAAAGCUACUCUAUGGUGGCGUCAGAGGUUUGCCAAUAUAGAAAAAGAAAUGUGCACCAUAGACACAUGGGAUGCCUUUAAGCAAAAGAUCAAAAAACAAUUAUACCUUAAUGAUGUGGCUUACCUAGCAAGGAAAAACACAAAAUGUCUUAAGCACACAGACUCGAUCCGUGAGUAUGUCAAAGAAUUCUCUACACUUAUGCUUGAGAUACCCAACAUGUCUGAGGAAAAGCUACUAUUCAACUUCAUGGACAACUUGCAAAGCUGGGCCGAGCAAGAGUUAAGGAGAAGUGGUGUCCAAGACCUAGCCACGGCCAUGGCGGUAGCGAAGUCCUUGGUGGAAUACAAAAAGGGAGACUCUUUUAAGCCCAAGCCACAGUCUAAGGGUAAUCAUGCUAAAGGUGGGGAAACAAGGGAUCAAGGAGGUACACUCCUAAGGAAUGAUCAAGCAAGACCUCUGGUGGCAAGGAUGGUAAGGGUAAGGAUAAACGGAAAUAGUUCACGCCUAAGAUCAAUUGCUUCCUAUGUGAUGGUCCACAUUGGGCGCGAGACUACCUCAAAAGAAAAGCCCUAAAUGCCAUGAUCGAGGAAAAGUAGAAGGAAGACAAUGCUCAUGUGGGAUCAUUACAACUCUUAAAUGAUAUCAAGGCUAAGUCAGUGCUUAAGACACCUCAAAGUAAAAGUCUAAUGUACAUAGAAGCCCUUGUAAAUAGGAAGGCUACCAAGGCUUUGGUGGACACUAGUGUCACUCAUAACUUUGUCUCGAAGGAUAAGACAAAGAACUUAGAGCUCCAAGCAUCUAAGGAAGGAGGUUGGCUCAAGGCAAUUAAUUAAGUUUCCAAGCCAUCACACGAAGUAGCACGCAGGGUGGCAAUGCACAUUGGCUCAUGGGAAGGAAUGGUCGACUUCACAGUGGCACCCAUGGACUACUUCAAGAUGGUACUGGGAAUGAACUUCCUAUAGAAAGACAAGGUCAUGCCACUACACUUCCUACAUUUAAUGGUUAUCCUAGAGGAUGAAAAGUCAUGCAUAGUCCUUACGGUCACCGAAGGUUCACCCAAGACCCCUAUGAUAUCGGUUAUGCAAGUAAAGAAGGGAUCAAAGAGGAAAGAGGUGACCUACCUCACCACUCUUAAGGAGGAAAAUGAUGAUGAGUUGGGGGAGCCCAUGCCUAAGGAAAUCAAGAGAGUCUUUGAUGAGUUCAAGGACGUGAUGUUGCCUAAGUUGCCUAAAAGACUCCUUCCUAGAAGAGAGAAAGAUCAUAAGAUCGAGUUAGAUGCAGGAACUAAGCCCCUUGCUAUGGGGCCAUAUAGGAUGGCACAACCCAAGCUGAAAGAGCUAAGGAAACAACUUAAGGAGUUGUUGGAUGCAGGGUUUAUCCAACCAUCCAAGACUCCCUAUGGCGCACCGAUUUUAUUUCAAAAGAACCAUGAUGGGUCCCUACAGAUGUGCAUCGAUUACCAAGCACUCAAUAAGGUAACAAUAUAGAAUAAGUACCCCAUUCCACUCAUUGUUGAUCUAUUUGAUCAACUUGGUAAAGCAAGGUAUUUCACUAAGUUGGACUUGAGAUCAGGCUACUACCAAGUGAGGAUUGUGGAAGGAGACAAACUGAAGACUACAUGUGUGACCCGAUAUGGCUCAUAUGAGUUCUUAGUGAUGCUCUUCGAUCUCACCAAUGUACCAACAAUGUUUUGGACACUCAUGAAUAAGAUCUUCCAUCCCUAUUUAGACUAGUUUGUGGUGGUAUACUAAGAUGACAUAGUCAUCUACAAUAGCAUCUUAGAGGAGCACGUGGAGCAUUUAAGGAAGGUCUUCAAGAUCUUAAGGUAAAACGAGUUAUAUGUAAAGAAGAAGAAAUGCUCAUUUGUUAAAGAGGAUGUGAGCUUCCUAGGGCAUCGCAUCAAAGAUGGCAAGCUGAUGAUGGAUGACAACAAGAUGAAGGUCAUCUAGGAAUGGGAUCCACCUACUAAGGUACCUCAACUAAAGUCUUUCCUUGGCUUGGCUAACUAUUACCAGUGGUUCAUCAAGGGUUACUCUACAAAGACAGCUUCACUCACUAAUCUUCUUAAGAAGAACAAGGCAUGGGUGUGAGACAAAAGGUGGCAACAAGCCUUUGAAGAUCUAAAAAGUGUUGUGAUUGAGGAGCCAAUGUUGGCAUUACCCAACCACAUGAAGGUUUUUAAGAUACACACAGAUGCCUCAAACUUUGCUAUUAGGGAAGUUCUGAUAAGAUAGACAUCUAAUCGCCUUCAAGAGUUGCAAGCUAAAUGACAUAGAGAGACGCUACAUGGUACAAGAAAAUGAUAUGACUGUCAUUGUCUAUUACUUGCACACCUGAAGACACUAUCUUCUAGGGUCUCACUUCAUAGUGAAAACCGACAAUGUUGUCAUUAGUUACUUCUAAACACAGAAAAGUCCUAAGUAAGCUAGGUGGCAAGACUUUCUGGUUGAGUUUGACGAUGCGCUGGAGUAUAAGACAAAAAGUACUAAUCAUGUGAAUGACGCCCUAAGCCGUAAUGUAGAGCUAGCAUUCAUGACGAGCCAGCCCCAAUGAGACAUAAUAGAUCUUCUAAGAGAGGGGUUGCAACAUGAUCUAGUGGCUAAGAGCCUUAUUACCUUGGCCCAUGAGGGAAAAACUAAGUGUUUUUAGGUAGAGGACGACCUACUCUACACUAAGGGGAGACUACUCUACGUGCUUAAGUGGGGGAACAUAAGGUAGAACUUGAUUAAGGAGUGCCAUGACACCAAGUGGGUUGGGCACCUUGGGCAACGACGCAUAAAGAGCACUACUCGAGUCAGCUUACUACUGAUCUUAGAUACAAGAUGAAGUUGAGGCAUAUGUGAGGACUUGUCUUGUGUGCUAACAAGACAAGGUAAAACAACAACAACCUAGAGGCUUGUUGGAGCCACUACCUAUAGCAGAGCGUCCAUGGGAGAGCAUCACCAUGGACUUCAUCAUCGGGCUACCUAAGUUGGAGGGCUAUGGCUCGAUCAUAGUGGUAGUGGAUAUGUUCUCUAAGUAUGUGACCUUCAUAGUAGCCUCUACUGACUGUACUGCAAAGGAGACAGCAAGGCUAUUCUUGAAACACAUGGUCAAAUACUGGGGGUCGCCUAAUUACAUCAUCAGUGAUCGCGAUUUGCAUUUCACUAGGAAGUUUUGGACAAAGCUCUUUAAGCUUAUGGGUUUGAAGCUUCACUUCUUCACAAGCUUUUCACCCGUAAACAGAUAGGCAGAUUGAGAGGGUGAACGCCUUAUUAGAGUUAUACUUAUCCUUCAUGAGUGUCAACCAAAAGGAAUGGACUAAGUUGCUAGAUGUAAUCCAAUUUUCAUACAACUUGCAAAGAAGUGAGACAACCAACAAGAGCCCGUUCAAGCUAGCCAUAGGGCAGCAACCAUUGACUCCUCACACACUACCAAUAGGCUAUACGAAGAGAAGUUCAGCGGCUUUGAAGUUCACUAAGGGGUGACACGAGCCAACUGACAUAAUAGCUCAUACUUGGAUAGGGCCGCUAGAAAGAUGAAGAAGUGGGCUGACAAAAAGCGACAUCACACUGAGUACAAGGUCGGAGACAUGGUCUUUGUCAAGCUCCUUCCUAAAAAAUUCAAGUCACUAAGGCCGGUACAUAAAGGCCUUAUGAUGAGGUAUAAAGGACAUUUCCCCAUACUUGGAAAGGUCGGCAAGGUGUCCUAUAGAGUUGAGUUACCACCGAGGUUGAAGAUUCAUAUCGUCUUCCACGUAAGUUACAUAAAAUCAUAUCACGAAGACAAGAAUUAUCCAAGCCAAGGGAUGUCCUAGAUGACACCUACAUCGAUUAUGACCUUCUAUGACAAGGAAGUAGAACACAUCAUUGCAGGCUGAGUCAUCAAGAGAUGAGGCGUGCCUCCUGCUACGGAGUACUUGGUGAAAUGGAAGGGACUACCAGAGAACGAGACUAGCUGGGAGCCAAUAGAUGCACUAUGGCAAUUUCAGGAGCACAUUAAGUGGUUCUAGGUGGAAGGUGCGACAAGGACGUUUACGGUUUAGGUAGGGGAGAGUGUCAUAGAAUGCUUCAAAUGAGCCUCCCCAGGGGUUUAUAUAGAGCCUAAGAAGCUUUUGGAGACUCCUACACUUAGUCAUUGGUGGGAAAAUGGUGGAAGGUUCUAAAGAUGUCUAAAGAUAUCCACACAUCUCUACACUAUGGUGGAAGGUAUGAGAGAAGUCCAAGGCUUUCUAGAAAAUUCUAGAGAUCUCUUGUAUAUUCUUGUACAUAGGCUUGUACAUAGAAUUGUGUAGGAAGUUUUAGAUUAUUCUUGAGUUGUAAGGAACCCUCCAAGAUUCCAAAGAGUUUCAUUGGUGCCUAUAAAUAGGUGAAGGCCUCAUUUGGCCAAGGCACCAAGCAAGUGAGUUCCAAAGCACUUGUAAAGCUUCUUUUAAGUAAUAAAAGCUUCCAUCCUUCAAGAUUUAUCUACUACGCCUUAUAAAGCUUUCAAGUUGUGAGCAUCUUAACCUAGCAAGCUGAGCAUUGGGAGCAAAACUGACUUAGCAAGAUCAAGGGUCUUGACUUGUCUAAGUGUCGCACGAGCUUAGGAAAAGACUAAGUUCAUGACACCUAGGACUAGUAGCAUGCACCCUAAGUAAUCCAAGGCUAGAAAUGAAAUGAUACAAGGAUUCCCAACACUUGACUUAAUUCCUUAGAAAUUGAAACUCAAUAAAAAACAUUAGUGUCAUUAACCUCAUUUUUUUUAUUACCAAUACUUAAUUAGGGGAAACCUUGAGCUAACAACCUCCUCAUUUUUUAUGAUGAUAAAACUGUACCAUCUAAAGAAAGCUUUCCUUAAUGUAUGCAUAUUAUAAGCAAUUUAAACAUUCAUCAUAAAAGAUGGAAAACAUAAACUCAAAUGGAGACAUGGAUAUAUAGAUAUAAGAGACAUCAUAAAGGUUGCAACAUGAUCGUAUAUCCGAAAUAGCAUCCAAAAGCAUGUCAUCCAAAAAAAAAUCAACCAUAAUAACCAUGUUCAAAUUGUCCCAAAAAGGAAAAAAAUAUAUAUAUGAAACAAAAAGUAUUAAAUAGUUUACUAAAUGUUAUGCCCUAGAUACCUAAAGAUAUCUCCCCCUUAGGCAACAUCGAAACAAUGAGGGAACUAUAUGGCUCAAGGUUGAGGUGGUGGAAACAAGGAACAUAGGACAGCUAUUGAAGAAGCUAAAAUUCUUCAUAAAUGAUUGAAUUUUAUUUCACCAUGAGAAACAAUACAAAGAGGGAUUUUUUUUUUUUUUUUUUUUUUUUUAUCAAGGGGAAGACCCCUUUCUCUUUACUACUUAUCCCUUUUAAUAAAAAUUCUUCCACAUUUUUCCACUUUAUUUUGCCAACAUUCUUUCAACCCCUUUUGCACAAAAAUGCCAAAGAUAGUAUUAGGAUAACCUUUUACAACCAUUGCUAACUUUUGACACAAGUUGCUAAAAAUUGUUGAAGAUUUGCUUUUAAUGUCAGGUAGGAUAGCAGAUUGGUUCUAAUUGAAGGUCAUUUCUUGUGGAGGACCUUACUUAUAAGUGAGAUGAUUGUUCCUAUCUUCAUGGUUUUAUGUUGUAUAGUUAUAGAGACUUUUUAGAGGCUAUCAGCUUUAGAGCAAAUUUAUGUUGUUUGUUAGGGAUUAAGUAUUUUAUUCAAAUUGGGUGAAUGGUACUACCUCUUUACUUGAGAUGGCUUUGAGAUUGGGUGGUUGAAUAGUAGUACUUUGGAAUGGUCUAGUUUUUGUUCGCUUUAGCUAUCAUUUUCUUAUGCUGUGUCUAUAGACGAGUGGAGACGUCAUUUGGAAAUUGGUCAAAUUGCCCGUGAAAUUGAUCAAAUUGUCAAGUUGUCAUCCUAAAAUUGACUAAACCUAGUUUGUAAAAAUGAGAAACGACCGUCACUAGCGACUAACAUCUUCUCAAGCUAAGUAUUAAUAGAUCCAAUCUGAGCAUAAAGGGCAUCUUAAUGUUGCAGGUUCAAUGCUCAUGAAGCAUAAUAUUUUGGAUACUUGGUGUGAGACACCUCAGCAUAAGUCUAAUCCAUAAGGAUAGUCUCCUCAGGAGGUUGAGAUGUGGGCAAUUGAAUGGUGGCAUCCAUGCCCUUGGUUUGCAUCUCCUGUUGAACAUCCUCACCCCCUAAUCCUUUAUGGUCACCCUCAGUCUCUAUCUAUAGAAUCUCUGCCUCUUACUCAACCCGGUCUUCAUUCAUAGCAGGACCCUUUCUUUUUCUUUCCAAUGAUCCAUUAGGCAAUUUCUCAAACAGCAUUCGGUCUGGAUUUUACGUUAUAGGUAUCAUAGGAUGAGGCCUGAAUGUUUUUUUCUCUUCUUAUGUCCACAUUGAAUGCUUUCAGGAUUUUUGUGAUCAGUCUUCUUCCGUUGGCCACUACUUUAGAAUUGCUUUUACAACAGUUUUUCAUGUGUUGAAAGAUGAUAAGGAAACCUUAGAAUGGAUCGGAGUCAAUAGAAAAUGCUACAUAAUAGGACACCUUGUCUCUAUGUCCACCCUUAGGUAGAAAAAUAUGUUUGAUCAUGUGGUGGUGCACCCUAGAGAUAAUGCUCAAGGCAUGGGCAUGGAGCUUUGAAGUCACUGUGUCGAUGGGUAAGUUACAUAUCCUCUAGAAAGCCCUACCUAGGUUAAAACUAGACACUAUAGGCCAUCCCUUCGUCUCAAAUAAACAAAGUCCCCCACAAAGGAUCUCCAAAAUAUCACAAAGCAUAUCAAUAUUUAGUUUAAUUCAACUCCUCUAACAAAUGUGCUAAUUGGCCUUCAUAUAUUUUAGGUUCAAGUAAAAUACCUGAACAAGGUUGGGGUAUGUAGGCUCUCUUGAUGAGAUGGUAUUGGUGAGUAUUUUUUUUUCUUCAAUACAAAACUAUUACAACACUUGGUUUUUUUUUUUUCUAAAAAAAAAAGAAAAAUAAAAAUAGUUUUAUAUUAUACUUAGUUUCAAGAAAAAUAAUAAUCAAAGCAAAAUGAAAAAAAAAUUCUCAUAUUGGUUUCUCGUGAAAAAUAUAAAAGCAAAUAAAAUACAAUUAAAAUUAAUUAAAAUCUUAUGUAUUUUUAAAUUAUUAAUUUUUAUAUAAAAAAUGAAAAAUAGUAUAAUGAAUUUAGAAGAAUAUAUAAAAAUAAUGUAUUAACUUUAAAUCUUUUUUUCUUUAUAUAUAUAUUUUCCCUUCAAUUUUCUAAUACCAACACAUAAUAAGGUUAAUGUCUUCUAGCCAACCAAUUGUAAGUCAAUUUUCAUAGAGCUUUUUUUUUUUUUUUUUUUUACAUGCCACCAAGUAGUUAUAUAAGCAUUUUUGCAUGUUAUUGUUAUCCAACAUACAAUAACUAUAACAUCCAAUUAUUAUGAACAUGAACAAUAAAAUUAGAUGCAACUAACUAUUUAGUGUAUAACAAGAAGUUGGUGAAGUAAUUCAUCCUAACAUGAUUCAACAAUUUUUGUUUAUUUUUCAAGAUUAAUUAUAACAUACCCAUUCUAUUAAAGUUGUUGAGAUAUUUGAGCAAAACUAAAAAUCAACAUUAAUUCAUUUUAUACCCACAAGAGAAAUAAGAUUUGUUUUUUUGUUUGAUAAUAAAGUAGUUGUAGUUAUUAAUGAUAAUUUUGAUCCUAAUUUAAUAGGUAUCCAAAAAAAAAGGAAAAAUGCAAGUAAACCAAUUCUUAUCUAACACAAUUAUUACCACCUUAAAAUCCUGAGGGGUAGCUCAGUUGAUCAGUUCGAGUCCCUUUAGGACCAUGAAAAGCUUACCCGAUGGUUCACCUUAAGAAAAGCAAAGCAUUUAUAUAAUUCAACUGGUAGUUGAUAAGUCUUAGAAAGGGUUUUGCCAUCAUUGGCUUCUCAGUAAAGGGCAAAUUUGGGUUGUGGCUGACAAUUAUUGAAUUUGUGAAGAAAUAUGUGAAGAAAGGAAACAAAAAGAGUUGAGGACAGAAUUCUUCAAUUAAAAAAUGGUUAGCCCAUGAACCCAUUCUUCAAACAGUAAGCCAAUGAGCCAAUGAGCCAAAAAGAAAGAAGAACAGCUGGUUUCAUCUUUUUAUCUUAAUGACUUUGACAACCCAUCUUUCUUUUAAAUACUUGUGACUUUGGAAUAUAAUUAAAAUGAAACUUUGGAAUGCCCACAUCUGAUUCACGGCCUUUUUACCUGUUUUCUUGUUUAACAUUUUUUUAAAUAUUAUAACAGAUGGAAAAACAUGAUUCUAACAGGCUGGAAAAUAGUGGAAGUUGGAACACCAACCAUAACCAAACUAUACCUUCCAUCUUUCUCCAACACUCGGAAUUAUUGAUACAAGUUGGUGGUUUUAUGAUUGUUUCUAUUGAGGGGACCCCUCUCCAUUUCCAAUUUCAAUGGAAAGGUUCUUCUUUCCCUACUUUUUUUUUUUGUUUUUCAAAUUCUUGUAGUUUUGUCUGUCUCUCUCAACAAAGCAAACUGCAAUCACUAAUUCAAAGAAAAGGAAUCCUAAAUGAAAAGAAAAGAAAGGAAAGGAAUGGUAAUUUAGGCUAUGAUGAUGCUCCUAUAUAAUGGCUGUAAGUCAAUAACAACACACUGGACCCGCCUCCUAUCUCAAAAGAUCACAAACCCAAAUAUCAUAUACUUCCAAAUUUCAAUUUGGUUCCCUGUUUAUAUCACAAUCUGUCCUAUAUCCUCUUAAUACAUCUAAAAUCUCUCUAUAUCAUAAAAAUAAUGAUGGAAAAAAAAAUUAAAAAGAAAGAAGGAAAAAAUGACAAAAAAAAAAAAACCUUGGUGCUGCUAUGGGUCCAUAGGAAUUGGCAGGACUGCACUUCUGGAUCCCCUUCCAUGGCCAAAAGAAAAGAAUGAUCUUCGGAAUCUGCUGCUGCAACCUUCACUAGGGCUGAAGUCACUGACAGGCCUGUUCUGUUGCAAAAUCUCUUGAAUUGCUAAAUACAGCUGCCUGUCGUUGGAUGAGUCCAUUGAAAAAGACCUCCUGAUGGGUUGGAUUGAGAACUGAUCAUCUUUGCCUCUAGUGUCAAUGCACUCAUCACCCAUGCUUGCAACAUGAUGAAACUUCCUUGCCUUUUUAGGCACAAUUCUCUGCUCUAGCUUCCUAGGUGAUGGACUAAUUGAUGGCGCAGAUAACUCUCUGGAAUUCAGUCUUUCUGGUGGCCUAAGCAGUGAUGAAUCAGCAGAACUAUCAUUUCCCAAUUCAAUUACUACAAAAUCUUCAUCCCCUCCUAUGUAAUUAUUGGCGUAGGGGCUUGGAUCUUGGGGGGAAGAGCUAGGAGCAAUGAUUUGGUGAACAGGAAACCGGGGUGUGGUUGAAAUGCUUGUUCUGCAAAGUGGGCAAUUAGCAUUGCUUUGAAGCCACACGUCUAUGCAAUCUAUAUGAAAUAUGUGACUGCAGUUUGGUAUGAUUCUUAGCUUCUCUUCUUCUUGAAACUCAUUCAAGCAAACCGCACACUCGCAAUGGCUUCUUUCUCCAAACUCUCUGCCACCUCCUUUCCUGAACUGGAAUAUUGGGAUUGAUCUGAUGACUGACUCGUCCAGGCCUCGACUCUCGAUUGCUGGGGAGUACACCAUUAAAGGGUCUUCCGGGUGCCGACUCCUUGAGAAAGAAAAUCGUCUCAGCAGAUCAAUCCGGUGCCAAUUGAGGCAGCAUUUGAUUACAAAGAUGUAGUAGCUCACCAGCAAGAAAGCAGUGGCCAGGAUUCCUAUUACGGCAAUGGCUAUAAUGGGGAAACUGGUGUCCGAGGAAUGAGAGGGAGAAGGAAGCACUGAGCUCGCCUGGCUUUUGAUGGGAGAAAAGGCUUGUGAUCCAUGGAUGGAGGAGUCUGUGCUCACAAGAUCCAUGAGAGAGGCUAUGAAAAACAUUUAGAAAUGAGUCUAUUCGGAUCUUCAAUUCACAGAAACAUGCAAAUGCUAGAAUAAAAUCGACAGACACUCAGAUAUAGACCCUACAGUUGUAAUGCAGCAUACCAUAAAUGUGAUUGAGUGAGUGAGGCUGAAACAGCAAAUGGGUCACUUCAAGAUCUCAACAAGACAGAAAACCCAUGUUGAAUUCACCAGGAGAGUAUUGAAAAGGGAAAAAUUAAGGACAUAUAGCUGUAUUGAAAGUUGAAACAAAUGCAGAAACAUAGAGAAGAGAGAGAGAGGGAGAAAACCCAGGAGGGUUGAAUGAGAGCGCUGCUGGGGAAGACAUCAAAACGCUUCAAAUUCAAUGAGAAUCUGUUGGGGACCUCUUUAAGAGGACUGCACAAAGCCUGAGCGUAGGGUACGUGGUUGGUUGGUGAAUUUCUCGGCUUCCAAAAGAGAAAUUUGGUGAGAAAAUUUUCAAGUCUCUUGAUUAUAGUAACGUAGCGUUUAUUUUAAUUUUAUGUAACCGAAACUAAUGGGCUGGUUCAAAAAAAUAAAAAAUAAAAAAAGGAACUUUCUAGGAUAGGCCAGCAGUCCACCGUUGGUCAUGUGGUUUCUUUUGCAUGUCCACAUCUUCCAACUAGUGGAGGUCCCUGUCACAACAGUAAGAAAACACCCAAUUGAAUAAAAGUAUGAACUUUUGGCUCCCAAUAUUACUUAUGCCCUCAUUCAAUACCUCAAAUAAAGCAGAGAUUUUGUGUCCCAACUUUUAUGAUUUCAUUUCAUCUUACUUCAAAUGCUAAUGACAAAAGUCCAAGUAUAUUCUGUAAUCACCCACACCCCAAUAGUUUUGAAUCACACUUGAAAUAGUUCCCAUGCUUUCUUAAUAAUUUAGAUAAUUAUUUACAGAAAAAAAAAUUCAGAACAGGAUGAUAAUCAUUUUGUGAUAGCAUGGAAGAAACUUUACUAGCCACUUUGGCCCCAUGAAGUUGAGUACUUGAUGCCAAUUAAUGGCAGGGUGGAAAAUAGAGAAAAGGGAUCAUAGUCAAAUCUAGAGUACAAGGCAUUGAAUCUUUGUUAAUAAUUAACAAAUGGGUAAAGCAUGGGUCACAGGGUCUACAGUUUGGAUUGCAAAAACCUCAGGCUUCUAUAAAAAGCUCAUCCAUUAUCAAUCAUCAAUCUGAAAGCCAGAAAGUCCAAGGCACAUGCAACCCACGACAGGGGUAAGAUUUCUGCAUCAUGUCCCUGAGUUGCAUUCACAUCAUAUGUUUCCCUCCGGGCCGUUCCAAUUUGAAAUCUCAUGGAAAUCUUCAAGAGCAAGGCUACAGAGUUUAAGAUAAUACUAGGGGUGGGUCCUGAUGGGAAAAGAGGUAGUGUAGGAUAGUCAAUAAAGGGCAUGUGUCUCUGGUGUGAAGUCAAAUCCAGUGUACCAUCCUCAAUGGAAAAUUUAGAAAUAGAACCGACACUCUACAGACUGCCGUGUUGACAGAUUAGAGAAAGACAAACCCACUUACACUUGCCUCAAAACCCAGUCCUGCCAUUUCAAAGGCAAAAAAAAAGGGUUUCUUUUUAUAGUCAAAGGUUGAGGCCUGGCCUGGCCUAGCAAAGAAACUUCACCUACUCUUUUCUUAUUUUUCAAAUUAAGGCCAUUCAACUUUUCCUGUUUGCAGGCUUGCUGCCAUAUCUUACUCCAAAAAAGGUGAAAACCCAAAAGAAAAAGAGUGUUUGCUUCAAUGGAAAACUCAUGUUUAAUAAAUUCACCGCACGAGUUUUGUUCCAGCUUUUCCUAUGAAAGCUGUGAUGCGUUUGGUAUGAAGUUGAUUUUGUUCCUAAAAAUUUUGAUCUUGGCGUGGAAGGCAACUUUUUCCUUUUCCCCCUUUUUCUUUUUGAAAAGUUCGGCAUUAGUUACCAAAUGUCCUUUUACUUGCAUGUAGGACAGCGGAAGCAUUACACAUCGCAGCAAAAUCCCAUUUACCCGAAUUUUCCACUAACUCUUUUUAUUUUUUACCAUCAUUUUUUAAUAGAAGUGAUGCACUCUUCAAAUUACAUGAAGCUUUUAAGAAGGUAAUAACCCGUUUCAAAGCGAACUUAACCUACAGAGUAUGUUUUAAAAAUAUUUAGGUAUUUGAUAAAAUUUAAAAAAUAUUUUUUAAAAUCUUUAAAAUGAUUUGUAAUAUUGAAAAUUUAUUUAUACUUUUUUUAAUAAAAAAACAUUUUAUAGGUAAUUUUUCUAAAAUACUUUUAGAGAAAAUGUCUUCCCUUCACUAUAAAUAUUAUAUACUAUCAAAUACACUUUAAAAAUCUGUUUAACAAUAAUUUUAUAAAGUGUUUUUAAUUUUAAAAAUAUUUUUAAAAACAAAUUAAAUUUUUGAUAAAAUUUAAAAAAUCUUUUUAAAAAUUUUGAAAAAUAUCUCGUAAUAUUAAAAAAUAUAUAUAUUUAUAAUGUUUUUUAUAUAAAUACUCAAAAUUCAUUUAAUAGUGAUUUUAGGAAAUGUUUUUAAUAUUUCUAAUACUUGAAAAUUUUUUAUCAUUUAAGUAUUAAAAAUAUUAAAAACACUUUAUAAAAUCACUUUCAAAUGGACUCUUAAUGAUUUUACUAAAAACACUUUUCAUAGAAAACAUUUAUAAAAAAUAAUUAUGAAAUACACUCUAAAUUAAGUAAAAGUUGUUUUUAACAUUACCACUAUUUAUUAAUAGUGCAUUUGUUUAAAAUAUUUAUAUGAAAAAUUCAUUAGGGUGGGAUAUAAAUAUAGAAGUGUUUUUCUUUAUAUAUUUUUUAUAAUAAAAAAUGAUUUUUGAAAUUAUAAAAUUUGAAUUUAAGAAUCAUUUGAUAAUAAUUUUUGUUAAAGCACCUUUAAUACGUGGUGCUUCUAUUGAUAGCGCUUUCAUUUCUAUGAAUGGCUAUAAAUUAUAUUUGAAUAAAUUUUUUAUAAUGUAUUAUAUAAUAAAAAAAAAGUCAUUUUUAAAAAAAUUAUACAUUAAAUGAUUAUUCAAAUAGUAUUUCCUAAAUUUUAUUAAACAUUUUUUUCAAAAAAAAAAAAAAAGUUUUCAAAUACUAGAAAACGUUUUUAAUCUCUCACACGAUCACAUCCAAACAAGUCCUAAUGCUACUCCUAGAAACACUCCAAAACAAAAGUCUUCCUCUAUUAAUGUUCAUAAAAUCCACAUAUAUUCUUCCAUCGUUUUUUCAAAAUUCAAAAUCAUUUCUAAAACAUCAAAUCAUGUUCUUUGGAUUGGCUGACUUGUUUUUUGAAAAUAGAAGGCUCAUUAUUGACGUCCGUUGACUUCAUAACCCAGUCUUGAUCUCUUGAUGGAGGGCAUAAAUGUAAAUUGGACGAAACCCUAGGGUGCGCUAGAGUGUAGAGGAUGAAAGGUUGGAAAAAGGAUGAGGUGGGGGUGUAAUAAAGAGGAGGGUUGGGAGAAUGGGACAUGUGUAGGUGAAGCAUUAAAUUCAAGACUAUGCUUACCAACAACAUAUAAAUAAAUAAAUAAAUAAAUAUAGGAACAGCACAUGGGGUGAGUAGGAGACAUCAGAAGAUGUGAACAACCCCUUGUCAGUCCAAUUUGCGUCUUUUAUCUACUCUAUUAUCUAUAUCGAUUUUCGUAUUUAUUUAUUUAUUUAUUUAUUUUUACCAUUUGAUUUUGCAUGGAUGUCGAAGGGUUUAUUGGCUGCCACGUGUAGGGUUAUGGUCAAGAUCACGUGGGGUGCCUACAUGGGAGUCACGUGAGUGCAUGAGGCAGGCUUGAAUUGCAGGAGGAGCAGGAGCAGAGCAGUGGCUGUUGUCUUAAGACUUUGCUCUCUUGGUGGAACUGCAGCUUAAGCAGCAUCCACGUGUUGUCACGUGCAAUGCGAGCCAUCCACACCACCAGUUUCUUUUUAGUGAUUUUCUAAAGUCAGUUAAGGUUGCAGUCAAUACCUUCAAAUGUUGACAGAGUUAGGGAUCUUUGUUAAAUGGAUUUUAUUAAGAUAUUAGUAAGUUAAUUAAUUGAGGGUCAACAUAACAGAUGGGUCGGGUUGGGUUGAAUCUGAAUUUAAAACGAUUUAAUUUAUGUUUAAUCAAAUUUAACAUUUAACUCGAAGCACUCAACUUAAGUUUAAUUGAAUCUUAGUUUUCAAAACAUUAUUUAAAUUUGGGUCAUUUGGAUUAAAGUCAAAUGGGUUAGAUUAAUCGGGUUAUAUGGUUCAAAAUCCACUUACCUUAUUUUUUAUACAUUAAUAUUAAAAUUUAAAUAAAAAAUAUUAGAAGAAAUUUCAAACUUGGGAUUAGUUGAUUGUAGCCAUGCAUUUGGAUGUUGGUAUUCUUGUUUCUUGUCUUGUUUCCAAAUACCCUUUCAAAUCGCUUUGUUAUUCAAUAGCAUCCUCCCGAUCAUUUAAAAAUUUAAAGAGCAUUGGUAUGAUGGAGGAAUUCAGAAAUUUUAGUUGAAUAAGUAAAAUUUUUCUCUCAUAAAACCAAAUAGCCUCUAUAGCUCAGUGGUAGAGCGUCAGUCUUGUAAACUGAAGGUCUGUAGUUCGAUCCUGCAUGGAGGCAACUUUUUAUAUUUCAUGAUCCAUUAUGCUCUAGUGAUUUAGUUUUCAUUAUAAUUUUAGAUUAAAAAAUUACAUCAACAUUUGAUAAGUUGGUUAUGACUUUGAUAUAAGGAUGAAACUAUCAAUAAUAUAUAUAAAUAUUUUGACACAAAAUAUCUAAUAUAUUAAAAAAUUAAAAAAAAACUCUAAAAAACAUUAUAAAAUUAUAUAUAUAAUUUAUCAUAUUUAAUAAUAAUAUCUUCUACCCUAAUAAAAAAUAUAAAUUUUAUAAGCAUACAUUUAUUAUUACAUUGUAUUAUAUAUUAUUUUACAAGAAUAUUAUGAUAACAUGUCUAAUUUUAAAAUAUAUUUAAUAUUAAAAUUAUCAUCAAUUUUAAUUUAAAUGUAUUUAAUGAUAUCAAAUAAUAUAUAUAUAUAUAAUUUUUUAAUAUUUAUAUAUUUUUAUAUUUAAUAAAUAUAUAAAUUAUGUAAAAAAAAAAGACCUAUUAAGAAGAUUAUGUUUUUAUAUUUGGAUCAAAAUUAAGUUUUUCCGAUAAAAUAUAUGAAACUAUUGAUAAAUUAUUGAUUGAAACGUGAAAAAAAAAAUUCAAAAAAUAGAUGAGAUAUUAGUAAAAUAUCCGAAAAUAUUGAUUGAUGAAUAUAUCAUUUCAAAUUUUGCAUCAACAUCCACAUAUGUUGGAUAUAUUGGCCAAAUAUAUUUAAACCUUGUUUCCAUGAGAAGUCUUUCCUUCAACAAUUUCAAAAGGUUAAUGAGGUGGUUUCCAAGAGAUGUGUGUAGGGGUCUCCAACGGGCGGGCCGGGCCAGCGGGCUUUUUGAAAUAAGCCAAAAUGGCUUUCAAAAAAGGGAAGGGAGAGGAUUUAAACCCCUUCCUUCAUGCUUAAAUUUCAAGGUUCUAACCAAUUGAACUACAUUCCUUUAAUGUUUAUUAAUUGAGUUAGUUAUAUAUAUAUAUAAAAAUAAAGUAUAUUAUUUUUUAAAGGGGCGGGCCUACGGGCUGGGCCGGGCCGAAAGCGGGCCACGGGCCACGGGCUUUUUGGAGACCCUUGGAUGUGUGCAAUCACAUUUGGUAUUAUAGGUGACAAAGUUUGAUAAAUGAGUAAUUAUUAGGUUAACUUAUAAAAUCCGAAUUUGAUUUAAAUUGAUUCAUUUAAUAAUCCCAUUUAUUUACCCAAUUAAAACUUUAAAUUAUUUAACUUAUAUUUAAUUUAAUUAAAAUUUGUUUUUAAAUAAAUAGAUCAAUUAAAACAUAAACAUAUUUGAUUGAAACAUUAAUAAUAUAGAUUUAAAUAAGACCUAAUUCAACCUAACGAUCAAAUAGAAAUAUCUAAUUAUUAAAUAAAUUAAACAUGUUACUUGCUUAAUAAUUAUGUGACAUUUGAAUUUAUGCUUUUGAUAUAAUUAUUAUUUAUAUCAGGUUUAUAUAAUGAAAUAUCUAGACUUUGACACCAGUCAACAUUGUCCACCAAUACAGAUUGCAACUCUUAUAUGCUACAUCACAUCAUGUUGAAGGAAGAGGAUGACGUUCAUUGGCAGCAGAGCCUCCAAUCAUAAGGAGCUUGAGCAAAUUCAAUCUCAACACUGAAAUUCACUAGAAAAAAAGUUUAUUAUUGAUACUUCAUUUGUGUAAAAGCAUUAUAUUUCUUGCAUCAAUCGUAAAGCAUGACAUUCCAGUAGGUACGGAAGAGAAAAUUUGUUAUGAAUUGAAAAAUCUGUCAAGCUUAAUUUGGAGGGCCCAAAAUUGACACGUUUAAGAGCUCUAUCAUUAGCCCAAUGAUAAGAGUCCAUUUCUUGAGUUUCAAGGAAGGCCCAAGUUUAACUUAGAGGGCCCAAUCUUGGUACCUUCUAAAAGGUGCAAACUUUGGCCCAAUUAUAAAAGCUUAUCCUUGCUUCCUAAGCAUCAAUGAUAUAUUUGAUCGAAGUAUUCACAUAACUAUCACGAAAUGAAAUGAAAUGAAAAUGUAUAAGUAAAUGAUGAUUUUGAGUUAUUUACUGACAAUAAAGAAUUAGGUGGUGUUUGUUUUUUUUUUUUUGGCUUUUUACUAAAAGCAAUUUGUUUUCAGAAUUUAGGUUAUUUAUUUUUCUAUUUUUUCAUGACUUAUUAUAAACUUUUUACUAAAUAAGAAAAUCCAAAAUAUAUAGUUUUUUCUAAAUAGAAAAAAUAACAUAUUGGUUUUCUUUUUUUUUUACUUUUUAAUAUUUAAUAGAAAUAAAAUAUUAUAAAAACAAACAACCUAAUAUUUAACACUAUUAAGUAUUAAGGUUUUAUUUAGAAUUAAGUAAAAAAACAAACACUACCUUAAAAUGAAAAGUAUGUAUAAUGACCUUAUACAAAAAAAGUCUCAUUAUUUUCUUCCAAAGAACUCAUACUUUUGUUUUUCAACUAUUACUUUGUUUUUAUUUUUUAAAUAAUAUUUCAAGUUUUUUUUAAUAAUACCUUUCUCUUUAUUAGAUAAUUUUAAUGACUUUAAAAGUAUUUUAAUAUAUUAAUUUAUUAUAUAAUUUUAAUGAUUUAAAAAUAUUUAAAUGUUGAAAUAUUUAUUUUCAAGUCUAAUUUUAAUUAUUUAUUUUUUGAAGUAUUUAAAUAUAUAAUAAAUGUGGGAUUAUGUAAAUCUAGUUGUAAUUAUUUAUUUCAUUCUAUUCAUGUUUUUAGUUGAAUUUGCUCAAAAUUUACACCUCUUUAUUUAAAGAUCAUGGAUUAGUUAGGUGUCUUGAGAUUUUUUUUCUCUCAAGACACUACUUGUUACACUAGAAAAUAAUUUGUGGCUAUAUUUUUUAGGCAAAAAGAAUUAUAUGUUAAAACUUCCUUUAUUGACUAGUUUAUCAUAGGGUGUAGAGGAAAGUUUGUGAUGUCUUUUUAUGUCAACUUUGGGAGAAAAAUAUCACUUUAGCAUUUUCCUUAGAAAAUUUUCAUACAUAAUUGAUUUUGGAACUAUGGAGGAGCAUAAGUAGGGAUAGAUAAUUCGAUUUUGGAAAAAUUAUAAUAGCUUUUCAACUUGGUGUUAAUGAUAUAUUGUUUAUUUCUUAUUUUUUUUCCAUUUUAAUAUAUAAUUGGGGAUUUUAAACUUGUAGAACAAGGCUUUUUCAAUUGAAUUGACACGUACAUAUGAAAGUUCUCUUUGGUUGCUAAUCACAUUUUUUUUUCUUUUGCUUUUUGUUUUUAUCAUAAUGAAUAUUGAACUCGAAAUUCAGUUUUUAAAAUCUUAUGAUGUUUUAAAGUUUAUAAAUAUUAUUGAUUUUUAUAAAUGAUGUUAUUCAUAUCUUGGUAAAGACAAUAUUUUCAUAUCGGUCAAGAUGAUUAAUAACAUAUAAGUUCAUAAAGAAAAACCUAUUGAUUAAUGGAUAUUUAAUGAUUUUUAUUAGGAAUGUUUUUUAAUUAGUUUCAAUACUCAUCUUUUAGAGCAUACAUAUAGGGUUUUAGAUGCUACAUUGGUUUUCAGCUUGUGAUUUAAAUUAUUGAAGCAAAAAAUGAGGGUUUUGCUUUAUGGAACUAUCUAAAGGGAGGUGAAUUAGGCGGUCUUCCUUUUUAAAAUCCAAAAAUUAGAUUUUUAAUACUUAUAUUAGUUAUACAUGUGUUCAAUAAUUAAAACAAAGAACAAGUCCAUAAUUUACAUGUGAUGUGCAUGGAAAAACACCUACAAAUUCUCUCAAAUACUUUACAAAUGAAAAAAAAAUCAAGGAUCGAUCAAUCACAGAGCAACUUCACUAAAUAUGAAAACAUGACUAUACAAUUUUACUUGGAUGAGGUGCUACCUUCUCUUAAGGGUUUUUACACUAGCCAACAAUUACACUCACCUUCACUCUCACCAUGCACCUCUAUUGUGCUCCAUAGUAAACACUUUAAUGACUGUAGCAAGAUUGCGAUAAAUUACUGCGAUUAAUUUGAGAGUGUUGAUAAUGAACAAAAAAUAAUGAUAAUUAACUAGAGAGCAUAUGAUUUUGUAAAAACACCAAAAAGAGGCAUAGUUAUAAGUGAAAACUUUAAUGGAUUGGAUUGAAUAUAUAAUUGAAGUAUGAAUGAAAAAUUACCAAAACAAUGUUCAAAACCGUGCUAAUCAAAGCACAAUCACUUGAGUACUCUCAUGGGGCACUUGAAUGCUCCUUUUAAUCACCGUAAUGCUGAAAUUAAUAAUUUGUCUCAAAUUGUUUUUCCAAAACAUAAAGCAAAAUAUUAUAAAUUUAUAUAAUCAAACCCAAUUUCAUCUUAAAGCUAGCCUACUUAGUCUUAAUUCAUGUCCAAAAAUACUCAUACUUGUCAAAGAAUGAAUAUGGUAUAAACAAAUUCUUUAUUUUCAAUUAUAUUCAAUUAUUGAAAGAAUAAAUCGGUUUACAUACAUUUUGAACAAAGGUAUAUACACAUAGACUAAAUCAAGGAAAUGAGGAAAUCAAUCACAAUCAAAUCAAAAUCAAAUGAUAGGUUGAUAUCUAGGAGAAGGUUAAGUUAGAACCAACUCAUGUAUUCAAUAUUCCCCCUUAAGAUGGCAUAUGGAGAUCAUGAAUAUCAAACCUAGAAAGUAAGGGAUAUGAAAUAUCUAUACCAAGGGAUUUUAUGAAAUAUCAACCAAUUGUUGUUGUGAUUAAACAAAUUGAAUAAGAAUAAUUUCAUUUCGAAUCUUUUCAUAGAUCAAGUGACAAUCAAUUUCAACGUGUUUAUUCUGUUCAUGGAAAAUUAGAUUAAUAGCAAUGUAUAGAGUUGUAUUAUUGUCACAAUAUAGAUGCAUUGACCAAGGAUGAUGAACUCCAAAAUCUAUAAGUAAAUAUUGCAACCAAUGCAAGUAGUAAUCAUUAAAUAAUAUUUCACUUUUCUUCAUGAGUGUUAUAUCAUUGAUUGCUUUUUAGAUCUUCAAGAGAUUGAUAGGCCACCAAGUAAAAUACAAUACCCUAUAAUUGAACAUCAAGAUUAUGCACAAUAGGCAUGGAGGAAGGCAAAAGAAUUCCUUGACCUAGACGAUUUUUUAAAUAGUAUAACACUCAUGUACUUGUGAGAUAAUUGAGACUACAUUGGCUUGUCAAGAAUUUGAACAUAAUUAGCAAUAUUAAGCCCUAUCAUUAUGAGUCAAAGUAACUUCCCAAUCAAAUGCCUAUAAUAAGAAGCAUCCAACAAAGGUUCUCUAUCUAAUUUACUCAAUUCCAAAUUUUGUUUCCUAGGAGUUUUUAAAGUUACAUGUUCCAAGAAAACCAAAAUCUUUUAGUACUUCUAGAGCAUGUUUUCAAUAACUUAAAUAAAUCUCAUUCUUAAAAUAUGUCAUUUCAAUGAUGAUGAAGUACUUUAAUUUUCCAAUCUCUUAGUUAGUUUGAAAAUGCUAUAUAGGUUUUCCUUGACCACCUUAAUUCCUUUAAGAUCAUUCAUUGUAAUAAUUAUAUCAUAAAUGUAAACAAGAAUGAUUGUGAAAUAGUUAUUUGAGGCUUGAGCAAAUAAGAAGUAAUAUGUACGUCUUGGCUUGCUUGUAAACCAUAAACAUCAAUGUGAUAGAUAAUUUGGCAAACCAUCAACGUGAAGCUUGCUCAAGGCCAUAAAGGGAUUUUUUAACUUUGCAAAUCAUAUUUUUGGUUCUAGAUUUCCUACAAACUUGGUGGAAGCUGCAUGUAUACCUCUUUAUCUAAGUCUUCAUAAAGAAAAACAUCGUUGAUGUCAAGUUGGUGAAGAUGUCAAAUUCUAAUUAUACAAUAAUUAGGGGUGACAAUGUGUCUUAUCGUGUUGAGGUGAGAAAUAGUGAAAAUUUACUUAAUCCGACUAUGACCCGUUUGAUAAUCGUGUCAAAAUAACCUAACAUGAAUACAAUUAGUUUAUUUCAUGUAACAUGACCCUUUUAACAUGUUUAAUAAAUAUAUUAACUUGGAUUAUGUAUUAAUUGACAUGAAUAACUCAUUAACUUGAUUUCAACCCCUUAAACUCAUUAACACAAUUCCAACCCAAUAAACUCGUUAAUAUGAUUUAACUCAUUAAACUUGUUAAUAGGAUUAUAACCUCUUUAACCUAUUUAAAAUUUUAAAUUUAUAAAUAAUAAAAUACUUCUAGAAAGUUUAAUUUUUAAAAUUUGAACUAUAAUACAUGUAUGCACCAAUUUCAUGAAGUCCUGAAAAAUUAGCAAAAUUAUAGAAAAAUAAUAUAAACAAAAAUUUGUAUUAAAAUUAAUAAGUAUGGGCUACAAUAUUAGUCAUAGUACUGCUUAUUUCUGAAUGACUUUAUUAAAAAGCGAAGAAUACAUGUGUAGUUCUUAUGUGAUUUCUUAAACUUGUAAGGCGAUUUUAUAAAGUUUUUUUUUUCUUUGUGAAACCUCUUUUUCUAUGUGAAAUUGUUUUGCCGAUUUGAAAUCUUCAUUAAAGGAAGUUACUAUUAUUUAUAAUUGAAAUUAGAGAAUGAAAUGUGGAAUCCCCAUGAUUUAGUUGCUUAAUUCAAGGAAUUUGAUUAAUUGAUUUUGGUAACUUGUCUCAUAAAAUUUUCUAACAAGAAUAUUUAUUUUUAAUCUCUUUUAUUUCAAUUGGAAUAUUUGUUUCCUUUGUAAAUUUGUCAAUAGAAUAUUUAUUUAUUUAUUUAAUUCUCUUUUGACUACAAUGAGAAGAUUUGAUUUUGUUUGUAAGACUAAAUUUUAUAACCUUUCAAAUUUGGCCAAGUGACACCUUUUGAAUAUAUGUCACAUGUCAAAUGUGUGUGACUCAUUAGUUGUUGAACCUAAAUUUUCUUGAAUUAGAAAGCUAUACUUUUGAAGACUAAUUUAGUGAUAAUUUAAUUCAUUAAAUUUUUUUGGUGUCUACAGUAUAUUUAUAAUAUGAAAAGUAAAUUAAAAUUUUAAUUUUUUUACUUGUUUAUUAUUUUAUUUAUUAUUUAAUGAUAAAUAUUUUUAUUCUUUAUUGAAAUAUAUAAAAUUUUAAUUAAUAUUUUAAUUUUUUUAAUUUCUAUAUAUAAAAUAUAUAGAUUUAUAUGGUCUAAUUGAGUCAUUAAAAUAAAUAGGGUAAAUAACUCACACAUAAGUGAUGGAUCAUUCUAACAUGAUUAAAUUAACAAGUUAGAUGAAUUGAGUAGUCAAAUACAAACAUGAUUUGUUUAUUAAAUAAGUUAUAUGAAUUGAUACGAUUAUGACAUCAACUCAAUUAAACUUAACUCAAAUAAGCUUUGUCUUUUAUUUUAAGUUGUCUAGUUGUUCACACAAAUUUUCUCAAAAUAAAGAAAUUAUAUAUAAAAUUGUAAAUUUGAUUAUUUGAGGGGACCAUUUUCAAUACUCUUUUUUAAGUAAUCUGGUGUUUAAUUUUGAAUCAAAGGGGCUUUCAUUAACAAAUAAUAGACUGUAGUUUUCAUAUAAGAAGAAAUCUCAAGCCUUUUUUUCUUGAAGGAAUCUUUAAAUUUUCUUUGAUACUUUAAAAAAUCAAUCUUCUUUGAUUUUUUAAGAAAUCUUUGAAUUUUCUUAAAGUCUUCAAAAAAAAAAAAAAAAAAAAAACUGAGUUUAAGGAAUUUUUUUAAUAACUCUCCAAAUUUCUUUGAUAUUCCAAAGUGUCCUUUAGAAGGGGACAAAUCCUCUAUUUACAGGAUUGAGAGUUUUAUUUUAAUAUUAUCUCUUAAUUUUUAAGAAAUAACUCUCUUAUUUAUGAUAAUUACUAUUUAUUUUAUUUAUCAUAAUUAGUUGCCUAUGAUAAUUAUCAUAAUUAAUUUUUCUAGAGAUAAAUAAUUAUAUAUAUUUAAUUAAUCAUGAUAACUAUAAUAUUUAUUUAAUUUUUUAUUAAAUUAUUUUACAUAACAUAUCAAUAUAUAUUAUUAGUCAAUUAUUAACACCGAAAAUUAAUGAGUUGGCAUAAAAUUUAUCUCUCUAUAAUAGUAUCAAAGCGAGCCUUAAUAAUAACAUUGCUUAUAGUCAAUUUCACAUGCCAACUUUUUACUGGGCAUUGGCGAUUUCAAUUUUGAUAGUCCGGUUAGAAAAAGUAGGUAAAGAUUAUUUGAUGUGGUAGGUCAUUUCUUUCAUAAAGACGAUGGCGGUGAAUUCAUGAGACAGGUGAUAAAGGAGAGAUUCUUUCUUUUGGCUUUGGAAUUUUAAUGAGGUCCUCGAUCCUCAUCCAAAAUACACCUCUCCAAUUAUAAAAAUCUUAUUAAAAAAAAAAAGAUUUGACAUGUGCCUUUCGAACUGCUGGUUUUCUGUUCCAAAAAUGAGAAUGGUUUCAAGUGGAUGAAGGAAGGUGAAGAACCCUUGGUUUUGUUAAGCGAAAAGCCACAUGAUUAAAUAAACAUAAGGCGGCAAAGGCUGAAAAUUUAAAAUUAUACUAAGGAACCCACCCCACAGGGCGACUACACUUUUGGUGAAGCCACGAGAAUGAAAGAUAUCGAAGGUGACACCAAGACAUUAAGCAGCACCAAGGUUUCGAUAUAUUAUAAGAUGGGAUCUUAUGAAAGACGAUCUCUAAUCUCUCUCCAAUCUCUUCUUUAACCUUUUCUUACUUAAAUCCAUUUCCAUGGUAGGGCACAUGUCCAGCUGACCCUACCCCCUCACCUACCUAUACUGCUAUACCCUUUUGUAUAAUUUGAUAUGGAUUGGAAGCCACCCCAACAUCUUUCUAAUUGCUCGUAAAUGUUGAGGUGCCUUUCCAUUUUGAGGCUGCCCUAAUGUGUGGCUGAAGUACGUAGGAAAAAAAAAUUGUGAUACAUGCACUGACGAAUCAAAUCCCAAUGUCAAAUUAUUAGACUCACCUGGUUCUUAAAUUAUUGUGAAUGCCGCUGGCCAUGGAUAAAUGGAAUUAGUGCGUGGCUUAAUGAAAAUUUAUUUUGAAAGGGAUAUUAAUUUGAGAGAAUUUUGGCUGAUACUUGGAGUUGAACGUAAGCAUAUAUGACCUCAUUUCGGGUGUGAUAUUGUGCUUAUAACGAACCUUUCGUUCUUUCCAAUUCCAGUGGGUAUUAAAUAAUUAAAGAAUUCAUGGUUCGAAGGCGAAAGGUAGAAGACCAAAAAGGGAUUACAAAGCCAUCGGCUUGACCAUCCAGAUGCAAUGGAUACAAACUUUGGACUCUAUCGAAAGUUCUUUGGGCACGUGCCCAAGUGUCCUACCCAUAUGAUAAGUUACACGUGGCUAAUUGCGGACCGGUUGCUCGUGCUAAACAGGGUACUUUUUCUACGCAUAUAAGAUGUUUCACUAGUGGGGCUUCACCAUGCAAACUCAUGGAUGAAGACCCUGAGGCCAAGAUGAAGGAACAGAAAGAAGGCGGAGGAGAGGUUCGGUAUCGAGGCGUUCGGAGGCGGCCAUGGGGGAAGUUUGCUGCGGAGAUACGUGACUCGACUAGGCAUGGAGCGCGCGUCUGGCUCGGGACUUUCAAUUCUGCGGAGGAGGCUGCAAGAGCAUAUGACCGAGCUGCUUAUGCCAUGAGGGGUUCCUUGGCGAUUCUCAACUUCCCUAAUGAGUAUCAUACACCCGGCACGGCUAGCUCUUCAGCUUCAUCCUCAAUGCCCGAAGGUGAUCAGCAGGGAAAACAAGUCAUUGAAUUGGAGUACUUGGAUGAUAAGCUGCUAGAGGAUCUUCUCGACUCUGAAGACAAAAAGAACAAGAAAACCUGAAGUUUCUGCUGCCUCGAAUCCCCUGAAAUCUAGUGCUUCAUCGAAAAAAAAUCCCCUCGCUCCUGAUUAACAACAUUUUUAUUUUAGUCAAUGAAUGUGUUCUCGGAUCAUUAUAAGUAUUUCUGCCGAAGUCCAUUGAUUUUUGGAGACUGAAAAAUGUCAGAAAAAUUGGUGCGAACAGGUUUACUCCUUUCUAAAUUAUGCAAUUGAAGUAUUUGGAUUAGUGCGCAGUGUAAACAUCAAGGAAAGCAUGAUCCACUAUUUUAAGGAGCCUAAGUGCUUUCCCCUUUACUCUUUUAGGAUGUCUUUUCAGUGAAGAAAGUUGGGAGACCACCACUUACCCUUUUGAUUGGUAUAUAACUGCCAACUAAUAACUGGACUAACAUUUGGCCCGUCUGGCCCUACUUCUUUGACUUUGUUGUUAAUUUAUAACUUUAUGUGAAGUGGGGGCUGUUUGGGAAUGUGUGAAGCAAGGAUUUGAGCCGACUUCGCCUAAUCUGAUUCUCCAUAAGUGACUUCAUUUUAUCAUAUUGGUGUUUUUUUUCUUCUUCUUUUUAAAUGGCUGGGGAGGAGGGGAUUUGGGAGGGAUGCAAUGCCAUGGUUGCAUGCUGGAUUAUCCUUCCAAAUGAAACAUCCAUUUGGUUUCUAGUAACUAAUUGCAAACAAUUAAAGAGAAUAAAAUUUUAAGAUGAUUAAACAAUAAGUACCUAUGUCCAUGAAAAGGAGAGAAGUUCACUCAUGGGUGUUCAUGAAAGACAUCACAAAGAACCAUCAAUAUGAGAAGAAUCCUGAUACAAUUAACUUUCAUGCAUAAGAAAAGACGCUCAAAAAAGAAUAAUGCUUACAAGGAAAGAAUCUCACUACGAUCAACUGAAAAAAUAUUCCAAUUUAAUUGGAAAUCCUUACAUGGGAAGAAUAUCAAUAAAAUCAACUAAAAAAAUAUUUUAAUUUUAUAUCAAAAUAUUUGUGAUUUAACCCGUAUCAUUUCAUCAUGACUUCUUAUAAAUUUUGUUCCUUUUUAUCAACACCACCCCUUGAGUUGGAGCAUAAAUAUUUAUUAAGCUAACUUGAACAAGAUCUUGAGAAAUUUUGUCGCAGGAUUUGUUUGCACUUUUUUUUUUCAAAUAAAGUCAUAAUUAACUUUAAUAUGUUUAAUCAUUUCAUGAAAUACUAGAUUUUAAGCAAUGUUGAUAGCAUACUUAUGCCUGAAAGCUUUAUCCCAAAUCACAUGAGUACAUGAAGUGAUUGCAUCAUUAAUGGUAGUAUUAUUACUUUAUAUUCAACUUCUCCACUUGAUAGGAUGCAUGAAAGCAUUGUGCUUUCUUCUGUUUCAAGUAAUAAAGAUUAUCACCAAGAAAGGUGCAAUUAAUACCUAGUAACAGAGUACCUAGUGGUAGCAUGCACCUAUCCACUGAACUUGUACUCGACUCUAUGAGUGUACGUUACAUAGUCCUUUUUUCGAAGUCUAAAUGUCCCUUGAUAAAACCUUCUAAUAUUUGAGGUUUUGGUAACAUUCAUGUAUCAAUGAACAAAUUAAUUUACUAGCUAAACUUUAAAAUUAGGCAAUGUUUUUCAAUGGGUGAUCAAGAUCUUGGAAUUUUCAAUGUUGUUUGAAUAGCUUCCACACACAAGCAUAUUUUCUCCUAUUUAGGAAUAAUCCCUUUUUUGAAGGUGUGAUCUUUAUGCUCAAAAAAUAAAGAUACUCAAAAAUUUAAUAUUGACCUUCUCGUGAAGGAAAAGCUUUAUAACUAAUUUUUUUUGUGCAUUAUAUAUAUCCUCAAUAUAGACUUUAAAAAAAAAAGAAGUAACUCCCUCUACAAAGAGUGAAGAGUCAAUUAAACUUUUUUUUUUUUAAAAAAAAGGAACCAAUUACUCGUAAAAGUAAUGAUUAUUUUUACAUACCAAACUUGAGGAGAUUACUUAAGAUCACAAAAGUUUUUAUUAAAUUGCAAGCUAGAUGCAUUUGAAACGAUCGUUGAUGUCUUAGCAACACCUUAUGUAACUCAUCAAUCUUUAUGUAAAAAUGCAUUUUUAACACCCAUAUAAAAUAAUGAUCAAUCCUAAUUUAAUAGAAACAAAUGGUAAUACAUGAAUAUCAUUCAUAUUAAUGAGAAAAGUAAAUAUUGAUUUAUAAUCAACUUCUUAAGUUUGUGUCAAUGCCUUAAUCAUUAGUUUAACUUUGUCAUUCAAUGAUACCAUCAUUACGACAUUUAAUUAACUUAGAUUUGCGUAAAUCCCUUAAUCACUAGUCUAGCUUUAUGUCAUUCAAUGGUACCAUCAUUAUGGUAUUUAAUUGAUCUUAUACCCCCAAUUUGUAUACCCCAUGUUUUUCUUAAUUUACCAUACAUCACUUAACAAUGUUCCAUGCAUGGAUUUUGUUAAGUGCCUUAAGUUCCUUUUGCAUAGCCUUUCUCCAAAUUGGAUGAGGAUUGGCUUCAUUAAUGUCAUUAGACUCAUGAUAUAUGGAACUCAAACAAUUGUUAAGUGAUUUUGUAUAUAUAUAAAAAAAAAAUUGUAAUUAAUGUGGUAGGCAUAAAAAUCUCACAAAUGAGGAUUGAUUAAUUGUUAUAAUUGAGCAACAUGCUUGAGGCUUAGUCACAAUACUAGAACUUGAAGUCAGACAUUCUCUUCAAAUAAGGACGUAUAUACAUUAUAUUGGAUCUCCAUUAAACAAGUAAAGAACUAUUUAGUAGACAAUGAAACCUCAUUGAUCAAUGGUGGUAGAGAGACACAUGAUGACCAGACUAUUCCCCUGGAAAUGAGAAUAAAAAAUAUCAUUAGCCGCAAAAAUCUCAAAAAAAUUUAGAUAAUGGGAUAUAAAGAGUUUAUGAAUUUUACAAUCAUAACUCUUAUACUGGUUUAAGUGGUAGAGUAAUCAAGAACACAAAACGAGUUUGAUGAGUGGUUGAGAUAUGAACAAAGCAAAGAUUUCCAAAGACACCAAAAUCAGAAAUCUCAAUUUUUGGGCUAAGGAUUUCAAGAAGAAAUUUAAAAUUAACUACAUGACUAGAAAAUUUGUUCAUCAAGGAAAUAGAAGUAACGAUAUCAUAACAUCAUAAUUAAUCAAUAUUUUUAAUAACAUGCAUUUGGAACAUGAUAUACCGGCUUUCUAAUAAUCAAUGAUUUUUGGUUCAACCACACCAUUUUGUUUUGGGAUGCCAAUACAACAAGUUUAACGAANNNNNNNNNNNNNNNNNNNNNNNNNNNNNNNNNNNNNNNNNNNNNNNNNNNNNNNNNNNNNNNNNNNNNNNNNNNNNNNNNNNNNNNNNNNNNNNNNNNNAUGUAAGUGCCAAAUUAGGUAGUGUCGACAAUGAAAUGGAAAUUUUGGAAUAUAGAAACAACCUCAUUUUUAUGUUCUAAUAAGUAAACCUAUGUAGCAUAAGAAUAGUCAUUAAAAAAAAAGGUAACAAAAUGUUGAUUUCCAUCCUAUGGAUCAAUUAGGACACAACCCCAAGGUAAACUAAUUUGAAAGUUGCAACAAAAAUGGAAAGAGAUGAAAAAAUAAUAGAGGAAUUUAAGGUUGUUUCAAAAUUUCAAGACAUGCUAAGAAACACAUGAGAUUAUAGAUGAUUAGGUAACAACCUUGGUUAAGUAUAUUCAACAUAUAUAUCCCACGAGGAUAAAUAUCUUCACUAAACUUUUCCUAUUAUUCAAUCCCCUAAUACCAUACAAGUGAAAAAUUAAUGUCACGGUCAAAAAUUUUAAUAAGCUUCCAAAGAGAUAAUAAUUUUGGGGAAAAAAACAACCUAAGAAACCUAUGAAUUGAGAUAAUUUAGGAAAAAACUAAAUGUUCGUUAGCUCUAGAAGGGAAUUGAAGCUCAUCAUCAAUAAAGAUUGUUGCUAUCUCGAAUAAUAUCAAGUAAACCAUUAAGAUCGCUAUUAAUGGUAUGAUUAGCAGCACCAAUUAUCGACAAAAAAAUUAUUAAAAAUAUAAGAAAUGAGAGCUUUAAGAUUAUCUAAUUGAUUUGUAAACCUAGGUAAGUGAAUCAGUAUUACGUUUUGUUAAGGAAGCUUAGAUCCAAUUGGUAUCAUUCACCAAGUUAUUGGAUUAAAUUACACUAUCAAACUUUGGCUUUAAAUGAGAAUGAAGAAUCUAACCACAAUCCUUAUUGGGAUUAGAUAUGUUAUUGCAAUAAUGUUUACAAUCGGAUGAGUGCUAAUUUCUAUUGAAAUCAUGAAGCAAUCUCUGAUCAUUGGUCUUCUUUGUAGAAACAUGAGCAUUGAAUUUAAAAUUAAUAAUUGUUACUUGGGAUUCAACCUUCAUAAUCAUUGCCUGGGUUUCCUAAUCACUUUCAAGAAUUACUUAUAUAGUGAAGGCACUCGAAACUAAUCAAAUUUGUCCUCUUAUAAAGUUGUCAUAUUCAAGCUUCAGAAUAGCCAAUAAUUGAAAAACUUAUCAUACUCCGCAAUUUGUUGAAGAAUAUUUGGGUCUAUUGAAGGGGACAAUAUAGGGAAUAUUUGUCCCAUAUGCUCAAAAUGUUCAAUUAACAAAGUGUUCUGUAUGUUUAGGGAUUUGUUAGCUUUAAUUACACAAAACAUUAGCAGUUUUAGAGAAAAUUAAUUUUUUUUUGCAAUCUUAGGUUCCAUGAAAUUAAAAAGCCAAUAACAAGUCAAUAUGGCUUGAGACCCAGUCAUCAUAUUCAAAGUCAUCCAACUUAGAAGCAUUCAUUUUGCCACUAACAUGUGCUAAUUUCCAUUUUCUAUCUUUCAAGAGAAAAAGACUGCUCUUAACCAUGGCAAAUAAUUGAACCCAUUAAGAAGAUUGAGGAAAGUAUCAUAUGAGGGUUGUCAUUUUCCUCCAUGACAAAGAAAAAGCAACAGAGAAAAACUCAUAAUAUUAGAAAGAGAAUGAAAGAAAUUGAGUCAUAGAUACACACAGAAGAAUCCAAAAAUAAAGCAAUAAUACAACCACAAAUAUGAGAAGAAGCUCAAUUACAAAGAAAGGAACUCAAUACAAUCAACUAAAAAGCGUUCCGAAGUUCAUACGAAAAUAUUCAUAAUGUGAAGAUCAUUUCAUGAUUCCUACAAUUUCUUCCUUCUACCAGUCCACUCCAUACAAGGUUUGAUCAACAACUUCUUCAUUGAUUUUCUGGUCUCUCUCCGGUGUAUCAUAGAGCAUUUUUGACAUGUUUCUGCAAGAUACACUUGUUAACUUUAAGCGACAUAAGUGCAAAAAAAUAAGAUCAUGUUGUAUUGCCUGUGCUUCCACUCUGCCUUGUUUAGUACUAUUAUGGAGCAGUACUUCCAUAUAGAACCAGUGAUCUCCAGUUCAUUAUGUUGCCUUCUUUAAACUAACUUUAAUUAUCUAUACAUAUAAAACAAAGUGGUCCCAUCAAGGGGCUAAAUCAAGAAUCAAGUGGGGCGAACAGGAAACAGUGGCAUCAAUUUUUAAGUCCAUAAGCUUUAAUAAAAGGAAUAAAACCAAGGAUAUGAAUAUGUUAUUUUUUCAUUUGUUCAUGCACUGGAAGAUCUUUCCUCUUCAAGCAUUGAACCAGCAUCCUUCUGUGCAAGUUGCUGUCGGAACCUUCUAUAAUUGUCAGAAGUCUGUUUCUGAAAUAUACAGAUAAAACUUUUAGCAAGUCUUGACAUUGCUCAUCACUAGGACAUUGUACUAGGAUACCAAUUCAUCUAAUUAGGGUUAAGUUGGCAUCUCGUACACUAUUUUUUAUUUUUCCUUCAUCUUUUGUUCCCAUUUGCAGUGGAAGUGGCACUUAGAAUAUCUGAUCAUGAAGAAUUAGCUUUCGGUGAGAUGAUACUAGGUCAAUUGCCAUUAUCUUUUUGAGUUACUGUGCGAGCAAUCUUGAAAAUAUUUUGGGAUAAAUAGAAUUUGUGCUUAUCAUAAACAUGCUAAACAUCCAAAUCAAGUGCUUUUACUAUUGAUAUCAAAUCAGUAAUUGAUUUUAACCUUUAUGCUUAUCUUUCAGAUUCUCAAUUAUGUAUCUUGAAUAAUGAUAUUAAGCAGAAAUCAUGAAUUGAAUUGCUUUAAUUAACUGUGCCUUAUCAAGCUUGUCAGCAGUGCUAUUGCUACCGCGAAUCAAAUUCGCUGUGCUUCCCGCCUUCUCCAAAUAAGCCACAAGCCCAAUUAUAUCCGCCCUCCUCCCAUCUCCAAGGGAUCAAAAAAUAAAAUGACUUCAAUCAAUUUUCAAGUUUUCCAUCUUGAUCAGUAGACCACCCGGCAUGAAUGUUACCCUCAGUUUAGGAAUAGGAAUUCCUUUUACUAAUCAUUUGGCACUAAAAACUAUGACCCCUAGCAAUUCAUUCCCUCCAUUAGAUAUCUGGGGGCAUCUUGGCUCAGCCAAAAAUGAUAAGUCAUUGCAUUUCACAUUGCAUUCAUUUGUAUUAAUGAGCUAAUUUUUUUUCACAGAAUGUGAUGUGAAUCGAAUUACUUCCAACCAUGUGUCUCUAUAAGGGUUUAACAAAUGUAAUUUGCAUUGUCUGUACACUUUUUUUUCGGUUUCUUUUCUUUUUUAUGCAUGAUUCAUUAGUCCACGGAUCUUCUAUGCAAAGUGUGCAGGCCAAACACCUCCUUCAAUGCAUUAUUCUAGAAGUUAAGACUCAGUUUACUCCUUAAUUGAUCUGUUCCAUUUACUUCAAAUCAUUUGAUUACAUUAAAUGAAUCUUGAAAUUCAAAAAUGCAUCAAAGUUAAAAGACCUUCCAAUGCAUUAAGAAAUCAUCUGAUACAAAUAUAUGUGAACCUGCAACAACAAUAAUGUCAAAAUGGAAAACUUAGGUAGAAAAUAUUAGAACGGAAACUUACGACGAACUCAAUUUUUGGCGCCUUUCUUCUUCUCAUCUUCUGAUCCAAGAAGCUCUUCCAACACCGUGUCAUCCAAACACUCGAACUCAAUGACUUGCUUUUCUUGCCCAGAAGAGGAACCUCCCAUCUCUAAACUCCUACAAGGCCCAGAAGAUGACGAGGAAGACGAUGAGGAUGGUGAUGGUGGGGGGCGAUGGGAGCCCAUGAUUUCAGAAUAGUACUCAUUAGGAAAGUUAAGAAUGGCAAGAUGACCCCUUAAGUUAAAGGCCGCUCGAUCAUAGGCGCGAGCUGCAUCCUCCGCCCUGUCAAAUGUGCCUAGCCAUAGACGAGCACCUUGCCUAGACGGAUCCCUAAUCUCGGCUGCAAACUUCCCCCAUGGCCUCCUCCUCACCCCUCGGUAUCGAACUUCUUCCUUUUCCUUCCCUUCCUGCUCCUGCUUCUCAUUCCCUUUCGAAUGAUCUUCCAUGCUAAACGUGUCGAUUUGCUAGGCGCAAUUUUUUUGGUUUCAAAUGUGCUGGUUUACGAGAGGCAUGGAUGCUUAUGUAUAUAUAUGGUUGCCACAGUCAGGUCUGACGUCACCGCUCAAUGUAUGUUCCACAGCGUGGGUUGACGAGCUUUCUGAGGGGGUUUCCUCGAAUUCAAAGCAAGUAUAAAAAUUCGAUUCUCCGACCUUUCCAAUGAGGAUCGAACAGGCCUUUUAUUAGAACCGUAUGAUAACUCCACACUGUUUUCAAAUAGUCAAUGUGAUCUAGAUUCUUCGUUAAUUUUUUCCACCUGACUGAUUGUUUACAAUUUUAUUUUUCACCGUCCCAAAUUUAAACCAUUUACGCGAUUCCCUGGAUUGCAUUUUUCUUUAAUGUUGACUUUACGAGGCAAUAGGACCCCCCAGCAACCCCACUAGGGCGACUUCAUGGGAACCAGAUUACUUUUGGAUCCAGAUAUGGUCCAGAAGAAAUAAGACAAAUCAAUUAAUGUCCACUAAAGUUUUGAUGGAACCCUUAGUCCGUGUUUCCUGUGGAUGUAUGUAUUGUAUGCACCUCAAUUUUCACCAAUCCCUGCUACGAGUCCCUUUAAUUUUGACGUUAUAAAUGUUUUUCCUGACAUUAGCAGAGUGUUUUUCUGCCGUCUUUGAGGACCUUCCACGGCCCAUAAACUAAUAAGGAUCGUCCAGUGAAUUUAGUCUUCCCCAGUUAAUUAUCCUGCGAGGGAAACUUGGGCAGUAAGUUGCCUACAUGAGUGGCUCCCGCCUACAUGAGUCAAGGGACCAUACGUCAGGACGACAACCAGUGUGGUCACACCAAAGUGGGUUGCCUGGACUCCAGGGUGGUCGCUUCAAAGUUGUCAAAUGAAGGCUAGCUUGGCAAGUUUUGGAAAACAAUUAUUGAAAAACAUUUUUCAUGAAUAACAGUUUCUAUGAACAGAUUUUAAGAAAGUUUAUUUUGUGAUUUUUAGGAAUAUUUUUAAUUUAAAUUUUUAUAUUUUUAAUUUUUUAUUAAUUUAUUGAUUAUUUAAUAUUAGCUUAAUUAAUGGAUUUUUCUUGGUCCCAAAUUAUUAAUUUAUCAAGAUUUAAUCGCAUCCAUAAUUAGUCUAAUUUCUUUUGGAGUGAGUGUGACAAAGUGCAAAUUUCUAGAGUUUUAUUAAUGUUAUUCAAUGUCAUAAUUUAACUAAUUAUAUUAAUUAUUUAUUAAUCAAAAUAAAUCAUUCACUUGAAAUAUGAUAAUUUAAAUUAAAAGUUUCAAUUAUUUAUUAAUUAGCAAAGUAUGAACUUUUCUUCUUGUUUUAUUAUUGUUAUUCCAUGUAUAUAAUUUAAUUAACUGUUUCCAAUAUUAAUCAAUAAAAAUAGAAUAUAAGCAUGAGAAGAAUUAGUAAAAUUCAUUGAUUUGGAAUUAGAUAGCUAGAGGAAGAACUUCAUCAUCUUCCCAUUACUUAAAUUUGUAUAAAUUCUAAAUAUUUAAACCCCCCCCCCCCCCCCCCCCCCCAAAAAAAAAAAAAAUGGUAAAGAAAGACUCCCCAAGCUUUCUUGGUUGGUGUUACCCUAAAAUUUGUACAAUAAGAUGAACCAUUUGGCUUAAAGCUUGGUGCGAAACCCCUUAUCAAUUGAAAAUAUCAAUGAAGUUGUUGAAUGGUUUUAGAGGACUAUUCUUAUGCAGAGUGGCAUAAGAAGCGAGGAGAUGAAGAGCGGAGAGACGUUAACAUCGGAUGCUGCUACGAAGGUGGGAAUACGGUUAAUUAAUUAGAUUUUGUGAUGGCUUUGAGUUUGAAGGAGUUAGUUUAAUGGGUAUUAUUAGUGAACUGAUAAUUGGAUUUGAUGUAAAGAAGGUUGGUCCAUUGGAUUAGCAAUUGGUUUGGCCUUUUGGGGGCCCCAUUUCCAAAUGCAUUGCCUUUUACAAGCAUUCAACAUCGCUGGACGUAACCAGGCUUGGUUCACCUAAAAGUAUCGCAUGGAUUGAAUUGACUAAGUUUUCAUUGUAGACUAGCCUUGAUUUUCCCUUGACCUGCCCACCAAAUCCUGAUGCCCACGCGAGGGAAUACCUCAAUUUUCUAAUAAUUUAUGCAGUUUCUCUUCAAAGCUCGUGUGAUCACUUGGGUCGGUAAAAUAAUGCAUUCCUCUACUUUUUCUCCCUUCCUAGAUGCAUGUUAUACCAUUAAUUCAAAUGUGAACAUGGGCUUGGCUUUGAAACUUGGUUCAAGGCCCAACAUGUUGACCCACAAUUGAGGUGUAAUUGAAUUUGUACACUUUUCGACUUUGAUACCAUUUGUCAUUACCAUUGACAUUGGGUCAUUGUUGAUUUUGAGUCCACAACUUUUAAGGUUGUUAUUACAAUUUUAAAUUGCGCCCACCCAAUUUAUAUGCAUUAUCCCUUAUAAAUACCGAUAACCUCUCUUUCUUCGAUAAUAUAAAAUGUCACAUAUAUUAUAUAUCUCAAUGUUUUCUUUUACUUUUUUUUUUUUUAUCGAUCGACAUUCUCUCUCAGAUGAUAUGAGAUGUCACAUAUAUUAUAUGUUUCAAUGUUUCUUUUACUUUUUCUCUUUUUCCUCAUGAUUGACAUUGUCUUUCUCAAAUGAUAUGAGUUGUCACAUAUAUUUUAUGUCUCAAUGUUUUCUUUAACUUUUUUUCUCUCUUCUUUAAUGAUCGACGUUCCUUUUCUCAGAUGAUAUGAAAUGUCAUAUAUAUUAUAUGGCUUAAUGUUUUCUUUUACUUAUUCUUUCUUUAUUAAUAAUCGACAUUUUAAGCAAUAUGUGAAUAUAAAGCAUUAAAAUUAUCUCCAUCGUUUUUGGAUGUGGUAUAAAUACACAAUUCUUAUUUUUGUUUUAAAUAUUUCUAUUGCUAUCUAUUGAAAUUUUAUGCAUGAAGCUACCAAGUUAAUUAUACAUAUAUCUUAAGAUUUUUUUUUUUUUUUUUUAUAGGAUAUAUUGUCCAUGAAUAUUUUCUGCAAUGGUAUCUUGUUUGAUUACUAUAAGAAAUAAUAUAUAUAUAUAUAUAUAUAUAUAUAUAUAUAUAUAUAUAUAUAUAUAUAUAUAUUAUAUUUCAAUGUUUCAUAUUUGCUUAAAAUAAAAAUUAUAUUUUAUCACAAUAUUUGGUAUUAAAAAAAAUGAAAUCUCUCUCAUUUAUUAUUACAAAAAAAUUAUAAUUUAUAAUUUUCUAAAUAAGUUUUAUUUAUUUGCUAACUAUAUUCAUGAUUAAAAGAUUUAAAAUUUAUAAAUAAAAAAUAUUAUGUCAUGUCAUUAAAUAAAUAAAAAUAUAUGUAUAUAUUAAAAUUAUGUUUUAUUGUAGCUUUUAAUAUUUUUUUUUUUAUUCUUUUCUUUUUUGAACUACAAUUUUAAUUUUUUUUAAUCAAAAUUUUUUAAUUUACAAAACGAGUAACAUAAAACUUGCCUUUGAACUUUAUUGGAAUGUUAUAUACUACCAUUUGGCUUUCAAGACAUUAGAAAAGGCAUAAGUGUCCCUUUUAUUUUUCCGAAAGGCAUAUUAGACUAUAGUAGGAAGUGUUGUAUAGAGGCAACUAAAAGUUGCCUUUAACUUUAUGAAGUCAUAUACUCCUCUUUGGCUUUGAUGACAUCAACUAGCAAAUUGGAUUUUGUUUCCUUUGCAACAUUUUUCCAUCCAUUAGCCAGUUUUUUUAUACUGUUUGGUGCUUGCCAACAUGGCACACACUAUGGUUCUUAAAAAGUAUUUUUUUUUUUAAGAUACUACGAAAUAAAAUACACGAUUGAAAGAUGAGUCACAAUAAUUUUCAAAACUAAAUUUUUUAAUAUUGUUAAGAAAAUUUGACCACCAAAUGAUUGAUUUUAAAUUACAAAUACUUUUGUUAGCUAAGAAAUUUGUUGUUCUAUUUGUUUCCCUAUAAAUAUGACAACAAUCAUAAAUAUUUUCAUUUUAAGAUAAUUUUCAAAUAUCUUCCAUUAAUAAUAUAAUAGAAUUAGGAAUUUUUUUUUUAGUUAUAACAAUCUAUAAUUAUUUAAGAGUCUUCCUCAAUCUCUAGGUUUAAGAACUUAUUGUUCUUAACAACUAACAUGUCAUCUCUUAAAAUAAUACAUUCUGCAAUAAUUAUUGAAAUAUGAUAUAAUAUAUAUAUCUACUUACAACCAUUUUUGUAGUACCAUUAGAAUUUUUAAUUACCCAUUCUAAAGUAUUUUUAUUCUCUAUUCUUAAACCAUCAAAAUUUAAUUUAAAUCUUUCAUUAAUUGGAUAAAUCCAAUGAAUCUAACAAGUUAAAGGAUUAUGAAUCCGACAAAACAGUUGAUAAUAAAUUAAUAAUGCCAUUAAUAUGAUUUUAAUGUGAAACACAAUUAUCACAUUUAAUACAGUUAGUCCUUGUAUGAUUAAUGUUUUGGAAGCUAAAAUCAAUCUUUUGACUAUAAUAAGAGUUUCUACUAUUUCUAUUUUUGGAUGAUUUUAUAUUUUUCUUAUUGUUUUAGUUUAAUACAAAAAAUAAAAAUAAAAUUACAUUAGUAGAAUUUUUUUAACUUACUCAAAAACCUAUUUUAGUUGAAUGAUUUUUUUAAAAAAAAUAUAAAUAUUUUGUUAAAAGGGAUAAAAUAACCUUACCUUGUGAAAAAGACCUCUUCACCCAAGAUUACUUGUUCAUAAUCCUUUUAAGACGAAAAUGCCCCCUUCCUAAAAAAUAUUUCAUCUUAAACUUAUUUUUCUUUUUAUUGCCCUUUGUUCCAUCCUUCCGGCUUGGGAGAGAAAUUCAUUCUUCUUUUGCGAAGAAAAAUUCCUAUUGCGAUUUUUCAUUUCAAGUGGAAAAAAAAAUUCUUAUUUCAUUUUAAAGAAAUUGUACAUUUUCAAUCUUUCUCUUUGUUCCUAGUUGAGGGUUUUUUUUGUAAUUUUAUCUUAACACUACAAAUUUAAAGGUGAGAUUAAAUCUUAAUGGUUAUUAGUUAAAUCACAUAUCUAACUUUGUUUUUGUCAGGACCUAUAAUAUGAUUGGAACCACCAUCCAAACUUCAUUAGGUGGGAUACUCCCCACCCUCCCCCUCCCCCCGCGAAAUCCUUGGAUUUUAGUUUUGACUUGGAUUUCAAUUGCCCGUAUCAAUUUUUCUUUAUUUAUUAAUUUAUUAAUUUUCAACUUUAACAAAAGCCUUGAAUCAUAUUUAAAUUCAAAUAACUUAAUCCUAAUUAAGUUCUUUUUAAAUAAAAAUUAAUCAUUGAAAAGUUCAUGUGACUAUUAUAAUUGAGAAUUUAUCCCAAGUUGGGUUUUUUGCAAAUAAAAUUUUAUUAUAGGACAUCAUGAUGCAACAUAACAUAAGGUUGUUACUUAAGUUUGUUUUGACCUUGUAAUAUGUUAAAAUGAAAAUGAAGCCAUUGUAACAGGAGAGAAUGAUGAAGCUGUGGAGAGAGCUUAACAAAGCUUGGGUUGGAGAGACUUCACAGGAAGAGAGAGAGAGAAAUAAAGGGUAAAAUUAUCAAAAGAGAAAAGAAAAAAAAAAAAAAAAAAGAAGGUUAUGUCUUCAAAUAAUCAAUAAGAGAUGUCAUUUUUCUAAUUUUCAAAGUUCUUUUGGUCCUUCUCUACAAAUAUCCCUAUAAAAAUAUUAUAAUAUCAAGUUAAUUUGUCAAUACCAAAAUUUAUAUUUUAUAUUAGGGCGACUAAAUAACAUAUAGAAAGAAUUUUAAAUGAGUAAAUCAAAUCAAUUUUGAAACCAAAACUUAAUAAUUACCAAACUUGUAAUCUUAGUCAUUAAAAGUGUACGAUGAAAUCUAAAUUAUUAAGCAAUGAAACAAAAAAUUAAGAUUAAAAUACAAAACGUUAAAAUCAAGAUACAAACUAUUAAAAUGUAAGUGGGAUAUGAGAUGAUAUUAUAAAAAAUAGUGUGAUCCAACAAAAAGUCUAGUACAUCAUUAUCUUCACUUCCAACCAUGUUUAAAAGGUCACAAGUUCUAGCGGUUUCCAAGGACAAUGUUAAAAAUAAUAAAAAUAAAUCCAAUUAAAUAUUAAUUAAUUUAUUUGAAUUUGAGUCCGACAAAAUAGUUGGUAAUAAGUUAAUAAUGCCAUUAAUAUGAUUUUAAUGUGAAACACAAUUAUCACAUUUAAUACCCGUUAGUCCUUGUAUGAUUAACUUUUUAGAAAUUAAUAUCAAUCUUUUGAUUAUAAUAAGAGUUUCUACUAUUUAUAUUUUUGGAUGAUUUUAUAUUUUUCUUAUUGUUUUAGUUUAAUACAAAAAAAUAAAAAUAAAAUUACAUUAGUAGAAUUUUUUUUAACUUAUUCAAAAAACCUAUUGUAAGGUGAAUGGUUUUUUUAUUUUUUUUUUAAAUAUAAAUAUUUUCUUAAAAGGGAUAAAAUAACCUUACCUUGUGAAAAAAGGCCUCUUCACCCAAAUUUACUUGUGCAUAAUCCUUUUCAGACGAAAAUGCCCCCUUCCUAAAAAAUAUUUCAUCUUAAACUUAUUUUUCAUUUUUAUAACCCUUUGUUCCAUCCUUAUGAUUUGGGAGAGGAAGUCAUUCUUCUCUUGUGAAGAAAAAAUUCCUACUGCCAUUUUUCAUUUCAAGUGAAGAAAAAUAUUUAUAUUUCAUUUUAAACAAAUUGUACAUUUUCAAUCUCUCUUUGUUCCUAGUUGAGGUUUUUUUUUUUUUUUUUUUUUUUUGUAAUUUUAUCUUAAUUGUACAAAUUCGAAGAUGAGAUUAAAUCUAUAAUGGUUAUUGGUUAAAUCACUUAUCUAACUUUGUUCUUGACAGAUCGUAUAAUAUGAUUGGAACCACCAUCCUAACUUUAUUAGGUGGGAUCCCUUUUUUUUUUUCCCCAAACCCUUGGAUUUUAGUUUUGACUUAUAUUUCAAUUGUCUGUAUCACUUUUUCUUUAUUUAUUAAUUUUCAACAAGUUCUUUAACAAAAGCCUUGAAUCAUAUUUAAAUUCAAAUAACUUAAUCCCCAUUAAGUUCUUUUUAAAUGAAACUUAAUCAUGUGAAAGUUCAUGUGACUAUUAUAAUUGAGAAUUUAUUCUUAGUUGGGUUUUUUGUAAAUAAAAUUUAGUUAUAGGACUGUGAUGAUCCGUUCUCAACCGUAUAAAUAUUGUUCGUUUUGAAUUCAAAAUAACUUUUACGGCUUUAAAACAUGUUUACAAGAUUAAGAGGAGUCCAUAUUUAUAUAGCUUCACGAACUUUCCCCCCUAUUCGAUGUGGGAUGUCACAAGGACAUCAUGAUGCAACGUAUAACAUAAGAUUGUUUCUUAAGUUUGUCUAACCUUGUAAUGUGUUAAAAUGAAGAUGAAGCCAUUAUAACAGAAGAGAAUGAUGAAGUUGUAGAGAGAGCUUAACAAAGCUUGGGUUGGAGAGACUUCAUAGGAAGAGAGAGAGAGAGAGAGAGAGAAAUAAAGGGUAAAAUUAUCAAAAAAGAAAAAAGAAAAAAAAGAGGGUGAUGUCUCCAAAUAAUCAAUAAGAGAUGUCAUUUUUCUAAUUUCAAAGUUCUUCUGGCCCUUCUCUACAAAUAUCCCUAUAAAAACAUUAUAAUAUCAAGUUAAUUUGUUGAUACCAAAAUUUAUAUAUUAUAUUAGGAUGACUAAAUAACAUAUAGAAAGAAUUUUAAAUGAGUAAAUCAAAUCAAUUUUGAAAUCAAAACUUAAUACCUACCAAACUUGUAAUCUUAGUCAUUUAAAGUGUUCCAUGAAAUCUAAAUUAUUAAGCAGUGAAACAAAAAAUAUAAGAUUAAAAUACAAAACGUUGAAAUCAAGAUUCAAACUAUUAAAACGUAAGUGGAGACGUAAGAUGAUGUCAUAAAAAAUAGUGGGAUCCAACAAAAAGUCUAUUAAUCAUUAUCUUCACUUCCAAUCAUGUUUAAAAGGUCACAAGUUCUAGCGGCUUUCAAGGACGAUGUUAAAAAUAAUAAAAAUAAAUCCAAUUAAAUAUUAAUUAAUUUAUUUGAACAAUAGAUAGGACCAAAAUAAUAUUCUAAAAGGAAUCAUAGGGAAGUCCUUGGACAACCUACGACAUUGAACAAAGGUACAGUGAGACAAUGCACUUAGCCCUUCCUUGUCAUUGCGAUGAAUAUAAAAAGACACCCUGAUUGAGGGUGCCCCACUAAGCCAAGAGUGAUUCUUUUGUAUUGUAUAACGUGAAUAUUUUUGAACUUUGAAUGACCCUUCCUAUAGUCAUCAUUGUCAAAACUAGAAAAUCAGAAAGAUGCGAUGUACGAAGGCACCAUUGAAUAAGAGGCUUAAUUCUCUUUGGCAAUUAGGAUAAAGUUUCAAAAUAGAAAAAUUAAACAAAUGUACAGUGUACGGACACUUGGGCAUUGCCUAUUUGUUUUGUUCUUCUAGAGUUGUAUAUGGUAAAGGUCAUAUUGGGUUGGUUCUAUUUGGUUAUUGAAGUCGGCUAGAAUAUUAGAUUUGGUUUCAAUCUAAUCCCAUAUGAUAUUAGAAUACCAGCCCAUACAGAAUUUUUGACCAAAUAUAAUAUUUCUUUUAAAUAUAAAUAUAGUAAUUAAUUUUAGUCUAAGAUUAAUUAUGUAGUUUCCUAAAGAGACCACUUCCUAAACGGUAGCUAUGUGGAAGUUGGGCCAGGUCCUGCCGAGAAGGUUUCCACGAGCUGAGCCCAAAACUGAGUAGCUGUGAUGGGAUCAUUCUAGCAUUCAGCCUGAAACUUGUAACAUAACGGAUCGAGAGGCCUGAACUCCAAGACCAUGGUUCGUCAGCCCAUUAACUUCAACAGCACGCAUUUUAGAGGACUGGGCUUGCAAGGGGUGAGGUUUCCGGGCCGCGACCCCAAAUAUGAACAGCCUCAGAAGUGAUAUUGCUUACUGGCACGUGAAGAGCGCAAGCGUAACUAGAAGAUUUGUAAUGCCGCUUUAAUUGUUUGAUUAUAGAAUCCCACGCAUUACGCAUGGAAAGUGUAAAAGAUAAAAGAUGUAGAAUUUUUUCUUAGAGAAAAGUUCGUUUGGAUAUAGUUAUUGUUUUUUUUUUAAAUAAUAAUUGUUUUUUUUAUAAAUUAUAGAUAAUCUUAGAAAUUUAUCUUUAAAAAAAUAGUUUUUAAAAAUAUUUAAGGAGAAUAAAAGUGAUAAAAAAAAACUUUACAAUUUCAAAUUUUUAAAAAAUGAAAAUUAUUUUUAAGAAUAUAAGUUAAUCUCCUGCAUUUAAAUCUUAGGUGGUUUUUGUUUUUUUUACUUUUCGCUGAAAACAAUUUGUUUUCAAAAUUUAGGUCAUUUGUUUUUUCUAUUUUUUCAUGAUUUAUUAUAAAUUUUUUACUAAAUAAAAAAAAUCAAAAUAUGUAACUUUUUCUAAAUAAAAAAAAUAACGUAUUGAUUUUUCUUUACUUUUUAAUACUUAAUAGAUAUAAAAUACUACAAAAACAAAAAAUCUAAUAUUUAACACUAUUAAGCAUUAAAGUUCUAUUUAGAAUUAAGUAAAAAAACAAACACCACCUUAUAUUUUAUAUAAAAGUUACUUAUAUUUUGGUUUUUGGAAAUAAAAAAUAUAAAGCAUAUCCAAACAUGAGCUUAGCUAUUUUAAAUCAUAUCAAAAUAAUAAUCCCAAUAAGGUAAAUGGACUUUUAUACGGAGAAUAAUCUUUAAGGUUUUCAUUUUUAUUGGAUUUUUUUUUUGUGGUGUUUUUUCAAUCCAUCUUCUCAAUUAAUUCCUUAAAAUUAUUUUACUGUUUUUUUUUUUUUCAGUUUCUAAAUAUUUGAUUUUUCCAAAAUGCUUAAAUGGAAGACACUAAUUUUUCAAGAUAUUUGGUAUUACAAUUUUCCCUGUUCUCCCUAUUAUCUAUCAGAUUCAUGGCCCUUUUGUUUUUUCAUUGGUUUUCAAUUUAAUUUUCCAAAUAUUACAUUGUUGUGUUUUGAAUUUGUGAAACCAAUUUUAUAUAUAUAUAUAGUAUGUAAGUCUACUUUGGGUAACAUGUACAGAGAGGUUUUCAUGUGUUUGAAACCUUUUACCUCAAAAAUUAAUUAUUUUUAAUUUUAUAAUAAAUCUUUUUUUAUUUUUUAUUUUAUUUAGGAAAGCCUAUAUUUAAACUACAUGUUUGCAACGCAACACCAUACAUACUCCUAGUGGAACUUACCUUAGUGCUUGAGGGGGAUGCAGAUCUUCUUCUAAACCUAACUAAUAAGCAUAAAAUUGUUCACUAAUUAGCAUAUCUAGUAAAUCAUACAAAUUGGCAAUAUUUCAUGUUUUUCAUGUUUUGUCAAUAAAAGGCGUCUUGACCAUUUUGUGAGUUUUGUAAUAAAUAAAAAAAAAAAAAAAAAAAGGGCAAAAGGUGACUAAAAUGAGGCACUUUGGAAAGGUUAAUAACCUAAAAGGAAGAUGAAUUAAUACCCCCUUAUUCCUCUUCAAAAACCAUUGAGAAAAUGCAAGAAAUGCUCUUAGUUGUAUGCUAGGCUAACAGCCUAGCAACCAUAAUACCCUUCUUUGCAAUUGUAAGCAUUUUUUUUUUUUUUUUGAAGGCCAAACAACGUUGCAAACUUCCCAAAUCCCUUCUUUAUUUUUUAUUUUUUUAUUUUUGUUUUUAGAAGGAGAAUGAAUUUGAUGACAAACUCCUUGUCAAUCUUAUCCAAACCACGAUCGAACAGAACUCCUUGUCAAUCUUAUCCAAACCGUGUUCCACCUCAAAAACAUGUGUAGGACUUAAGGCAGCAACUGGCAAGCAUGACUGAUAGGGCCAAGUGCCCUUGUCUCUACAAUCCAUUAAGUUAACCAAGGGCAGUGAACCAUCAUUCUUUUCAAAAGCUUCAUUCCGUGUUGAAAAUGUGAGACUGAAGCAUGGUGCCCCCAAAAAUAACGAUCUAUUUACUAGCAGCAUGCCUGGACCCAUUAAAAAUACUCUACUUUAGGAAUAGAAAAAAUUACAUCUUUAUCCAAUAAUUUUAUAACAAUUCAGACGUUUCAGUCUAUAAAUAAUUGUACAUAGUUGCCAACGUUUAGCUAGUUUCAAAUGAAUAGCCUAGGUUCAUGCACCAGUUUGGCUGGUGGAGGAAAGGGAUUCGAGACAUUGAACCCUCUUUUUAGUGUGCCAAAUAUUCCACAAAAAUCACUACCUUCUCUUUGUGUUUGUUCACUUUUAGUUUAUAUUUAAUAAAUCUAUGUUUUCGAGUAGAGGUUGGGUUCAGGUGCGACCCACGUCACCUCUCGGACGGUCUUGAAAAAGGAGACCGGACCACGUAAUUUCAAAUGUAGUGACCAUCUCACUUUUACCUCCAUCCUUGAAGAUGGUUUCCCAAAUCAAUAUUAAUCUUUUGUUUACGACAAUAUCGAUCACUUUAUGUCUAUAUCGUUGUUAAUUUACCUUUUUUUUUUAGCCACAUUAUUUGAAAAUUGAUGCAAACUUUACCAACAUCUUGGUACCAUUUUAAAAUAUUAGAGUUAUUUGAUUAAAAAAAUAAAAUAAUCUCGAUAACUUGUUUAUAAAAUAAAUAUCUUUUAACAUUUAGACUAUUCUCACGCAUGCUUUAAAAUUGUAAAGAUAUUCAUAAAGUGGAACUUUAGACUUAAUCAAUAUCGAUCACUUUAUGUCUCUAUUGUUGUUAUAUUUUUUUUUUACAACAUUAUUUGAAAAUUGAUGCAAACUUUACCAACAUCCUAAUACCAUUUUAAAAUAUUAGAGUUAUUUGAUUAAAAAAAUAAAAUAAUCCCGACAACUUGUUUAUAAAAUAAAUAUCUUUUAAUAUUUAGACUAUUUUCACCAUGCUUUAAAAUCAUAAAGAUAUUUAUAUUCAUAAAGUGGAACUUUAGACUUAAACAUGAUAAUAGUUUUUUUACAAUAUUAUAAUUAUUUUAUCGUUUUAAUUAAGCCCUUUAUCAUACAUAUAAAUGUAAAUUAAUGCUAAAUUUUUAAAGCAACGUAUAACCUUUUACAUCUUUUUUUAAGAUGGUGCGAAAAUCCUAUGAAAAAUAAUAAAAGUCGAUGCAUAAGAAGAUUGUUUUGAUAAUUCAAUAGAAAAAUUCUUUUAAAAUGAUAUUAAAAAAUACCCAUAGAGCCUUUAUUAAAAAAAUCAAUUAUUUUCAUAAUAAAAAUUAUAAUUUUUUAUUAUGUAUUAUUAUUUUUAAGUAUCUUUAUUACAAAUACUUUUUUUGAGUUUAUGAGAGGAAUCAACAGGUUGGUACAAGCUUAGGCGUCCUCGUACAUGUUCCCGCUGUGCAAGGUUUUUGUCUUGUUUCGAGCUAGUCGGAAUUUACGUGUUUGAUAACGUUUUGUCCUAUUUUUGUAACGCUUUAAAGGGCGGCCCACCGUUGGAACAGUUCAAGCCAUCCAAAUCAGCCCGGAGGGUUAUGGCGACGUGGCAUGACGCCUACCACCUUAGUUCACAUGAACCCUAUGAUCGUACUACCCUCACAUGACAUCUGUGAUUCUUCACCUCCAAACCCUCUUUAACUUGGUAAUGUAUUCAAAGCUUCAUCAAAUCAUAGCGAUUAGCGACCCUCUUCCACCCUAAUUUUAUAAUAAAAAAUAAAUCUUAGUGGACAUUAAAGUAGUAUUUUGUGGGGGGAAAGAAAAACUCUAUGGGCGUAUCCACUAAAUACGAGCCAAGUAUAAGAGUUAUCACCAUGGAAUCAAAUUAUGAAGCAUUGACAUUUUAAUUGUAUUCAGAUUUGAGGAGGGCACCGCGGCACCAGCUGGCCCAGUGUAGUCUGCUAGCCUACCCGCCAUAAUGACCAAAUUAAUAAAGUAAAAAGGAUUACAGGGAUAUUCCCAACUUUAUUCUGGGUCUGAGCUGGAACUUGGGAGUUAUCACGAUCAACGGGAAAGAUGGUGGGUAGGGGACGAGGAUUGAGGGCUCCAUAUUCACAUCAGUGAAAAACGAAAUGUAUUGAGACAAGUCUUCUAAGGAUUUUCUAGCGUAUUAUAUGGUUUAAAUGAUUAUAAAUCUGUAGUUACUGGUAAAGAGUAGAGAGUGAAGACGAAAGACGUUGAGUGAAAAGGAAGGAGGAGAGGGGAUGGGGCCAUCUUACCGUGUCGGGGAGGAUCCAUAAAAGGACUACGUUCCCUGAAUCUGUAGGCAUCAUGCCUCGCCUAACGGGUUAGUCAAAAUACAGUGAUGUGUGUGAGUUGGGGGCCUCACUCCUCAUUUCUUUCCUUCUUUUCACCCCCACCCCCACUUUUUUUUUUUUUUUUUCGAAUUUUUCUUUGUCCUUUUCUCUCACUUGCGCACGCGGGAGAAGGACCACAAACUAGACAAUUCCUCUGCUCACGUGACCCCGAGUUUUUAAAUAUUUGCCUAUUUGGAAAAUAGUCAUGAAUCAUGAUCGUUAACAAACAAUCUUCACUUUAUUUAUUUAAGAUCUAUUUUUUGGAGCUCUAGUUUAGUUUAUUAUUAUUAUUAUUAUUAUUAUUAUUAUUAUUAUUAUUAUUUAGUAACUCCUCUUAUAUUAAUGAAAAAGAGAGGAGGAAUCCAAACUUGUUUAUUCUUCCUCUUUUAAGGUGUUUGUUUUUUUUAUUUUAUUUUUAUGCUUCAUAUGUCUUCAAUUUCUUAGCAUUUGUCUUAUAUUUCUUCUUAUCCGAUUCAUUAUUGCAUCCUUGGUCAAUCUUUCACGAGGAGUGCCUACUUUUUUCCUUUUUAUUAUUUAAUUCACUUUAUCUUUAUAUUUUCCUUUUACACUUUAUUUCCAAUUCAAAACGUGUCAAAAAAAAAAAUUGGUAACAAAAAAAAAAAAAAAAAUCAAUUGUAAUGAUUCUUAUAUAAUUUUAUUUAAUUUUUAUUAAACAAUAAAGAAAUUAAAAAUAUAUAAAUUUUUAAAUAAUUAUUAUAGUCUUUCAUUUUUGUGUAUAAUUUCUUUUGCAAGAAAUAGUGUAGGCUUUCCACGGUCUAAAGGAAAUGGAAUAUCAAAUGAGAAGGUAAUAAUAAUAAAGUGAGUUAUAGAUACUAAUCAAACUAAUCCACUAAUGAAUUAUUUAUUUUUAUUUCACAUGGACAAAUCCUAAAAGUUGGAGUUCUAAUUUACUUUUAUGUUAAGCUUUUUUAAGUAAAAAUCUUUUAUUAUUAUAAUUUAUAGACAAAAAGAAACCCAUUAAUGUGAUGGAUAAAAAAUUUCAAUUUAAAAAAAAAAAAAUUAAAGUUGCUAAAUUUUUGUAUUUAUUAUUUCAAACUCAUUUAAAUAAUUUAAAAAUAUGUCUUCAAUUAAUUUUAAUGAAACAAAGCAUGAUUUUUUUUUAAUUUUUUUUUCUUUACCAAAUAAAGCAUUAUUAUAAUACGUUGAUUAAAUUUUCAUCAUGUCUCUCAAGAUUUGGAUUAAAUAUACUUAGUUGUCAUAAAUUUGAAAUUUUAUUUAAUGUAUUUUUUAUUUUAAAUUAAAAAGAUGAAUGCAAAUAAAAAAAAUAUGUAUAUUUUAUAAAAUUUUAAAUUAAACGAAGGAUACGUGUAUUUAACCAAGGUGAAUGAAAUUAAUCCAAAUACUUUUUGGUAACUUGCAAAAUAUCUUGACGAAAUCAUUAUGGCAGGCAUCGUACAAGCUCAACCCUUGUCGCCUUGCUAGAAAUAGAGAAACAAAAAGACCCCCAAAUUGGGUUGCAUCCUAAAUAUGAAGAAGUGGUAACAAAGGAAGAAAAAAUGCUGUGUUAUUGAAUAGUUAAUACAUUGAACAUGAUAUGUUACAUAGAGAGCCAGAUUAAUCCUAGUGGAAUUCCACUGUCACGAUGGUAACCUAGGGUUAUGUUUGGUUAUUGAAAAUACCAAGAAAAGAAAAAAAAAUAUAAAGGAAAAUAAUUUUUUCAUUUUUGAUUGUCUUAUAAAAGAUAUAAAAAAAAAACAAAUAUAAUUAAAACUAAUUAAAAAUUUAGGUAUUUUUAAAUUAUUUAAUUUUUAUAUUAAUGAGCGAAAAUAAAUAAAAUAAGUUUAAAAUAACAAAAAAAAUAAUUUACCGAUUUUUAAUCUAUAUUUUAUUUUACUUUUUCUUUGUAUUUUUUUUUUCUUAUAUUUUCCCUCAAAUUUUCUGAAUCAAACAUAGCAAAAAAGGAGCUACCCCUUUCGAAAGAAACUCCCAAGAAUUUCAAAGAAACCUGCUGAGAUAAUGAAUGAGGGAUCACUGUCGGUAAACAGUAUCCAUUCUUUUGGGAGGACUUUCAAACUGAGAAGUUGUUUUCAUGACUUGGAAACAAAAUUUUGAGCUCUAAGGGGGUCUGUAUUUGGGCCCUAAAAUUCAAUCCAUCAAUCUGAAAAAUGCUUAGGAUAAUGAUUUGAUUUAGCCACAAUCACUAAACAAAUUCCAGAGGAAAAUUUCGCUACUCAUAGGUGGCUGAUUCUCAUAAAAAGACAUCGUGGUAGGGUGUCUCAAGUGCAGGCUCACCAUCAACUUGCUGCCCUUUUUAGAUUAUUGUAAAAUGAUUUCACAUGAAGCCCAAUGCAAAACUUUGAAAGAAAAGGUUGGUGGAGACGUGAAGAAUAUGUAACCCAUAGGCCAUAACUAGUACCGAAGAUUAUUGAACAAACAUUCAAGGUUUUUGUAUAGACGAAACUGAAAAGAAUGUGUACCAGACUCAGGCGUUCAGAUCAGAUGAUGCCGUAAUGUGGAUUGUGGAGGAGCAUUGUGCAGACAGAUAAUGAGAUUCUGAAAGCGAGGCCACUGAUGGGCCCUUGGAAGGGGGGCGUGCCUUCAAAAUUAUAUAUAUAUAUAUAUAUAUGUCAUUGAAAAUUGGAAGCAACUUUUCUUCUUAAGUUAUUUUAAUCGAAGAAGAAACAAAAAGUUAAAAACAUACAUUAUUCUUCCUUCUUACGAGGUUUCCGGGUCUAAAUUACUAUGGUCUCUGCAACUGGCGUCGUUUUCUCUCCCCUCUCUCUAUUUUCCCUUUAUUUUUUCACUUUUAGAAAGAAGCAUCCCAUCAAGAAUCUACUACAACCCUACGCUUCCAUUUUGAUUUAGAAAGUUAAAAAUAAGUUUAAGUUAAAAAAAAAUAUUUUCUUAUAUAAUUAUUUAAACUUAUUUCUUUUCCUUUUUAUAUAAAGAAACAAAUAUUUUGCAAAUAAAUAAAUUUCUAAUUAUUUUCAUUAACAUAAUAAUAAUAUUUUUCAUAUGACUUUAAUCACAAUUUUUUUUACCACUUGUCCAAGGCGGUGAGAGGUGAUAAAAUGUAUUAAAAAAACGAUUAAAUUGCAUUAGGUAUAGAAGUUUUGUGCUUCAAUUAUCACUUAUAAAAAUAAAAUAAAAAUAGUCAAAUUUGAGUGUGCAAGUUGGUAUUCGUAUGUAGAAGGAAUUGGGGGAUUUGGGGGUCCUAACAAAUUUGAUAUGAUUGAUGGAAGGAAAUGAUUAUUAUAGGAUAAAGUCCGAAUGAAACGCUGACGAGGGGGGAAAAACAACAGUGGCAAUGCACUAUCCACAGAUCCAUGAUUGAUUUAUGUUAGCAAUAAUGAAUUAUUUUGACUUUGAUAACCUUGGUUAAGAGAAUUUGGUCUUGUUAUUAUCAUUUUUUCAAAAAAAAAAAGUGUAGGUAACUAGGUAGUUGAUUUAUUAGAAUUUAGAAAUGAGGAUCCCCUCCUCCUGCAAGAGCCGUGACAGACAUGCCUGCUUUCUUGCCAGAUUAUACCAAUGUGCCCAAAUAAUCCCCCAUCUAUCAUCUCUGCACCCUGGAACACGUCACUCCCUCCUUUGAGCAAUAAAAUAUCUCUUUUAUUUUCUUUUGAACCACUCUUCUAUUUCUUUGUACCAGACUGGACCCAUUUAAAUUCUUCGCUACGCUGUUCCCAAGGACUACGAGAAUCAAAAUAGCAAAAUUCUUGAAUCAUUUUAAUGGGUUCAGAAACCACAUGUUUCUCUAGAUCAUAAGAGGAAAAUCUUUUUGGAUGGUGUUUGUGUUGUGUUGUGUUCAAUAUUAAAUACUCAAUUAAAUAAGCUAAAUCAAAUAUCACAUGAAAAAUAAUCAAAUUAAAAAUAGGGAGAAUUAUGUUUUGAGGGUAGAUGGACCCCAAAUUAACAAAAGGUUCAUGUAACUCUUCAAAUUGAGCCCAGACCCAAUGAAAAUAUGGAAAUUGAGUUGAAGUAUAUCAUCAUUCAGUAUUUCCAAAAAUGUCCUUUGUUGAUUUUGAGAAAAAAAUUAAUAUUUUUGAAAAAUAUUUUUAUGUAAUUUAAUAUUUUUUUAAAUACUUUUAUUUAAUUUAAUAUUUUUAAAAAAUAAAUUUAUUUAAUUUAAUAUUUUAAAAAAUAUUUAAUUUAAUAUAUUUUUUAAAUACUUUAAUUUAAUUUAAUAUUUUUGAAAAAAAUUUUAAUUUAAUAUUUUUGAAAAAAAAAUUAUUUAAUUUAAUAUUUUUUAAAACUAUUUUUAUUUAAUUUAGUAUUUUUGAAAAAAAAUUAUUUAACUUAAUUUUAUAAAAUAUUUUAUAUGUGUUCUUAAAGGGUAUAUUUGUCCGUUACUAUUUCAUAUCCUUCAACUCAAUUUAAAGAGUUAUAUGGACCUUUUGUUAAUUUGGGGACCCAUCUACCCUCAAAAGAUAAUUCUCCCUUAAAAAUAUAAAUUUAAAUAUGACAUAAUUAUUAAAUAUGUUAGAUCUUGUAUGAGUUUAUAAGAUUUAUGUUUCAAAAUAACAUGUUUAUAAUUCAUCUAUUGAUUUAUAAUCAAAUUUUAAAUAAAUUAAAGUUAUUCAAGUUAAUAAAUAUGAUUUAUGUUAUAAAGACUAACUAAAAAAUAAUUUAUUAAUUAAACGGAUCCUGGUCAAUAAAAAUUUGAUUUAAAUACGAUCAUACUUAAUCAAAACUUAGGUCAAAUUGUAUUGAUAAAUUACAUCAAAACCUUGUUGUGUUCAAUAUUUUAUAUUAAACUAUUUUUUAAUAAAAUUAUUUUUAUAAAUAUAAUAUUACAUCAUUUGGAGAAACAAAAUAGUAUUAUAUUGAUUUUACAUAUAAAGCAACCAGUUAACCCCUCAUUAUUUUGAUCCAUUUCACAUCCAUAUCAUUCUCAUAAUUUUUUUAUAAUAUAUUAACAUGAUGGACGGUAAUUGAGGGUAGAAAAAAAAGAUGAGAAGAAUAAAAUAAUGUGAAUCCUCUCUAAAUGUUACAUCUUCUGACAAAUGAAGUCUAUAGAAAUGUGUAAAAAAAAAAAAAACACUUAAUUGUGAGGUUCACUUGAUUUAGCAAAAAAUUAAUAUUUUAUUUGUUGUGUGAUUUAAAAAUAAUAUUUUAUUUUUAAAAAUAAAAAAUUAUUUUUAAAGUUUUUUAACACUAUUUUACUAUUGUUCUUUGAAAUAAUUUUUAAAAUUAAAAUGAAAUAACUAAUAAUUUUUAGAUAAUAAAUUAAAGUUGUUUUUAUUAGAUUUUAAAAAUAAAAGAAAAAUAUAAAACCAUUUGAUCAAAUUUUUUUAAACUUAUUUUUAAAAGGUUUUUUUUUUUUUUUUUUUUUUUCUAUCCUAAGUUAAAAGAUAAAAAAUAAUUUUUAAAGAUAGGUUACGAGCAAAUGCCACAAACUUUUUUCUUCUCUUUCCCUUGUUCGGAUAGAAGUGAAAAAUAUCCUCCCAUGGAUCGACAUUACGUGAGCCAUCACCAUUCCCCAACUGCAAUUCAACCGCCAAAGCUGAGGUGUCAUUAUUAGUUUGAACAAAAGUCAGCAUUGUCCACGUGGUGACAAGCGGAACUGACCCAACUUGCAAGGCAAAAAAAUAAAUAAAAUAAAAUGAAAAAAUCAGAUCACCAUUAUGACGUCAGUCCAAUUGCUGACCUGGCCGCCGUCCCCCAUUUGACCCACGUGUUCAUUUAACCCAUUCGCCGUAUGCCGUGGCUCCCCACCCAUAUGGCCAUAUCUGCCAUUUAUUUUAUCCGUUGCCUCCAUUCGGUUUUUGGAUUUUACCCAUUCGCCCUCGUCUAUUCCCAUUUCCGUAUUUGCCCACCAAGGAAAUUCAAUUCCCAUGCUUUUGUUUUACAUUCAAAUCCUCCCCCCUCUAUAUAAAGGAGGGAGUAGGGCUUGAAAGUUUCUCAAGCCAACAUGGACUGUUGAGAGUGAAAGACAGAGGAGCCACAAACAAAUAUCACUCACUCAAACCAAAGCCAAAACCAAUACCGAAUUCAAUUCAAAUGACUUCUUUCUCUCUCAUCAAUUCCCUGAAUUCCGAUUCCGAUUUCAAUUUGUUAUCGGAUUCUUUUUCCUGGGAAAACUCCCUACCUUUCAAUGAAAACGACUCCCAGGAGAUGCUCCUCCUGGGCAUGCUGGCCAGCUCCACUCAGGAAACCUCAGAAACAGUUUCUUUGAAUCGAGUGAAGGAGGAAGAAGUGACUUCCCAGGAAAAUCCCGAGAAGGAGAAGUCAUACAGAGGCGUUAGGAGGCGGCCAUGGGGGAAAUUCGCAGCAGAAAUAAGGGACUCGACCAGGCAUGGCAUAAGGGUGUGGCUGGGAACAUUUGACAGUGCAGAGGCAGCUGCUCUGGCCUAUGAUCAAGCUGCUUUUGCGAUGCGGGGCCCUGCGGCAGUCCUCAAUUUCCCGGUGGAAAGAGUGAAGGAAUCGAUGCAGGAGAUCAAGUGCAUCUUGGAGGAGGGGGGCUCACCAGUGGUGGCCCUCAAGAAGAGGCACUCUAUGCGGAGAAAAAGUCCUUGCAAGAAACAUAAAAGUGAAGAGGUGAGGUUAGAAAAUGUGGUAGUGCUGGAGGAUUUGGGUACUGAAUACUUGGAACAGCUCCUCACUUUCUCUGAGACCUCUAGUCCUUGAUCAUCAUCAUCCAUCACCUGGAUAGCUUCUUCUCUUUGCUCUGUUUCUUACUUUUCUCUCUCUCUCUCUCUCUCUCUCUCUUUUUUUUUUAUGUAAUUUUUCUUAAUGUAUUUUUGGAGAUGGCGGGGGUGUAGUGGUGGCAAUUAUCCAUCUAGAAUUUUUCAAAAGAUAUGUUCUUUUGUUUCUUUGUAUAAAGUUGAAAAGUGGGGAUCAAUUGUGAUGGUGCUCUAUGUUCAUCCACCCAAUUUAUAUAAUCAAGGUGAUUAAUGUUUUUUGAUAUCAACAAUUUGUGAAUGACAUAGAGAGAGAGAGAGAGAGAGACCUUAUUUUCUACACUCAUUACGGUGGUUUCCAUUUGGGGAAGGAAAAGGAAAUGGCUAAGAAUGUUACCAAAAGAAGUGGGGUGGCUUUCAUAUGCGUGGUGGCAUACUUGCAUACAAACUUUUCAAUUGUGUUCUGCAUGCCACUCGGGUCAAUUUCAUUUCUUUUACUCCUAGUAGCCUAAUUGGAUUUCCUUUUUCUCAUGAGACAUCAAAUAAAUUUCAUUUUUUUAUAUUUAAAUAGUUAGGUAAGUUUGAUAGUGAGUUAUAUUUUAUACAUUAAUUCAUCUUUUAGAAUGUUGUCUACAAUAUAAACAGUGUAAUUAAUUUCAUCAUUACAGAACAGUCAUCUUAUAAAAUAACAUAAAAAUUAUUGGAUCACUUGUAUGGCACCACUGAUUUGGACUUGGUAUGGCUCUGUUUGGCUUCAUAGAAAAAAUUUGGACCCAAUUUGAAUGUCUUGCAUAAAAAGAGAUACGUCCCACUUUGAAUGAUAUUGAAGAAAAAAAUUUCUGAUGAAGAAUAUAUUGUUGGCAGGGUCAUGCAGGCCAAUAGGGAAACGAUAAAUUCAGAAGAAUGAGUCCAAACCAGUGGGCUUGAAAAUUAAGAAGAGAAUUGCUGUAUAAAACAAUCAUUUCUUAAUCGAGUUCACUUUCUGAAUAAUCGUCACUUUGAGAAUGCAUACUUAGGAAGAUGAUGAUCCUUAAUGGGAAUAAUCAAAGGCAUCAAAAAAUUGUUCUGGAACAAUUCUUGAUUGUCUCCAGUAAAAUUCAAAGUCAAAAGUCAAAAGUCCAGUCGGUCAACACCAAACCAGGCCAGUCCAAAAGACAUUAAUUUGCAAUCUAGAAUCUAUGAUGAGGUGGCGAAAUCAAACCUUGGCUUUUCACCAGGGAAUGGUACUCUGAAUUUGGUCAGUUCACUGUUUCGAGUGAAUAGGGUGUAGUAAUUAGUAAAUCAUAUUUUAGAUUUGUGUCACAAGUUACAAGGGAUAUGGGCUGACGUUCAAUUUUGGCGACAAUUUGUGGGCCCGUAUAUUUGUUGAGAUGUGGAAAUUGGGUGUGUGCUUUUUUCUGCUACCACAUAAAUAUAUUUCUUUGAAUUGAAGAGUGUUUCAGACCAUUUUUUUUCAAGUCACAAAUGGACAACUGAUUGAGAUUGUAUUGGUGAGAGUAGGAGUUUAUUUUGGGCUGGUUGAGCGAAGUUGAAAGUCGAGUUGGACCUAACCCUUGAAUUCAGCAGACUACAGUCCGAUCCUGUAUUUUGGAUUUAGGGAACCUUCUUUCCCAGAAGCUUCGUCUGGGUUUUAAAGUCUAAAUGUGGCUACUCUUAAACAUUGGAGAAAGGAUGAGCGUUCACAAGCAAAUGGGUAAUUGUGGAUGGUUCAAGGACCUGGCCAGCUGGUCUUCAAGUUUGGAUGCCGGUUUGGGCCUGAGAGAGUCUUUGCAAAGUGACUUCACUUCAGCCUAUGAGAUCAAGAUAUCAUGGUGAUGUCCGAUCACUUAGGUUUCAUUUUCACCUCGGAUUACCGUUACCAUGUUCAUGAAUAAAAAUAAAUAAAUAAAUGAAGCCUUAUAGAGAAAUUAAUGAAGUGAGCUAUACAAGCAACUGGGCCAGGAGCCUACAAGGCAGAAAUUCCCUGCCCUAGACUAGGCCGAAUAAAUUAGAUGAAUGAAUUGGGGAAACCUGGGCCAGCCACACAUCCUCCUGAAGGCUGAUGUCGAACUCGCUUACGAGGAAUGGACAUGGGAGAUUGGGCUGGGACCAAAUAACCAAUUGACAGCCCUAUCCUUGUGGCAAGACGUCAGUAAAAUGGUUCAUUCUGAUUUUACGCUGCCAUUCAAUUUAAUUUUAAUUUUUGUUUAAAGCGAUGUACAAAUUGAAUGGUGUCUAGUCACUUAAAGAGUGGUUCAUAAUACACUUAAUUUAAACAAAAAAGAAAUUAUUAGAUAGGGGAUUCUCCAAUAAAAACCACCCCAUCUUGUCAGCAAGUCCGGAAACUUCCUUCACUUAGGGCGUAUUUGUUUUUUUAACUUUAAUAUUAAAGAAAGUUGGUUAAACCUUAUGACACUUUUAUAUUAUUUUAUGAAUUUUUUUUAAUUUUUAUUUUAAUGGAAUUUUAACUUUAAUACAAGUUGGAGUAAUUCUUAUCUUAAAAACAAAUCAAAAUUACUUUAAUUUUAUAUAGAAAUAAACUUACAGUAAAUUUACCAUGAAAAUUUCUAAGUCAAAUACACCAUAAGUGCUAGUAUUUUAUAAUAUUUAGAAACAUGUUAAAUUAUUAUUAUUAUUUUUUAAAAUUAUUAGUUUUCAUAUUAGUUUUAGGGAAACUUGUGCUUUAGGUCUUUUAUUUGCAAAUAAUAUGGUUUUCAAAUCCUAAGAAUAGAAAAUAUGAGAAUCAACUGUUAAUGUGGAAAAUAAUAUCAAUUUUGUGCAAUCUCUAUUGACUCAUUUUUUUGUGCCUAGAUUGCCUUCACCCACUUCCAUGUCAACAACCACAUUAAUAGAUUGUUUUUUUUUUAUAAAACAAAUAAUUAUUAUGUUUAAAAUUUUGGGGAAACUCUCUAUCUCUCUUACUUCUUCACUACAUCCGAGACCCAUCUUCCUUAAACGUUUGCCUCUCAUUUUGCCCUAACCCCAAAUCUCAUAAAUUUCUCAUUUUCUUGCCUCAUUUGAAAUAUGAAGAUGACCGAUUCUCAAACAUCUCUGUCUCUCUCUUCACGUUUUGACCAGUCUAAUUGGAAACCCAUUUUCCAAAAACCUUCUUUCUUUCAUUUUGCCCUAACCCCACUAUCUCCCUCUUCAAGACCUAAUCACCCAAACUCGAUAUCUAUCUUCCCAAAACCUUCAAGCAAACUGAACUAGACCCAUAUCUUCUUUUUUCAUCAUCAAAGGUGAAAUUUUUUUAAGGCUUUUGGAAACCGAAUUGGAGCUUUCCCUUCUUCUGGGAUUAAUCAUUCGCAAGUGAGUUUUCCAUUUAAGGCUUUGUUUGGCUGUUGAAAUCUUGGGAUCAAAGGUCUUUUAUUUUCAGGUUUCUUGUAUUUUGCUUUAUUUUCUUGUAUAUAACAAUAAUCAUUGUAACAUAUGCUAGUAGUUACCCUUGGUGCAACUUUACAUUUCCAAAUACCCUAAAGUCCAAAGCUUUUAAUUCCCUUUUCAAAGCUUUCAACUUUGAAAGCAGACUAAACCAUAAGAACUAUGAAACUUAUAUCUCUAUCACCACUAAUUAAGCAUGUCUAUGAAUCCUUCCACUUUAAGUCACUUAUUCUCAAACCAAGAAGGGCUCCUCUCAUUCUCACCCCACCUCAUCUAAAUGAGGGAAAUGAUCAAUUGCAGCCAUGCUUUGCACCAAAUUAGAGAAGUGAUCCUCCCAAUCAUCCAUUACCAAAAAUUGAUCAUGCUGAUGAGAUCAUAAGAGUCUAUUCGGAACUCCCAGUUUACUUGCCUCUUAUCUCAGGAUCCUCCAUUACCCCCUGUCUUUCCAACAUCAAAUCAACUUGCAAACAAUUCCUUUGUAGAUAAAAUGUUUUUAAUAUUGCAAAAGGGGACUUAUCAUAAUGGUUGAAUCGAUUUAUUUGAUAUAAUCACUCAAAUUCAAGCUUAAAAUUGAUCAUAAUAAAAUGUUUUUAAUAUUGUUAAAAGGAGAUUAUAAUGGUUUUAUUUGAUAUCAUUACUAAAAUUCAAGCUUUCAAACAUGCUCUACAAAGAAGUUCUAAAAGACUACAAGAAAGAGUUUCCACUAAAGAAAAACAAUGAAACCAUUUCUACUAAAGACAAACAAUGAAACCACAGAUGCUUUGUGAAAUAUGUACCCGCACAAUCCAACAAACUUUAGAAAUUCACAAACACUACCUAGAAUUUUUGCUGACCAGCAAAAAAUUUAUGCAAUUUAAUUCUUAUUGUUAUUAUUAUUUUCAAUGUGAACAAAUAUGAUUGAAUUAUGAAGUAUUUGGCCAGAAGAGGAUCUUGCCUAAUUAUAGUCAUUAAACAACCAUUUAUACCAUAGCCUCUAGACUUUAAAAAGUUUAUAAAACUCAAGGGCUUCCACCCAAUUUCUAGAUAUCUCCAUAACAUUCUUCUGACUAUUAGAAAGCAAUUACCACUUUAAUUUUUCAUUUCAUGAGUGUUCAAUUCAGAAAAAGACCAGGAUCGAACUUGCGAUCAUGCAGUCGAAAAUCCACCUGUGCAUGAAACUAUUGCCUCACGAUUGCAAACUCAAGUUGGAGUCCAGUAACAACUCUAGGUUUGCUGAUGUGCUCCAUUUGAAAUAAAGGAACUAAAGAAUACUUUAUAAAGAUUAAUUACCUUCAUAUUUUAGGUUGGGGUUAAGGCAAAAUGUGAUAGAUUGAGAGGAAGAAAAUAUAUCUUGUUCAGGAAGCCAAUAUUUUGGAGUUCACCUUUCCAUUCGAGUCCACUCUGCUAUAGCAAAAUCAGAGUCACAACUAUGCCUCUUUAAGCUAUCCUUUAAUUGGAUGAAUUGCAGAUUUGGUUGCUGAGAAAGUGGAUAAGAAAGAAAAAUGCAUACUGUAGCUUGAGAUUAAGAGUUUGUUUUCUAAAAUGAGAGAAAGGGAAAGAGAAAAAAUGCAUAUUGUAGCUUGAGAUUAAGGGUUUGUUUUCUAAAAUGAGAGAAAGGGGAAGAGAAAUGUUCGACAACUUUGAGAUGACAAAUUUUUAGAUUUGGAAAAUUUGAGAUGAGUCUCAGGUUUUUUUUUUUUUUUUUUUGUCUUUGUCUUUGUUUUUUUUUUUUUUUUUUGUUUUUUUCCCAAAAACAACCUGUUAAUGUGGUUGUUGACAUAGAAGUGGGUGAGGGCAAAAUGGGCAUAGAAAAAAGAGUCAACACAAAGUGCACAAAACCCAUAUUAUUUUCCACAUUAAUGACUGAUUCUCAUAUUUCUUGUUCUUGGGAUUUGAAAACCAUAUUAUUUGCAAAUGGACCUCCCAAAGCACAGGUUUCCCUUAGUUUUAUGUCUCCAUCUACAUUUUACAUAUAAAUAGAUUAUUUUAUAAAAUUUGUUUUGUAGAUAUAUUAGUUAAUAAUUAUAUAAUUAAUGAUAUAGAAAACAUAUAAAAAUCAUAUUUAAAAAAGAUAAUUACAUAUUCCUCAACAAUCCAUCCCAAGAAUUCGAGGUUGAGUUGAAAACAUGUAGAGUCUUUGAUGUUAUUAUAAUCAUAUCCAACACAUAUGAUUAUUGUUUAUGAGAUAUUAUUAGAAAGUUUGUCUUAAAAUAAUUGAUUUAUUACCCACCUUUAGCAAAUGCCCAUUUUUGCGUCUUUCAAAAUUUUCAUUUUUUUUUUGUUUAAAAGAAGUAUUGUAAAGAAUGAUGAAAUAAGAAAUUUGUUGAGAAAGUGUGAGUAAAUAAUUUUACAUAAAAAGAGAUUUAAUACUUGAUAAAUAAAAUAAUAAAAUCAUGAUUUCUAGUUGUAUAGGGCCGGGUGGAUGGAGUGGCUAAGAUGUAAUUCUUGAAAUAGAGGAGACAACAUCAAUGUAUAAAAGUUUAACAGAGAAGGAAAGUGUGUUUGAAUGACUUUAUUUUCUUCAUUUAAAGUUUUGACGAUGAGUGUUUAUACAAGAUAAAUUUUCAAAUGAUAGGACUCCUAUUUACAUGGAGUUUGUGAUAUACUAUGAUUAUACAAAUUUAAAAUUCAAACAGAUUCAUGAGUUGAUAGGAGUCUGCUCAAUACGCCCCUUCAAAAUGGUGGGAGAUAGCACACCAAUCUUGACUCGAAGGGCCUAAACUCGUGCAGAAGAUGAGGGCUUUGUUAGAGCAUCGACAAGUUGAUCCGUGGUUGACAUAUGGGACACCUUGAGCUCACCUGAUUAAACCUUGUUUCAAACAAAAUGAAAAUCAAUCGCCGAUGUGUUUCAUGGAGAGUGAAACAUGGGAUUUGCACAAAGAUAUGUUGCACCCACGUUAUCACAAGAGAUAGGAGGUGGUGAUAAAUUUGAAACACUAAGUUUUGAGAGAAGAGAAUUAACCCAAAGAACCUUUGAGGCUGUAGAGGCCACGACGUGAUAUUUCGCUUCAGUGGAAGAGCGUGCUAUGAACUUUUGUUUCCUCGAUGACCAAUACACAAGAUUGUGACCAAGAAAAACAAUGGGAGCAUUGGUGGAGGAUCUGACAUAAGGAUUCCUUGCCCAUUCAACAUUCGAAUAUGCAUGUAGAUUGAUGGGCGAUUUCUUAUGCAAGAACAGACCAUGCACCAUUGUGCCGACUAAGUAUCUAAGCAAUCUUUUAACACAAGACCAAUGUGUUGAUGUUGGAUGGUGCAUAAAUUGAGAUAAUUUAUUCAUCAAGAAGGUGAUGUCAGGGCUAGUAAGAGAGAAGUAUUGAAGGCUUCCAACAAUUGACAUAUAUUUAGUGGGACCAGGAAAAGAGGUGUCAUCACACAGAUUUGGAACAUUGUUGAGGAACAUCAAUGAUUGAACUGGUUUGGUAGCCACCAUUUGUGUUUUCUUAAGAAGCUCUCGAAUGUACUUGAGAUAAAAAUAAUCCUUUGGAAGUAUGUAUCAUUUCAACACCAAGAAUAAAAGAUGAAGUCCUGAGAUCCUUAAUGGAGAAUUUGACUGCUAAUUGAGAGAUCACGCGAGCACGAAAAACAUUAUUGUUACUUGUUAAAAUAAGAUCAUCAAUAUAAAUAAGUAGGUAAACAAUGAGACCACUCUUUUUAAAAAUGAAGAGGGAUGUCUCGGUUUAGGAGUUGACGAAGGCUAUUGAGAGGAGAAAUUGGCAAAGUUCAUGAUACCAUGAUCGUGGAGCUUGUUUAAAGCCAUAAAAAGCCUUACAAAGUUGGCAAAUGUGAUGAUGUGUGUAUUCGUGAACCCAGGAGGUUGAAUCAUGUAAACAUCUUCAUGAAGUGUCCUAUGCUAGAAUGCAUUAUUAAUGUCCAAUUCAUGAGUUGAUAGGAGUCUGCUCAAUACAAUGUGGGAGUGUGAUUUCAAAAUUAGGGUAAUUUCGAAAUGGAUUUUGUAUUCACAAGUUGAAUUUCAAAAUUAUUUUGAAAUGGUCUUUUAACUUUAAGCAGUUGUGUUCAAAAGGUCAUAACUUCUUCGUUUCAAUUUUGAUUUACACAUUGUUUAAAACAUUGGACUCUUUACUUCCCGAGCUUCAAAACGAUAUAUAGUAUGCUCAAAAAUGACAUCAGGAUUGGUUCAAAUUUCAUCUUGAUAUUAGAGUACAUGUUGUGAUUAGAUUUUGAGUUCCAAAUUUCCAUGUAAACUUGAUUGCAUUUGCUUCAAACCUCCUUCAUUAUGGUUGCUUGCCCUCUAUCUCACUUUGCAACAUUUGUUACUAGUAUUUUAUGUCCAUGACUUACUCAUUUCAACCUUUCUUGGAUUCUUCAUGGUUCACAAAUUAUGGAUUCUUCAUGGUUCACAAAUUGAGUCUUUCAAUUAUGCAUGUUUAACUCCUAUUUCCUUGGUUGAUAAUGACUUUUACACUUAUCAUUUUCUUUUAUUCUUUAAACCUGAAUUUAGACUUACAAAAAAAAGUUAGAUCCAUAACUAGGGUCUUAGCAUCAAUUUGAGUUAAGUUGGAUGAUUUGAAAAUUUUAUAUUACAUAAAUCAUAUCAUACAUGUGCCAUUGGAGUGCACAUUUUGGCUCUAAUCAUGUUCCAACCCAUUGUUUUACUCUUGCAUGAAGUAUGUGGCCAUUGAUUUUAAUUUUAUUUGCGAUUAGGUUCAAAAUGGUGCUUUUGUGUUGCUCAUGUGUCAUCAGAAGAUCAACUAAUGGAUUCUCUAACAAAACUACUACAUCAUAGUCAUUUUUUUUUUUCUUAAGACCAAGAUUGAGAUCUCCAAUCGGAGCCAACUCCAUCUUGGGGGCAUGUUAGUGAAAGAUAAAAUUUAUCUUUAAUUUAAAUAUUAAUAUUUAUCAGUUAUUAGUUUUAAUUAGAGUAAAAGAUAGAGUUUAAAUUGGAGUAGGAGAUAAACUUGUGUUUGAACUAGAAUAGAAGAUAAAGUAUAAAGAUUUAUGUUUGAAUUAGAAUAAAAUAUAAAGUUUGAAUUAGAGUAGAAGAUAAACUUGUUCUUUAUUUGUAUAUAAAUAUUCAUCAAUUCUUGAGAAGAAGAUUAUUUCAUAGUUUUUCUAUCUUCUUUUUUCUUCAUACAUAUCUGCAAGAAAUUGAAGAUUUCAAGUAAAAUAUUUUCUGUUUUAAAUAGUGAAAAAAGCUAGAAAUUCACUUUGUUAUCUCUUGGGGUAAAUUGACAAGGUUUAACGUUAAGAAGGUGAAUUAUUUUUUCAGAAAAACUGAAGUAGCUAGGAUAUCUGGCCAGUUGUGAUCGAUAAAAAAGUUGUAAAAUCUCUCAUAUACUAAACAGGUUUUGGAUGUUGGUAUGGUAAAUCCAUCUGCAGUCAUUCGUCAUCUCAUCUAGUGAGAUGUUUGGGAGGUGGUGACCGCCGGAUUGGGUUUCAUUUGGUUAAAUCUGUCAGUGGGUUGGCUACUACCCGAGCCUCUUGCUUUGGGGGAGGUGGGUUCUAGAUAUAAUGUUCAAACCAUUUUAGUUAUCAUAUGCAUGACAUGUAAGCAUAAUCUCUUUAUCACUUCUUCAAUGGGAGUUCAUGGUUAGGAAUUGACUUCUUUUCUUCUGGGAUGCUUGGCAUGUAAUGGACAAAGUUACUUUUAUAUCGAUCGAAUUUCUAGUAUUAUAGUGAAGACUUACCCUUUUGACAUUUUAUAUCGAAUUAUAGAAGAUGAAAGGGACAUACAUGCAAUCGACUGACGCUUUAGUGAAUAUGCUGAAAAUAUGCUGAUGCUGUGGAGAUCGUAUGAGGACAGAGGAAAAAGAUAGAAAUGGAUAUAUAAUUAGACCUAGGUUUUUAUUAAAUGAGAUGGGGAACAUAGAGUGAGGGAAAAUCAAAAUUUUUGGCUGCAGUUCACAUUGGUGAUAUUUUGGAUUGACAAAGACUAACGACUUUUCUAUUUUUCUUUUCGGCCUGACUGGAUAGUUGGACAUGGACAAUACAGAAUCCACAGAAGGAUUGUUGGGACCGCUGAAAAUUAGCUAGAAGAAGCUGAGGAAGUAGUCUACGUAGUCAAAUACCAAACACAAAGAAAGAAAGAAAUGGAUAUCAUGGAUGCCUAGAGUUAUACUCCUAAUACCGUCACAGGUAUUUUUCUUUCCUCCUUUUUUUUUCUACGAUAAUUAGAGCAUUUCUCCUCCUCCUCCUCCUCCUCCCCCCACCCCACCACCAAAAAAUAAAAAAAUAAAUUAUUGCAAGUAACACUUCAAAUAUUAAUUUAUACAUUCUAAAGUAUAUAUUCAUGAAAUAACUUGAGUAUCAUACAUUAGUUCUCAAAAAAAAAAAAAAAAAAAAAAAAAAAUUACUGGAAGAGAAAAGUUUAAGAAAACAUAAAAAUAUUCAACUACUAUUUUAAAGAGAAAAUUUAAUUUUUACACUAUAAAUUUGAAGAGAACUUUUACAUGCAUCUUAUAUAAACUACCAUUUUUUGCUAAAAGGCUUAAAUUUGUCAAAAAUACCCCUUAGGUGCUUAACGUUCUGGUCAUAAUAUAAUUGGCAUCUUUUCUCAAACAUAAGGCCUGUGUGUGGGAACAAGAUUUAAUGUUAAUGAGCUUCGCCACCGACAUUUAGUUCCAGAAAUCAUUAUUUUAAUAGAGUGGGCUCAAUUUACAACUUUAAUUAAACUCUAACCAACUGCAUUGUGAAAUGAAUAUGUUUCUUUCGUGGUGAAUCCAAUGAGUUGGGAGUCAAACUUUGCUUCAUUGUGUAUAGAUGAAAUGUUAAGACUCCAUGUAACCUCAAACAUUUCCGCAAUNNNNNNNNNNNNNNNNNNNNNNNNNNNNNNNNNNNNNNNNNNNNNNNNNNNNNNNNNNNNNNNNNNNNNNNNNNNNNNNNNNNNNNNNNNNNNNNNNNNNUUCUUUCGUGGUGAAUCCAAUGAGUUGGAGUCAAACUUGCUUCAUUGUGUAUAGAUGAAAUGUUAAGACUCCAUGUAACUCAAACAUUUCCGCAAUGAGCGGGAGUUCUAAAUUUAAUAAUUGAAAUUGUCAGUGGAACCAGUGGACAAGAGUUGGUUUGUGGUUGACAAACUUAUCCGUUUGAUCUUUACUUGAACAGUUCCAGUGUGUGGAUGGGUACUGAUGAAGUGUGCGCAUUUAUUUUGAGAAGCCUGCUUGUUCGCAUAGAUUUUAACGACAUGAACAUUGUGGUAAGGUUAGAGAGUAAUGCGAAUGUAGGAGCUUAUAUUAGAAAUGACACAAACACGUAAAUAGAAGUAAUCUAUAUAUGAUAUUACUCAUGGACUACAAGCAAAGAAGUACAAUACAUGGAGUAAGUGAUGAAAUGAGCAUUCCUCACUACUACUGCUUGACUGAUGGAACAUGAUGCACGAGAUAGCAUAAGUAGUAGUAGGAAGCAGCUCUUAUUUGUGGCGUCGGUAUACAUCAUACUAGGUAGAUGGUUCAAUUGGCAUGGAUGGGUGGUGGAGCCUUGAAGUGCUUGUGAUGGGGAGCCCACGGCUUCUUCUCAGGAGUUGGUGGCUUCUUGUAUGGAGUUGAUGGAGGUGUUUCUACUGGAGGGUGGCCAGGGUAGUGACCCUGGGGUGGUGAAGGUUCUUUUGUCGGUGGUGGCCUCACUAUUAUUGGCGGUAGAGUUGGUGGCUUGGGCGUUGGCGGUGGUCUCACUACUCUUGGGGGUAGAGUUGGUGUCUUGUGUUUUGGUGGUGGAGGUGGCUUAACAGGAGUUGGUGGCUUGUAUUCUGGGGGUGGUUUCUCCACCGGAGGUGGCUUAUAAACUGGAGUUGGUGGCUUGUAUUCUGGGGGUGGCUUCUCCACUGGUGGUGGCCUGUAAACAGGGGUUGGUGGCUUAUAUUCUGGGGGAGGCUUCUCCACUGGAGGCGACUUAUAAACAGGGGUUGGUGGCUUGUAUUCCGGGGGUGGCUUCUCUACGGGAGGUGGCCUGUAAACAGGGGUUGGUGGCUUCUCCACCGGAGGUGGCUUAUAAACGGGGGUUGGUGGCUUGUAUUCUGGGGGUGGUUUCCCCAGUGGUGGAGACUUGUAAACAGGAAGAGGUGGUUUGUGCUCAUAUGGGGGUGGCUUGUGGUCAUUAGCAAGUGAGGGAGUGGUGAGGACCACCAAUCCAAGGAACAACACGAGUGAGCAAGCAGAAGACAUGUUUGGGCUCUGGUGAUGCACAAGUAGAAGAAAUGGGAACCAUUUAUAAUGCUUCGAGACCUUGGUUAGCACCAAAAUAUGUCAAAAUCUUGAUUACUUCAUUUCAUACAUAGAUUUAAAAUUAUUUCAAUCAACCAUGAUCCUUAAUUUUCUGGGUGGUCCAUAAAUGUAAUGGGGUCAAUUUGGGACCUAACAAGCUGAGAAGUUUGACAAUGCUGCAAGGCUUCAUCCGAAAGUCCGGGGAAGAAUAUUAGGAGUUACACUCCGUUUCCUUUUUUGGGUGCAUUUUUCUCCUUUAACAUUCUAUUCCCUUUUACAUUAGCAUUUGAUCUUAGCUCAUUUCAAGUACAAGUUUCUUGAACCCUAUACCAUUGUCAAAGUUGAGUAACCAUCUCUACUUUGCUCAAGAAACAUAAAAGACAAUGACAAUAAAGAAAAAGGAGAGAGACCAUACGUGACUUGGUUUAUAGGUGGCUUUGUGUUGACAUUUGAGUAUGGAAGCCGACAUGCAUCUUAGCUUCGAUUUUAAUUAAAUUUGUACAUUAGUGUCUGUGUCAUUCAUUUUGGUAUAAAAGGUCUCUUGAUUUCGUAAGUUUGGUAAGAACCGUUGAAAAUAGCAGUAGCAGCACAUGGUCCACUUUCUUUCACAAAAUAAUUUUAAAAGUUUAGAAGCAUAGGAGGUAACAUUAGUGGCCUUGUGGCUCAGCCACGAGUACUAUGUGGUGCUCGAGAAAUUGAGUUUAAUUUCCUUCCGAUAGUUCAUGAUAAGGUCCGUCACUGUCCUGAGACAGAUUGCGUUUUUUCUUUUUUCCUUUUUUAGUGUUUUAUUGACUAGCUAGGUGUGACUUUUCCUACUUUAAGGCACGAGGCAGAAAAGAAACUGGGAUUUAGUGCUUAAGAAGGCAAAUUUAAUUCGAUUUGGAUCUAAAAUUUGCCAGCAACAUGAGAUUUUCCAGCCUAUCGUUGCUCCACAUAUAGACAAGGCACUUGUAGAAGUGGCUUGUUUGUAGCCAUUCCCGAUAUUUGGACUCACUUGAUUCACCGGACACUUUGAUAAAAUUUAAUAUUUAUUAUUUAAUAAUUUAAAUUGAUUUAAAAUUAAAUUAUACCGAAGUUGUGAUUUAAAAAUUAUUAUUUAAUUCUUACUUUUAAAUAUGAAGAUUAUUUGAUAAAAAUAAUUUAAAAUUUAUUAUAAAUUAUCAAAUUAACAUAUUUAUCCUUAUAAAUUAUAAUUAAAACAGAAAAGGUCAAAUGAUUUGAGUAUCCAUAGAUGUGGUAAAAUAAUAAAAAAGAUUAUAAAAACAAUUAUGAUAAAUAAAGAUAAAAAGUAAAAUGAAUAUGUGAAUUUAAAGAAUAAAUUAAUUAUUUUUAUUUAUUACUUAAAAUUAUUUUUGACUUUAAAUUAUAUUAUUAAAUUAUUUUACCAAACAUACUUAAUUUAGUUAAUAAUUUAAAUUUAAUUUAAGUUAUUAAAUUGAUUCACCAAAUACCCACUUAAUCAAAGACUGAAGUAUACAUUAUUUGGCCAAAUGCAGCUAUUGAAAUUUAACUUUUUCCAAACUUAUUCAUUUUGUGGAAAUAUUUUUAGAAAUGAUUUUAAAAAUGCACUAUUCUGUGUGUUGAUUUUAUAUUUUGGCAUUAAUCCAACAUAGAAAACGGUUCUUAUUUUCGCUGUUAAAUAGGUACCAGAUCCUUAAUUAGUGCCGUGAAUCCGGCAGCUUCCAAUGAGUAAUUUGGACUUGGGUAUUGACAAUGUGUGGCCAUGCUUCUACUAUUUUAUUAUUCUUGAAACAUAUAUGAUAUAUUGGACUUUAUACAGGGAAAAAAAAAAAAAAAAGUCUUCACCAAAAAUGAUUCCUCCUAAAAAAUAGACUCCACAAACUAGGUUUAACAGGAAAAUGAUUCUAAUCUAGUAGUUUCCAGCCACAUGAGCAUUUACGUAACAAUAGUAUAGUUGAUAACGACUUUUAUUUUAUUUAUUUUUAAAUAGUUAAAGGGAUAAUUUUUGAGCUUAAAUUUUAUUUUUUUAUUUAGAAACAUUUUACUUUAUUUUUUAAUCAUAAUUCUAUUAUAUUAAUGUUUUAUUUUCUAUUUUUUAAUAUAUAAGGAGAUACUAAAUUUAUGUGAUUAUUUUUUAAAAAUUUAGUAUAUGAAAUUAAAUAAUUGGAUAUAUAUACAUAUAUCAUAUAAUGUUUUUUAAGUGUGAUUUUUGAACUUUUUAGUCAUUUUAUAAGUUUAAGCUUUUGAUUUUUUUUUUUAAACUUUGGUAUUUUUUAUUUUAUAUAAAACUAUUUUGAUUUAAUUUUAUUAAAAAAUAUUGGUAUUAUAAAUUAUUGUAUUAAUUAUUUUUUUAUAUUAUAAUGUAACUGGUAUAUACUAAAAAAUGUAUGCAAGUUCAAUUUAAGUUUCAAAUUAAAAAAUUUCAUUUAAAUAUUUAAUAACUUGUUCAUAAUAAAAAAUUAAACAACAUAAUACAAAUGAAAAGAAACAUAAAAGAAAAAGGAAAAAAUGGUCCUCUCUGUGUGUCACAUUACUAGGUCAUCCUCUUUUUCUAUGACCCUUACAAUAGAAUGGCAUAUUUGUCAAAUCUACUUAUGAAAGUUGGAAUGUUUCUACAUGUGUAGGGUCCAUUGGAACUAAUGGAGGAAAGGCUUAACGUCUAUGUAAAUCACAACGUUGCCUAGGUGGGCAUAGAUCUAGUUGUGUAACAUGAGAUGGUGUGAGAGUACAAUAUAUGCAUUGUAGUCUCUAUGGGAAGAGAGAUAGGUAAUGGUAGGGUGGUAGACGGUAGGGUGAUCUCUAAUAUAAUGACAUUUGAUGUGGUGGCUUCUAAGAGAGGAGAUAUAAGAGAUGGUAGAAUGACAUUUGGUGUAAUGGUCUCUAGUGCAAUGACAUGUGAUAUGGUGACCUAUAAAGAAGAGAUAUAGGUGAUGGUGAAGUGGUAUGUGGUGUAGUGACCUUUGAGAUAGAAAAUAGAGGUAAUGGUAGGUUGGCAGGUGGAGUGGUCUUUGGUGUAGUGACAUCAAUUAUAAAUGUCUCCAAGGGAGGAAAUAAAGGUGAUGGUAGGUAGUAAAUGUUGAGGUGGUCUUUGAUAUGUUAUGCUCUAAGAGAGAAGGUAUAGGUAAUGAUAAUAGGGAAUUUGACAUAGUGGUGUUGGAAAUAAAAAGUGAAAGUGACCGUAGAGGUGAAAGGGCAAGUGUAAAAGCCUCAAGUACGAAUGGAGUAAUUAAUGUGGAUGGUGCUAACAUAGUCUUAGGUGGAUACACAAAUAGUCAUAGUCAUCAACUAGCUUGCCCACCAUCUGUCUUUCUGCUAGUGAUAGGUUACAUCUUAAUAGUAAUGGCCAACAUAAGUGGUGUGGAUCCGAUUUUUUUACGUGUGUCCCCACUCAAUCGACAAGACUUAUUUUUUAUUAGUGAAAAAUUAAUUUUGGAAAAGUUGGAGUCACCACUUAUUUUAUUUUAUUUUAAAAAGGAAAGUAAAACAAGAAAGAGAACUCUAAAGAAGUGACUUCAUAGUUUUGGAAAAGUUAGUCUUAAAAAAUCCAAGUCUUGGUCCGGAGAUCAGGUUACUUAUUGGGAAGAUACCUCUAAGAGGUAAUACCCCUCUAAACCCUAAAGAAGUCUCUAAUGACUAAGUUGAGGAGAAUGUGGUAAUUAAUUAAUUGAUUGAGGGUACCUAGGUAGACUAAGGUGAUUUCAGAAUUAACAUACCAAGCUAGAAAGUCCAAUCAUGAUCAUAAAAGAGAGUCAAAGUAUGUACCUGAACUGCUUCUCAAACGCUAUCAUAAAACAUCAAAGUUAGUAUAGAAAUAUAACACAUAAUAUUUGUUUUAUCCAAGCAAAUAAAGCAUACAUCUAAGCACCCAAGAAUCACAUCAAGUAUGGAUAUAGUCAUCAAUAGCAUACGUGUCCAUAGAACUAUCGAAAGUAAAUGUGGAGGAGCGUAUCUGGACAACAUAGAUAACUUAUAAUGUGCUUCCACAAGACAUGGGGGUUAGAUAAAAGUUAUAAUAAUAAUUAGUAAAUGAAAGAAUUCUAGCAUGUUUGGUAUCUAAAUAACAUAGCAAAAAUGAACAAGAGUACACGAAAACAUCAAUUAUCACACGAGUCAUAUUGGCUAGUAUUUAAUCAAUAAACCAACAAUAAAUGACUAUAAACAUAUAAAAUGACAUAUUCAAAGAGACCCAAACAUAAAGAGCCUAGAACACAAGCUUACACUAAAUUUAGAAAACUAAAACAUGGAAUUUUAAAAGCAUAAAUUAGCAAACAAAUUGAUGGAAACUAAAUUUAGAUAACUUAAGAAUAUUUUUCUUAUCCUUCAAUUUAAAUCAGUAAGCCAACAAUAAAAAAUUAUAGAAACAUGGAAUAUCAAGAUCAAUGGGAUACCUAAACUAUAAUUUUUAAAAGAAAAUAAACUAAGCAUAAUAUCUACAAAGCAACUAAACUAACAUUUUUUUAAAAAUAAAUUAAACAUGACAUUAAUGGAGUAACCAAACUAAAUUAAAGUAAACUAAAAACAUUUAUGAAUUUUCAAACAUGGAAUCAGCUUUCUUAGUAAAUUAAAAUUAUUAAAAUAAAAUCUAAGCUUAAAAAUGAAUUAAAUACUAACUAAAGCAAAUCUAAAACCAAAUAUUUAACACAUAGGAUCAAUUAUAUUAACAAACUAAAAUUUUAUAAGAACACUUAAACCUAAAGUUGAAUUAAAAACUAACCAAUUUUUAAAACUAGAUCUUUAACCCAUAGGAUCAAUUAUAUUAACAAAUAAAUAAUAAAUAAUAAAUAAAUAAAACUCAAACCUAAAGAUGAACUAGAAAUGUACCAAAGUAAAUUCAAAACAAGAUCUUUAACACAUUAGAUCAAUUAUAUUGACUAACUAAAAAAAAAAAAAAAAAACACUCAAACCUGAAACGAUGUAUUAGAAACUAACCAAAGCAAAUUUAAAAUAGAGUCUUUAACACAUAGGAUCAAUUAUAAUCACUAACUUAAAUUACAAUUUUUGAAACAUGAACUAAUUAGUGUUGGAUUAAUUAAACUAAUUAACUAAAAAAAACUAUAAACUAGAAUACGGUGAAUCAAGAAUUCAAAUCAACAAACAUAAAAUAUGGGUACAAUGAAAUGAAAAUCUAUUAAACUAAUAAGACGGAAAUAUGACAAACUCAUGAACCCACAUUUUGAUCAACUAGGAAAUAGAAAUUAAUAGACCUGUAGCAUGGAUACAAUGAAAUGAGAUCAGUUAAAUUUAUUUGCCGAAAUUCUAAAAAACACAUACACUCAAAUAAGAUCUAAAUCUAAGACCAAGCAAAACUCAAACUUUCUCAAUCUAAUGCAAUGAAUCAAAACUAAAAUUAAAUAGAAAUCAAACCAUUUUUUUUUUAUCUAAUAUAAUAAAUCAAAGCUAAAACUAAACAAAAUCGAAUUUUCUUAAUUUAAUAUGAUGAGUCAAAGCUAAAAUUGAACAAAGUUCAAACCUUUAUAUAAUGGAUCAAAGUUAAAUCUAAAUGAAAUCCAUACUUCCACAAUUUGAUAUAACAAAUCAAAAAUAAAACUAGAUAAAAAAAAAGUCAAAGCCUUUCAACUUGACAUAGUGAAUCCAAACUGAAACGAAACAAAAUUUUAACUUUUCCAAUGAAACCCAAUAUAGAAAAAAUUAGCUUACCUUCUUUAGAAUAUAUGUAUGGGCCAUAAAGAAGUCACCUUGGUGCAUGUGUUCCUCACUUUGACGCCAAUGGACGACUUUCUAUGGUAGCAAAUGGAGAUCCUUUUUGGUGGUAACUUGCGUGUGGAAACCUAUGGUACAACCAAUGUCAUCUUUUAUUGUGCGUGUGGACCAAUUUCUUCUCGAGAACUCAUGUGUGUUGUGCUCAAAAUAUGUUGCCUGUGAGAAUCUAUUGGUAUACCCCACAUAUGGUUUCCUUGAGAGAAUCUGUGGUUGUGUGUGGGCGUUUUCUUCAUGACAGCAUGUGGAUGUUCCCAUCUAUGGUAGAUUGGUUGUGAUGCUUUAGUGCAUGGUCUCCAUAGGAAUAGUGUGUUAUGGAAAUUUGGUUUUUUUAUUGGUGCAUGUUGUCUAGACUUUCCCAUAUGCGUGGACUGUGUGUUCAUGCUUUUCUUUUCGGAUGGUCGCCUGUGUUAAUGUGUGGCGGUGUCUACAAUGAAAGAUACAACCCUUUCUCUCCUUCUGCGUGAUAGAAAAGUCAAUCCCCCAUGGUGCGACUAUGUUCCCUCGUCCUUUUUGAAAAAUUUUGGUGUUUUCCCCCCAAAAAAUCCCCUCCAAAAAUCUAAUUAUAAAUGUCUGCUUUGGCCUAAUGUGUGUGCUACUUUUUUUUUCCUUCUUUUUAUGGUUGUGCGUGCUUUUCUUGAUACGUGGCUUAUUUCUUAAGGAUAUGAUUCGCUCCCAAUUGGUGUCUCAGCUGAUUCAUGUCCUUUCAAUGGUCCCUGACAGUGGUGCCAUUUGAUUCGUGUCCAGCUGGUGUCCCUUGAUUGUGGUCCUCAGAAGGGAGUAAUCAAUAAAAUUUAUAACCUAUUACACCAUGUAUUAGGAUAGCCUUAGCUAGCAUAGCAUAGUGGCUCUAGGGUCGUUUAUUGGGAUGAGUUUUCACUUCACAAUUGAUAUUAAUUCAAGAGCUGAAUUGGUGCCUUUUCAUUUCAAGGUUAGCUUUAAAAGAAAACAUAAUCUUUGGUGGAAAAAGGUUUGGUUUUAAACUAACCAAAAAUAGUAACUGAUUUUACUUACAAAGAAAAGUGUUCUUUGGAGUUUAGAUCACUAGGCUCAGGUUCCUCAUACAAAAAGGAGAGUUCCGAUCAUUUGUUUCUUUUCCUCGCAUUAGAGAAUUAACAUAUAGUUAAUUCUCUAACCGGUGCGGUACAUAUGCUUCCCAUUAAUGGGUUCAAACACUAAAUACCUCUCACUGAUGCACCUUGCAAUGGCUCGUGCCUCUCACCUAGCAUUUAUCAUUCAAGGUGAUCUUUAACCUUGGAUUACCCAUCAAAAGCUCGCAAGAGAUAACUAAAGGAUGUCUCCUUAGAGUCCAAAAGCUUACCAAGUGUUGGUUAUUCUAGAAAAUCCUACCUUCAAACCACCUCCCAAAGGCUCGCAAGAGAUAAACAAGUGCAUCUCAAUGGAUGAAGAUCACUUGCCUUACCAAGUUUUGGCCCAGAUGAUUUAAUGACAUUUUAAGUUAACUAAAAAGAUAAAAACCAUUAACGGGUCACACUUUCUCUUCAUUAAAAACUAAAACAACAAAACUUCCAAUUUAUGCAUGAGGAAACUUACCUGGCUUUCUUCACUUCAAGAGAUGAAGAGCCUAGCCACUCAUCAUUUGAGGAAAAAUCCUCAGAGUUUGAUUUGCUAGAAAUAAAAAUAAUGAGAAAACAAAAAUAUAUAUAUGAAAAACAGAGCAAGUUCUCUGUAAUAUAUUUUUCUUCCUUAUACAAAAGGUUGUCUCUAAGAACAAGUUCCCGAGAUCUAUCUGAUUGUAAAUAAAAUUACAACUAUAUAUAAGAGGUUAUUCACCCCUUUGUUCUUUCUUAAAGACUAAGGAAUCCUAUGAUAGGUGGGUUACAAGGAGAGUUUGGGGAUUUAGACAUCAAAUAUCUAAAGCAAAAUAUCUCAAGAUGUUAGUCGGAAAUAUCAGGAAGCUUCAGGAGAACACCGCGACACUGUAUACUGAGAGAAAAACUCUCCGGGUAAGCUCUAUCAAAGGAUCCAGACAUGUCUGACUGGGAAAGUUGAAACGUCCUUCUCUCCCAUCCGGAUGUGAGAUAUCCGGAGAAAGUGAAAUGUCGGUCGGACAGAAUUCUUUCCCCGGGUGGAAUGAGUUGUGUUGCGCGUCGCAAGGGGGACCGUCUGCGUGUACAAGUUGUAGGGACCCCUCUCCCGGAUGACACCGAGCGCGUAAGGCUAUCCGGAUCAACUCCAUUCGGAUUCCCCAAGAGGACAUGUGGCGUGCUCCCCUAUCAGGACUCCCUUAGGGAGAAGCACACGACACUCGUGAACAUCAUACCCGGACGAUAGCAUGUCCUAUCCGGAUGUGUUGUCCGGAUCAUUGACUAAAGUGAGCAAGCCUUGCUACGUCAUUCGGACAGCUUGCCACAUACCAUGUUCCGUCGCCAUCUGAUGGUGUGUCCGAACGCCUUGUCCGGACAUCUUUUGCUCCUUGCAUUCCGGAUUUGCUUAUGACAAAGGACUUCAAAGCUUCGGUUCUUCAUGUUUCUGAGCUUUCCAUUGCUUUGCCAUGGAUUCCAAAGAACUCUCCUUAAUCACGGAUUGCUUUGGUGAUCAAAAAGUUAUCAAAACACAAAAACUUAACAUAGUUUGAUUAGAAUUGAUUGCAAGGGUUCUUAAUAUGUUAAUUGGGUUAAAAGGUGAUAACUACUACUCAAAAGUGUUUAUAAGAAUUAAUUACAAGCUAUGAAAUAACACUUUUUGAGUAGUAAUCAGGAUACAUCCUAGUUUUUCAUGGAAUUGAUAGUGGGUUGUUGUGCAUGAAUGCCACCAUUUCAACUAUGCUGUUGUUAUUUUUAAAAAAAAUAUGGAUUAUGCGCGAGUGGCAAUUCUCCACUAUGGAAAGUGGAUUGCUCCUUCAACCCAUGCAUGGCUACGUAUUCCUAUGUCUUUCUACUUGUGUUUGAUCCUCCAAAAAAAAUUUCGGUUUAGUGCUAGUAGAUUUUAAGUGGUGGAUCCCCAUUUUUUGAAAAUGAAGUGGCAGCCUCCCAUUUCAAGACAAAAUGGUAGCCUGCCUUUAAUCUUUGGAGAAAAAUCUGUGCAUGACCUUUUUUUUUCCCAAAAAAUCCGUGCAUGGUGUCCUUUAAUAUUUGGAGAAAAAUCUAUGUUGGAUCUUUUCUUUUCUAGAAACAUUUGUGUGGUCUUUUUUGUUAGCCCAAGGGUUCUUCUAAUCAAGUUUUGAUGAUAACAAACCAUGGUUAAGUGACUAAUUGGUUUAAUGAUUAAGAAUCUCAAACAUAAAAUCGAAAAUUCAUCAAAGGACCAAAUGGAUACAAGAUCGAGACGCUUGGAAGACUUGUAAUCAUAGGAAACUAAUGUAAGAUGAAUGCAUGAGUGCACUUAGGAUUUUCACACGUUUCAUGCAACUUAGAAAACCCAGUUUAUUCUUUAAAACUUCAUCCCAGUUUAUUCUUUUUAUGGUUGUGUGUGCUUUCCUUGAUACGUGGCUUAUUUAUUAAGGAUACAUCCCAGUUUUUCAUGGAAUUGACAGUGGGUUGUUGUGUGUGAAUGCCACCAUUUCAACUGUGCUGUUGUUAUUUAAAAAAAAAAAAAAUGGAUUGUGCGCGAGUGGCAAUUCUCCACUAUGGAAAGUGGAUUGCUCCUUCAACCCAUGCAUGGCUACGUAUUCCUAUGUCUUUCUGCUUGUGUGUGAUCCUCCAAAAAAAAUUUUGGUUUAGUGCUAGUAGAUUUUAAGUGGUGGAUCCCCUUUUUUUGAAAACUAAGUGGCAGCCUCCCAUUUCAAAACGAAGUGGUAGCCUGCCUUUAGUCUUUGGAGAAAAAUCUGUGCAUGACUUUUUUUUUCCCAAAAAAUCCAUGCAUGGUGUCCUUUAAUAUUUGGAGAAAAAUCUAUGUGGGAUCUUUUAUUUUCUAGAAAAAUUUGUGUGGUCUUUUUUGUUAGCCCAAGGGUUCUCCUAAUCAGGUUUUGAUGAUAACAAAUCAUGGUUAAGUGACUAAUUGGUUUAAUGAUUAAGAAUCUCAAACAUAAACUCGAAAAUUCAUCAAAUGACCAAAUGGAUACAAGAUCGAGACGCUUGGAAGACUUGUGAUCAUAGGAAACUAAUGUAAGAUGAAUGCAUGAGUGCACUUAGGAUUUUCACACGUUUCAUGCAAUUUAGAAAACCCAGUUUAUUCUUUAAAACUUCAAUUUCAUUAAAACCCGAGUUUUUAACUAAUGUACCUUAGGCAAAAUGUUUUAUAAUUGGCUUAAUAAUUCACCUAAAUACAUUUUCUAAGUGUUAGAAAAGAAAGGAAUUAAAAAAAGGUUUUCGGGGCAAAAAAGGCUCAACCGGUCGAGGCUAUGGUCAACCGGCUCAACCGGUUGAGGAACCAAUCGAUCGGUUGUGCUUGUCCGAUCGAAGACCAAUCGAGGGAUGCCAAAAAAUUUCUCUCUCUCCUAGUGGCCUUCUCUUCCCGGUCGAGGUUCGGUCUAGGCAACGGUAACAUGUCAAGCAUUAAAUGCUCCGACGACUAGUGAAUCGGUCGACCCCUAGCCCGAUCGGACGAGGUUGCCUUUUGCUGUUUUUGACUCCCGAGCUUAGAAACCUAUAAAUUGAGAGCUCCACUUCAUUUAUUGAUAAAAGAGAACACUUGCAUUCAAUAGUCUACCUACCUUUUCUUGAUCAAAAAGCUCUCAUUUCCUUCAUAGUGCAUUAAAUCAUCACUUGCAUAUCCUUUAGUGCACUAUUGUGUGUCAUCCUAGCUUUGUUUUGUAUUUGAGCUAUCCUUAAGCUAGGUUGAGGGAUUAUUUCUUAUAAAAAUCUGAGUGUUAAAGCCUUCAAGAGAUUUGAAUCUUGAAGAGAUUGUGUAAGAGCCCAUUGGAGCCGGAGUCCAAGUGUAAGAAGAUUGGAAGCUUGGUUGAAGCUUCAAGUUAGUGGAACCCUCACUCGGUUAGGAGGUUGAGGAGAGUGGACGUAGGUAAGGAAGUGUCGAACCAUUAUAAACCCGAGUUUGAAUUCUCUAACUCUAUCUCUUUAUUUUGCUUAUAUUGUGUUUGAAUUUGUUGUGAUUGAAAAGAUUUUAAAAACCUAAUUCACCCUCCCCCCUUUUGGGUUUUUUUUUCUUAAUUAAGCAUAACCUUUGUUUUCUAAUUUUCUUUUUAGGAAAAUCCAUGCGUGGUAUGUCCAAACUCUCCAAGUGGCAGUCUGCCUUCUUCUAAAAAAUUUGUUUCUAUUUCUUUAUUCGACUACCUUCCAUGUCUUCCUAAUGAGUGCUUGUGCUCAAUGGUCAAUCCCUGGUGGUUGCCUCCUUUUCCCAUAUAUACGUGUUGCAAAAUCAACAUCCCACUAUAUGUGGGUUGCCUCUAUGGCAAGUUCACAUUUCCCACAUGAAACCUAUGAGUUUCCACCAAAAAUUGCCAUGAAAAAGUCUUUAUAUGCAUCUCAUGCAAUAAAAAGUCAAGCCAAUACUCAUCUUAUCUCGAAAAAUAAGUAACCAAAAUCAAGAUCAUGCCUAAGUGAACUAUGCCAAAAGAAGUGUCCAAGUGACCUAUUAUGAAAAAAGUGCCUAAGUGACCUAAGGUGAAUGUGUGUAAGCUGGAAGGUGUCUAGGAUGUUUAGGACAAUGCCUAAGCCUAAAAUAGGGUUGCCAAGGGUCACAAUGGGGUUAGAUAAAUCUCUCAAUCAGAGUCUCCAAGGUGGCUCAUAAAAGAUAAGCUACACGAGUAAUGAUGGGCCACCAGGGAAUUAUUGUAAAGCACCAAACGAACACAUAAUAGGACAUGUGUUAGAAUGAAAAAAUGGAGGGUUUACAAGUGGUCUCAUGGAUGAGCUUGAUAAUUUAAAUGACUCACAUAAUGAACGUAUGUGAUGUUUCUCUCCAAUAACAAGCAAAACAUCACUAGCAAUAUGAUGAAUGUCUCCUAAAUCACUUGAAGUAGUCCUAGCAAAUCAAUUAGAAAAAUCACACAUAUUGCUCUAAUGUAAUAUUAUAUACAUCUGUCAAUGAAUGGGAGAACUAAUGACACAACCAUCAUGUUGAUAUCUCGAACCCUCUAAUCUCAUAUGUAGGUGGGAUCACACUUAGAAACUCAUAACACAGUAAUGACCAAUCUAAGUCAAAAUGUGUUGGUGAUCGGAGGCCCAUGAAUAUGAAGUUCUAGGAUGAUAAUGACAUCUUAUAAAGUAAUGAUCAUCUCCUUAAUAGAUAGGUGAAAUGUGUGUGUCUUAGGACACCAUCUCUCAACAAGACUUGUGAUCAAUCCCCAGUCUAGUGUAACAUGCCUAUUAUGACAUCCAUCGUAAAAUCUAGACUAGAUAAUAUAAGGACAAAUGUGAGGGUUCAUCUCCCUUUCCCACAUAAAUUUAAAAAAUUAUUAUUGACAAGUUAAGACCAAACUAAGUUGCAAAAUAUAAAUAAGUCCAUUAGAUAACAAAUUUAUGUUUUCUCAUUUUCUCAUUUUUAAAGAGAUAUUAUGUGCUUCCAUGUACAUACAUGCUAAAGUCAAUUAUACGAGACUUAUAUCCAUCUUGUAGAACCAAAUCGAACCUAUCUAAUAGAUCCAGAUUAGAAGUAUGUCCUCUAUACUCCAUAUUUAUAACACAUUUAUAAAGAUAAAUGCUAAAAAAAUGUUAAAGAUAUAAAUUUAAUGAACCAUACUUUAUGAUUUUAAUUCUCAAUUAUUGUUCAUAUUUAUAAGAGAAAAGUUAAAAAAAUUGAUAGAGUUUUCCCUCUAUCAUGGACAUUAUCCCAAAUAAAAAUAAAUUGAUUAUGCAAAUUACAUUAAUAUUUGUAACCAAAUGAUCAAUAACUAUCUUGUAUCAAUUUAGUAAAUAAAUUUAAGUAUAUCUUUUCAUUUAUGACUAACAAAUAACUCAUACUUGUCCAAUAAAAGCCACACCUAAUUUCUAAAAUUUUGUCUUCACCUCAAGUGAGUGUUACAUUGAGAAAGAAAAAAUAUGAAAGAAAAAAUGAACACCUUUUUCUUUUAAUAAAAAAAGGCCAUAACGAAACAUUAAAUCUCACUGUUACACCUAUCUUCAAUGGAAACAUGAGGAUGUGAAUGGUGGCGGUGAUAUUCUUUGCUUGAAGCUCAUAAACAAAUAUUCCUUACUAAGCCUAUGCCAUUUAGUAUUUCAAUAGUGGACCCCCCCCCCCCCCCCCCCCCCCUCCUUGCAUUUCAGAUUUAGCAAACUUAGAACCAAAUAACAAAGUGCAUUUGAACCCAUAAAGAAGUAAUGAGACUCUCCUAUAUUGGCAAUAGAAGAAAUUUUUGGAGGUAUAGGAGAUUCACGGAUGAAGAAGUUGGGCCCCAAUUGAGAUAAGACCCAAGAAAAGAUGGGGUAGAGAGGGAUGGUUGGAAAUUGUAAAGUAAGAUUUUCAAAAUGUAGUUGAUGACUAAGAUUUUGACAAUUUAAAAAAGGUUUAAAAAUGUAGUUAGCAAUCGGGGUUUUGUAACAUUUAAAAAAUAAAAUAAAAUCUCAGGCCACAUGGUAGCCCAUGUGAUUCAGAAGCUUGAGAAUUAUUUUAUAAGAAGACUUAAUUUGUGAUUUUUUUAUAACUAUAUUAUUUUUUUUCUUAACACACGAAAAAAAUUAUGAAAUAAGACAAUUUUCCUAAGAAAGCAUGUAAGUGACUCUUGGUUAUUUUAUUUAACUUCUUCUAGUUUGGAGAGGAUUAAUACCUUUGCUUUUACUCACUUGCUUGGAUAUGUACACGUUGUUCAUGUCACUUUUCAUUUAAUUUUCUGAUUAAGGGAAUUGGAACCGUACGUAACUGUCUUUAUUCCCUCUGAAACUUGGACUUGGAGUUGGACUUUCAAUCUCAUCAGUCGUGUUUCCAUAAAAAAGAAGAUGGAUUAACCAAUUUUCCUAUGCCUACUAAUCAUACACAAAACUCCACUUCCAAAUAAAAAGGAAUGGGAUAUCACUUGUUAAUAGUGGCUAAAGACUAUUAAUAACCAUGCAAAGAAAUGUCACAUUUUUUGUUCUACGCAAAUUUUAUUCAUCAACUACUAGAACCAUUUCAUACAAUAGUAGCUUUUCGAUCCUUUGAUAAAUGGACACUUGAUGUGAUAACACCAACUACACCUAUAUAUUCAAGCAAUCAUGCGUAUAUAAUAGUGGAUAUGGAUUACUUCUCUAAAUGGGCAAAAGUUUUGUCAUUCAAGGAAAGUGAACGAGGAAACACAAGUUUACUUUCAUCGGAACUAAUAUUAUAUAUUGAUAUGACUUCCCAUUAUUACUUACGAUGGAAUAUGCUUCCAUAAAAUGGCCUAGAUGAACAAACUAUCCAAGAAGUUUGGGAUCAAAUAAUAUAUAUAUAGUUCAUGUGUGAUUCUUUGGUUGACAACCUUGUUAAGGGGUGAGUGAAGCACUUUGGGCAUACCACAUACUACAUGCUAGACUUCCACCCAAGCUACCCUAUAUUCCUUAUGAACAAAGUAGAAGUUGUCAUCUCUCUUGAAUACCAAAUCCUUUCACCUAAUAAUGCUAUCUAAAAAGGUCUUAAAAAGGAUAAAAAUGCGCAUAUUUGAAUUUUUGAAUUAGGAGUGCUACUUAAAAAGAAGCUAGAUAUACAAUAAUAGAAUGUUAUCAAGCAUAUCUCUUCAAAGUUUUUGACCAAAAAAUAUAUGAUUUCUCAUUUUAGGUAGGAGACUUAGUACUCACUAUUCAAAAACCAAUUAUCAUUACUCAUAAAAACUAAUAGAAAGUUUGGGCCAAAGUAGGAUGGACCUUAUAUUAUGCAACAAUUAUGCCUAUAAAAUUGUUGCAAAAGAGGUUUUAGAAUCAAAUCAAUGAAUGAAAAAUUAUUAAAGCAUUACUAUGCUUGAAGGCUAGUCAUUUUCCCUUAAAGUGCAAUAUUAAGUUGCAUAGUACUAUGUGGAUCCGCAUUUUUCACAUGCGUUCCCACUCAUUGUCGAGACUCACUUUUUAGAAGUGAAAAAUUAGUUUUAUUAAAGUCGAAGUUGCCACUGGGGAUUUGAACCCUAACAAAAGGUUCAAUUUAAGGAUAAAAAUAUCGAUAAUCACAUAUAUAUAUAUUGGUACUUUGAUUUUAUGAAUAUAUUGAAGAAAUAUGGACAAAUAUUUUGACACAAAAUAUGUACAAAAUAAAAAUUAUAUAAAAAGUAAAAAUAAAUAUUUUAAAAUUAUUUUUUUAAAUAUAUAUAUAUAUAAUUUGACAUAUUUGAUAAUAAUAUAUAAGGGUCUCCAAAAAGCCCGUGGCCCGCUUUAGGCCCGGUCCGACCCGACAGGCUAAAGCCCGGCCCAAGCCCGCCGGGCCCAAGCUCGGCCCGAGCCCGUUUAUGGGUGGGCCGGGCCGCGAGCCCGUAGGCCUGCUCCUUUAAAAAAAAACUACAAAAAUAAAAAGUAUUAAAAAAAAUAUUCAUUUCAAAAUUUUAUUCAUUGAAUGUAUAAUUACAUUUGAAAAUGUGGGAAAAGUUUACAUCACUACAAAAUAAAUACAUCCCAACUAGGUUGGCACCUAUUUAUUUGUCAAUCAUCUGUAUUUUUCAACCACAAAAAAUAAAAAUAAAAAUAUAAUAUACAUUUAGUCAUUAUUUUCUGGCGGUGAUGGCGAACUAUCAUGCAUCCAUGAAGAUCUUGAUAAUUUUAAAGAUUCCAUAUCGGUAAGCAUCUUUGUUUCUCGAAUGGAAUCAUACAUCCUUUUAUCUGCUAUUUCCCAAUCUUUCACACAUAUCCCUGCUUUAAUAACAUCUGACGCUAAGUUGCAUCGUUUUUUACUAACUACUCUUCCACCUGCACUAAAAGCAGCUUCUGAUGCAACUGUACUCACAGGAACUGUUAGUACAUCACGAGCAAUUAUAGAAAGCACAGGAUAUUUGUGUUGAUGUGAUUUCCACCAUAUUAAAAUAUUAAAAUCUUCUUGAUCUUCAAAUGAAAUUAUAUCAGUAUUAAGAUAUUUAUCUAAAUCAGAUGUAUUAUUUGGAGAAUUAUUUGUUGUCUUUUUUCGACUUUUCAACAUUUCUAGAGCUCCUUUAUAAAAAGAUGAGGAGUUUGUAGAUGUAGGUGGUAAUUUAAUAGUAUUAAUAUCAUUACCAUAUUUUUCUUUAUAAUAGUUAUAUAAAUUAUAUAAUAAUGAAUUUAUUUCAUUUUUAAUUUCUUCAAUUUUUAUUUGGUCAUUAAAAUAAAUAAUUGUUAACCAUUCAUCCAAAGCUUCAAAUUUCAAUCUAGGGUCCACAAUUAAAGCAAUAUAAAAAAUUAAAGGUAUUUCUCCCCAAUAUUUUCUAAAUUUUUAUAUCAUUACAAAUAUUGUAUCAUUAAAUAUUUCAAAACUUAAAUAUUUUUGAAGUACAAUAAAAAUAUUAGUUAUUUGCGUAAUAACUCGAUUUGAAGUUGGAUAAUAUACACCACAAAAAAUGUUUGUUGAAGUAUCAAAAAUUUCAAAAAGAUCUCUUAAAACAUCCGCAAUAUGCCAAUCAUAAUCAUUUAAUGCAUAAAUAUCUGCUUCAUAAUCAUUGUUAAUUAAUUGUAUUUCAUAUAAUUCGACUACUUUUCUAUAUUUUGUAAUAUUUUCUAAAAGUUUAUAUGUGGAAUUCCAUCUAAUAGCCAUAUCCAAAUUUAUAUUUUUUCUUUUCAUAUUUAACAUUUUGCAACAAUCAAAAAAUAAUUCAUGUUUUGCUUGAAAACUAUUAAUACUAUAUGCAAUGCCUCUAAUUUUUUUCCAAUGUACUAUCAACAUUUUUUAAUCCAUCCUUUACAAUUAAAUUUAAAAUAUGUGCACAACAACGCACAUGAAAUAUUUUAGCAUGAUCUUCUUUUACUUGCCAAUAUCGUUUUAGUCUAUGUAUUGCUGCAUCAUUAUUAGCAGCAUUAUCUAAUGUUAUUGUCAAUAUUUUAUCACGAAUGCCUAAAUCUAUAAUUUCAUCAUUUAUUAAAGAUGCUAUAUUUUUACCACUAUGUGGAGUAUUUAUUAAUUUAAAUAAAAUUAUUCUUUUAUUUAAUUUCCAUUCAUUAUCAAUGUAGUGAACAAUUAUAUAUAAAAAACCAGUAUGAGUUAAAGAUGUCCAAAUGUCAGAUGUUAAACGAAUAUUUCCUUCAAAAUUUGCAAAAUUUUUUUUUAAAAUUUCUUUUUGUGUAUAAAUUUUUUUCAUAAUAUCUCUUUUAACUGUAUUUCCAGAUCAACCUUUAAAUUGAGGAUUAAUACCUCGUUGAAUUGUUCUUGCAAAAUCAUGAGUUUCCAUCAUGUUGAAAGGUUGUUCUGCUCUUAUUAUAUAAUCAAUCAUUUCUUCACAACAGUUAGAUUCAUCAUAAGAAAAUGUUUUUAAAUUUCCACUUUCAUUUUUACUUAAUUGCAUAUAAUUUCUAAUAUCUACAUUAUUUUUAGUUUUACAAUUUUCAUGAUGUCUUUUUAAAUGACUUGUAUCUGCAUUUGAGCCACCAGUAAGAAAUUUAUUACAAAUUUUACAUUUUGCUUUUAUUUUUUUUUUAUUAUUUUCUAAAAUUAUUUCUAUUCUAUCAAAAAAAUUCCAUAUAUUUAAAGUAAAUUUUUUGUUUGAUGAUAUUUCAUCACAUGGACUAGACGAAGAAGCACUUGUCAUAUUAUAAUUAUUGAUAAAAUAUUAUGCCAAAAAUAAUAAAGUAAUAAAUAUAAAAAAAAAUGUAACAAAAAAAAUAAAGUAGUAGGGGUGAAGUAUGUUACUCAAUUAGAGAACCUAUGCAGAAAUUCCUAGCAAAUUUGAACUCUUGGAGCCACCAAUGCUUGUUUUGCACCAUCAACAAUAUUGUAUAAUUUGAGGGAAAAAUAAAAGAAUUUAAAAUAUUGUAGAAUGUGAGAGAAAUAGAGAGAAUUUGAUGAAAAAAUGAAAAGGAAGAAAAUGUAUUUAUAGGAAGGUUAAAAAUAAUAAUAAUAAUAAUAAUAAUAAUAAUAAUAAUAAUAAUAAUAAUAAUAAUAAUAAUAAUUGGCCAUGUGACCGUUGGAGGCUUAGCUCCAACGGUCACAUGGGCUGGAGCUAGGCUCCAACAGUCACAUGACCGUUGGAGCCUUUAAUUUUUUUUUUUAAAAUAAUAUACUUUAUUUUUAUAUAUAUAUAACUAACUCAAUUAAUAAACAUAAAAAGAAUAUAGUUCAGUUGGUUAGAACCUUGAAGUUUAAACAUGAGGGGAGGGGUUUGAAUCCCUCCCUCUCCCUUAGGGGCUUUUUUAAAAGCCAUUUUGGCUUAUUUCAAAAAGCCUGUCGGCCCGACCCGCCCUGCAGCCCGCGGGCCUAGCAUUUUAGCAUGGCCUGGUCUGUUGACUAGUCAAAUGGCUCAUAGGCUCGGCCCGAACUGGGCCGCGGGCCUCUUAUUUACGGACCGGCCCGACCCGGCCCGCCCGUUGGAGACCCUUGAUAAUAUCUUCUAUAUUAAGUUACAUUAUAGUUUAUUUUACAAUAUUAUUAUGAUAAUAUGUCUAAUUUUAAAAUAUAUUUAAUAUUAAAAUUAUGAUCUAUUUUAAUUUAAAUGUAUUCAAUGAUAUCAAAUAAAUAAUAAUAUAUGUAUAAUUCUUUUAUUAUUUAUAUUUAUUAUUUUUAAUAAAUAUAUAGAUUAUAUAAAAAAGACCGGAUAUAUCUUUUCAAAUUUUGUAUCGCUCUCCAAGGAUAUUAGAUGUAUGGGAAUUUGUAUUGCUAUCUACGGAUACGUUGAUAUAUGGGUGAUUUAUCAGGAUAAUUAGAAAUUCUAAUUAUGUAAGCAGGUACGGAGUUCUGUGUCGGUGCGAUCUUGUCGACAACAGCUCCAAAUUGUGCAUCUUGCUCAUAGAGAGUAGCGGAAUGCACCAAUCGUAGGCUCAGAGUACCACUGAGUCGUCUGGCAGAGACCCAACUGAAGGUGCCUGUGUUGUUCCUGAUCUGAUCAGGCUUCAAACUACAAGGUGGAAUACUGGUUCCCCUAUAUCAGAAGCUGGAGAUACCCACCCCAUAUGCUCGUCUGGAUGUGCUCCUACCCUUUGAAGCCUUCUUCCGAGUCAAGUCCGAAUUGAUAAGGCUAGUGAGUUCCCAACCAACUGUACUCAGCAUGCUGCCAGGUGGAGACCCUCCAUAUUUGAUGGCUUCCUAAUAUUAAAAUGCUGACCACUGGUCUUCAUGUUCCACAGGCUUAAUUGUGUCCUUUGCUGAAAGAAUGGAUAGUGAUCCAUUUUAACACAUGAUUCACGCCGUCUUUGCCAUUCUUCAUGGUCUAGCCCUUUUAUAUAUAUGCUUCCUGAACUGUUGCUAUUAAUAAAAUGUGGUAUCUAUCCCGUACACCUUCCUGAUGGCCAGCGAAUGCAGAAGCUACAGAAACGGUUCCAUCUUUUGCUUCCGCCACUUUGGCAUCCUCCAUGAUGAGAUCGAAGGUGAAUAAUCAUAUUCUGGGGAUUUAUGUCCUGGAUAUUCUCAGUAAUGCCCAAUUUCCUGGUGCCGGCCUCAUUUCCAUGGGAACUGAUGGAUAACUUAAGGCUUCUACCAUCUGCGUGGUUCGCUUCUAACACAGGAAACUUCACGGCUAAAAGCAAGAUACCAAGAACAUCAAGGCUGUGACAAAAAUUAGUAUUUUUAACUUGUAGGAAUUUGAAAGGCAACCAACCAUCUAGCUCUGUUCUUAAAGCUCCCAUAGGAGGAUCAGAGGCUGGAUUGCUCAAGAUGAACUCAUCCAUUGUUGCACUUAAAAAGAAUUGGCAUGAAUUGUGGCCGCUCUAAUAGGUUCCCUAAACCAUCAUCCAAGUGGGCUUGCGGAAGGUAGCGAGUUUAAAACACCUAGGGCGAUGAACAGUGGACUGUGAUGCUCACAAAAGAGAAAAGGAAGAAUUCAAUAAUUCCUAAGAAUCCAUUUGCCUGUCAUCCAAAUUUUUAUAUUCUCUUCAGUCUGACGCGUUAUGCCAUAUAUUAAAAAUAGCGGCUUCUUCCAAGCCGAGACAGACUGUGCAAAGUUCGCAAGGCCAAUCAUCACCAUAAUCUGAAGUUGGCCUCCUCAAUCGCAGCUUGUAUCCGAAUGCUCACUUCACGGGAUGGAUUGUAAUGAAAACUAAUCUCAGUCCCAGCUAUGGCAGCAUCCUCACUUGACAGCAUUUUCUGCAUAUUCUAGAACAAAGCAAUAAACCCUCAAAGGCUCCUUCGGAUCAGAGUUAGAAGACUGUCCCUCAGGAACGUGAACACUAUGGUGGUUCUGAUAAGCAGUGAUAUUGCAUUAGAGCCUUUUGGAACAAGAGGAUCUUUUCAGGUGGAAACUGUAAACUGCUUCAUGUUGGGCUGCAACCUUUUCUUCAAGCAAUACUUUCUUUCUGUAUCACGACUUAUGUUGCUUCCGGAGCCAUCCCGUGUGGACUGCCCUUCAGUGAAAGAAUAUGUGUGUUGACAUGUUGGAUUGUAAUCUUUGUUCCACUCUAAUGGCUUUUGGUCCUCCUCUUUCUCUUUAUGACAGAGAACCAUUUAGUGAUCCAUCUCUAUAUUGUAGCAUUGCUGGUGCUUUGCAAUACUACACUCUCACCAAGCAUAACAUCUAUUUUUCCGUGACCAAAGUAUGUCGGUUUAUGCAUGCGCAAACUCUUAUUCAUUGGCAAGUUGUCAAGCGUAUCUCAUGAUUUCCCAAAGCCACAAGUUCUUAUGGUCUUUCUGUUCAAGCUUACAAUGAUCUAUCUUUUCUUGGUUAUACUGAUGUCGAUUGGGCUAGUUGCCCUGAUAACAAGCACAAUACUAGUGGGUACAACACUUUUCCUGGUCCUAAUCUCAUUUCAUGGGCAUUUUCAAAGCAGAAGGUUGUGUCUCACUCCAAUAACGAAUCUGAAUAUAGGGGACUCACUAAUUAAUGUUGUUGCCAAGGUCACUUGGAUUGAAUCUGUCUUACGUGAGUUGCGUGUUUCUCUACCCCAACCACCAAUUUUGUUGUGUGACAACAUUAGUGCUACACACUUGGACAAACCAUGUUGAAAUACACUAUCAUUUUAUCCAUGAAAGGCUUAUGCAUCACACACUCAAAAUUCAAUACACCUCUUCUAUAGACCAACUAGUCAAUGCUAUGACCAAAGCUCUUCCUUCAUCUCACUUGUACAAUCUUCAGUGCAAGCUGAUUGUUCUUCCCAAACCACUCAACUUGAGGGGAGAUGUUAAGCCAAUUUAAUAAAUUGAUUUCUUUUGGUUAAUUUGUUAGAAUCAUUUUUAUUAGAGGUUUGUUUGUACAAUUACAUCCAUUUAUCAGGAGAGUACACGUGUACAACUCCUCUUUUAAUCUCACCAUUGUAUAUAUAUGAUACACGACCUUACUCAGAAUUGCAUAACAUUUCCUCUGCUCAUUCCUUUUCUUCUUUGAAUUUUCCCUUACCUCACUGAUUUUGAUUUAUACCUGGUGUUUUCACCUUUGGUCUCUACCUUUCUAGCCAGUUUUCUAAUUAAUCCGUAUAUGGUAUACCUGUCAACUAAUGAGGAGAAAGAGAAAAGGGGAUUGCUGUUCCACCAGCUACAUAUAAUAAUUAAUUACAAUCAUGGUAAUGGAUCCUGAAAUCCAUCCUUUGUGGAUUUUGUACGGAAUAUUGUUGUUAUGUAUGUGGGCUCACUUAGAUGUAUAUUGCUAGCCUGUCUGGGAAAUGUGAUUGCAGGUCCAGAUUAUGAUGUUGAUAUUAGUGGGAUAAGCAAGAGAUGCAGUUAACACGUAUGUGAUGGACUUGAGUAACUUUUCCAUUUCAGUCCAUUUUUUAAGAUUAUGCUUAGUCUUAUUACAAGGAAAGACCAUAAGAAUCAUGAGUCAUUGGCAAGGUAAUAUCAUUCCCUCUUUACAGGCUUCUUCACCUUUUGGUUUUUUUAAUAUCCAUCAAGAUCUUUUAAUUGGAGGACAAUUACAAGUAUAUAUAUAUGUAUUAAAAGGGGAAAAUAUUAAAACAGGAAAUUUUAGGGAAAAUAUAAUAAUUAUUUCUUCCUUCUUUCCCAUAUAGAACUACACAAAAUAAAACUUUAAUAAUUUUUUCUUAUCUUUUUUAUUAUUAUUUUUUCUUAGAAACAUCCGUGGUCUCACAAGCUUGUAAUCCUAGAUUGUUAGGCUCCUUUAACAGUGCCCCAACAUCGUGGUCCAAUGACAAGCUUCCACGCCUUAAAAUCAGAAAAUGCCAUUAAACUUUAUCAGACAUUACAGUUCAAGACAAAGCUUUCAUUUGCUUAAUGUGAUAAUGAAAUUGUUAAUUUCAUUUCGUGGGCAUCUAAAUUUGGACGAGCAAGACCUCUGAAUUCCCUGUUUUUAUCACCAGCAGAGGAGAUAAAAUCUUAAUGGUGAGAAUCUCCACGUGAAAUUUAUGUGUACUGUCAACAUAUUUUUGUUUAUAUAGUCCAGUAGCUGCAGGAAGUCUAGAUUAUAUAGGUAGCAGUAGCACUAUUUAUAGCACUCGAUAUUCGCUGUAUGAAUACAUUAAACCUUGUUUUCAAUACGCAUCACAAGCAAGUACUAGAUACUACAAGGAGUGACAGUCGCAUCAACAUUUCUUGAUAAUAGCAGUGACUGAUUUAUACACAGAACAGUACUGUACACGUACCAGUCACCAGAGAUAGGAUCUUAUUCCUACAUACGACUCUUAUUGAUCGAAGUCACUCAGUUGGGGUAGCCUGGAGUUGGAGGUUUGUGUGGUGGCUUCUUCUUUGGAGGAGGCUUUAUCUUUGGAGGCAUCAUCUUUGGAGGCAUCUUGUGUGAGUCUUCUUCAGCAUUCUCUACAGGAGGAUGGCCAGGCUUAUGACCCUUAGGUGGUUUGCCAACUGGGAUUGGUGGCUUGUGUCCUGAGAGUGGCUCCUCUUCUUCGGGAGGUUUGCCAACUGACGUUGGUGGCCCGUGUCCUGGGGGUGGCUUGUGUUUUGGGGGUGGUUUCACUCCACCGGGAGGUUUACCAAUUGGUGUUGGUGGUUUGUGCUCAAUCGGUGGCCUCUCAACUGGGGGGCGCUUGGGGUAAUCAGCGAGUGAAGAAGUGGUGAGAACCACCACUCCAAGCAACAACACUAGCAAGUAUGUGGAAGACAUCUUUGAGUUUGGCUCAGAUGGUGUAGAACUAGAAUCCUGGGUGGCCUUUUAUAUUAGUUGGGCCCUAUGCCCGAACGACAAGUGUCAUGGUGACACAUAAAGUGAUGGGGUCGAUUUGGGCCUACCGGAUUUGAAAACUUGGACAAUUCGAGAAGCGUCUCCUGACUCCGGGUUGUAAAGUGAAAGAUUAGGUAUCGACCAUUGAAGUAUGAUCACAACUUUUGGCCUUUGGCUCUCUCUACUGCCGUAUAGCUUUUUUCCUUUGGAUAUUUUUCUUAGCUAGACACAAUUAUUGAGCAGUCUAAUCUCGAAAUGGGAUUAGUAUAGCUUUAAGCAAAUUUAUUAUAGUUAGUGGAGGACUUUUAAGAGUGCAGACGACAUUUAACACAUGCAUGCAGUAGUAUAGGGGACAUAACACUAUUCUUUUUCCAAAGAUUCACAUGAUUUUUAUAUUAUAGUAUUGGCACAUUGUAUGUAGCUGGUUUUGUGGUUAAAAUUCCAUAUGUAGACACUGGCGUUUCUCCAUUUCUCACAAUUGAUGUUUACCUCCACGAUUACUAGAUUAGAUAUACCAAACAAUAACACAUUGUAUAAUCUAUCCGCCCUUCAAAAUCUACUGUAUGAUGAAAUGUUUCAUGUGUGUGUGAAGUGUUAGAAAUGCACUAUAGGCAACAUCAUCUUCUUUUGUCUAGGCUUGGGCCUCAAAUUAUACUCCCAUGCCAUGAUAAAUUUUCAUGUGCAUUCUCUAAAGAAGAGUGUCUUGAAUGUGCCAAAUCAUUUUGAUUGAUUUUAUGAUGUUAAUUGCUCCGCAUAUGGAUGGGUAUGUGCUUUAUUUGCUUAUUCAAUCCACAAUUACCUUGAACUGAAGUCCUAUUGGAGCUCUAUUAUUUUAGCAACGUCCUGUCAAAUAGGCUGCUAACUUGGGGUGGUAUGGACCCAAUGAUCCAUCUUAAUCUUGGGUUGAUUUUGUCUGACUCUAUCUAUCUCAGAGAGAACCAGGAUCACCAGUGCUGGUCUGCUUAAAGAAGACUCAGUACUGGAUUAAUAUUGGUUUGGGUCAAUAGCUUAUAAUGCAUUGAAUGCAGAAUAAACAAGAUCAAUGAAACCCAAAACACACUGCCCACACAACUUCACUCUGGUGUCUGUUAUUCAUCAAUUCUAUUCCCACAUGAACUGGUUCAAGUUUAAGAAAAUGACAACGGAUCCACUGUAUUAACUUGGUUUUGCUUGGUUUUGAGCUAGUUGCCAAACCAGCCAUGAGUUUUACCUCUAAUGUCAAUGAACAAACCCCAAAUGAACAACUGCAACAGCUUAAAGAGAAGGAAUGGAGAUGAAAAUCCCUGUUUCUUCUCAUUCUGGGGACAAAUUAGAACAUAACUACAAAGGUUCUAUUAAUUGACUUACUCUACCAUGAAUUAUGGUUCUUUGGUUUUCCAAAUUUAAAUUGUACAUGAGAUUAUUUUUUUCCUUUAUAUAUAAACAUAUUAAGGUUUUCUUAUUUCGUGGGCAAAUGCGCUAAGGAUGAAAGUCAUUUCAUUUGGCUGCAACAGCAUCUUAUAAUCAACAUGCAUAAGCAGCAGUUUUAAUUGAUCGAUUGAACACCGACUCACAAGAAUAGAUAGAAUGGUACAAGACAGCUCUUAUUAAUUUAUACUCGUUACUCAUUUUAUGUAGCCCCAUUAAGAUGGCUGGCUGGACCACCGAGGUCUGGGGGUGGUGUUGCUUGUGUGAUGCAGCGGGCCGGGCAGACACUUCUCUAGUUGCUUCUAUUUGGAGUUAGAGGAUCAGUCUCUGCCAACCUUGAGGACUCUCUACCUCAGAGGGUCCAGGUGGUGGACUCUGGUGUCGGUAGCUUUGAACUCUCAGUAGACUAGUGUGUCUUAAUCAGUCACUGCCAGAGGCUGGCGUAGGCAGUGACGAUAAGGUGAGACAAAUUACCGAAUAGUCAAUAUCGACUGCACUUGACCAUUAUAGAUUUGUUCUGACAAAAGUGAGAAAAGGGAGAAAAUCGGAUGUUGACCUUUAUAGAAAAAGAUAAGAUUUACUGCAACACAGAGCACUGAUUUGUUACUUGGAAACCAAGUUAUGCUAUUAGCUAGCCUCCAUUAGCAGCAGGGUACCUUGCUGCCUGAUCCUAAUCUGAGUUCCCAAGGUUUCAAUCUUCGUUUGUUAACGCUUCAGGAUUUGGAUAUUUCAGCUUCGUUUCUCCAUUUAGCCAACGCUGCCUGGUUUGGAUUUCAAUCCUCAUCUGGAACAUUCUUUUUUCGGUCUGAUUCAGGAAGUGUUUGGUGAUAGUUGAUUAAAAUUAAACAGUACUAUCAUACAAAUAAAGCUGAUCUAAUUUUGGUGGGCAAUAUACCAACUCAUUUAUUCUUGAAAACACCAUGGGGAAUUGGAGGUCCAUCCGAAGUACUAUUUGAUGGGACUCACAAAAAGAACAGGUGCACAUUUAUGAGAUCCGUGGAAGAGAUAACUAUGACAGCUAUGCAUGUACAACAGAUUUAUGUCGAGUUCACCUCGUAGAUAUUUUGUUUUCAGUGUCGGUGGACCCCAAAAUGGAAAUCGGAAAUUAAGGUUAUAUUUAUUUUUUUAUUUAAUUUUAAAUAGAAUUUUAAUUUUUAAUAAUAUUAAGUAUUAAAUUAUUUUUUUAAGGGUAUUUUAUUUUUAUUAAGUAUUAAAAAGUAAAAAAAAUUAAUAUGUUGCUUUUUUAUUUUAAAAAAAUUAUAUAUUUUAAUUUUUUCUAUUUACUAAAAAGUUUAUAAUAAAUUAUAAAAAAAUAAAAAAAUAAAAAACUUAAAUUCUGAAAAUAAAUUAUUUUUAAUAAAAAAAUCCAAAAAAGCAAACACCACCUAAAUUUGAGAUGACUCAAAAUUUUAUAUUUUUUUUCACCUAAAUUAUAUUCAUAAAUUUAAAAUUAAAAAAUUAGGAAGUUGAAUUUUAUUUUGGAUAAUUGGAAACUACAAGAAAUCAAUAAAAAUAUUUGGAAAAAAAAGAAAAAGAAAAACUAUCUAUAUAUUCACCCCCUUCUAAGAAACAUAACUUUAGUUUUUAACUAUUUUUUAAAAUAAUUUUUGAAAAAUGUUAUAUAAUAUUUUAUAAAACAAAAAAUCUGUUUGACAAUUUGAUAUGUCUUUAACUUAUUUUUAAUAUUUAUAUAUAUAUAUUUUAAAAAUAAUUUUAUAUUUAGAACUUUAUCUUUAAUUAUUAUAUAUAUUUAUAUAAUUAUUUUUUUUAAAACAACUCUUAAAAAAUAAGUGAAAGUAAUUGAAAACAACUCAAAGAUAUUUGAUGAAAACACUCUAAUUUGUAUUUUUGAGAAUAAAAAAAUAAAUAAAUAAAUUUCUAGUUAUCAAAUGUAUUUUUUAAUUCUUUUAUUCUAAAAAAUAGAAAAUCGUUUUUGAAAAUAAUUAUUAAACAACAUUCUUAAAAAUUCACUCGUUACAAUCUAGAUUUAAUGCAAGAAUGAUUGAAGGAGUCCUCCAAUAGAACCCAAAGUUAUAAACAUGAACAAGAAGCCCUAGAAACACCAAAGAUCUCAUAUGGUAUAUAUAUGAGCUUGAUUGAGAACUGUUUUAAAUUCAGUUUUUUUUUUUUUUUUUUUUUUUUGUUUUCAAAGUCAAAACAAGUUUACUUUUAAUUUUUACUUCUUUUUUUUAAUUUUAUAAAUAACAGUUUUUUAAUAAUUUAUUUUGAAAACAUGAUUAUUUUUAAAACUUAUAAUGAAAAUAGGAAUUUUUUUUUUAAUAUCAUGGUUAUUUUCCCUUCUUUUAAGGAGGGCUAUUUUAAAAAUAAAUUUACAAAUAUGAAAAAUGAUUCAAACUAAAGCAGUACAAAUAAAAAACAUUUUUAAGAAAUAUUUAAAAAUAGAGAAAAUUAUUUGAGAACAUUUGAAGUCCUUAAAUAGACUUUUGUUUUAGAAAAGGCAAGAUAAUUAUUUUUGAAAAUUGUUUUCAUAAUGAUAUGCAAAAACCUACGUAAAAACCAUAAUUAUAAUCGGCCACAUAUCAAAUCUACUAAAUAUGAAAAGUAAGUACAUAAUUAUAUUUGACUUAGAUGCAAGGAGGAAAAUGUCGCGAUAUUAUCGCCGAAAUAUCGUGUGUCGAAGGGUAUCGACACGAUUUUUCUUGCAGAAAUAUCGGCCAGUCGAUUUUUCGGGAUAAAUCUCGAGAAAUCGGCAAUUUAUCGCGAUAUAUCGGCGAUUUUUCCUCGAUAUAUCUUCUGGUCAACGCGGGUCAACGGAGUCAACACGCUACAGUGAAAGUCAAAUGUGCUACAAUGUCCCCGCUACAAUCACCUCCCCAAACAAAUUGCCAAAUUGCUUCCGAGGGGAUUUGAACCAGCCUUCUUGCCAUUUGGGCUAACUCGCCCUUAUGAUAUAUAUUGCAUUAAACAUAUAUAUACUUAAAGUCCUUAUAUAAAGAAAAUGUUAAAAAAAUAUUUUAAAGAGCAAAUUAAUUAUAAUUAUUUUAUAAUUAAAAGCAAAAUUUUCUUUUAAUUAAUUACCAAAAAUAUAAAAAUUAUAUAAUUUUCUUCAUAAUGUUUUUAAUAUCAUUAAUAAUUAAUUAAAUAUUAAAAAAUUAUAUAUAUAUAUAUAUAUAUAUAUAUAUAUAUUAUAAUUUAUUUUAUAUUGUUUAAUACAAUUGAAUUAAAUGGAUCAUAUUUUAAUAUUAAUAUAUAUUUUAAAAUUAGACAUAUUGUAAUCAAAUAUCAUAAUAUUAUAUGUAAUUUAAUAAUAAAUGUACACUUAUAAAAUUCAUAUUUUUAUCGAUGCAUACAAUAUUAUUAUCAAAUAUGAUAAAUCAUGUUAUACAUAUAUCAAAAUUUUCAAUAAAAUAACUUUAAAAUGUCUAUUAUACUUCUAAUUAUAUUAUUAUGAGGUUUUCUUUACAUUUUCAUGAGUUUUAAACAAUUUUAAGCACCAAUAUUUUUUUCCAAAAUAUCCACCGAUAUAUCUCCGAUAUAUCCAAUAUAUCUCCGAUAUCUCCGAUAUAUCCGUAAAAUCGAAGUACCGAUAUAUCCGUGAUUACCGAUAUUUUCAUCAUUGCUUAGAUGCAACCUUCUUCCAAAUGACAUACUUUAGUCAAUACUUAUAUUUUUUCGUUUCACUUCUUUGAUACAACACCUCAUGGAUUUAUUGUUUAAUUUAUUUGUAAUUAUAAAACUAUUUUUCAUUUUUAAUAAGACUUGAAUUAAUUUAAUAAAUAUUAUAUAAUUUGAAUUUAUAAUUCUUUUUAUAAAAUCAAAGUAUAUUAAAAAAAAAACAAUUUAUCCGAAGAAAGUUUUUUAUUUUUUAUUUUUUAAAACCGAUUUUAAAAAUAACUAGCUAGACACCCUUAUUUUGAUAAAAUACGAAAUAAAAGUGUAAAAACAACAUGGCCAAAUAGGGGCUUAAAUUUUAUUUUUAAAACAUUUUUUUACACUAAAGUGCAUUUUAAAAACACCAUCAAAACCAACUACAAGUUAUGCUUCUUCCCGUAAUAGAAAUAUUUUAGGCCAAAAUAGAACCUCCCCAAAUAAAGACCCUAUACUAAACUCCUUUUCAUUUUAUUAAUACAAAAGUGGGGAAAAAAGGUCUAUGCUCACCUAAAAAACAUGAAUAUUGUGAAUUCACCAUUUCUAUAAGGAAGUUGAAAACUUCAAAAUUUUAUCAACAAAUUCUCUAAAAUCCUCAAAAUAUAUAGGGCCUGUUUCACAAAGUUUUUUAAAAUUUGUUUUUAUAAAUUGCUUUUAAAAUAUAGAAUAAAUAACAGUUUUUUAGAUUUUUUGAAAAAUAAGAGUGUUUGGUAAGAUGUUUUUUUUUUUUUUUUUUUUUUUAAGAAUUAAAUAAAAAAUAAAAAAAUUGUUUAGAUAAAAGAAUUUGUAUUGUUUUUAAAAACAAUGUCUUACUUUUAUGUUAUAAAAAUUUUAUUAAUUUAAUUUAUAAUAAUAUGAAAUGAAAUUCAAGUUAAGUCUUAUUAAAAAAUACAAAUUAAAUCUAUAAUUAUGCAUGAGUUAAAGAUAAAUAUAUAUUUUUUAAAACUAUAAAAUAAAUUUUCUAUUAUAGUGAAACAAAAAUUACUAUAAAAUAAAAAUAAUUUUAAUAUUCAUUUUUAAUACAAGUCAAAUAAGUACUUUAAUUAAUUUUUUUUAUCAUGAUUUCUUAUGUUUUUUUUUUUUUCUAGAAAUUAUUUUAAGUAAUAUAACUAAUUUUUUUUUUAAUGUUUUAUAAAAAUAAGGAUAUUUGGCAAGUUGUUUUUAUAAAAGGAUUUUAAAAAUAAAUGGAUUUUUUUUUUUUUUAAAAAAAGAACAAAAUGAUUUGUUUGAAUAAAUUGUUUUGAUUUUGUAAAAACAUUUUAAAUUCAAUUUAUAUAAUAUUAAUUAAUUAAAUUAAAUUGAAGUUUUAUUGAAAAUAAAAAUAAUUUUGUAAUUAAAAUUAGAUUAAAAAAUAUAUAGGUUUUAAUAAAUCGUAAAUAGUAAUAUUAUAAUAAAAUUAUAAAUUAUAUUUUUAACAUAAAAUAUACUAUUUAUUACAUAUUAAAAAAAAUAUUUUAUUAUAUUAAUAAUUUUAUGGUAUUAAUGAGUUUAUUAUUUAAGUUUUAAAUUAUUUUUAAAAAUUAAUAAAUUUGUUAACAAAUGCAAUGUACUAAAUGUGGUUUAAUUUGGAGUUAAUUUGUUUAGGGAAAAAAAUAAAAAAUAAAAAUCUUAUGUAAAAGAGAAAUAAUAGAGUGUGUGUGUUUUUUUUUAUUAUUUUUAAAAAUCAGUAAAAAGAACUUUUACUUAUUGCCUAAAAAUUAUUCUCUAUUUUAUUUUAUUUUUUAAAUCUAGAAAUAGAUAACAAUAAUAAAAAAAAUUAAAAAAGAAAAAUGUUUUUUAAAACUCAGACUUAUAAUUGCUUUUGUUUCUCAUUCGCACCCCUGGAUUCCUGGAUUCUAAACACAAAAUUAAGUUGAAUCGUCCAUCUAUCUUGUAAGCCAAGAAUUCACAUAGAAGAAAUAAUCGGAAUUUGAUUUGAUAUCAGAUUUAGAGUGGCUCACUACUCAUGCAUUGUCCCACAAUAGUAAUGCUUUGGGCCGAGAUAAACCCAUUUGUGGGCCCAAAUAAAACCCCUGGUUUGAAAACAUCGAUUUUACAGUGGCCCAAAAGAUUAUCUAUGAGGGGAAGAUAACUUGGAAGUCAAGCAAACACAUUUAUCGCUAACUUUUCUCUAAUUAUAAAAUUAUAACUUGGUCUUCUACACGUCUCACUUAAGAGGCGGAGCCACUUGGCACUACCUUUCCAUAUUGUAAAAGGAGAAGAAGCAGAAGGAGAAGAUUCUUAUGCCAUUCCACACACCAUGGCUAGUACUGCUAUGCUGCUUGGCCCGCCGGCUCUCCGCCAUCCUAAUUCUCCCGCCGGCACUGUCUUUGAAGAUGGGGUCAUUCUAACGGAUUCCCUGAUCGUCCGCACCAGUAAUCUGGAGCUUUCUGAAAAACCGCCACUGGAAUCCCUGGCGUAGUGCUCUGUCAGUGGGGAUAUUGCUAUGGAUUGUUUGGAUUCCCAAGCCCACAAUCUUCAUCUUCCCGGGAAACCGCCGAUGGGCUUAACGGAAAACAAGUCUCCGACCUUUUUGUCUUCCGGGAACCCGUGCUUGGACUUCUUCUUCCAUGUGGUUCCCGAUACGUCGUCUGAUGAUCUGAUCCGACGGUUUGAGUUGGCUUGGGAAUUCAAUCCGCUGACGACGUUAAAACUGAUAUGCAACUUGAGAGAGGUGAGAGGCACCGGAAAAUCUGACAAAGAGGGUUUCUACACGGCGGUUCUCUGGCUCCACGACCACCAUCCCAAAACCCUAGCCUGCAAUGCUAGGGUGUUGGCCAGCUUCGGUUAUUUCAAGGAUUUUCUCGAGAUUCUCUACCGGCUUCUGGAGGGCCCUAAAAUUCGAAGAAUCGAAAAGAAAGACUGGCUGGAUCGAAAAGGAAGGAAGAAAAAUUCCCGGAAAAGGAACUCAAUAUUCAAGCGAGAAAAUAGGCCUGGAGUUGAAUUUCCUGUAGAAGAGAAGGAUGUGGAGUAUAUGGUGGAAGAAUUUGUGGAUAAAGAAAAGGCUAGGGUACUGAGAAAGGAGAGAGAACUUGCUCUUGCCAAAAGAGCCCUGCACAAGUAUUCUACUGAUUCUAAUUAUCAGUUCUUACAUGAUCAGAUUUCAGAUUUAUUUGCUGAACUUCUGAAAUCUGAUAUUCAGUAUUUAAACUCCGGUGAGCUUUACAAGAUUAGUCUCGCAUCCAAAUGGUGUCCCACAAUUGAUUCUUCUUAUGAUAAAUCCACCUUGAUAUGUGAAAAUAUUGCUCGAAAGGUUUAUUCUCGCGAGGAAUAUAUAUCCAGAAUACCAAGGAAUUGAGGAGGCUCACUAUGUUAAUAGAGUCAGGGAUAGGUUGAGAAAACAAGUACUUGUUCCAUUACGUAAGGCCCUGGAGUUGCCAGAGGUUUUCAUGUGUUCGAACCAGUGGGGAUCACUUCCCUACAACCGUGUGGCUUCAGUGGCCAUGAAAUCAUACAAGAGCCUCUUCUCAAAACAUGAUACAGAGCGGUUUGGUGUGUAUCUUGAGAAAGUGCAAACUGGGAAGGCUAAGAUUGCAGCUGGUGCAUUACUUCCCCAUGAGAUUAUAGCUUCAUUGAAUGAGGAGGAUGGCGAGAAAGUUGCAGAGCUUCAGUGGGCGAGAAUGGUGGAAGAUUUAUCAAAGAAUGGGAGGCUCACAAAUUGCAGUGCGGUAUGUGACGUAUCAGGAAGUAUGAGUGGAACUCCAAUGAAGGUGUGUGUGGCUCUGGGGCUGUUAGUUUCAGAGCUCAGUGAAGAUCCAUGGAAAGGUAAUGUAAUUACUUUCAGUGCAAGUCCUGAGCUUCACAAGAUCCAAGGAGACAGCCUUGUAUCCAAGACUGAAUUUGUGAGGAUGAUGGAAUGGGGUGCGAACACUGAUUUUCAGAAAGUUUUUGACAGAAUCUUACAAGUAGCAGUGGAGGGAAAUCUGAGUGAAGAUCAAAUGAUAAAGAGGGUUUUCGUUUUCACUGAUAUGGAGUUUGAUGAAGCUUGUGGGAGGUAUAACUAUUGUGAAUAUGACUAUGAUAUGGAGGAAAUUGAUGAGAGUCAGAAGGCAUCUCAGAAGUGGGAGACAGAUUAUGAAGUGAUACAGCGGAAAUUCCAGGACAAAGGAUAUGGAAAAGUUCCGGAGAUAGUGUUUUGGAACCUUAGAAACUCAUCAGAGACUCCAGUGAUGGCCACAGAGAACGGGGUGGCCUUAGUAAGCGGGUUUUCGAAGAAUCUGUUAGACCUUGUUUUUGGAAGGAGGUGGAAUUCUGACCCCUCAGGAUGUGAUGGAAUUAGCCAUCUCUGGUGAAGAUUACAAGAAACUUGUUCUAUUUGAUUAAGAUAUCAAGAGAUUUAUCAAUAAUAAUAUGUUUUUUUUUUUCUAUGUGAAAUACAUGUAAUAUUAACUAUGGAGUUAUCAAAGUUCUGGAAAUUUAAUUAUUUCUUCUUUUCAAGUUUUGUUUGUCUUUGUUAGGAAUUCCCCUUGGGCGGACCCAGCUGGGGACUUGGAUUGAGGAAGUAAGGAGGCGAAAUUGUGUUCUUCUAUGGACAGAGAAAAAAGAUAAAAAUAAAAAAUAAAAAAGGAGGUUAUUUGCAUUUGGAUGUCAUGUGGUUUCAGGGUACAACUACAAGUUCGAAAUUGUACAUAAUGUGAAAAUUCCUGUGUGGAGAACAGCAUAAAUAUGUAUCUCAGUGUGUUUUGUUUGAGCUAAUUGGCAAAUUCGCUUUAAACAUGGUCACAUGGAUGCAUAUUUAUUUGUGAAAUGAUAGUAGUCGAUUACUUGGUCAGUAAGGUUUGUAUCUCUAACUCCAACAUCUUAUUGUAGUCUUUUAAAAUGUCAAAAGUUUAAUGCUAGCUUGAGAAAUUUUGGAAUGGAGACAUUCUAAACAAAGUUAAUAAUCCAUGAGACUUGGUAAAACCGAUCAGAUGAUGCUUACGUACAUGAAUGCCUUCUUUAAGCCGUAUCCUAUUUUCAUUGAAUGAGACGUGCCAUCUAGUUUUGUUCUUGUCUUGAUUGGAUCAUGAUCCCGGGAAUUGAUUACUGUUCUGAAUUUGCGAAUGUUCAAGGUAUUAGAGAAAGUUAAUAUUAUCGUUAAUUUACAUAUUAGUAUUUAUCUAGUUAUUAUAUAUUAGUUUGAAUUAUAAUAUAAUAUAGAAUUUGAAUCAAGUUUACUAUUAGUUUGAAUUACAAUAGGAAAUAAAGUUUGAAUUAUAGUAUAACUCAAAUAUAUUUGUAUAUAAAUAUCCAUCUUUAUCAAUGAGAAUAGUAAACCAUAUUUUUCUCUAUCUUCUUCUUUCUCUAUAUAUAUGGUAUCAAAGCCUCCAAAUCCUAAACCUAGUCUCAACUUAGAGCAAAUUUAGGGUGCAGGGUUUAGGCCCCGCCUCCCCCAACCCUUACCACAAAUGGUAGUGACCUUGUUAUGCCUAUGUAUUGUCAAUGCCUCAUUUUCUAUGGUCUUCAAUACAAUAUCUAGUUUCAAUGUCUCUUUCCUUACUAUCUCCAAUGCAAUAUAUUGAUUUCAAUAUCUCUUUACAACCAAGAGCUCCAAAUUUUCCUGGUUCAAAUCUACCAUAAUUUUUAUUCUCCUUUGCUUUUUACCAAUAUUAGUUCCCCUAAUUUAAUAUAUAUCUCUUUAUUACCUUCAACUCUACCUCUCUCUUUCUUUAAAAGCUUCCUCAAAGAUUUGAUUGCUUUCUUGCAUGUUUUGGGAAAACAAACAUGCUCAUAUUCUAUUACCUCUACUUGAGAUCUGCCUUAUACUCUACCUUCUUCUUUACCUCCUAUAUCAUCUACUACAUUAGCUUCAAAAACAUUAUUUAGUUUGAUGCUAAAUAAGGCUCCUAAUCCUACCCUUCCUUCAACUAACUUUCUUUUACAAGUCCCUCAAAGUUUUUUUUUUUUUUUUUUUGGAAAUUUGGCUUAGAAAGAUUUCAUUACUCUUACCUAAUCUUUCAACCAUCAAGUCGAAUCCACUUAUCUCUUGAAUCCAAGGAGACUACCCUCCACAAAAACAAGGAGAUUGACCCCCACAAUAACAAAGAGAUUGUCCUCCAUAGAAACAAAGAGAGCUUCCUUCAUGGAAGCCGAAUACAUCGCAAUCUAUUUUCUUUCUCUCAAGAUCAAAUCUCCAAUCGGAGCUCCAUCUUGUGGGGAUAUAUUAGAAAAAGUUAAUAUUAUCCUUAAUUUACAUAUUAGUAUUUAUCUAUAUUAUAUAUUGAAUUAGAAUAGAAUAUAGAAUUUGAAUUAAGUUUACUAUUAGUUUAAAUUACAAUAGGAAAUAGAGUUUGAAUUAUAGUAGAACUCAAAUAUAUUUAUAUAUAAAUAUCCAUCAUUAUCAAUGAGAAUAGUAUUCCAUAUUUUUCUCUUUCCCUGAGGCUUCAGAAUGUGAUCUUGAACAUUUGAUCUUUUGGAUUCUUCUUGUUUCGGUGGUUUAAUAUAAUGGAAUGUUUAAUUAUAGCCUACUUUAUCACCAUGGAUGUGCUCCUGCAGAUUUCUUGAGGGUGAUGGUUAUUUUGUCAUGUUUCUUGAAUGGUUUGCAUCAGCUGCCUGAGCUGUUGUUGCUGGUCACUUUUGCAACCAGGGAAAGAAUCAUGGCUUUGGAGAAGCCAGCUUCUGUUUUUGUUGCCCAGCUGUUAGUUCACUAAGAUUGGGGGUCCUAACAUGUAUGUAUAAUCAUAAGCAAGGAAAUUUUAUGUCUUACGCUAGAUAGGUACCAUGAUAUGAUGUUUGAUUGAUUUAUUAACUCUACCUGUUUCAAAAGGCAUCAACAUUAAUUUUACCCUUUUAACACAUUGGAUUGUUUGACCUUACGAGAUUUUCUAUUUCUGUACUAUUUGAACUGCAAUCGUUAUGGUCCUUAGGUCUCUAAACCUUCGUUUAAAAUAAAAGUAAGGAGCACACAUAGUAAAAGUUAAUUUUGGGUAACUUUUAAAACAAAGAGAAAAGUAAAAGUUGUUUUUGAGAAAAACAUAUAGAAAUUGAAAGAUUUUUUAUUUUGAGAAAAAAAAGUCAUAGAAAAGAAAUAAUAUCCCCAUAUAAGUAGAUAUGAUCUAUCCGAAGUGUAGCUACUCUCCUGGAUUUAUUCUAACAUUUUAAAAUUUUUCUCAAUGGGCAAAGGAAUAUCAAAUCAAGCUUGAGUAGGAUUAAUUUCUUAAUUUUUAAAAUAACUUAUAAUUAAAAUUUUUUGGUGUUUUCUUUUUUGGACAAUUUUUUAUGAAGACUCUGAAUCAUGCAAGAGAUAUGGUUAUUUUAAAAAAAAAAAUAAUUUAAAACUCAAAUACAUAAUCAAUGUCACAAAUUUAUAAACAAAAGGUUUUUAAAAAAUACUAUUAUUUCCCCUCUACACAUAAUUUUACUUUUCCGAUUUAUUUAUUUUUGUUGGAAAACAGUCUUCAAAUCAAGUAAAAUUAAUAUGUUAAAUUUGUUAAACAAAUAAAUUUUAAAAUACAAUUUGGAACUCAAAAAUCAAUUCAAGUAAUGCUAAAAUUCAAAAAAUCAAAUUUGGAAUAAAAUGACUUUGUAAAUUUUUUUACUAAACAAAUGAAUUUUAAAUCAAGUGAGAUUUAAUACAUUGGAUUUUUAUGAGAAUAGUAAUUUUAAAAAUUAAUUUGGAACUCAAAAAUAGACACAAUAAAUACCAAAAAUCAAUGAACCAAAAUUGGUUUGGAAUAACUCCAUAAUUUUUUAUUUAUUUAUAUAUUUAUUUUUUUGUGCACACGAAUUUCUUACUAAGCAUAUUGCUUCCAAAUUGAGAAAAAUUUACUAUUUAGAUUUUUUUAAUGAGUUUAAUGGUAUUUAAAAAUAAUUCAAAAAUUCGAAAAUUGACUAAUUUAAUAUUAUAAAUUCAUAAACCAAGACUAAUUCAAAAUGCAUUGGGGGCUAAGGGGGUUGAAAUUAAUGCUCCAUUUGGUUGUGGCCACCAAUUGGCAAUGGCCACCAAUCAACCAAUCAAGGUGGCUAAGGGGGUUGAAAAUAGGGACAAUGGGGUGGGUUUGGGACAGGACACUCAUAUCCCAUUCCCAUCCCAAUUACACAGUUAUUUCCCAUCCUUAUUCCAAACUUGUGUUGGGGCAAGUUGAUUUGUUCCCAUCUUUGUUAACGAAAUGACUAAUAACCUCAUCCUCUCCUUGUCUUAGAUGUACAUUUUCUCAAAUUUGGUCAGGUAUGAUUGAUUCAAGCCCUAACCUUAAUUGGUAAUGAGUGGAUACCACACCUAAUUGCAUUCUUCUUUCGUUGCAAAAUAAUGAGAUUAUAAUAAUCUAGCAAAUAAGAAAAAAUAGUAUGGAAGUUCAAAUUAACACCAUAACUAUCAAUAAUUUUAAGCUUAUAGAUGACUUAAAUGAUUGAAAACUAAUGCAAAAUACUAAAAAAAAAAAAAAUCAUCUAAAGAAUUCACAAGAGAAUAGAACGAACAAAACCAAAUAGGAACAUGGGUCAACAUUAGUUACAGAUUUUGAUCCCUUUCAAGGCCAAUCUUUGAACCAAGACUUCAUCAAAUCUACUACUUCAAAGGCUUUUGUGUUCUUCUUGAGUUGUACUCUGGAACAAAGACUUCGAGGUGAUGCUUUAGAUGAUUGCAUUACACAUAUUUAGGGUAGGGAGAUUGGAGAAGCUUGAAGAUGCCAACGAUGGGUACAAUUGAGUGGUCAAUAAGAACAAUGUGGCCUAUGACUAGUUUGAUGUCAUGGUAUAGGAGUUUUGGGCAUUGAGGUGAAAGCAAGAGCAACAUGGAAUUGAUUUCAAAGUCUUUCAAUUAGUGUAAAGGAGGAAGAAGAAGUGGUAUUGAUCCUAGAAAUAGUGUUUUAGGUGUUGCAUUAGAGGAAAAGAAAAAGAAAAAGAAGGAACCAUUGGAAUUAGUACGAGUGUGAAGAGAGAAGUGUAUACAUAAGGGGAAGUAAAAGCAAAGUUCUAAAAAUUUAUUUUUUUAUUGGUGGUGUAUGGUUGCAUGAUUAUCCCUAUAAAUAAUAGGAGUUUUUUGGUGUUCUACUAGUAGUUGAAGGAUAAUUUCAUAAGAUAAUAUUUAGAGCGGGGUGGGGUGAGUUGUGACAAAAUCCAUACCCGUCCCAAACAUUGGUUCAGGUUUUUAAAAUAUUUUCAAACUUAUCAUAUACCCAAUUUUAUAUUUCAUACUUGUCCUAAUAGAGACAGGUUAGUCAGGGUUACUUGAGUAGCCUACAAAACUAUCAUCCCUAGUUGAAAUGCUCUUUUUGGCAGUGGCAGCUAGAAGCUCGAUCGAUUGACCUACAAGACUAGUUGUCAUCAUUUUAAAAAGAGUUUUGGCUUUGGUUGUGAGUGCAAUUGAAUCUAAACUAACAUUUCCUUAAUGCAUCUACUUCAAUCCUAAACUUCUUACUUAAGCCUCAAUUGUUGUUAAGAUUUUGGAAAACCCAUUUCCUUAAAUUGUAAAUUUAAGAAAAAAAAAAUUAAAAGUGAGACAUUUCUUGAUUGAAUGUUGUUAAAGGUCCCUUGGAAUUAAGACUUGGUUGAAGCCUUGGAAGAUUAGCAGAACUCUCAACUUAUGUUUGAACCUUGAGGAGAGUGGACGUAGGCCAAAAUUUUGUCAAACCAUUAUACAAAUUGAGUUUGAAUUCUCAUUUCUUGAUUUCUUAUUUAUUUGCUUUUUCUUAUUAUUACUUGAAUUGUCAUUUGCAUUCAUUAAUGUUAAAAUUGGUUAUAAUUAGCCAACACUAAUUCUCUUUCCCCUUCCCUUAAUUUCUUGGGUGUAAACCUAGGUUGGAUUAACUAGAUUUUAUCAAAUCUAUUAAGAUGGUAAAAGAAUAAUUAUUCUUAACAUACAUAAGAUCAUCUUCAAUCAAAUGACUCAUUGGCUGAUAUGUUGAAUUUGCUUAUUACUUGCAACUCAAAAUUGUGUUCUAGUUGAUAUGUCAAGUCCUGAGUGUAUGGACAUUAAAUUUGUAGUACGUGAUGAGUAUUUAGAUGGUCCAAUUCCAAGAAAGUGAUUGAAAACUAGUUCAAGAAAGGUGCAAAAGGGAAUUGUUUUGGUAUUUUCGUUUUUAUUCUUGAAGGUGGCAGAGCUAAAAUUUGAGAAAUCAAGCAAAACAUACUGAAAUUACAUUGAAAGAAAGAAAAUGGGAGUUAAUGUCUUGCAGUACAUGAUAAGGACUUCAUGCAUGUAGUGUGACCCAUGUCUUGGACUGAUGCCACACUCACGGUUACACUUAUACCCUUAGUUCUCUCUUUACUACCUUAGCUAACCUAGAUCAGGUUAUGAGAUAGGCACCUCACCACACCAUUACUUGCCCAUUAAUUAGUGACAUUUUCAAGCAAUGAGGUAACAUGGUGACACCAAGAGGGUAUAUUCCUCACCCCCAACAAGCCUAGACCUGGUCUAAAAAAAAUGGAGAAAAAUGACGUGUUGUUAUGCAGAAAUAUAGCAACCAUGCCUUCCUCAUUACUUAGAUUCAGAAUGUGAAGGUGAAAUUGAGAAACAGAAACUCUUGAAACCAAAAUGAAAAUUGAUACUUUUACGAAGAAUUACAACAACAUUAGAGGAAGACUACAUUCUUCCUCUUUAUUCCUACAUUUCUACACUACUUCUACUCCACUCCAUAUUUCUACAUACAUCUUUAAUCAGUCUUCCCUCCUUUAUAUAGAGCCAUCUUCACACAAAUUCCGCAAGGUAGAAAAGAGGAAUGAAACUUGGAGCAAGGUUCGACUACUGGCUGUAGCUUGUCAAGGCUGAAAGUGAACUUUUUUUCUUGGCUUUUCUGGGCAUAGGUAGUAACUUGUAGGUUCCUUUUUGGAAUGAAAAUGGUACGGCUAGAACAUGUGGCACUCUCUUGUUGGAUGAUGUGUCAAGCAUGUGGCAGCCAUCUAGUGGAGAUUAUGUCAAUUUUGGGAUGGAGAGUUGGCAUCCAAUUGCAAAGAAAUAUGACAUCUACCAACAUGCAAUGUCAACCUAUGUAGAUCAUAUGAAGAUAGAGAGGAAAAAUAUAGAAAUGGAUAUAUAACUAGAACUAGCUUUUUAUUAAAUGAGACGGAGAGCCAACAAUGAAGGAAAAUCAAAAUUUUUGGCUCAUAUCAAAGAAUUCACAUUGUGUUACCCUAGGUUUUCUUAAAACUUACUUUUAUGAUAAUAAAAAAUCAUUAUUGUUUAAUCCUUUGUUUUAAACGCAUGUUUAGCAGGUUGUAAAAUGUAAAUAUCUUUCGAAAUUCAAAUAUGAAGAUAUGACAUCAUUUCAAGCAAUAUAGUCUCUAGGAAUUAAUGUAAAGCUAAAUUAAGGUGCAAUUAAGUUAGUUCAAUGCAUUAUUUUAAGAAACUUGACCUAUCAAAACCUUGUCUUACUUCAAAGCCUCUUUUUCUUUUCUUCCAACUAACAUUUUAAUAAGUGAUCGCAAAAGUACAAAAUUAGAUGAAAUCCAUUUCAAUGGUUAAAAUGAUCAAAUUCAAACUUUUUCUAAGUAUCUUUUAAAAGCAUCAAUAUUGAAAGACAAUUUUAUAUUUAGUCAAAGCUUGGACAGAGCCAAAAAGCACACAAAAAUUUAUAUUUUCUAGCUCUCUACCUUGGAUGGUCUCUUGAUCCUACUUGGAGAUGUGCAUAAAUAAAAGGAUUUGAAAAUGACAAUUGACUAAGUAUGUAGUCAAUCAAUUACUCAUUGAUUGACUAGUUGAUCAAUUAACUUUGCAACAUCAUAUGCAAUCCUAAUAGCUAGUCAUCUAAUCAACUAGGUAGUAAAUCAAUAGGCCAAAAAUAUGUUUAUAAUGACUAUUUUGUACAAAAACCACUUAUAUAGUUAAAUAUAAUGCAUUUCAUUUAUAAAUCUUCUAAUUCUUGAAUAACAAUCCUAUCAUCCUUUGAAAGUUUUUAUUACACCUUUUCUACAUUUGUUCUAAAACUUAUACAUCACCCUUAAUUGUACCAUGAGAACCUAGCAUUUUUUUUUUUUUUUUUGUAUUUCAUCAAAGUUAGCUCUUGUACUCAUUGUUGUAUUAUUUUUAUUGUAACUUAGAGAGCGAGUGUUUUCAAGUGAGUGAAAUUGACUUGUAAAUAUUGUAAAGAUUCAUUGAUAUGUAUCUCAAACUAGGUGUACAAGUUGAAACAUUUGCUAGUAGAUUUUCUCAAGAUUUAGAAUGAGCUUAAGGCUAUCGAAUUAGGUGGGGUUGCGCCAAACCAUAUCACAUCGUUGUUUGCACCUUUUUUUUCACUCUCUUUUACUUAGUUGCUCUAUAUAUAUUGUCUAGCAAUAUCCUAAAGGCUUGAUGGGCUAGGGAGCAUCCCUCUGAAUGAAAAAUUUUCAUUCAAUUCUUAGUUGUAUUACGCAUAUAUAAAAUGCCUCAUUGUUUUAAUGGUAUUCAGUCGUGGCACCACAGAUAUGGACAUCUAAAUUUUAAAAGUUUGAAACUUUUAGCUAAAGAAAAUAUGGUGCUUUGCCUUUUUGGAAAGCAUGUUGAUGAAAUCCAUGAGAAUUGUAUACUUGGAGAGCAACAUCGAGAUAACUUUUUUUUUUUCUUUUUUUAUAAUGCAUUGUUUGUCCAAAUUCCGUACAAAUUAGGCCACCACAUGUUCAUAAUUCUCCCUUCUUGAAUUUGAAAACUCGGACAAUUUGACAAUGCGACACCUAAGUCCGGUUUUUAAAUGCUAAAGUGAAAGGGCAGGUAUGGACCAUUGAAAUGUGAUAACAACUUUUGGCCUUUUCCUUUUCUCUGUAGCCAUGUUGUCUCUUUUUAAUUUCUUUUGCAUGAUUUUCUUACCUAAACAGAAUCAUAGACUUGUUUAAUCUCUAAGUGGGAUUUCAUCCACCUUAAGCUACUGUAUUAUAUCUCGGUGGAGGACAACCGACAUAGAGCACAUGCAAGUGGGUAUAUGGGACAUGAAAUAUCUUCUUAUAAAGCUUGUUUUGCAGUUAAAUUAAUUGGAUAAGUAGACACUGGCGUUUCUAAAUUUCCCACCUAAGAUAAUGACCUUAUCCUUGACUGCUAGAUACACAAACAAUUAUACCUUCAAAAUCUACUGUGAAGUGCUUCAUGUAUGUGUGAAGUAUUAGAAAUUUCUUUCUUGGCAACUUGUUUUUUUCUUUGCGGUCUACUGAUAGGUUUGACUAAAAUUAUAUUCCCUGUCCUGCUAAUUAAUUUUCACGUGCAUGCUCAAAAGAAGAGUAUGACCUUAGUGCACCAAAAUCACUUUCAAUAAUUUGUGAUAAGUUUUUUUGCAUGACAUUAACCUUAUUCAUUUAGAUAAUGUUUAGUUCUCAUAAAUAUUAAGAAAAUGAAAAUAAAUAUUAAGAAAAAUAUUCUUAUAUUUGAUUGUAUUAUGAAAAAUAUCAUAAAAAAUCAAAUAUAAUUAAAAUUAAUUAAUAAUUUAUAUAUUUUAAAAUUAUUUAAUUUUUAUAUUAAAGAUAUAAUAUAAAUGAAAUGAGUUUUAAGUAUUAUAUAAAAAUGAUUUAUUUAUUUAUUUAUAUAUAUAUAUAUAUAUAUAUUUAGUUUUUCUCUUUAUUUUAUUUUCCUUAUGUUUUCCUCACAUUUUCCGGAAUCAAAGAUAGGGAAAUCCACAAUUACCUUCAACUGAGUAGAUUCUAUUGUUUUAGCAAUGUUAGGCUGCUAACUUGUGGUGGUACGAACCAAAUGAUCCAUGUUAAUCUUGGCUUGAUUUAAUUUGGCUCUAUCUCAGAGAACUCAAGGAUCACGUCAACUCUGGUUUCUACUAUUCAGGUCCAUUCCCAGAUGAACUGGUUCAAAUUUGAGAAAAUGGUAACAGACCUUUAGUGAUAUUGGUUUGGAGCCAGUUGCCAAACCUGCCCUGAGCUUUACCACUAAUGUCAAGGGACAAAGCCAUUUGAACAAAAACAAUAGCUUCAAGAGACUGAAUCGUGGAUGAAAUCUGAUCCACAUUUCUUCUCAUUUUGGGAAAAAAUGAGGACUUAACCACAAAGAUUCUACUGCCUCAUAGUGCUUUUCCUGAUCUAAGGUUGGCUCGUUUCCCAAAUUGUGAGGUGCACGUGCCACUCUCACGCUCAGGAGUGUAUCCACGUGGUGGACAUAAGAUGGUGGCUUAAUAUCUGGUGUCGGUGGCUUUACUUUACUAGGAGAGUAGUGUGUCUUCAUCUCAUUCACUGCCAGAGGGUGGCGUAAGCAGUGACGCUAAGGUGGGGCACAGUCAAUAUCAUUUGCAUUUGACCAUUAUAAUUUUCUCCCGGCUUUAAAGUAACCUUAUCGUGAUAAUGGAUUACUAGCACUAGUUCAGAUGACAGUCAUGUUAAAUUCGGACCAUGUUUGUGUCACAUUAUCAGCAACCAUGUGCUUGUGGUUCAUGCUAUCUGCAACUAAACUUGAUAUAUAACCAGGUGAACUUCAAUCUAAAUUCUGGAAGUACUCAUGUGAUAGAUGGUGCCUGUCUGCAGUGAGUGUAUCUAUAAGAGGGAAGGCUUGGCAAAUGUUCAGUUUUCUGGGAAUUCAACAGGGAUCUAAAAUAGAUUGUUUUCUUUGCUGAUUUCAAUGGUUGAAAUUUGAGAAGAUUGUGUCCACAUAACACAACUAUUACUGGUCCUUCUGUUGCAAUUUAUCCUCUAAGGCUCUAACAUGUCUUCCAAUUCCCACUUCCCACUUCCCUGUUACUCCAGGAAAGCUGUUUCUGUCAUUGUGAAGAAGAAAAGAGACUGUACAUAUCGAUGCUUUUAAGUGGACUGGAGAAUUCAUAUCAGGUGGUCUGCAGCCAUACAUGCCACUUUGUGAAGGUUGGAACAGUCAAUCACUAGGCUAUAUUAGUGGGGCCCAGCCACUUCAAUCAAGGACAAGUCUUCAUACUUAAAGUCAAAUUCUGCCUUUAGUCUCAUUAUAAAUUGCUGUUUAAAUAUCAAGCAAACAUUUGUUUAAUGCGAUUAAGACAGCACUAACUCAAUACUUGUUCUAUUUUUGGAUGCAAAUGCUUGAUAGUUUCAUCAUUGGAGGGGAUAAAGGUGCAUUCAUGAUUAUGAAUACUUGUAGUUAUAUUUUCAUUCUCUUUUUUCUCAAUGGGACUUGUUGGCACAAUUUUGCUGUUCAGAAACCUACCUCUCCAUGGAAAAUCAGUUGUGAUUGAUAUUACUGGAUAUAUUCAAGAAAGCUAAAUGUAGAUAGCACAAAAUAUUAUCGACAUAAAUAGCAUUAACAGCGUACGUAUGUCUCAAUGCUCAUCAGCUAUAAGCAAGGGGCAAACACUUACUAUGAGCAACUUACGUCAAAAUUCCGGAAUAGGACAUAGAAGUGACAGGUCAGUAAAUAUAGAACACUGCAUAUGAGUCACAAGAAAGGAAAUUACGGGUACAUAGCAGCUCUUAUUUUACAUCCUACUCAUACUGAUCAAAGUCACUCAGUUGGGAUGGGUGGGAGUGGGAGGUUUGUGGGGUGGCUUGUGCGGAGGAGUUGGCAGCUUCUUUCCAGGACCUGGUUGCUUCUCUGCUGGAGUUGAAGGAGGCUUAAUCUUCCGAGGUGGCUUGUAUGAGUCUUCAGCAUUCUCAGCAGGAGGGUGACCAGGGUUGUGACCACAAUGUGGUGGCUUCUCUCCCUUAGGUGGUUUGCCAACUGGGGUUGGUGGCUUGUGUUCCGGAAGUGGCUUCUCUUUGUGUUCAGGAGGUGGCUUCUCCACUGGAGGCUUGUGUUCAGGAGGUGGCUUCUCCACCGGAGGCUUGUGUUCAGGAGGUGGCUUCUCCACCGGAGGCUUGUGUUCAGGAGGUGGCUUCUCCACCGGAGGCUUAUGCUCUGGUGGUGGCUUCUCCACCGGAGGCUUAUGCUCUGGUGGUGGCUUCUCCACCGGAGGCUUAUGCAAUGGUGGUGGCUUCUCCACCGGAGGCUUGUGUUCAGGAGGUGGCUUCUCUACCGGAGGCUUAUGCUCUGGUGGUGGCUUCUCCACCGGAGGCUUAUGCUCUGGUGGUGGCUUCUCCACCGGAGGCUUGUGUUCAGGAGGUGGCUUCUCCACCGGAGGCUUGUGUUCAGGAGGUGGCUUCUCCACCGGAGGCUUGUGCUCUGGUGGUGGCUUCUCCACCGGAGGCUUAUGCUCUGGUGGUGGCUUCUCCACCGGAGGCUUGUGUUCAGGAGGUGGCUUCUCCACCGGAGGCUUAUGCUCUGGUGGUGGCUUCUCCACCGGAGGCUUGUGUUCAGGAGGUGGCUUCUCCACCGGAGGCUUAUGCUCUGGUGGUGGCUUCUCCACAGGAGGCUUGUGUUCAGGAGGUGGCUUCUCCACCGGAGGCUUAUGCUCUGGUGGUGGCUUCUCGAAUGGGGGAUGCGUAGGGUAAUCAGCUAGUGAGGGGGCGGUGAGAACCACCAGGCCAAGCAACACUACUAGCAAGUAUGUAGGAGACAUCUUUGGGUUUGGGCUCAGAUGGUGCAAAACUAGGAGAAUUGGCUAGCCUUUUAUAGCGGAUCGUACCCAAUAAUGAAAUGACACGUGUCAUUAUGACCCAUGUGUCAUGUGGUCGAUUUGGGUCCUACAGUGUUGAAAACUUCGACAUCCACUUUUUUGGCCUUUUGCUUUCUCUACAGUCGCCUUGCUUUUUCCCUCUUUUCUUUUGUUUUCCUCCUGCCCCAUUCUAUCAACUAAUCACAAUUAUGUAGUUGUUUAAUUCUUAAAUGAGAUAUUAUCCGUCAAUCAUAUUAUCUUUUAUCAAGAGAGAACGGAGUGAAAAGUGGCAAUCCAAAGAAAGAAGAUCCAUAAUGCAGCUGUAAUUUUAUCGUUUACUUUUAUCUCUAGGACCACUGCAUUUUUGUUGAGAGGUGCAAUAAUACACGUCUUUAUCUGCCAUUCAAUGUUUACAGUAAAGAGAGGGCACAAAACUCUUCACUGCUCUGCAUGUGCCCCAAAAAUGCAAUUGGACAAAUUAUGAUUUGCAUGCUAAAAAGAGGCAAAUGAGGUUAAUUAGCACCAAAAUUAUUUUGUUUUCUGGACACCCCGGGGCCCUUUGGUUGGUUUGGGGGUCAGAAAAUGAACAUCAUAGGGGGUUUUUCCCUAAUGUGCAUUUGCAUUUGUAUCUGAUGGCUUUAACUCGCCUUGUUACUACAAAGAAAUUGUCACAGAUAGGAACUUAUUCCAGGCUGAGUAUCUCCGCAUGGACCCUAUAAAAGAAGACAAGUCAUAAUGAACAUCUAACCUUUGUUCAAUUUGAUUCAAUGCCCCUAUUGUGUCCAUCUCACAAAUCUGAAUUAUUAUAUCCAUUGAAUACAUAAAUUAAUGAAGAAAAUAUGAAACCCAAGAUACAUCUCUGCACAACCUCAACCCUGGUUGCUAUGUUUCACUUCUAUUCACAUGAGGAUAUUGAUUACGGAAUAAGGAAACCUAGCAAGGGUUUACUCGGCUCUGGUUUGAUGCUAAUUGCCAAACUUGCAACAAGCCCUGAGUUUGACACCUAAUCGAUGGGCGAAUUAAAAGUCUCCUCCAAACAUAUAUUCCACAGCUUGAAGCUCACAGAAGAUGCUAUACAGGCAGGGAAAAACCUUCAGAGUUAGCUACCAAAGAUAAUUAUCAAGGAGAUAUCACCAAGAGAAUUCCAUGGAGUCUGAAUCAAAGACAAAUUGCUCGCUCGUGGGGGUUCUUACUUAAUUUCUUUUGGGUAUAACUCACUGAGGGCACUGGCUUUGUUAUUUGCAUUUCGCAUUUAGAGUUCUGUUCUGGAAGGUUUGUUCUGGAAACAUAUAAAAGGAGCAUCAUUUUGUUCUAGGGUAACCCAUAGUUGUGAGUGGGUCCAUUUGCAUGCUACUUAGUUGAAAAGUUGGACAAUUUGCUCCGACGCCUACCUCCUGGAUUCCAUGCUCGGAUAAAGCAAGAAUAAUAAAAUAUUUAUAAUUUACAAAUGGGGGAAAGAAAAAAAUGUCAACAACAAACUAGGAAAAAAGAGUAGUAAAAUUUAUGCCACAUGCUAUUGAUAGAAGGGGCAUGUAUUAGAUCCAUCACCAUUUGGUAAGAUUUUAGUAUUAUAUUUUUCAAGGUUCAUUAUUUGAGGGUGUGUUCUUCAUCUCUGUUGCAUUGCUUCUUACUAGGCCCACUGAGGUGGGUUCUUCACCUUUUGUAUAUUCUCUGCACUAGAUCAAUGAGAAAGGGGGAAUUUUGGUGAAUUUGCAGCCGUUGGAUGAUUGAUUCUAGGCUCAGUCCACCAAUGAUGCUCUCUUCACUCUUUCUCAUCUAGUGUCAUUCACAACUAUGUUUUGAUUCAUAUUUGUACUAUCAAAGAUAUCUCAUUAUUCUAGCUCAUUAGGUAGAGUUCCUAAUCUUCCUCCUUUUUGGUCUAUGGACAGUAUUGGCUUCAUAUUAAGAUCAUGUUUCAAUAAUUGCACAUUAAUGAAUGGAUCAUGACCCACAUAAACAGAGUCAGGGUUGAGUCAGUGAACCCUAAAAUUUCACAAUUCUAAAUUUGGGUUCUUUAACAAUGCAGGGUCAAGGACGCGUGGUGAUGAAGGAAAGCUGGUAAGCUCAGUGUUACUUCAAUUCCUGCCAUGUAGGAUGGUGAGGAGAUAUUCACUAUGCAAUUAAUAAUAGACAAUAUUCACUAUGCAAUAAUAAAGCAUAAAUUAAGUUGAAUGAAAAGCAUUUUCUUUGCAAGGAGUUGAUUUUGGUUUCAUAGUUUGUUCAACUGCUAUUUUGGAUAGGAAAGUGUGAGGAGAAGAAAAUAAAAAAUAAAAAUAAAACAAAAAAUAAAAAAUAGAUUUUAUAAAUUCAUUUAAUUUAUUUUUUUUUUAUAAAAAUUAACUAAUUUAAAAUAUAUGUAAAUUUCUAAUUAAUUUAAUUACAUUUUUUUUUUCAGUUUUUCAUAAUAAACCAAAUAUUAGAAAAUUAUUUUUAUUAAGACACCCAAGAUGAGGUAAUAUGCAAUGAAAACAUGAAUUAUAUUAAAAUUCAAAACAAAUUAAGAGAAAUCGGAAAAUAUACAUAGAUAUCUAAACAAAGAAAUUUAAAGAGAAGGAACCACAAACUUUAUUUACAUAAUUUGAAAAUAAAAAACAUAAAACAUACUUAUAGUAAGGAGAAAUUGAAUAUCUUACAAUGGAAGAAGGGAGAAAAGCUUUGAAGAAAGCUUUUGCUUGGAAGCUUACAUGGUGAGAGGUAGAGAAAGGAGAGAGAGAGAAGAAAAUGAAAAAUGAGAAGUGGAGAAAAUUGGAAGUUUUGUGUGCUUACAACUGAGGAUAGAGCCUCCUUAAAUAGCAAAAAAUGGAAUAUUAAAUAGUACCAAUCAGGAGACAAAAUAUUGUUUGCUUUUGAAACCCGUGCAUGAAUAGUAAUCCCGUGAGUGAAUAGUGAAUAAUAAAAGUGAAUAGUAAAAGUCACUUUCUACUAUAGCACUUUAGACUUUUUCAUCGAGAAUCUUACUUUCGGCUGAGUGAUGAUAGCUGAUAGGUUGCUUUGGAUUGUGGAGUCAUAUGUUUGAUGUUUUCGGUGCUGAAACCGCUUAGUUGGAGAAUAAUCUCGUCAGUAGAGCAUCAUGAGAAGCUUGAAUGGAGAGAGCUUAAUGAUGCCAUAUGAUUGGAAGGAAUCCUAUUUUAAUUUCCUUAUUGGAGGGAGAAUACCCUCACAAUCAUCUUCAUUAUCUUGAAGGUAGUUUGAUAUAGAGUCAUCUGACUCAGCAUAAGAGUCCUCUUGGGAGAAGCUUGAACUGCUUUUGUCAAGGAUUUUCUGAAAUUCUUGAGGGGUUUUUGCUAUUGCUAACAUGGUUUGGAGUUGCUGUUUCUUAAGAAGAAACUGUGCAAUAUCAUAAGAUGAUGAAGCUUGUGUAGGAUGCUUUAGGAAAUAUUGCUUUAUUGCUUGUAGUGAGGUAUCAUUUUUCAAGGCAUCCCACCACUUAGACUUGAAAGUCCUUCCAAGGGUUGGAAAGGCUGCUGAUUCAUCUGCUAUAAUGAUAUAAUCCCACUGGACUAUCCAGGCAAGGCCAAAUUCACUAAAAAAGAAUAAUAAUUGGGGAAAACUGAAAGUUCUCUAGGGAUAACAAAAGAACUUUGGAAUAGCUCAAAGCCAUCCAAAAUGGGUUUUGGGAGAAUUUUAAUAGUUGGACCAAAAUAUGUCCACCAAUUGUGGAACCAAAAUGGAAAAGAGGGGAGUUGAUGCUUAGAUGGGAAAUAGAACAUCCCUGAAUGAUGGAAGUCCUUGUUCUGGAUCAGAAAAGCAUUGAACCAUACUCUUUGGUAGUCUCAAUAAUUGAAAAUUUUAGGUUUUGAAGGCUUAGAAAAUUCUCUUGAAAAAUUAGGAUUCCCACCCCACUGCUUAACUGUAAGGAUUUUAUAAAUAUGGUAAGUGGAGAAUGCCAAAUCCAAAUUGCUGAAUUUAUCAGCAUUGUGCUUGAUUUUAACAGAGCCGGUUUCCAUAAGGAUUGCUUCAUAAAAUUCUCUUGUUUUUAAAAGAUCACCAAAGGGAUAAUGAAAAUUUUCAUGAAAAGCUUUUGCUGCAAUAUCUCUAGGGUUUUUAGAGAAAAACUCUUUUUCAAUAACCAAAAGAGGUUGAUUUAAAUCUUUUUGCCAAUAUCUUGCUUUUGCUGAAAGAGGUGUGGGGUUGGCUACCACCACAAUUUGCUUAUUUGAAAAAGAAGAGCUUGAUGCUAAUUCAUUUUGAGAGGGAUUAGCUUUAGUAACCUGCUUAAAGGUCUGAGACACAGUAAUAGUUGGAUACUGAGUAGCCUUGACUGGUUUAGAAGGAUUCGAAGGAUCAUAGUACAAGGACAAAAUCUUAUUAGGCAUAUGGUCAGAAGAAUGAAGCCUUGCUUCUUCUUCUAGCUCAACUUGUUGGCUCCAAAGUAUUUUAUGGGGAGAAGGUUCUUUGCUGGUUUUAGAAGACUAGGAUUCUGGAAGUUUAGGAGCUUGGGUAUUCUUUUUAGGGGCCAUGGUUUCGUGAAUCCUGUAAAAUUCACAAGUUAAGAAAUCAGGGCUCGAAGAAUGUUCUCCUUUAAUAUACUCAAUUUGUAAAUUAAAAUUGCUUAAAAUAGCUUGAUAUAUAGCAAAAAUAUGCUUAGAAGUUAUAUUCUUAACAUCCUUUUGUAAAACUAAUUUUGCAAAUUUACAAUCAACUCUUAAUAAAAACUUUUGAUUCAAAAGAUCAUCUUGAAAUUUUGAAAUGCAUAAAACAACGCUUAAAGUCUCUUUUUUAAUGAUGUUAUGAAUGAGUUGGGUAGUAUUCCAGGUUCUUGAAGUAUACCUAACUAACAUCUCAAGGUUACCAACACUUUGCUUAAGAAUCCCACCAUAACCUAUGUCUGAGGUAUCGAUCCCAACAAACUCAAAGGUUUCUGGAUUGAUAGAGCCUAAACAUGGUAGGGUCUUGACUUUGGACUUAACAUCAAUAAUGAAAACAAUGGUGAAAACAGAAAACUGGUUAAAGUUUUCAUCCAUUAUAUUCUGGAAUUCUGAGGUGCAUUCUUAAGAUCAAAGGGCAUUAUGAACCAUUCAUAAUGUCCAAGAGAUACCACAAAGGUGGUCUUAUUUGGAAUAGGACACCUAAUCCAACUUAAUGUAUCAUUAAGAGGCAUGUAGUUGACGACUAGUCUAGGUGUUCCUUUUUCUGAUUCAACUUGUUCCUGAACAUAGAAGGUUGAACAACUCCAAAGGGACUUAGACUUCCUUAUCAACUUUUUAUCAAGAAGAUCCCAAAUCUCCUUAUCACAAUAGCUUAACAAACCCUUGUUCAUCUGGAUAGGUCUUGAUUUAGUGGGAAUAUUCUUGUCACUAAAGUCUAGUUCAUAAGGUAAUUCUACCUCAUGUUGUUUCCUAUGCCAAAAUGCAUUAGGAAUGUUAGAGCAAACUUCUUCAACAAUCAGAUUAAUUUCUUGCUCAUGACUUUCCUUAGCUUGAAUCACCUGAUCCCUUAAGGUGUUUAUAUUUUUCUUAUUAGGUGGUUGGCAAAUUCAAAAAUAAUUUCCUUAUCUAAGAGCUUUGUUCUUAUACUUUGGUCAUCUACCCACAUGGGAUAGAUGGAGCUUAAAAAGGGGAUUCCAAGGAGAGCUUUCUCCUUAAGAUCCUUAACUAGAAUGAAGGUUUGCUUGAUGCAAAUGCCUUGGUUAUUUAUGUGAGCAUCUGACAGCUUAUACUCAAUGUCAAGCCUUUUACCAUUAGCUCCAAAGAGAGAUUCUUUGGUUUUCUUACAAAACUUAAUAGGACCUAGACCUUCUUGUAGGCAAUUCAAAGCUGUUCCUGAAUCAAUCAAAGCAACAAUAUCAAUGACAAAUUUACUCUUAAUUACUAUAGUAAGGGAGACUUUCCACCUCUGGAAAAUAACCCUACUAACAGUAUUUAAGUAUCCAUCCGUCUUUUCAUCAUUAGCAUGUGAAGAUUCUAGAACCUCUUCAAGGUUUUCCUAGUUAUCAACAAGAUUUUCUAUAACAAUCCUAUUUAUUUGUUCUUGGAGAUCUGAAAAACCUAAGCUUGUGUAUUGUCUUAAAUCUUUAAUUUCCUUCUUAUACUGUCUUACUUCUUCUUGAAGAUCCUUAAUGGUUACGUCUUUGGUAGACUACUGGUUAAAUCUUCCUAAGAUUUCAUUUAAGUUAUAAGAAUUUACUGUCUUCUUAAUCUCUUGCUUAUCGACAAAUUUCUUAAAAACUUCAUAAAGAUCUUGUUUAGUUUUUUCAUCUUCAACUUUCCUUAAAACAUCUAGGACAAGUUCUUGAUCUUGGCUUAUGACAUUUAUAGUCUUAGGUUGGCAAUCACAAUUAUCCUUAAUGUAUUCUUCUUGGUCACUAGAAGUUUGGCUUGAGAUUUCCUCACCACUACUAUCUAGUUGGUUAAUACCAUUUUCAUUAUCUGAAUCAAUCCUUGAUUCAGACUCUGUGGAAUUUAACAUUACUUUACAAAGCAUAUCUUUUAAGUCUUCUGUGACAUUUAAGUUAUUAAUUUUCUGCUUAACCCUACAAUCUUUCUUAUAGUGGCCUAUCUUACCACACUUAAAACAAACUGGCUUAGAUUGUGAAGGAGCUUCUAGCUUUUUAUGGGCUUCUUUGUUCAUCAUUCUUUGGAUGUGCCUUUGUUUCUUAGUUUCAUUCAUCCUAUAGUUGCCAUGAGUUCCUCUCUUGUUGUGAUAGGACUUUUCCUUACUAGGCUUUGUACUUACUUGUUUCUUACGUUGCUUAGAGGGGGGCUUAGUUUCUUUUUGGUUGAAUCCAAACUAGCUACAAAAUGAACCAAACUCAUUCUUGUAGAUCCUUUGUUCAUUUUUCAUCUGUUGCUUAAGCUUAAAGUCAUUGCACAGUUUAAUUGCUUCUGAUGUGACAAUGCUUAUAAUUUCUCCAUAAGAAAGCUUAUCAUAAGGGAUUUGUCCAUUAAACUGUUCCCUUAUCUUAAUCCUAAUCCUCUCAGAGAAAAGUCUAGGUAGUCCUAAGAUGAAUUUUUCUUUCCAAAAAGACUGGUUAUAGUUUGAUCUUAGUAUGACUUUGGUUAGGAAAACUUCUCUAUACCAUCUAAAGUCAUGAAGCUUGGGACACUUAAGGUUGGUUAAGAGAUCUACAAUCUUAUCCUUAAUCUUUGCAGGAUCUCCAAUGAAGUGCUUUGAAAUUGAAUAGAUUAGAGUAGCCACUACAUCCUCUAUAUCUUGUCCAUCUUCAUCCUUAACCACUUCAUUUUCCUCAUUAAUCCUAUAGGCUUUUAGGAUACCAUUUCUAUCCUCAAAGGUGAGAUAAUUAUCCCACCAACCCUAAAGUUGACCUGUAAACCCAACAACAAUUGUUUGAGCUACAGCAUGGCCUGACAAUCUAUUGUUUAACUUAUAGGUUGUACUAACCAUGGUCAUUUCUUGAAGCUUAGUGAGUAUGUUGUACUCAAUCAUACCAUCUAUGUUCCAUUCAUAGAUAGUGUCACUAGUGUAGGAAGCUUGAGUAUGCUGGUUUCUUUCCUCAUACUACAUAUCAGGAAAAGUUGGUCUAGGGUAGUAAUUCCUAGUUCUUGGUUGUUGAUAAUCCUCAUAACUGUUUGGUUAGGAGGUUCCUUAAAAAUCUUAAUUAGUUCAUCAGCCUCUGCUUCAGAACUAAUUUCUCCUUUAACCAUAUUGAUUCUCUUGUGAGAUGGUUGAGGUGUCUCAGAGACAACAAGGCUAUCCUUAACCUUUUGGCUUAUCCUAUCAAUGAGGGCUUGAUCAAUAUGGAGAUUCUCUAGGAAUUUCUUAGAGAAUUCAAAAGGCUUAAAUAAAGACUUAUUAUCUUUCUUAACAAACGUAGUCUUAAUGUAGUCUUGUGUUUCAAUGAUAUCCUCAAACUUGUUGAGUUGAUCGCCUGUAGUCUUAAGAAACAUGUUAGUGUAGUUGUUUUGUUCCAUGAUUCUUCUAACGUCAACAACACUAUCAAUUCCUUUAUUCUUUGGCCUAGUCUUAAAAGGUGAAGCUUUGACUAUGGUUCAAUUAAUGUUCUUUUAUAUCUUAGCUUCUAGAGGGUGGAUGGAUUCUAUGAUAGUAUCGUCACUAGUUUUCCAUAUCUUAGUUUUUUUGGAUGUGUCAUUGACACGCUUACUAGGGUAAUCUAGAUAUUCCUCUUGUUUGAAGAGUUCAAACCAGAUCCAAUACUUAAUGUUCUUCUUUUCUUGUCUUAAGUAUGUGUAGAAUUCUUCUUGGUAGAGGGUUCUAAUGUCUUUAAGGACCUUGCUAAAGAACCAAACUCUCCUUUUCUUAUUGACUUCAGAAUAGAAGUCUUUCCUUAAGAGGUCCUUGUUGAUUCAAAGUCUUCGUUAAUUAGGCUUACAGUGUUAAUCAACUGAGAAUAAGUAGGAGACAUAUCAGGAGAUUCGUCCUGAUGUGAUUCUUGAGUAAACUCAUUUUCCUCCAUGUAAAAGGGUUUGGCCACGUUGGUGUGACUUCUAACACCUGUUAGCUUAAUAUUCUUAGGAUUUGCUGAACUAGAUCCUUCCUCUAUCCUAGUGGUUCUUAUUGGGAUAGAUGAACUUGAAGCUCUAGAGGGCUCAUAAUAUGAAAUUCUAAGGCUGCUAGAAUGAUGAAAAGAGUUGGAGAAAAUUAGAUCUCGUUCUCCAUCAGGAUAUUGAACAAUCUGUUCAAUUCUUUCAGAUCUUUGCUCUAUGGCUGGGACAACAUUAGCAAAAUGCCAAUUUUCUGGAAACUCAACCUCAUUCCACUUGAUUUUCAUGGGGACUAUGAAAUUAGACUUGUUUAUCAUAUCUAAGUGGAAGAUAGUGGUUUCACCCUUGGGACUGGUGCACAAUGCUCCAAAUCCAACGCUUAUGGUCAUGCUCUUAUAGGCAAAUCUGGUGAUGAUGGAAACAUGAUUGUUUCCUUGCUUGAACUUAAAGUCAUGGGUCUUAACAUGAAGGACAACUGAAUCUAAGAUGUUGACAUCUCUUAGUCUAACUGUGAAGUUAGGGAAACACUGGAAAUAAACAGGACCAUCAUUUAAUCCUGCUUGGGUAGCUCCAAUAAUAGAAUCUCGGUAAUCAAGAUGUCUAUUAUCUCUUAAACACAUGACAAUAAAGGUGUUUAGACCUAGUCUUGUCAAGGGCUUAGCUGCAACUUGAAUCAUGCCAAAGUGUAUGAAGUUGUAGUCUCGCUUAUGCUUAUCAAUGGACUUACUAUCCAAGAGUCUUAUGACUUGAUCGUCGUGUUCUAAACUUACUGACAUUUCAGGGGUUUUAAUGGUGUAAUCUGUAAAGAACUUAAAGGUUCCUUUCUUAUAAAUUUCUUGAUUAGGUACCUUGGGUAACUUCCAAUCAUCUAAAUCAUCUUGGAUCUUAGGAUAAUUGAUCUCUUCAUUGUUUACUCUUGAGAAUUUGUGGAUUUCCUAGACAUGGUUCUGAAAAUCAAACUCAUUUUAAGGUUUUAAUCUAGAGCCUAAUAGCAGAUUAACAGACCUAGUGAGUAAUCACCCCAACCCUUUUCCAACCUUAACAAACGCCUAUCUCCAGCUAACAAUGGGCUCAACUCGGCAAGGAUCGCACUCAGGCACACUACUAUCUUUCCUAGGAUAGAUCAAAACACCCAAAACAAACCCGACUUCCUUUUCCUAGGAUAUAUAUAGUAUUUUGGGUUUGAGUAGGAGUUCAUGUUUUGUAUGUAAUUGUAGUCUACGUUGGACUAGGUUGUUUGCUCCUAAUUGAAAUAGGAAUGGUUGGUGUCACAUCUCAUUCAUUUUCUCAUCUAUUUCCAUGUUUAGAUAACUCAAGUAAUCAUAGGAAUGAAAUUAAGAAUGAUUUGAGGGAAAUGAAAUCUCACUUGUAAGUGGGAUCUCAAUUCAUCAUUAAUAGAAGGUAUUUUGAUUACAUAGUGCAAGUUAUUUUUAAAAACACUUUUCAAAAAUUGAAAAACCAAAAACUCUCUUGGAUAAGUUGUUUUUAAAAAGAAUUUUUGUAUUUUUAUUUUGUAAAAAAAAAAAAUAGUAAUUCAAUUUAUAUAAUAUAAAUAGACUUUAAUUUUAUUAAAAAUAAAAAUAAUUUUUUAAUUACAAAUAAAUUAAAAAAUAAAUAUUUGUAAUAAAAUAUGAAUAGUAAUAUUAUAAUAAAAUCAUAAAUAAAUUAAAAAUAUUUUUAAAAACAAAUAAGUUUAAUUUUUUUGAGGUACAAAUGAGCCAAAUUUUUCAUUAGGUACACAACCAACAAUUUUUAUUGGAAACAUUCCUCAAAAAAGAAUUCGUUUCCCAUAUAGCAAAGAUAUUUAUUAUUUAGUAUCUAACCAUCCGUAGUAAUCAUAUCAAUUCUACUAAGUUAUUUAAUAAUUCAUUUAUAUAUAGUACUCAAUUAUGAAUUUUUUUAUUUGAUGUAUAAUUAAUUAAUCAAUGUUUUGAAUUUUGAAUUAUUCUUAAAAUUUAAAACAUUAAUUAUGUCUAUUACUUUUUAUAGUCAUUAUAUAUAUAUAUAUAUAUAUAUAUAGAGAGAGAGAGAGAGAGAGAGAGAGAGAGCUUAAAUUUAUCUUUAAAAAUUAUUAAAUUUAUUAAUAAAUUCAAUACAAAGACUCAUUUGAUUUGAAAUUCAUUUCUUUAGUGAAAAUUUUGAAACUAAAUAGUACUUUGUUUUACUUUGUUUUUAAAUCAUACUCACAAAUAAGUUUUUAUCAUUUAGCCAAAAAAUCUCAAAGAUGUUUCUAAUUUUAUUUAUUUAUUUAUUUGUAAAUGAAAAUAAAAAAUUAGUUUAAACUAAAUAUGCGGAUAUUAUUGUUAAUUUAUUUCAUUUUUUAUUUCCAUUGUUAUUUAACAUUGAAACGGAAACAAAUAAUCAUUCCAAUCUUACAUUCUUAUAUGCAUCUAAACACAAGAAUUGAAAUCACCAAAUUCAUAUUCAAGGCAAAAUAGAAAUGGAAAAAAAAUAUUCAUUUUCAUUCCUCAUUCUCAUGUGCUAAACAUGACAUUAGUUCUACUACCUAUUUCACCAUUCUUCUUGAUAAAUUUGGUAUAUGCAAUAUUGAUCUAAGUGUGAGGUGAAUAAGAAUGAUGAUGGGAUGGGCUUGGAAAUAAGGGCAAAGUUUCUAGGUGCUAUCUAGAGGGGCAACGCGACUUUUUCAAAUUUCGAAUAUUUGUUCUCAACAUAAAGCAAAACUUUACUCACACAAUAGAUAAGACUCUGUUUGUUUUCUUCAUCCACGACUAUAUAAUGUAUAGCUCUUACUCAAGGGAUGAGCUACUUACUAUUAAGGAUUGGGUAAGAUAUUGCCUAAUGGCCAAGAAGGCAUGUCAAAAAAUAAAUCUAAUCACCAUAAAAAAUAAUAGGGGAAAAUUAAUAUAUUAUGAAUGAUGACUUUACUAUUUCUCUAUAUACAUAAUUAUAUAUUUUGAAUUUUCUCACUAGGUAAUGAGAUUCUAAAUCAACUGAAACAUAAUUAAUAAUUUAUAUUUUUAAUGAAUCUUUUAAUUUUUAAAAAUAAUUUAAAAUUUUAAAAAACAAUUCAAUUAAUUACAUAUUAAAUCAAAACAUUUCAAAAUAUUGUGUUUGUAGAUGAGUACUAAAUGCUUGCAUAUAAUAAUAAUAAUAAAAAAAUUGACUCAUUUAGAUGUUAAAAAAGUUAAAUGUUUUUCAUUAUUCAUUUUAAGUAAAAUAUUAUUGACAUUAUUAUUAUAAAAUUAUUAUUAUUCAUUUUUAACAAAAAACAAAAUAAGUUAUUCUUUUACCAAGAUGUCAAUAUCUAUAUUUUUCUAACAUAUAUUAAAAUAGUAUACUUUUCUUUUAUUAAAAAUAAUAAUUAUUAUUAUAUUAUUAUUCAAGUUUUAUUAAAAAAAUUUAUCUUUUAAUUCAUUUGUAAUUACAAAAUAAUUUUAUUUUAUUAAGAAUUUAAUUUAAUUACGCUUUUUUUUUUUAUAAAAAAAACAGUUAUGCUUUUACCAAGAUGUUAAUAUUCAUAUUUUUCUAGCUAACAUAAAUAGAAUAGUACACUUUUUCAUAUAAAAAAAUAAUUUAUGAUUUUAUUAUAAUGUUACUAUUCACAUUUUACUAAAAAUAUUUAUUUAUUUUAUUUAUUUUUAAUUAUAAAAUAAUUUUAUUUUCAAGAAUUUAAUUUUAAAAAAAUAGAAAUCAUUUAUUCUUUUACCAAGAUGUUAAUAAACAUAUUUUUCUAACAUAUACUAAAAUAAAAAAGUUUACUUGUUCAUUAAAAAAUAUAAUUUAUGUUUUUAUUAUAAUACUACUAUCUAUGUUCUACUAAAAAUAUUUAUUUAUAAUUAAAAAAUAAUUUCAUUUUUAAUAAGACUUGAACUAAAUUAAAUUUAUAAUUUUUUUUUAAAAUAAAAUAGAAAAUUAUUUUUUAAAAACAACUUAUUGAAAGAAAUUUUUUAUUCUUUACUUUUAAGAACUGUUUUUAAAAGCAACCUAUAAACCCCUUUGGGUCUGUUUGGCUAUGUUUCAUGCAACUUGUUUUUAAAAAUUGUUUUUUAUUCUUUAAUUUAAUUUUUUUUAAGUUAAAGAAUAAAAAACAACUUUCUAGUGUUUUAUAAAAAUGAGAGCUUUUGACAAGUUGUUUUUAAAAACCAUUUUUAAAAAUAAAAAAUAAAAAACUUAUUUAGAUAAAUUGUUAUAUAUAUAUAUAUAUAUAUAUUUGUAAAAACAUUUUAAAUUCAAUUUAUAUAAUAUAAAUUUAAUUUAAUUUAAGUCUUAUUAAAAAAAAAUUGUUUGGAUAAGUUUUUUUUUUUAAAUAGUUUAUUAUUUUUGUUUUGUAAAAACAUUGCAAAUUCAAUUUAUAUAAUAUAAAUUAAUUUAAUUCAAGUCUUAUUAAAACCAAAAUAAUUUUAUAAUUACAAAUAAAUUUAAAAAUAAUUUUUUUAGUAAAACAUGAAUAAUAAAAUUAUAAAUUAUAUUAUUGUGGACCCUGCAUUUAUGCUCAUGCGCUUCCACUUGUUGGCGAACUCAUUUUUUAUUUGAAAAUGAUUUAUUUUUUUAGAAAAUGACUUAGAGUCGCCACUUAUUUUUGUUUUAUUUUUAAAGGGCAAGCAAAAUAAGAAAGAAAACCCUAAGUGUGACUCCUUAUUCGAAAAAGGUAGUCUGUGUAAAACCGGAUCAGGGUUCAGGGAUCAGGUUACUUAUUGGGAAGGUAUGACAAUGACCGUAGCACUCCUCUAAGUCCUUAAAAACGGGCCUCUACUAAAAAAAAUAAAGUAAUCAUGGCAAUCAGUAAGGAAAUCACUGGAUACCCAGAACAAUUAUGCACAUGUGAGAAUUAAAACAUGCAUAAGAAUGGACAAAGUGAGAGUGGGUGCGUACCUUGACAACGAACCACAAUGCGUUAUCAAGAAAUGGGGUUAGUGCACGAUCAAUGAACAUAAAACACGUCACACAUGUCACUAAGCAGAGUGAGAAAUCAUCAGAUAUUACAAUUCAAUCAAAUUUAUUUUUAGAAGAAACAUCUGUUGAUGUAGAGCCCCUACCAAAGCCUAAUUUAUUUUUGCAUGAAUCAAUUUCAUAAAUUCAAUCGCUUGGAAUUACAGAAUUAAAUUCAUGCUUAUUUUAAAACAUCUUUUUAAAAUCAUGGAAGAUGUGAAAAUGGUUUUCCAAAGAGAAAAUGACAACUGAUUUUAUUGAAAAUGGGAUUUUGGGGACCUAAACGUUAAAGAGGGAUUAGGAAUUGAAAAUUAAAUCAUUUGAAAAUUGAAUUUUUCAAAAAUCAGUUUUGAAAGCAUGCAUGCAAGUAUGGACUGUGAAAGUGGGCCUAGGGAGGGUGGCCAUGCAAAAUGAGGUCAUACACGUGGGCCUUGGGUACAAUUGGGACUACUUUGCUGGUGCCAGUGGUGCUUGCAGCUGUCAUCCAUGAUUUCUUCAUUGGGAUCAAUUUCCAUUCUUACUGCCAAACAUUCCAUAACAAUUGACCAAACUAGUAACCCUGACCUUGCAUGAAAAUGAACGUUACCUAGAAACUCACUGCCAGUGAGAUUCAUUGCUCUUUCAAAAGGUCUCAUUUUCUUUCUCAUCCAAUUGCUUUAAGGAGCAUUCUAGCGUCACGAUUGGUGACUGCGCAUCAUCUAGAGCCUUCUUUCUUCUCAGAAUCAGGUUUGCGUGCAGAGGCCUGUGCUUGUUCAAGGUUGACCUAAAUUCAUCUAGGUUUAGAACCGACCAGUUGAGCUUGGGGAGCAACGACAAGAAUAUCAGUCACUUGCGAAGAGAAAACUCGAGAUCUUUCAAGUAAUGCCUGACAUAGAUUCCUCCAACCUGUGGCCAAUAUCUCAUUCCUUGUUGGCCAGACGCCUAUUAGGGCGUAUCUCAAUCAAUAAUAUGAUUUUUCGUUUGUUCACAAUAAAGACCGGAAGCCAUGGUUGUGAUUUAUGCAGUACAGAAGAAGUUGCCAUGGCUGGUAUCCUUACAAAUUCUGGUGUUUCUGCUAUCUGUUCAAGUGCAAAACACAACAGCUUUAUCAAGUUUGUCCCUAACAACUGAUAUUGAGCCCUCUGGAGGAAACCUUGAUAAAUUCAUAAUCACUUUUGACUCAUGCAUGGGCUGCCCAUCAAAUUUUCCUAGCAACGAGACGACUGCUGUCAUCUACUGCAAAGAGAAUUUCUUCUCGCAAAGACAAGAGGAGUUUAAGAAUACACACUAUUCUGCCAUUUCAUUUCCUCUUUCUCCACAACCAACAUAAACCAUAGUGUCUACAUUAGAGUACUUAGAAAGAGCUUAACUGAUGACCGUUUUUCCACAACCAAAUGCCCCAGGUAUGGCACAAAUUUCACCGAAAACAGAAGGGAAAAGGGCAUCAAGAACACGCUGUCCUGUAAGUAGUGGGGUAUCAGGACUACUCUAGGGAAGUUAUUUCUGUCAUUUUGAAAAAGAAAAAUUAAAGAAUGUACACAUGCUUUCAAGUGGACUGGAGCAUUCUACAUAUCAGGUGGUCUGUAGCCACAUGUGCCACUUUGUGGAAGUUGGAACAGUCGAUCACUAGGCUAUUUAGUGUGGCCAAGCCACGUUAAUCAAGGACAAGUCUUCAUACUUAAAAGUCAAAUGGUGCCUUUAGUCUCAUUACACAUGGCUAUUUAAAGAUGAACUAAUCUUUAGUGUAAUGUGAUUAAGACAGUACUAACUGAUCAAUAUUUUUUCUAAUUUUGGAUGCAAAUGCUUGCUGGCUUCAUCAUUGGAUGGGAUAAAGGUGCAUUCAUGACUCUGAAUACUUGCAGUAAUACUUGCAGUAAUACUUCAUUCUCUUUUUUCUCGAUGAGACUUCUUGGCACAAUUUUGCUUCUCAGCAACCUACCUCUCCAUGGAAAAUGAGUUGCGAUUGAUGGUACUGGAUAUUUUCUAGGAAGCUAAAUAUAGAUAUAUAGCACUCAAUGUCAACGAUAUAUAUAGCAUUAACAGUAUAUGUCUCAAUGCUCAUCAGCUACAAGCAAGGGACAAACACUUACAAUGAAUAACUCACGUCAACAUUCCUAAACAGGACAUAGAAGUGACAGAUCUAUAUAUAGAACACUGCAUAUGAGUCACAAGAAAAGAUAAUACGGGUGCAUAGCAGCUCUUAUAUUACAUAUUACUCAUACCGUUCAAAUUCACUCAGUUGGGAUGGGUGGGAGAAGGAGGCCUCUGGGGUGGCUUGUGCGUGUGAGAAGUGGAAGAAAGUUGAAUGGAAUGAAACUGAAAAACAGGGUAGAAUAGAGGUUUCUUGAAUCUUCUGAAAUCUUUAUUUUUCUGAGAUUUAUUCUCUGUUUUUGUGAGUCGUGACUCUACAUAUAUACAUGUAUUUAAAGUUAGUUAUGCCUUAUAACUAAUUAUCUAACAGUACCAAAACUAAUCAUCUAGUUGCAUGUUUCUAAUUAAUGCUAUUUAGUUACAACUAUAUAUGGCUUAACAUCCUCUCUCAAACUCAAAAGUCUAGCUAGAACAGUGAGUUUGCUUCAUAGAUUGAGAAAUUGUUGAAUAGGUAAGGCUUUGGUAAGAGCAUUAGCAAUCUGGUCAUAAGAAGGAAUGUGUUGAACCACCAAAGUCUUAUUGAGCACCUUUUCCUGAACAAAAUGGCAAUCUAGUUCCACAUGCUUAACUCGAGAAUGAAAAUAGGAUUGGCAGCAAGAAAGGUGGCUGAAAGAUUGUCAUAGAACAAAACAAAAUAGGAGAAUAAGAAGAUGAGAUAGAAAACUCCUGAAGAAGAUGUUGAAUCCAUUGAAGUUCAAAAGCAACAUUUGCUAAGGCCCUAUACUCAGCUUCAUUGCUGGAACGAGACACAACUUUCUGCUUACUGGAGUUCCAGGAGACUAGAUUAGAGCUAAAAAAGAUGCAAUGACCACUUGUACUUCGACGAUCAUCAGGGCAACCAACCCAAUCAACAUCAGCAUAAGCAGUAAGUUGAAAAUCAGGAGAAGAAUAAAAGGAAAGACCAAAGGAAGUAGUGCCCUUAAGAUAAUGCAACAAUCGUUUAACAACUUGCCAAUGAAGAUCAGUUGGUUAUUGCAUGAAUUGGCAAAGUUUAUUGAUAGAGAAAGAGAUGUCAGGCCUUGUAAUGGUACAAUAUUGCAGGGCUUCAACAAUGUUGCGAUAUUGAGAAGGGUCAGCCAAGAGGGAACCUUUAGAGGCAGAUAAAGUGUGAGAGGUAGUCAUUGGUGUAUCAAUAGGUUUAAAAUAUGGAAGACCAGCACGAGUUAACAAGUCCUGAAUAUAUUUGGUUUGGGAAAGAUGAAGAGAAGAUCCUUGCCAACAUACUUCUACACCCAAGAAGUAAUUCAGAAUACCAAGGUCCUUGAGAGCAAACUGAAAGUGUAAAGACGAAACCAUUUGGUGGACUAGCACGGUAUUAAGACCACUAACAAUAAUGUCAUCAACAUAGAUGAGAAUAAUGAUCAUGUCAGUCCCUUUCCGAAGAGGAGCUUGCUUCAGACCCUACAAGGCUUUGCGAAGUUUACAGAAAAAACCGGGUUUAGAAUGAUCAACAAAGCCUGGAGGUUGAACCAUGUAAACCUCUUCUUCUAACUCACCAUUGAGAAAGGCAUUAUUAACAUCUAAUUGUUCCACUAACCAACCAUGAGAAAUAGCAAGAGAAAGAACAAUUCAUAUAGUAGUUGGUUUAACAACAAGGCAAAAGGUUUCAAAAUAAUCAAUACCAUAUGUUUGAUUAAAACCCUUUGCAACUAAGUAGGCUUUAAAACGAUCAAUUGAGCCAUUAGCUUUGAGUUUCAGCUUGUAUAUCCAUUUACAACUAAUAAUGCGUGUAUUAACAGGUUUAGGAACCAAUGUCCAUGUGGAAUUGGUGAGAAGAGCAUCAUACUCAGUCUUCAUAGCAGCUUGCCAAUUAGGAUGCAAUAUUGCUUCUUUGAAAGAGGAGGGUUCGACAACAGUAGUUUGGAUAGCAAGGCUAAAUAUUUUUUUGGGUUUAAAAAUACCAUUUUGGCUACGAGUAACAAUAGUUCGGUUUGGAAGUGAAAGAGGAUCAGUGGAGGAGGCUGGAACAAGGGAUUGUGGUAAAGUAGGAAAGGAAGGUGGAUGAGAUGGAACAAAAUCAGUAGGGACAAUAAUGGGAGAAGAAAAAUUAGGUGGAGAAUGAUGAGGAUUCCUUGAAGAUGGUGUAGGAAUAGAGAGAAUACCAGAAUCAAGAAGUGUUAAAGAAGAGUUGGAUGAUGAUACUGGUUGACAGGAUAAAGACUUUGUUAAAAAUGGAAAUCGAGUUUCAUCAAAUACAACAUGACGAGAAGCAUAUAUCCGAGAGGAAGCCAUAUCCAAACAGAGGAAUCCCUUGUGUUUAGCACUAUAACCCAAAAAACAGCAAACAACAAAUAUAUUUGCUAGCUUGUGAGAAGCAUAAGGGCGAAGAUAAGGAAAACACAAGCAUCCAAAACUUCAAAGAGAUGUAUAAUAAGGUAAACGAUUAUAAAGAACUCCAUAAGGAGAAUUUUGUGAAAGAACAGCAGAGGGAAGGCAAUUUAUGAGAAAAAUGGCAGUUUGAAAUGCAAAUGACCAAUAUUUGAGAGGGUAUACCAGCUUGUAUUAACAAAGAAAGACCAACUUCCACAACAUGACGAUUCUUUCUUUCAACUCUUCAAUUUUGCUAAGGAGUAUAAUGACAAGAGACUUGAUGAAGAAGACCAUUUGUAGCCAAAUAAUUCUGAAAAGCUGAAACUGAAACUCAUCAAAUUGAUUUUUAGUAUCAAAUUUUCUUCAGACUGAACACAUUGAUUUUUAGUAUCAAAUUUUCUUUCAACCAUGGCUUGAAAAUGUUGGAACAUAAGUAAAGCUUCAUCUUUAGUUUCCAAAAGGUACAACCAUGAGAAUAUGCUAAAAUCAUCAAUUAGCAAGAGGAAAUAUUGAGCAUUACCAUUGACAGAAACUAUAGGAGUUGCACCCCAAAGAUCAACAUGGAUGAGACCGAAUGGUUUUAUUGCUCUAGAAGUGGAUAUUUCAAAUGGAAAACGAUGGCUUUUAGCCAACUGACAAGACUCACAUACAGAGUUAUUAUUGUCAUGUUUCAAAGGUAUUUUAUAAAGAGAUAAGAUUUUGGAAACUACAUUAAUAGAGGGAUGACCAAGUCUAUUAUGCCAAAGCCUCAAAGAACCAACGGCUAAAGUACUACUAGUAGAGUAAAAUACUAGUGGAUGACCAACAACUCUUGGUGUAGCAAGAAGUUUAUAGAGACCCUUCUCAAUUUUUCCUUGAAGAAGAGCAAGUCUCGUUUCCUGAUCCUUUACCACAAAAUGAGAAGAACGAAAUUCAAUAAAGGUGCCAUUGUUUGAGUAAAAUCGUUGCACGCUAACUAAGUUGGUGGUAAUAGAAGGAACAUGUAAGACAUCAUUGAAAAACAAAGAACCACUUGAAGAGGCAAGAGAAAAUUUACCAAUAUUUGCAAUGGAUAAACCCUUACCAUCUCCAACAAUUACUUUGUCACCACUGGUAAAUGGAUUAUGGAUUGUUAAAUUGUUAAGAUCAGAUGUGAGAUGAUGGGUAGCCUUUGUAUCAAGAAACCAAUAAGUGUCUCCCAUUGUUGCAGAAGUUGUAGUCAUAGCCUCAGGAUUGUUAGAGGUGGAAUGUUUAGAAUCUUUUGGCUGAUAAUCAGAGUUAAACCGAUACCAGCAUUGUAAAGCGGUGUGUCCGAACUUACAACCGAGAGAAAUAAUCUUUACUUAUUCUCUAAAAACUGUUCUUUAUUCCACACAUUAUUUCUAAAAACUGUUUCUAGAUAACAAUGACAAAAUAGUAUUAGGAAUUUUUAAAAAUAAAAAUUGUUUUUAAAUUACAUGAUCUAUAUCAUUCACAUUUGACCAUUAUAGCUUUGUUCAGGAAAACACUUGAAAGUAACCUUAUCGUGAUAAGAGAUAUAAGUUGGCUGUAGUUUCAAACUGAAAACAGAGGAUGGCAAUAGAAAGCAAAGCAUUAGUUAUCUGCAAUCAGUGGUGAUCAUGCCCCAUGUCAAUUUCGGACCCAUAUCUUAAAACCGUAUAAUUUGCAUUUCAACAUUUCUGAUUUCUCAGAUGUUUCAUACUCCACAGAAGAACAUUGUUUGUGAAAGCAUGCAUUUAUGCUGGAUUUUGGAUGAUGUGGGAACUGGGGCAAGGAUCAUAUGGAAGAGUGGUCGAUUUUUUCUGUACUUUAACAUUUGAAAUAGGAGCAGCACGGGCAUUUGUGGGGCUUAAUUGAUUUUGAAGCCUGAAAUUGCGUUUCUGUCAUUUUGUAAAAAAUAUGGCAGAUUCCAUGCUCUCAUAUGUUUGGUCUGUGGCCAUGUAUAGAUGCCACUUAGUGACCAGUUUGUAACUGUCAAUCAUAGUGUUUUGACUCUGGCUCAACAACAUCAGCCAUUGACGGAUUUUCAUACAUGCAAAUCAAAUAGUCUUCUUCCUCCCUUAGGAAUUUCGGUUUAAAUGUUAUUAAGCAUACAUUUGGCUGACAAUUAUUAACCACUUCAUGAUAUGGUUUCUUACCCUUAAUCAAUGGUUUCUAAGUGAAUAUAUGCAGAAGGAAAUCUGAACUGUAGACAGCAGUAUUGAUAAUUAUCAAUAUUCUUUAUAUAAGAGAAUAAACAACGUCAUAGUGAUCGUCGCCUACAAGAAAGGUACAUUUCCCAACAAGAUGUAGUUGUGACUGGUACAUGGACGUAAUUAACUCGUAGAAAAGGAUAAGACCAGUGCACGGCAGCUCUUAUUUUACAUGCUAAUUAUGCUAACCAAAGUCACUCAGUUGGGAUGGGAGGGAGAUGGAGGUUUGUGCGGUGGCUUGUGGGGCGGAGUUGGUGGCUUCUUUUCAGGAGCUUGUGGCUUUUUCGGAGCUGAAGGAGGCUCAAUCUUAUGAGGCGGCUUGUACGAGUCUUCUUUACUCUCGACAGGAGGGUGGCCAGGGUUGUGACCAUAAUGUGGUGGCUUCUCUCCCUUAGGUGGCUUGCCAACUGGGGUUGGUGGCUUGUGUUCAGGAAGUGGUUUCUCUCCCUUGGGAGGUUUACCAAUUGGGGUUGGUGGCUUGUGUUCUGGGAGUGGUUUCUCUCCCUUGGGAGGUUUAGUGGGUGACUUGUGUUCUGGAGGUGGCUUCUCCACCGGAGGCUUGUGCUCCGGUGGUGGCUUCUUGGUUGGAGGGGGCUUGGGGUAAUCAGCAAGAGAUGGGGGGGUGAGAACCACCACUCCAAGGAACAACACUAGCAAGUAUGUGGGAGACAUUUCUGAGUUUGAGCUGAUCAGAUGAUGCAAAACUAGAAGAAUUACGUGACCUUUUAUAGCAAGUAGCUCCCAAUACCCACAUGACACGUGUUACUGUGACCAUAAAUAUUAUAGGGUCCAUUUGUGCCCUACCGGGUUGAAAACUUGGACGCUUGGCCGAGGACACACCGAACUAUGGAGGACUAUUGACGUGUGAUCACAGCUUUUGGAUUUUUCUUCCUGUGCAGCUGUCUAGCGGUUGGCAUUAUUUUUUUAAUCUUAAAUAAAGGCAUAGUUAUAGAGUACAUUUAUAUAUCUUCAGAUAGCCAUUAAUAUAUUUGAUGAAGAAAGACAAGUGCAUACAACAUGUAUACGGCUUGCUUCAAUCGAGUACAUUUAUGAUCAGUUUUCCAGUGCAAGUAAACCAGUUUUUUGUUCCACAACUAUUUUGGAAUCUUGUUUAUCAGUUUCUAUCAUUAUAAUGUCACAUAGGCUGCAAACUUGGGCACCCAAAGAUCUAGUUGGGCAAAUUUGUUUCAGAAUUUCAAUGGUGGAUUCAGUAAUUGUUAAAAGGUGUUUCUUCAUUAAGGAAAGAGUCCUGUAAAAAUAUUGUUAAAAGGUGUCAUAGAAACUAUAAUAAUUAAAUAACUUCUUUUCCCCGUGGGUGGUGUUUCUUCUGGGGAUACCCAAAAUGAGUUCAGAUUAAAAUUGGUUCGAGUCAAAGCUGUCUCUUUUGUCCAGAAAUCAACUAUUUUGCGCAUUGCAUGAAUCGAUAAAGAAAAAAUGAAAGCCAAAUCACACCUCCCCUGCAAAACCUAAACCCCGGUUGCUAACUUUCUAUGUUUCAGUCCUAUUCAUACAGGAAUAUUGGUUCAAGUUUGAGAAAAAUGGCAACUUACCUAGGGAUUACUUGGUUGUGGUUUGCGACGACUAUUUACGCAACCAACCAUGAGUUUGACUUUAACGUCAUGGGUUGAAGCCUCCUACAAUCGUGUAUGAUAGUUCAAAGCUCGUAGUAGAAAUUAUACAGGAAGGAAGAAACCUCCAAAGCUAGCUCCAAAAGAGAAUUAUCACAUCGAUAGCUCCAGAGAUUCCCAAGGGGACUGAAUCAAAGACAAGUUCCUCACUUUUUCUUCUUUUGAGGCCAAAUAUGAACCAAGGAUCACACGACCUCAUUCAACUUCAUAAGUUUGAUUUCAUGCAGUUGAACACUGGGUGAAGGCCAUGACAAGAAUUGAUUAAAAAAUUCUACCACUGUUUUAAGUAAUGGAAGAUUAUUAUCUCUGAUUGGCACCACAACAGCACAUGCUGCUAGAUCUUUCUAGACACUCCAUGCAAUGAAAGUACAAUGGAUCUUGUAACGAUAGAAACUAAGCCAUGCUACAGUACUAGAUGACGAGGUAAAACUAUUAGACAUGGGUGGCAGCCUAUAUGGGAGGGACACAAGUCUAAUUGAUUUGCAUUUCAGCGUUCUAGAUGGGUAUGUUUUGGAAGAUUUGUUCUGGAAAUACCGCACCAAGUAGGAUUCUUUUUUCUCUUGAGUGGGUCCACUUGCAUGCCAAUUAUCGAGUUGAAAAGUAGAGCACCUACCUCGUGCUCGUGGAACCGAAGGUCAGUGAAGUGGGGCUCCUUUUGGCCUCUUGUGUUUCUGUUCCAACCAAGGCGGCGGAGGGAAAAACAGCAAUAUGUCUCCGCUAAAUAUCAACGCAUGAUAGCGAAUGAGGGAGAAAAAAAGUAAUUGGCAUCUCAAUCUCACAAACUUGGUACAGUAGUGACAUUAAUAGUCUUCCACAUGGUUUUUAUUUUAUUUUAUUUUAUAUUUUAUAUUUUCCAUUUUUUUAUUUUUUUGUAUGUCAAGGCUAAUGAAUAAAAUGCGUUAGCUUGUUUUGUGAUUGGAACUGCAAAUGUCCAAAUUGGAGUUUCUCCAUUUCUCAGUUCGGAUGGUUAACUUUAUAAACAAGAUAUAGGAAACAUGUGAACGUCUUGAGGAACAAUUCGAAUUAUUGAUUAGAACUCCUAGGUUGAGUUCCAAGAUUUAAAUCAGACCCCUCUAGCAGCUUCAGGGGUACCUAGCAAUUAGAACAUAUUAAUGAAGAUUUAGGAUUUAGACUCCGGAAUACAAAUUAAUAUGUAUCUUAUGCUCUGACUAGCUUCCCUGCAUAUGCACAAAAUGGAGAUGACCCAAAAAAUAGCAGAAUCGCCUUAGUUUAUGUGGUUAAGGUGAUUCUCCGGUUAAUAUCCACAUUGGCUCAUUAUGCAAAUCAACUGAGCUAUUUUUUUUUUAAUGUCAAAUAGGAACUCCUAAUUAACCUAACCAUUGGCCUGUGUAAAUUGAUUUCACAUGCACAAUGUUGUAGUAGAAGUCCACAUUUUGAAUUUUAUUUUUGGAAAGGUAAGGAAAAUGAAGCAUUGUGUAAUUAUAAAAAUAACUUCAUUGGAAUUCACAAGGUUCACCCAAAAUGGAGCUACAUCCGUAUUCUAUCUUACAGUAGACUAUAUAGAUUGUACAAUAGUAAAUUGCAAAUACAAUUAAUAAGUCUUGUGUUUCCUUACUAAUAAUCCUUUGACAUAAACAUUGCAGCACUAAGGUCCUCUUGGGCAGACACCUUGCACCCAUGAGAGCACUAAGAGGAAGCAAGGCGGAGUCAUGGGUGCAAUGUCAUGACUUGUUGCACUAAGAGAGGCUUGGUGAUGGCAUAGUGCUGCAGUAGCAAGAAUGUUGCCUUGGCAGGGACACGAUCUAGGGACAGAUGCCAAGAAAGGCUUAGCACUCACAUGAGUUGCACAAAGAUGAAUGAAAUAGAACAUCAAAGAGACAUCUUGGCAAGCUCAAGAAAGACAUGUGGGUUGGUAAAUGAAUGGAUGCAAGAGGCAACAACAUGAGGAGUUUCAAAUGGAUAGGGAAUGAGUCAAAGACAUUUGAAAGCUACAAGUUGGAUUCUAAUUACGAUUGCAAUUUGAGUUUGAGUAGGAGUUUAUAUUAUGAUUGUAAUUGUAGUAUGAGUUGGACUAGGAUUGCUUAUCCCUAGUCAAAAUAGGAGUUGUUCAUGCCACACCCUAUGAAAAGAGUUUGAGUAGGGACUAGGAUUGCUUGCUCCUAGUCAAAUAUGGAGUAGGUGGUGCCACACCUAUAAAAAAAAAAGGGACAACAUGAGAGAGAGAGAGAAUGAAUUCACCAAAGAUAUUGUGGGAGUUUUGCUUUGUUACAUCUUGUAUUAUUAUUUAGAAUAGUAAUAAAAUACAAGUUGGGGCUAGAGCCCCAUAAUCUCGUGUGCCUUUGUGGGUUAUUCUUUAUUUGCCAUCUCGUGUGGAUUGGAUUAGAUUGAUGAGGCGAAAUAUUAUGUGGGAAAUUUAUGUUGGGACACUUACCAUAACCAGGUAAAAUCUACCAAGUCUUUUGUAAUAUCUUCUACAAAUAUUUUAGACCAGUUCUUCACAAAACAUCAUAAUAUGUUUUGUGUUUCUCUUGGAUUUUGAGUUGAAUUGUCUUAGAUCAAUUGAAUGCAUCUCAAUAUUAUUAUCUUGUUUGAAGGCUUGAUGAUUUUCCAUUUAACUUUACUUUCUUUAGGUUAUGCUUGAUUCCUUAAAAGUACUAAGGAAAACAAAAAAUAAAAAAAAAUAAAAAAUGCAGAGGGUUAGGACAUGUGUUAUCUAAUUGUCCUAUCCAAAGAUAUUAAGAAAGUCAUGUAGGAAAGUAAUUGAAAACUAGGUCAAGAAAGGAGCAAAAGGGAAUUGUUUUGGUAUUUUCUUUUUUAUUCUUGAAGGUGGCAGAGCUAAAAUUUGAGAAAUCAAGCAAAACAUACUGAAAUUACAUUGAAAGAAAGAAAAUGGUAGUUAAUGUCUUGCAGUACAUGAUAAGGACUUCAUGCAUGUAGUGUGACGACCCAUGUCUUGGACUGAUGCCACACUCACGGUUACACUUAUACCCUUGGUUCUCUCUUUACUACCUUGGCUAACCUAGAUCAGGCUAUGAGAUAGGCUCCUCACCACACCAUCACUUGCCCAGUAAUUAGUGACAUUUUCAAGCAAUGAGGUAACAUGGUGACACCAAGAGGGUUUAUCCCUCGCCCCAACAAGUCUAGACUCGGUCUCAAAAAAAUGGAGAAAAAUGAGGUGUCGUUAUGCAGAAAUACAACAACCAUGCCUUCCUUAUUACUUAGAUUCAGAAUGUGAAGGUGAAAUUGAGAAACAGAAACUCUUGAAACCAGAAUGAAAAUUGAUACUUUUACGAAGAAUUACAACAUUAGAGGAAGACUACAUUCUUCCUCUAUAUUCCUACGUUUCUACACUACUUCUACUCCACUCCAUAUUUCUACAUACAUCUUUAAUCAGUUUUCCCUCCUUUAUAUAGAGCCAUCUUCACACAAAUUCCGCAAGGUAGAAAAGAGGAAUGAAACUUGGAGCAAGGUUCGACUACUGGUUGUCGCUUGUCAAGGCUGGAAUUGAACUUUUUUUCUUGGCUUUUCUGGGCAUAGGUAGUAACUUGUGGUUCCUUUUUGGAAUGAAAAUGGUACAGCUAGAACAUGUGGCACUCUCUUGUUGGAUUAUGUGUCAAACAUGUGGCAGCCAUCUAGUGGAGAUUAUUUCAAUUUUGGGAUGGAGAGUUGGCAUCCAAUUGCAAAGAAAUAUGACAUCUACCAACAUGCAAUGUAAACCUAUAUAGAUCAUAUGGAGAUAGAGAGGAAACAUAUAGAAAUGGAUAUAUACCUAGAACUAGCUUUUUAUUAAAUGAGACGGAGAGCCAACAAUGAAGGAAAAUCAAAAUUUUUGGCUCAUAUCAAAGAAUUCACAUUGUGUUACCCUAGGUUUUCUUAAAGCUUGCACAAAGCCAAAAAGCACACAAAAAAUUAUAUUUUCUAGCUCUCUACCUUGGAUGGUCUCUUGAUCCUACUUGGAGAUGUGCAUAAAUAAAAGGAUUUGAAAAUGACAAUUGACUAAGUAUGUAGUCAAUCAAUUACUCAUUAAUUGACUAGUUGAUCAAUUAACUUUGCAACAUCAUAUGCAAUCCUAAUAGCUAGUCAUCUAAUCAACUAGGUAGUAAAUCAAUAGGCCAAAAAUAUGUUUAUAAUGACUAUUUUGUACAAAAACCACCUAUAUGGUUAAAUAUAAUGCAUUUCAUUUAUAAAUCUUCUAAUUCUUGAAUAACGAUCCUAUCAUCCUUUGAAAGUUUUUAUUACACCUUUUAUACUUUUGUUCUAAAACUUACACAUGUACAUCACCCUUAAUUGUACCAUGAGAACCUAGCUUUUUUUUUUUUUUUUUUUGUAAUUCAUCAAAGUUAGCUUUUGUAUUCAUUACUGUACUAUUUUUAUUGUAACUUAGAAAGCGAGUGUUUUCAAGUGAGUGAAAUUGACUUAUAAAUAUUGUAAAGAUUCAUUGAUGUGUAUCUUAAACUAAGUGUACAAGUUGAAACAUUUGCUAGUAGAUUUUCUCAAGAUUUAGAAUAGAGCUUGAGGCUAUUGAAAUAGGUGGGGUUGCACCAAACCACAUCACAUUGUUGUUUGCACCUUUUUUUCACUCUCUUUUACUUAGUUGCUCUAUAUUUGUUGUCUAGUAAUAUCCUAUAGGCUUGAUGGGUUAGGGAGCAUCCCUUUGUGAAAAAUUUUCAUUCAAUCCUUAGUUGUAUCACGCAUAUAUAAAAUGCCUCAUUGUUUUAAUGGUAUUCAGUCGUGGCAUCACAGAUAUGGGCAUCUAAAUUUUAAAAGUUUGAAACUUUUAUCUAAAGAAAAUAUGGUGCUUUGCCUUUUUGUAAAGCAUGUUGAUGAAAUCCAUGAGAAUUGUGUACUUGGGAAGCAACAUCGAGAUGACUUUUUUUUUUUUCAUUUUUUAUAAUGCGACACCUAAGUCCGGUUUCUAAAUGCUGAAGUGAAAGGGUAGGUAUGGACCAUUGAAAUCUGAUCACAACUUUUGGCCUUUUCCUUUCUCUGCAGCCAUGUUGUCUCUUUUUUCUUUUGCAUGAUUUUCUUACCUAAACAGAAUCAUAGACUUGUUUAAUCUCUAAAUGGUAUUUCAUCCAGCUUUAAGCUACUGUAUUAUAUCUUGGUGGAGGACUUUUAAGAGUGAAACCGACAUAGAGCACAUGCAAGUGGGUAUAUGGGACAUGAAAUUUCUUCUUAUAAAGACUGCAUGGUUUUUAUAUUAGAGUUGUUGAGGCGCAAUGUAUUUAGCUUGUUUUGCAGUUAAAUUAAUUGGAUAAGUAGACAUUGUCGUUUCUAAAUUUCCCACCUAAGAUAGUGACCUUAUCCUUGACUGCUUGAUGAGAUACACAAACAAUUAUACCUUCAAAAUCUACUGUGAAGUGCUUCAUGUAUGUGUGAAGUAUUAGAAAUUUCUUUCUUGGCAACUUGUUUUUUCUUUGCCCUCUACUGAUAGGUUUGACUCAAAUUAAAUUCCCUGUCAUGCUAAUUAAUUUUCACGUGCAUGCUCAAAAGGAUCACGUCAACUCUGGUUUCUACUAUUCAGGUCCAUUCCCAGAUAAACUGGUUCAAAUUUGAGAAAAUGGCAACAGCCCUUUAGUGAUGUUGGUUUGGAGCCAGUAGCCAAACCCGCCCUGAGCUUUACCACUAAUGUCAAGGGACAAAGCCAUUUGAACAAAAACAAUAGCUUCAAGAGACUGAAUCGUGGAUGAAAUCUGAUCCACAUUUCUUCUCAUUUUGGGAACAAAUGAGAACUUAACUACAAAGAUUCUACUGCCUCAUAGUGCUUUUCCUGAUCUAAGGUUGGUUCGUUUCCCAAAUUGUGAGGUACGUGCCAUUCUCACGCUCAGGAGUGUAUCCACGUGGUGGACAUAAGAUGGUGGCUUAAUAUCUGGUGUCGGUGGCUUUACUUUACUAGGAGAGUAGUGUGUCUUCAUCUCAUUCACUGCCGGAGGGUGGCGUAAGCAGUGACGCUAAGGUGGGGCACAGUCAAUAUCAUUUGCAUUUGACCAUUAUAGUUUUCUCCCGGCUUGAAAGUAACCUUAUCGUGAUAAAGGAUUACUAGCACUAGUUCAGAUGACAGUCAUGUUAAAUUCGGACCAUGUUUGUGUCACAUUAUCAGCAACCAUGUGUUUAUGGUUCAUGCUAUCUGCAACUAAACUUGAUAUAUAACCACGUGAACUUCAAUCUAAAUUCUGGAAGUACUCUUGUGAUAGAUGGUGCCUGUCUGCAGAGUCCAUCAAUUGAAAAAUGGAGUGAGUGUAUCUAUAAGAGGGAAGGCUUGGCAAAUGUUCAGUUUUCUGGGAACUCAACAAGGAUCUAAAAUAGAUUGUUUUCUUUGCUGAUUUCAAUGGUUGAAAUUUGAGAAGAUUGUGUCCACAUAACACAACUAUUACUGGUCCUUCUGUUGCAAUUUAUCCUCUAAGGCUCUAACAUGUCUUCCAAUUCCCACUUCCCUGUUACUCCAGGAAAGCUAUUUCUGUCAUUGUGAAGAAGAAAAGAGAAUGUACAUAUCGAUGGUUUUAAGUGACUGGGGCAUUCAUAUCAGGUGGUCUGCAGCCAUAUAUGCCACUUUGUGAAGGUUGGAACAGUCAAUCACCAGGCUAUAUUAGUGUGGCCCAGCCACUUCAAUCAAGGACAAGUCUUCAUACUUAAAGUCAAAUUCUGCCUUUAGUCUCAUUAUAAAUUGCUGUUUAAAUAUUAAGCAAACAUUUGUUUAAUGCGAUUAAGACAGUACUAACUCAAUACUUGUUCUAUUUUUGGAUGCAAAUGCUUGAUGGUUUCAUCAUUGGAUGGGAUAAAGGUGCAUUCAUGAUUAUGAAUACUUGUAGUUAUAUUUUCAUUCUCUUUUUUCUCAAUGAGACUUGUUGGCACAAUUUUGCUGUUCAGAAACCUACCUCUCCAUCGAAAAUCAGUUGUGAUUGAUAGUACUGGAUAUAUUCAAGAAAGCUAAAUAUAGAUAGCACCAAAUAUUAUCGAUAUAAAUAGCAUUAACAGCGUACGUAUGUCUCAAUGCUCAUCAGCUAUAAGCAACGGGCAAACACUUACUAUGAGCAACUUGCGUCAAAAUUCCAGAAUAGGACAUAGAAGUGACAGAUCUAUAUAUAUAUAGAACACUGCAUAUGAGUCACAAGAAAGGAAAUUACGGGUGCAUAGCAGCUCUUAUUUUACAUCCUACUCAUACUGAUCAAAGUCACUCAGUUGGGAUGGGUGGGAGUAGGAGGUUUGUGGGGUGGCUUGUGCGGAGGAGUUGGCAGCUUCUUUCCAGGACCUGGUUGCUUCUCUGCUGGAGUUGAAGGAGGCUUAAUCUUCCGAGGUGGCUUGUAUGAGUCUUCAGCAUUCUCAGCAGGAGGGUGACCAGGGUUGUGACCAUAAUGUGGUGGCUUCUCUCCCUUAGGUGGUUUGCCAACUGGGGUUGGUGGCUUGUAUGAGUCUUCAGCAUUCUCAGCAGGAGGGUGACCAGGGUUGCGACCAUAAUGUGGUGGCUUCUCUCCCUUAGGUGGUUUGCCAACUGGGGUUGGUGGCUUGUGUUCUGGGAGUGGCUUCUCCCCCUUGGGAGGUUUUUCCAAUGGGGUUGGUUUGUGUUCAGGAGGUGGCUUCUCCACUGGAGGCUUGUGUUCAGGAGGUGGCUUCUCCACCGGAGGCUUGUGUUCAGGAGGUGGCUUCUCCACCGGAGGCUUGUGUUCAGGAGGUGGCUUCUCGAAUGGGGGAUGCUCAGGGUAAUCAGCAAGUGAGGGGUUGGUGAGAACCACCAUGCCAAGCAACAGGACUAGCAAGUAUGUAGGAGACAUCUUUGGGUUUGGACUUAAGACAGUGGAAAACUGCGAGAAUUCUCUAGCCUUUUAUAGCGGGUCGACCCAGUACUCACAUGACACGUGUCAUUAUGACACAUGUGCCAUGGGGUCGAUUUGGGUCCUACAGUGUUGAAAAGUUGGGCAUUUGAGGUGUGAGCACAACUUUUGGCCUUUGCUUUCUCUACAGCCGCCAUGCUUUUCCCUUUUUUCCUUUUCCUUUUGUUUUCCUCCUGCCUCGUGUUCUCAACUAAACACAAUUAGGUUGUUUAAUUGUUAAAUGAGAUUUUUGUCUGUCAAUCAUAUUAUAUCCUAUCAAGAGAGAACAGAGUGUAAUGUAGUACACAUAACACGAGGCAGUAGUAAUUUUAUCAUUUAUUUUUAUAGCUUGGACCACCGCAUUUUUUCUUCUAAAAUAUUCUGUCUUGUUAAGAGACGCAAUAAUACACAAUUUUAUCUGCCAUUCAACAUUUACUGUAAAGUUCUUUUAUCUCUUUGUAGUUCUAGAAAAGUACAAAAUGGAACAUCAUGUAUAUGGUGCCUUCUGUCCUAAAAAAGAAACUGGACAAAUUAUGAACUGCAUGCUAAAAAGAGGCAAAGGAGCUUAAUUCGCAGCAUAAUUAUUUUGGUUUCUAGAGAGCCCGGGGCCUUUUGGUUGGUUUGGGGUCAGAAAAUGAACAUCAUAGGGAUUGUGCCCUUAACUGGCCUUGUUACUACAAAGAAAUUGCCAUAGAAAUUUAUUCCAGGCUGAGUAUCUCCGGAUAGACCCCAGAAAAGAAGAGUCAUAAUGAGAAUCAACCUUUGUUGAGUUUGAUUCCAUGCCUCCAUUGUGUUCAUUUCAUGAAUCUGAUUUGCAUUUAACAUUACAGUUUUGUUCUGGAAACAAUCAAAGGAGCAUCGUUUGCUUCUUGGGUGACCCAUAGUGGUGGGUGGGUCGAUUUGCUUAGUUGAAAAUUGGACAAUUGGCUCCAUCGCCUACCUCUUGGAUUCCAUGCUCGGAUAAAACGACAACAAAUAAAUAUUUAUAACUUACAACUGGGGAAAGGAAAAAAUAGUACUAAAUUCAUGGUACAUGAUAGUGAGAGAAGGGGGUGUUACACUCAGCUAAAGUUCUUUUCUAAAUAUUGCAUGGUGUUUAAUUUUAUGUGUCGGCGCGCGUGUGAAUGGAACCUGCAAAAGUCCAAAUUGGCGUUUCUCCAUUUUCCACAUAGGAUGGUGACGUUAAUAGACAAAGAUACAAUAUCUGUAGACAUUGCUUAAAAAUCGAUGUGAAGUAUUAGAAAUUACAGGCCACUGUACUGGGGGAGCGGCUGCCCCGCCAAAGGAAGAAUGUAGCAAUUUCUUCUGUUAGCCAGGCCUUAGGAUUUAUGCAUGGGAUGCCUAAUAACAAACAGAGAAAAUAUGCUUUUGGGGAAGGUAUCCAACAACAGACACCAUCAUUCAGAUGGUGGGAAGGUAUCCAACAGAUGCCAUCAUUCAGAUGGUAACAUAUAUAUACAUUUAUUAGUGAGUUUUUUUAAUACCUAUAAAAAAAAUAUACACUUUGAUAUUGUGGCUGAAUCCAUUACAUACUCAACUAACCUUGCUCAUUAGGGAUUUGACGUAACAAGGGCAACGUUGCAGUAAAAGCUCGAAACUUUAUGCAGGUGACAUUACAUUUGGUAAAGAAGAGGAAAAUAAGGAAAGCCAUCCAUAAAAGCAAAAUUCCUCAUGGGAUGAAAUUCACAAACUUCAUUUACGUUAGAGUCGCAUCCAGGCAAUUAAUUCCACAUUAGACCGCCUUUUGACAUGUGUACGGAUCUUUUUUCAAAAAUUAUUUAUAAAUAAUUGAUACUUACAAAAAUAAUUUAAGAUUUAUAAAGGAUAAAAAAAUAUUUUCAAAUCUAUGACAAUUUAUAAAAUAUUAAUAAAAAAUUAUCUCUUAAACUUAGUAUAGUUUUAUCGUAUUAAACUUUUAUUUUGAACAAAUAAUUUUAAUCUAAGUUUUAAAUUCUAAAAUUAUUUCCUUAAAAUAAAAUUUUAAAAUUCAACACUUCAAUUGAAAUUGUCUUUUAAAAAAAAUAUCUUCUUAUUUUAAUCCUUAUAAACUAUAGUUGAUUGAAAAUACUAUUGAAGUUCUCUCUUCAAAAAAAGUCUUAUUUUAAUCUUCAUAAAUUGCCCUUGAUUUGAAAAUAAACUUUGGGUUAUCAUAUUUUAAAUAAUAUAUAUAUAUAUAUAUAUAUAUAUAUAUAUAUAUAACAAAUACUCUAUUUUUUUUUUAAAUGAACUAAUUUUAAUUAUAUUUUAUUUUAUUUUUUUAUAUAUUUUUAAUGAUAAACCAAACAUAGAAAAUCAUUUUUCUAAAUAUUUUAAAAUUUCUAAGCAACCAAACAUAAUCUUCAAAAUAAAAGGAGAAUAAGGAGGGACAAGUGAGAAAUGGCGAUUAAAAAAAAGUGUACAAAAGCUCAAUUAAUUUUCUUCUAGUCUUUUAUAUAAAAAAGUAUUGGUAUGUAAAUUAAUAUUUGGAUUUUAAUAGUAUUUUAUUUGUCUUUCUCUAUCUCAUGUAAAAGAGAAUUUAAGAUAUUUCCUAAAGCAAAGCAUUAGUUAUCUGCAAUCAGUGGUGAUCAUGGUCCAUGUCAAUUUCGGACCCAUAUCUUAAAACCGUAUAAUUUGCGUUUCAACAUUACUGAUUUCUCAGAUGUUUCAUACUCCACAGAAGAGUAUUGUUAGUGAAAGCAUUUUGUAACUGUUACUCAUAGUGUUUUGACUCUGGCUCAACAACAUCAGCCAUUGACGGAUUUUCAUACAUGCAAAUCAAAUAGUCUUCUUCCUCCCUUAGGAAUUUCGGUUUAAAUGUUAUUAAGCAUACAUUUGGCUGACAAUUAUUAACCACUUCAUGAUAUGGUUUCUUACCCUUAAUCAAUGGUUUCUAAGUGAAUAUAUGCAGAAGGAAAUCUGAACUGUAGACAGCAGUAUUGAUAACUCUCAAUAUUCUUUAUAUAAGAGAAUAAACAACGUCAUAGUGAUCGUCGCCUACAAGAAAGGUACAUUUCCCAACAAGAUGUAGUGGUGACUGCUACAUGGACGCAAUUAACUCGUAGAAAAGGAUAAGACCAGUGCACGGCAGCUCUUAUUUUACAUGCUAAUUAUGCUAACCAAAGUCACUCAGUUGGGAUGGGAGGGAGAUGGAGGUUUGUGCGGUGGCUUGUGGGGCGGAGUUGGUGGCUUCUUUUCAGGAGCUUGUGGCUUUUUCGGAGCUGAAGGAGGCUCAAUCUUAUGAGGCGGCUUGUACGAGUCUUCUUUACUCUCGACAGGAGGGUGACCAGGGUUGUGACCAUAAUGUGGUGGCUUCUCUCCCUUAGGUGGCUUGCCAACUGGGGUUGGUGGCUUGUGUUCAGGAAGUUGUUUCUCUCCCUUGGGAGGUUUACCAAUUGGGGUUGGUGGCUUGUGUUCUAGGAGUGGUUUCUCUCCCUUGGGAGGUUUAGUGGGUGACUUGUGUUCUGGAGGUGGCUUCUCCACCGGAGACUUGUGUUCUGGAAUUGAUUAAAAAAAUUCUACCACUCUUUUAAGUAAUGGAAGAUUAUUAUCUCUGAUUGGCACCACAACAGCACAUGCUGCUAGAUCUUUCUAGACACUCCAUGCAAUGAAAGCACAAUGGAUCUUGUAACGAUAGAAACUAAGCCAUGCUACAGUACUAGAUGACGAGGUAAAACUAGUAGACAUGGGUGGUAGUUGAUUACUACUCAAAAAGUACUCUUUUAUAGUUUGAAACUAACUGUUUUAAACACUUUUGAGUAGUAGUUAAUAAAUUUUAACUCAAUUGGCACAUUAAGGAACCUAGCAAGGGUUACUAAUAAACUUUUGGCAAGUUUUGGUGUUUUUGGUAGUUAUUCGAUCAUUGAAACAAGCCAAGAAUGAGGGAGAAUUUUGUGAAGUCCAUGGCAAUGCAAGUUAAAGCUCAAAUACACGAAGAAUCCAAGCUUUGGAGCACUACAUAGCCCUUUGCCAAGCCAAUUAGAGAUGCAAGGAACAAAACCAAAGGAAGAAAUCCAACAACCAACAUUUUCGCAUGGUUGUGUGAAAUUUCGCACACCAUGCGAAACCACAAGAGGUAGCCAAAGAAUUUCACAUGGUAUGCGAAAUCUUCUCAUGCACCGACUCCGUUAGAUUUUUAUCUUCAGAUAUUUUGUGUAAUUUCCUAGUUUCUCCUUGUAACCAACCUAGAUAUUUUCUUUUAUAUCUUUUUUUAUAUUUUUUAGGUAACAUCAUAUAUAAGGGGAGAGACAUAAGGAGGAUAUGGAUGUUUUUCAUAGAACACUUGUAAAUUUUCAGUAGUAAGAAAUAUACAAAGCUUUUUGCUAUGCCUUACCUUCUCAUUUUGUUUUCACCUGUCUUUCUAGCCAAACAACCUCUAAGGAUGAUUUCUCAGGGGAUGAGUGGCUAGGUUUUACGUUUCUUGGAGUGAGGGAAGCUAGGUGAAGGACCUGAAUGCAAAGAUGAGAGUUUUCCUUGCUUUAAAUGAAAGUAGUUGUUAAACAUUAAUGGUUUUUAUUUUAAGGUUUAGCUUUAAAUCCCUUAAAAACACCUUGAAUGACCAAUACUUGGUAAGCUUUUCGGAUUCUAUGGAUGCUUAUUGCUAGAUCCAUGGAUGUCUAUUAGUUAUCAUUUACGAGCCUUUGGAAGGUGAUUCAAGGUGAGGGUCUUUAGUGUUUGAAGCCAUUAAUGGGAAGCAAUUACCAUUUUUUCAUGAAUCCUUUGGAUCAAAUCUUAAUUGCUAAAUAUAAAACCGAUUUGGGAAAUAACCAUCCUUUAUGUUAUUAUCCCCAACGCAAGGAGAAGAUCCGGAAUCUUCCCUUUUGUCUAAGGAACCCGAUCCUAGUGACCUAAAGCUCCAAGAGACCUUUUCUUUGUAGUUAACUUCAUUUAUUGUUUUUGCUUAACUUAAAAUCAAUCUUUGCAACCACAAUUCCAUUUUCUUUAAAAGCUAAUUUUUAUAAGGAAAAACACCAUUUUAUUUCCUUCACUAAGUCAACUGUACGAUGAAAACCCAUCCCUGUGGACGAUCCUAGAGCCAUUAUACUAUGUUAGCUAUGCUACCCUAGUGUGAGGUGAUUUAGGUUUUAUAAAUUUUGUUGAUAACACCCAUCUGAGCCAGAAUCAAAUGGCACAACUGAACCAGGGACGAAUCAAAUGGCGCCGCUAUCGAGGAUGGUGCCAAAGUACAUUGACAUGACUUUUGGUGAACACUUGUGAUCUUCAUCACAAGUUUGGUGAUUUUUCUAUUACUAAUUUUUUUCUUUGUUUUUAUUUUAGCUUAUCUUUUAUUUAGUUUUUAGCUAACCUUAACUUUUUCUUAGAAUUGUAUUUCUUCUAUUUUCUUUGUUUUUGUUUCAGUGAUCUUUAGUUGUGCAUGCCCUAUUGGAUAAGAAAUAUUGAGGGAAUACUUGUGAAGAUUGAAAAUCCUCGAGAAACUGAGUUGGAAGUGUGAUUGAACAUCAUGGAUGUUCCACCUGAAGACCAGAAUAGCCAACAUGGUUAAGAGGAUAAUUUCAAAGCAUACCGAUCCAUGAGGGACUGCAUGCAUCCACCUCGUAUGAGUGCACCGUCAUGCAUAGUGCCUCCCACUGAGCAACUAGUAAUCUGACCUCACAUUGUGCCACUCCUACCUACUUUCCAUGGGAUGGAGAGUGAGAAUCUCUACUCGCAUAUUAAGAAAUUCGAGGAGGUUUGUAAUACAUUCCAAGAAGGAGGAGCUUCAAUUGACUUGAUGAGGCUCAAGCUAUUUCCUUUCACUUUGAAGGAUAAGGCUAAGAUUUGGCUUAAUUCUUUAAGGCCAAGGAGUAUCCGAACUUGGACUAAUUUGCAAGCCGAUUUUCUUAAGAAGUUCUUCCUUACCCAUAGGACCAAUGGUUUGAAAAGGCAAAUUUCGAACUUCUCAGCUAAAGAGAAUGAGAAAUUCUAUGAGUGAUGGGAGAGGUACAUGGAAGCUAUUAAUGCUUGUCCUCACCAUGGCUUUGACACAUGGCUCUUAGUGAGUUAUUUUUACGAUGGUAUGUCUUCUUCAAUGAAGCAACUCCUAGAAACUAUGUGUGGAGGAUACUUCAUGAGUAAGAAUCCGAAGGAAGCCAUGGACUUUUUGAGUUAUGUGGCUGAAGUUUUAAGAGGAUGGGAUGAACCAAAUGCUAGAGAGGUGGAAAGAAUGAAGUCUCAACCUAAUGCUAAGGGUGGGAUGUAUGUUUUGAAUGAAGACAUUGACAUGAAAGCAAAGGUUGUAGCUAUGGCAAGGAGAUUGGAAGAGCUAGAAAUGAAGAAGGCACAAAAAGUGGAAGCCAUUUCUGAGACAUCAGUGCAAGCUAUGCCUUGUUCCAUUUGUCAACCUAAUGCUAAGGGUGGGAUGUAUGUUUUGAAUGAAGACAUUGACAUGAAAGCAAAGGUUGUAGCUAUGGCAAGGAGAUUGGAAGAGCUAGAAAUGAAGAAGGCACAAAAAGUGGAAGCCAUUUCUGAGACAUCAGUGCAAGCUAUGCCUUGUUCCAUUUGUCAAUCUUAUGAGUACCUAGUGGAGGAGUGUCCUACAAUUCCAGUAGUGAGAGAGAUGUCUGGUGAUCAAGCAAAUGUUAUUGAUCAAUUCAAGCCUAAUAAAAAUGCUUCAUAUGGCAACACCUACAAUUCAAAUUGGAUGAACCAUCCAAAUUUCUCUUGGAAACCAAAGCUACCUCAAUACACACAACCUGCUCAAGCACCUUAGCAAUCCUCGAAUCUUGAACAAGCUAUUGUGAACCUUAGUAAGGUUGUGGGAGAUUAAAAGUCCAUCAAUGCUCAACUGAAUCAGAGAAUUGACAGUGUAGAGAGUACAUUGAACAAAAGGAUGGAUGAGAUGCAAAAUGAUCUGUCUCAAAAGAUAGACAAUGUCCAAUAUGCAAUCUCAAGGCUUACCAACCUCAACACAGUGCAAGAGAAAGGAAAGUUUAUUUCUCAACCUCAUCAAAAUCCCAAGGGUAUCCAUGAAGUGGAGGCUCAAGAGAGAGAAUCUUCAAAGGUGAGGGAAGUCAAAGCAGUUAUCACCUUGAGGAGUGGUAAAGAGGUUGAUCAACCCACAUCCAAGCCAAAGCAUAAUGAAGAGAGUUUUGUAGAAAAAGAAAAGAGAGGAAAAUAAAGGAAAGAGAAUAGAGAAAAGUACAAAGAAAGAUGACCAUGAGUCUAGUGUGGAUGAAGAGCCCAAGAGGAUAGUGAUCAAGGAAAAUAUGAUGAAGAAACACAUGCCUCCACCUUUCCCCUAAGCUUUGCAUGACAAAAAAGGAACCAAUAAUACAUCGGAAAUUUUUGAAGUAUUGAGGCAAGUGAAGGUCAAUAUCCCUUUGCUAGAGAUGAUCAAACAAGUGCCGACAUAUGCAAAAUUCUUGAAGGACUUGUGCACUGUAAAGAGAGGGUUGAAUGUGAACAAGAAAGCUUUCUUGACCGAGCAAGUGAGUUCCAUCAUACAGUGCAAGUCUCCAGUGAAGUACAAAUAUCCGGGCUACCCUACCAUCUCAGUGAGUAUUGGAGGUACUUGUGUGGAAAAAGCUUUGUUGGACUUGGGAGCAAGUGUGAAUUUGCUACCCUACUCUGUCUAUAAGUAGUUGGGACUUGGAGAGUUGAAGUCAACAUCCAUCACCCUAUCUCUGGCAGAUAGAUCAGUGAAGAUUCCAAGAGAGAUGAUAGAAGAUGUCUUGGUUCAAGUUGACAAAUUCUACUAUCCAGUGGAUUUUGUUGUUCUUGAUACGGAUCCGAUUGUCAAAGGAACUAAUUAUGUUCCUAUCAUACGAAGACCCUUCCUAGCUACAUCAAAUGCAAUCAUCAAUUGUAGGAAUGGAGUCAUGAAACUCACGUUUGUCAACAUGACAUUAGAGCUCAACAUCUUCCAUUUGUACAAGAAGCAUAUCCAUUCAGAAGAAAAAGAAGGUCUAGAGGAAGUGUGCAUGAUUGACACUUUAGUGGAGGAGCAUUGUGAUCGACAAUGCAAGAAGAUUUAGUUGAGAGUUUUGGGGAUCUUGAUGAAGGGUUACUUGAACCCUCAGAUUUGCUUGCUACCCUACUCCAUUGGAGGAAGAGAGAAGAAAUUCUACCCUUAUUCAAUGAGGAGGAGACACAAAGAGCUGCUAAAGAUAAGCCCCCAAAGCUUAUUCUUAAGCCACUACCCACAGAGUUGAAGUAUGCAUACUUGGAAGAAGACAAGAAGUGCACUGUUGUUAUAUCUUUAGCUCUUACCAUUCAUCAGGAGGAUUGUCUACUUGAAGUCCUUAGAAGAAGUAAGAAGGUAAUAGGGUGGCAAAUUUCUGAUUUGAAAGGGAUCAGCCCUUUUGUCUGCACCCAUCAUAUUUACAUGGAGGAUGAAGCUAAGCCAAUUCAUCAACCUCAGAGAAGGUUGAACCCUCACAUGCAAGAAGUGGUGAGAGUUGAAGUUCUUAAGCUACUUUAGGCUGGUAUUAUUUACCCCAUAUCAGAUAGCCCAUGGGUGAGUCCUACUCAAGUUGUGCCAAAGAAGUCGGGGAUCACGGUGGUGCAAAAUGAUAAGGGAAAAGAUGUCUCUACAUGUCUCACUAUAGGUUGGAGGGUGCGUAUCAAUUACAGGAGGUUGAAUGUAGUGACAAGGAAUGACCAUUUCUCGUUGCCCUUUAUUGAUCAAGUGCUUGAGAGGGUCUCUGGGCAUCCUUUUUAUUGUUUCUUGGAUGGCUACUCGAGGUAAUUUAAGAUAGAAAUUGAUGUUGAAGACCAGGAGAAGACCAUUUUCACAUGCCCAUUUAGAACCUAUGCAUAUAGGAGAAUGUCUUUCGGCUUAUGCAAUGCACCCACAACUUUCCAAAGAUGCAUGUUAAGCAUUUUCAAUGAUAUGGUGGAGCAUAUUAUGGAAGUCUUUAUGGAUGAUAUCACCAUAUAUGGAAGUGCAUUUGAUGAAUGCUUGGUCAACUUAGAAGUUGUUCUGAACCGAUGCAUUGAGAAAGACUUAGUGCUUAAUUGGGAGAAGUGCCAUUUCAUGGUACACCAAGGGAUUGUCCUUGGGCACAUCAUCUCCAAGCAAAGCAUUGAAGUUGACAAAGCAAAGGUUGAACUCAUUGUUAAGUUGCCAUUCCCAACAAAUGUCAAAGGAGUAAGGCAAUUCCUUGGCCAUGCCGGGUUCUAUAGGAGGUUUAUCAAGGAUUUCUCUAAGCUUGCAAGGCCUCUUUGUGAAAUAUUGGUGAAGGAUGUUAAAUUCAUAUGGGAUGAUAGAUGCCAAAGGAGUUUUGAAGAAUUGAAGCUAUUUUUGACAACCUCACCAAUAGUGAGGGCUCCCAACUAGCAACUGCCCUUUGAGGUAAAGUGUGAUGUCAAUGACUUUGCUAUAGGAGCUGUUCUUGGGCAAAGAGAAGAUGGAAAACCUUAUGUGAUCUACUAUGCGAGCAAGACAUUGAAUGAGGUGCAAAGAAACUACAUAACCACCGAGAAAGAAUUGUUAGCUGUAGUUUUUGCCUUGGAUAAGUUUCGUGCUUACUUGGUGGGAUCCUUCAUCGUGGUUUUUAUUGAUCACUUUGCUUUGAAGUAUCUAUUGACUAAGCAAGAUGCUAAAGCAAAACUGAUUAGAUGGAUUUUCUUGCUUCAAGAGUUCAAUCUCCAGAUCAAAGACAAGAAAAAAAUGGAGAAUGUGGUAGUAGACCACAUUUCAAGGCUAGCUAUCGCACAUAAUUCCCAUGCUUUGCCCAUUAAUGACGAUUUUCUAGAGGGGUCUCUCAUGUUGGUGGAAGUUGUCCCUUGGUACGCUCACAUUGCUAACUACCUGGUCACAAGAGAAGUUCCAAGUGAGUGGAAAGCACAAGAUAAGAAGCACUUCUUUGCAAAAAUUCAUGCCUACUAUUGGGAAAAGCCAUUUCUAUUCAAGUAUUGUGCGGAUCAGAUAAUAAGGAAGUGAGUUCCUGAAGAAGAGCAACAGGGGAUCCUCAGUCAUUGCCAUAAAAAUGCAUGUGGAUGCCACUUUGCUUAUCAGAAGACAACCAUGAGGGUGCUGCAAUCGGGUUUCUGUUGGCCAUCACUUUUCAAAGAUGCCCACACCAUGUGCAAGAGUUGUGAUCGAUGCCAGAGGCUUGGGAAGUUAUCAUGUAGGAACAUGAUGCCUUUGAACCCCAUUUUAAUAGUUGAUCUUUUUUAUGUUUGGGGCAUUGACUUCAUGGGACUUUUCCCUAUAUCUUUUGGCUACUCUUACAUCUUGGUGGGAAUAGAUUAUGUUUCUAAGUGGGUUGAGGCAGUCCCAUGCAAACACAAUGACCAUAGAGUGGUUCUCAAGUUUCUUAAGGAGAACAUCUUCUCAAGAUUUGGGGUGCCCAAAGCCAUAAUUAGUGAUGGGGGUACUCAUUUUUGCAACAAGCCUUUUGAAACUCUCCUAGCCAAGUAUGGGGUGAAGCAUAAGGUAGCUACACCUUACCACCCUCAAACUAAUGGGCAAGUUGAGUUAGCAAACAAGGAGAUUAAAAACAUAUUGAUGAAGGUGGUGAACACAAACAGAAAAGAUUGGUCAGUCAAGCUCUUCGAUUCACUAUGGUCAUGUAGAACAGCUUACAAGACCAUUAUCGGGAUGUCUCUUUAUCACCUAGUCUAUGGAAAAAAUGCCAUCUCCUUGUGAAAUUGGAAUACAAAGCUUGGUGGUCAAUCAAGAAGCUCAACAUGGAUUUGAGCAGAGCUGGGUUGAAGAGGUUCUUAGACCACAAUGAGAUGGAGGAAUUGAGAAAUGAUGCCUACAUCAAUUCAAAAAUUGUAAAAGAAAAAUUGAAGAGGUGGCAUGAUCAGUUGAUUUCCCGCAAGAAUUUUCAAAAUGGAUAAAGAGUCUUGCUCUAUGACUCUAAACUCCACAUCUUUCCGAGCAAGCUGAAAUCAAGGUGGAUAGGUCCUUUUACCAUUCACCAAGUGCAUUCAAAUAGAGUAGUGGAACUACUCAACUCCAACAACAUCGGGAGCUUCAAAGUGAAUGACCAUUGUCUCAAGCCCUUUGUAGAGUCUUUUUUCUCGCGACAAGGAGGAAUUCAUCCUCCUUGAUCCACAUCAAGCUUGACAAGACCAGUUUUUUUUUAUGGACUUAGUCUUUCUAAAGACUAUCGAGUCCAUAACUUUUUAUUUUAUUUUUUAUUUGAGAGUUUUUCGGUAUUAUUACUUGUUUUGUUUUUUAUUUUUCGUUUUACUUUUAUUUGGUUUGAUUUAACUUAGAUUUUUUAUGAUCAAUUGCAGGGGGGAUUUCAAAUAGAGGAAAAACCAAGAUAAUUCGCACACCCUGCGAAAAUUUCGCAAGGCAUGCGAAAUUUAUGGCUCAUUUCGCAUGGGAUGCGAAAUUUCGCACACCCUACGAACCAAUUUCGCACACUUUGUGAAAAUAAACCAACCCUACGAAAUCAUUUCAAAUACUCUACGAAAUUUUCGCAGAGCAUGUAAAAAAUUUCGCAGACCAAACACCAUUUCGCAUACUAUGCGAAAAUGUAAGGGGUCUACAAAACCAUUUCGCACCUCCAAAGCCAUUUCGCACAUUGUGCAAAAAUGAAAAGUCGCCCUAUCAUCCAUUUUUAAACCCCUUGAGCCCUGAAAUCCCCAUUUCGCAAGCACCCCUGUCCUUGCGAAUCCCUCAUUUUCCUCUGCCACCUUGCGACCUUGUCCCUCUCCAUUUGAUAUCGUGCCCUGCGCACAUCUCAUUUCAAAGACUCGCACUCUGCGCCCUCUCAAAGCACGAACCCAAGGCUCACAUUCCAUUUCCGACAUGGCACAGACCCGAGGAGCCCUUCCCGCCCCUUCAUCGAGACGCACACCAAGGUAGAGAGCCUCUUUUGCUCAGAUGCCAAGUGAUUCUCCAUUUCAGGCCACGGAGGCCCUGCGGAUUCCACAUUCCAAGGGUAGAACAGCCACUGGUCCUUCCUCUUCUAUUCCUCAGCGUAGAUAUGAGACGAGGAGACCACCUACUACACAAAGGGCGACUACUUCGCGCCAUGAGAAUUCGGUACGACACCCUCCUGCCAAGAGGGCCAGGACUUCAGGCCCAGGCGAGUCAUCCAAAGCUUCACAGCCUGAGCCUCCUGCAGAUUCCGAGGUUCCUACUGACAUAUCAUCGGAGUCUAUUAUCAAACGCCCGAUGCUCACAGCACCGCCCAUUGAGGGCAACUCUGAUUGUAGAGCGAGACCUUUCCACUUGGAGCUAUAUUUUAAUUAAGAGGCCAUGCCACAGCAGCCUGAGCUCCAAGACUCUUAUGGCUUACUACAGAGGUACCAUCUUGAGGACCUUAUGACUCCUCGUGAGUUCUUUUAUCCCAGAGUAGCACUAGACUUUUACCAGUCCAUGACUACUCGUGGCGUCCCGAGUCCUACCGCGAUGCACUUCACCAUUAAUGGACGUCAUGGUAUCCUCGAGGCCAGACAUAUUGGAGAGGCUCUACAGAUUCCUUUCGAGCUAGAGGACCCAUCUGUUUUCUGCCAAUGGUCCCCAAUAUCUCAGAGGGACAUGGUCCAUAUUUUAUCCAGGGGGACAUCUACAUAUUCGAUCCUUCUACGGAAGGAGCUUCGACCUGGGAUACUCCUCGUAGAUGUGGUGCUACUUUCCAACCUCUUUCCCUUUUAGCAUUCGAUACAUAGGCGAGGAGCUAUUUUGGACGCUUUAUUCUGUAUAUCAGAGGGCUUCUACUUUGGCCCGCACCACUUGAUCAUGGUUUCCCUCAUCCAUUUUGAGGAGAAGGUCCAUAGAAAGAAGCUUCAGAGGGCGAACACCAUUCCAUUACUAUUCCCGAGGUUGCUCUACUAGAUCUUGGAGUACAUGGGCUUUCCUACUGAGCCUCGGCUUGUGUGCCGCCGCCUUUGUCAAGAGCGAUCCACUCUCGACAAAUGGAAUCAGUUGGCGGGCUAUUCUACACCUCCAGGAGCCCCUCCCAUGGUAGCACCUCUAGUGUCCCCACAGGCAGAGUAGGGCAAGCUCCCGGUAGAGACUGCACCCCUAGUGCCCACACCUGAGGCUACUUCUGCUGUUCCGCCUACGACUCCUACUGUUCCACCAGUUGGUCCUUUUACAUCUGAGUCUUCCAUCAACAUCUCGACUUCGGAGUUUCGCGCCCUUGUGCAUACCUUUCAGACACUCACCACCACACAUACUGCUCUCUUCUAGAAAAUGGCUGAGAUGCGUGCCCAUCAGGACCAGCAGACUACUAUACUCCGCCAAAUUCAACAGCACCUGGGACUUCUGCCUCUGCCUCAGCUUGACCUUCCCACAUCAUCAGAGCCUCUAGCUCCAGUUGAGGAUACUAUUCCACCUGAGGACACUACCACAGUAGAGGUUCAGAUUCCACCACCUCAGGAGGCCACCACAGCUACAUUAGAGGAUGCAUCAUCUCCACCUGAGGCUCCCACUACUUGAUCAUAGGACAUCUCUUUAUCUUAUUGUAUUUACAUAUUAUAUUACUGGAGAUUUGUCUUUGUUUUGAUACUUUAUAUUCUGGCAUUGAAUGUAUUGCCUAAUGAUAUCUCAAUUGUACUUUCUCAUAUUAAUAUAUAGACAUCAAUUUUUUUUAGUAUACUUAGGAUUUUUCUAUUUACUCUACUCAUUACUCUUUUGUUUUUUUUUUUUUACUCAUGUGGUUUCUCCUAUACGACUCAGACUCCAUUUCACUCAGGAGGUACCACUUCUUCCCUUUAUUUUCAAUUGCUCUUGAAACAUUGAGGGCAAUGUUGAUCUUGGUUGGAGGGAGAGUUGAGGAAGGAAGUGAUUACUACUCAAAAAGUGCUAUUUCAUAGCUUGUAAUUAACUCUUUUAAAACACUUUUGAGUAGUAGUUAUCACCUUUUAACCCAAUUAACAUAUUAAGGACCCUUGCAAUCAAUUCUAAUCAAAUUGUGUUAAGUUUUGGUAUUUUGAUAGCUUUUUUAUCACCAAAGCAAUCCGAGAUUGAGGAUAUUUAUUUGGAAUCCAUGGCAAAAGAUGUUUGGACAGGACGUCCGGACACACCAUCGGAGGGCGGCGGAACGUGGGCUGUGGCAGGCUGUCGGAAUGACGUAGCAAGGCUUGUGCACUUUAGCCAAUGAUCGGGAUAACAUAUCCGAAAUUCUGCUCCGCCGACAUUCCACCCGGAUGUCUCACAUCCGGAAUUCUGCUCCGCCGACAUUACACCCAGAUGUCUCACAUCCAAAAUUCUUCUCCGUCGACAUUCCAUCCGAAUAUUUCACAUCCGACGCUUGACGCCGGAUGGGAGAGGAGGGCGUUUCAACUUCCCCGGUCAGACAUAUCCGAAUCCUUUGAUAACGCUUACCCGGAGAGUUUCGCAGCCAUUUUGCACAGUGCCGCGGUGUUCUCUUGAAGCUUCCCGAUAUGUGCGACCGACAUUUUGAGAUAUUUUGCUUUAGAUAUUUGAUGUCUAAAUCCCCAAACUCUCCUUGUAACCCACCAAUUAUAGGAUUCCUUAGUUAUUAAGUUUGGAAAAAUGGUGAAUAACCCCUUAUAUAUAGUUUGCAAUUUUCAUAAAAAAGAUAUGUAGAAUCUCGGGAGCUUGUUCCCAGAGAGACGCAUCCUUUGUACAGUUUUGGAAGGAAGUAAAAUACAGAGCACUUGCUCUGCUUUUCAUAUAUAUUUUUGUUUUCUCGUUCUUUUUAUUUCUAGCCAAUCAAAGUCUGAGGAUUUUUCCUCAGAGGAUGAGAGGCUAGGCUCUUCGUCUCUUGGAGUGAAGAAAACUAGGUAAGUUUCCACAUGCAUAAAUUGAAAGUUUUGUUGUUUUAGUUUUUAAUGAAGAGAAAGUGUGACCCGUUAAUGGUUUUUAUCUUUUUAGUUAACUUAAAACGCCUUUAAAUCACCCGGGCCAACACUUGAUAAGGCAAGUGGUCUCCAUCCAUUGAGAUGCACUAGUUUAUCUCUUGCGAGCCUUUGGGAGGUGGUUUGAAGGUAGGAUUUUCUAGAAUAACCAACACUUGAUAAGCUUUUGGACUCUAAGGAGACAUCCAUUAGUUAUCUCUUGCGAGCUUUUGACGGGUAAUCCAAGGUUAAAGAUCACCUUGAAUGGCAAGUACUAGGUGAGAGGUAUGAGCCAUUGCAAGAUGCAUUAGUGAGAGGGAUUUAGUGUUUGAACCCAUUAAAGGGAAGCAUCUGUACCACACCGGUUCGGGAAAUAACUAUAUGUUAAAUCCCCAAUGAGAGGAAAAGAAACAAGUGACCGGAACUCCCUUUUUGUAUAAGGAACCUGAGCCUAGUGAUCUAAACUCCAAGAAACACUUUUCUUUGUAAGUAAAAUCAGUUACUAUUUUUGGUUAGUUUAAAACCAAACCUUUUUCAUUCAAACAUCUUUAUGUUUUCUUUUAAAGCUAACCUUGAAAUGAAAAGGCACCAAUUCAUAUUUGAAUUAAUAUCAAUUGUGAAGUGAAAACCCAUCCCAGUGAACGAUCCUAGAGCCACUAUGCUAUAGUAGCUUUGUCUUUGCUACCCUAGUUCAUGGUUUAAUAGGUUAUAAAUUUUGUUGAUUACUCCCACAAUCAAAGGAGCACCAGUUGGACAUGAAUCAACUGAGACACUAAUUGGGCACAAAUCAGGAAGUUUUGUUAAUAAUGCUAGGUUAAUUUGUUAAUUUAGUUACUUUCUGCUUAAUUUUAAAAGUUUUCACUUUACUUUCCAUAGUUAUUAAGGAAAAAUUCUCAAAAUGAAAUGGGAGAAAUUGAAUUCUUACAUUUUUACUUGAAUUUUAGAAUUUGUAUUAUGCUUAUUGAAGCUGAUGAAUUAUUGAAACUCCUAUUGAAUUCAACCUUAUUUCUUCCACUUUAAUCUUACCACACACGGUGCACAUUAGGUUCCGAUUAUAAGAGGUGCGUUCUUAGCCUAUUGGAGGUUGGUCAAUUUGUUAAAGUUUGAGAAAGAUCUAGGUUAGGGGAGAGAGAAUAGUCUGACAUACUAUAAUCGAAAACUAAUAAACUUAACACUUAGAUCUUUGUGGAAGAGUAAGGAUUGGACCUUUGGGAGUGGAAAUUCGUUUGAUGCUUAAAUUUGCAUAAUGCUUACACUUUAUAAAUUGUGAUUAGGCAAGAGAUUUGAUGACUCUUGUUCAAGGUUGGGUUUUGCCUCUUUGAUGUUCCAUGAGAGAGUAUAAUCCUCAUCAUGCCACUUGAAAUUUUUUUUGGAGUGAUUAACAUGAUUUUGUAAAUUACUUUACUGUCUAUUUUUUUUUUAUCUCUCCUUCAUUGCUAAUGGACUAGCAAUAUGUCAGUUGAGGGGAGUGAUUACUACUCAAAAAGUACUCUUUUAUAGCUUGAAACUAACUGUUUUGAACACUUUUGAGUAGUAGUUAAUACCUUUUAACUCAAUUGGCACAUUAAAGAACCUAGCAAGGGUUACUAAUUAGUUUUUGGCAAGUUUUGGUGUUUUUGGUAGCUAUUUGAUCAUUGAAACAAGCCAAGAAUGAGGGAGAAUUUUGUGAAGUCCAUGGCAAUGCAAGUUAAAGCUCAAAUACAUGAAGAAUCCAAGCUUUGGAGCACUUCAUAGCCCUUUCCAAAGCCAAUCAGAGAUGCAAGGAAGAAAACCAGAGGAAGAAAUCCAACAAUUAGCAUUUUCGCAUGGCUGUGCGAAAUUUCGCACACCAUGCGAAACCACAAGAGGCAGCCAAAGAAUUUUGCACACUAUGCGAAAUUUCGCAUGGUAUGCAAAAUCUUCUUGUGCACCAACUCCGUUAUAUUUUUAUCUCAAAUAUUUUGUGUAAUUUCCUAGUUUCUCCUUGUAACCAACCUAGAUAUUUUCUUUUAUAUAUUUUUUAGGUAACAUCAUCUAUAGGGGGAGAGACAUAAGGAGGAUAUGGAUGUUUUUCAUAGAACACUUGUAAAUUUCCGGUAGUAAGAAAUAUACAGAGCUUUUUGCUCUACCUUACCUUCUCAUUUUGUUUUCACUUGUCUUUCUAGCCAAACAACCUCUGAGGAUGAUUUCUUAGGGAAUGAGUGGCUAGGUUUUACGUUUCUUGGAGUGAGGGAAGCUAGGUGAAAGACCCGAAUGCUAAGGUGGGAGUUGUCCUUGCUUUAAAUGAAAGUAGUUGUUAAACAUUAAUGGUUUUUAUUUUAAGGUUUAGCUUUAAAUCCCUUAAAAACAUCUUGAAUGGUCAAUACUUGGUAGGCUUUUUGGAUUCUAUGGAUGCUUAUUGCUAGAUCCCUGGAUGUCUAUUAGUUAUCAUUUAUGAGCCAUUGGAAGGUGGUUCAAGAUGAGGGUCUUUAAUGUUUGAAGCCAUUAAUAGGAAACAAUUACCAUUCUUUCAUGAAUCCUUUGGAUCAAAUCUUAAUUGCUAAAUAUAAAACUAGUUCGGGAGAUAACCAUCCUUUAUGUUAUUAUGCCCAACGCGAGGAGAAGAUUCGGAAUCUUCCCCUUUGUCUAAGGAACCCGAUCCUAGUGACCUAAAGCUCUAAGAGACCUUUUCUUUAUAGUUAACUUCACUUAUUGUUUUUUCUUAACUUAAAAUCAAUCUUUGCAACCACAAUUCCAUUUUCUUUGAAAGCUAAUUUUCAUAAGGAAAAUCACCAUUUUAUUUUCUUCCCUAAGUCAACUGUACGAUGAAAACCCAUUCCCAUGGACGAUCCUAGAGCCACUAUACUAUGUUAGCUAUGCUACCCUAAUGUGAGGUGAUUUAGGUUUUAUAAAUUUUGUUGAUAACACCUGUUUGAGCCAGAAUCAAAUGGCGCAACUGAACCAGGGACGAAUCAACAACUUAUAUGGGAGGGACACAAGUUUAAUUGAUUUGCAUUUCAACGUUAUAUAUAGGUAUGUUUUGGAAGAUUUGUUCUGGAAAUACUGCACCAAGUACGAUUCUUUUUGUCUUGAGUGGGUCUACUUGCAUGCCAAUUAACGAGUGGAAAAGUAGGAGCACCUACCUCAUGCUCGCGGAACCGAAGGUCAGUGAAGUGGGGCUCCUUUUGGCCUCUUGUGUUUCUAUUCCAACCAAGGCGGCGUAAGGAAAAACAACAAUAUGUUUGUGCUAAAUAUCAACGCAUGAUAGAUGUUUUUGUUUUUUGGUAUGUCAAGGCUAAUGAAUGAAAUGCUUUAGCUUGUUUUGUGACUGGAACUGCAAAUGUCCAAAUUGGAGUAUCUCCAUUUCUCACUUCGGAUGGUUAACUUAUAAACAAGAUAUAGGAAACAUGUGAACAUCUUGAGGAACAAUUUGAAUUAUUCAUUAGAAGUCCUGGGUUGAGUUCCAAGAUUUAAAUUAGACCCCUCUAGCAGCUUCAGGGGUACCUAGCAACCUAUAGCAUAUUAAUGAAGAUUUAGGAUUUAGACUCUAGAAUACAAAUUAAUAUGUAUCUCAUGCUUUGACUAGCUUCCCUACAUAUGCACAAAAUGGAGAUGACCUAAAAAAAUAGCAGAAUCUAGCUUCCCUACAUAUGCACAAAAUGGAGAUGACCCAAAAAAUAGCAGAAUUUCCUUAGUUUCUGUGGUUAAGGUGAUUCUCCGCUUAAUAUCACAUUGACUCAUUAUGCAAAAUCAACUGAGCUAAUUUUGUUUAUUUAUUUAAUGUCAAAUAGGAACUCCUAAUUAACCUAACCCUUGGCCUGUGUAAAUUGAUUUCACAUGCCCAAUGUUGAAGUAGAAGUCCAUAUUUUGAAUUUUAUUUUUGUAAAGGUAAGGAAAAUGAAGCAUUGUGUAAUUAUAAAAAUAACUUCAUUGGAAUUCACAAGGUUCACCCAAAAUGGAGCUACAUCCGUAUUCUAUCCUGCAGUAGACUAUAUAGAUUGUACAAUAGUAAAUUGCAAAUACAAUUAAUAAGUCUUGUGCUUCCUUACUAAUAAUCCUUUGACAUGAACAUUGCAGCACUAAGGUCCUCUUGGGAAGACACCUUGCACCCAUGAGAGCACGAAGAGGAAGCAAGGCAGAGUCAUGGGUGCAAUGUCAUGACUUGUUGUUGCACCAAGAGAGGCUUGGUGAUGGCAUGGUGUUGCAGUAGCAAGAAUGUUGCCUUGGUAGGGACAUAAUCUAGGGAUAGAUGCCAAGAAAGGCUUAGCACUCACAUGAGUUGCACAAAGAUGAAUGUAAUAGAGCAUCAGAGAGACGUCUUGGCAAGUAAAUGAAUGGAUCCAAGAGGCAACAACAUGAGGAGUUUCAAAUGGAUAAGGAAUGAGUCAAAGACAUUUGAAAGCUACAAGUUGGAUUCUAAUUACGAUUGCAAUUUGAGUUUGAGUAGGAGUUUAGAUUCUGAUUGUAAUUGUAGUAUGAGUUGGACUAGGAUUGCUUAUCCCUAGUCAAAAUAGGAGUGGUUCGUGUCACACCCUAUGAAAAGAGUUUGAGUAGGGACUAGGAUUGCUUACUCCUAGUCAAAUAUGGAGUAGGUGGUGCCACACCUAUAAAAAAAAAGGGACAACAUGAGAGAGAGAGAGAGAGAGAGAGAGAGAGAGAGAGAGAGAGAGAGAGAGAGAAAGAGAUAAUGAAUUCACUAAAGAUAUUGUGGGAGUUUUUCUUUGUUACGUCUUGUAUUAUUACUUAGAAUAGGAAUAAAAUACAAGUUUGGGCUAGAGCCCCAUAAUUAAUCUCGUGUGCCUUUGUGGUUAUUCUUUAUUUGUCAUCUCGUGUGGAUUGGAUUACAUUGACUUAGAGGGCUUCUAAGCACCACCUUUGUGGGUUAUUAUUUAUUUUCCAUUUCUUGUGGAUUAGAUUAGGUUGACUUUGAGGGCUUUUAAGCACCACCUUUGUGGGUUAUUCUUUAUUUUCCAUAUCGUGGGGAUUGGAUUAGGUUGACGAUGAGAAAAAUUAUGUGGGAAAUUUGUGUUGGGACACUUAUCAUAACCAGGUAAAAUCUGCCAAGUCCUUUGUAAUAUCUUCAACAAAUAUUUCAGACUAGUUCUUCACCAUAAACAUCAUAUUGUGUUUUGUUUUUCUCCUGGAUUCUGAGUUGAAUUGUUUCAAGUCAAUUGAAUGCAUCUGAAUAUUAUUAGCUUGUUUGAAGGCCUGGUGAUUUUCCAUUUAACUUUACUUUCUUUAGGUUAUGCUCACUAUAAGAAAAAUGAGAAAUAAUGACGCUUUUUACGCGUUAAGAAAGGCAACAGAUGAUGCUUCUCUAAAGCGUCCUCUUCGGCUCUGUCAUUAUAUGUGUUAGCCAAUAAUGACGCUUCUAGGAAGUGCCAUCUUUGAAUAAUGUUAAUAACGACACUCGUAAAAAGUGUCAUCUUUAAACAUAUUCUGGUCAAAUAAUUUUUACAAAAUUAGUAAUCUUCAAGCCGUUUCUGAAUCAUAUCUGAGCCUAUUUCUGGGGACCAGAAAACCAUCUUUUUUCCAUUCGCCUGAGAGGUCUGAUUAGCAUUUCUGGAAUCAAUCUCUAAACCCAAGCUUCCCUCAUCUACCCAUUUAACCCUCAUGCCCUCCUGUUUGAACAACUUUCCCACUAUAUACACAAAUUUUUUACCUUCUGUUGUUGGUAUUCGACCUCUUCCCAUUCCCAGCACAGAAUCCACCAUUAGUGCCACUUUGUGAAUAAAAUCAUCGAACCAGAUCUUUCGGGCGGAAGAUGAGCUCCAGAGAAAUAAAAUUUUUGGGGUCUUCCCAGCAUGAAAGUCAUAGGUAGCAUUAAUGACAUCAAGAAAUGGGGCACUGUUGAGAAAAAACAUGUUCCCAUCAACCACCCAAGAAUUGUACCAGACUCCAAACACUUCUGGAUUACAUAUGCCUUUACUAAGAUAUAUUUCUUGAUCUCCAUAUCAGAAUCUUGGAGACUCUUCAUUUUAUGAGCUCUGACACUACUGUGAAAUUGGUCCACAUCAAUCACAGGAUGACCCCUUCUAGCAAGAUCAAGCAGGAAGUCUGAAUUCGGGCCCAUAAAAAUGUAGUUCUGAAUAUUGAAACUCUCAAAGUGGCACAACAAAUUCCUUAUGACUCUUUCAGAUGCUCCAAACAGGCUCACAAGUAUAAUGGUAUCCUGUUUUUGCACAGAGUAAAGAAAAUAUCCGAGUUCUUCAAAACUCCUUACAACUAUUCCAGGAUGUACUUCUUUGAAACAGAAAUCGUACCACUUUAGCUUAGUCAGAGGUUGAAUCUAAAAUAACAAAACCCAAACUGAAAUCAAAAUCGAAAUCAACCCUAAUAGAUUUCAGAAACAACAAAUUAAAAGAGUAAAGCACAAAAGGGGGAAAACACAUAUGAAGCAAUCUCCAUACAAGCCCUAACCUUAGAUAAACCCAAAAAAAAAAAUCAAAGCAGAGAGUUACCAUAGAGCAUCUCUGUUUCAAGCUUAGAAAAUGUUUAAUGCCAUUGAUAACUAGUUGGCUAGUGGUGGACUUCAAGCUUCUCUAUUUCGGUGUUAGUAGCUCUCAAUGGCUAUGGUGAGAACAAAGAAAUGAGAGGCUUAGGGUUUGGGAUGUGAGGUUAUUGAUGAUGAUGAGGAUAAAGUUAUGGGCUCUUGGAGGGGUUAGGGAAAUUGAAGAUGGCUGAGAGUAAAGGCUAGGGUUUUUGAGAUAGUUAAUAGCUUUUUAGGGUGUGACUGUCCAUAGAUAGAAGAUAAAUGAGGGUGUGAGAAUUUAUAGAUCUCUAGGUGAUAUGGCGGGUGUGAGAAUGAAAUUUUAGAGGGAAUUGUGUGUUUGGUAGAAAUUUCACACAUGCAUAUAUAAUGUUUCAGAACAUGGCACUUUAAAAAUACGACAAGGAAGAAAUUAUUUAUUGACGCUUAAAUAAAGCGCCAAGGUCUCCAACAUUUUUGCAAUCAAUGACGUUUGUAAAAGGUGCCAUUGAAUAGGAGUGCCAUUGCUUUCCCACAAAGCAUCAUUGUUAAUCAAGCCUUUAAAAAACGCCAAGAUAUGUUGCCACUUAGGUUAAAUAUUGACGCUUUUAAAAAACGCCAAGGAAAAAAACGUCAUUAUUCAUGUUUUUUGUAGUAGUGGCUUGAUUCCUAAAAAGUAAAGGAAAGCAAAAAGUAAAAAAAUAAAAAUGUGGAGAGUUAGGACAUGCGUUAUCUAAUUGUCCUAGUCCCAAAUAUAUUAAGAAAGUCAUGUAGGUUACUUGGAGUAACGAGUCAAGUAAAGCAAGCCUUCUAGUGUUUAAGACAUUAGAUAUUACCGAACUGAUUAUGUCAUUAAUGUAUUGCAUUUGUUGUUUCUAAUAUAUAGAAGAAGAUGAAAUUAUUGGAAUAAGUGGGAAAUAGGAAUAAAUCCAAGGUACCAAAAAGUCACUUUAUCUUAGAUGUUGUUGGAAACAUAAGUGAUUUCACAAUAACGACUAUGAGACAAUCAAGGAUUAAUAAGAUAGACUUUAUAUGAUAUACCUCCCAAUUAGAGCCUAAAAAUAUGGAUGAAGCACUUAGAGAUGAAUCUUCAAUUUUUGUACUAUAGGAAGAAUUAAAUCAAUUUGUUAGCUAUUCUUUGGAUAUUUGAUUCAUCACAAGCUACAAAUCACUUUUGAUGACCAAACACGAAACUAAGAGGAUUGGGCCCAAUUCGAUGCCUAUCAACAAUGAUUUGUAUUCCACCUCAUUAAUUAUUCAAAGUUGGGAAGCUAGGUCUAACCACUUUCUCUACCUGUUCACCCUUAGAGGAGCAGAAGAAAAUUCUAACUUUGGUGCCUAAUGCCUUUGACAAUCUUUCGACAAAGAGAGUUCACUAAUUACUUUGAUUAUUUCUCUGUUGGUCACUGGGGGACAAGACUUUUGUAAUGAAGUCAACUAGAACUUGCCCUUUGAGGGCCAUUCAUGGACGAUAUUACACCAUGAAUUCCCUUAGGUCAUGUUUGGUAUGUGAGAAUGAGGAGUGGAAUGGACAUCUUAUUCAUUUUUUCAUCUAUUCAAAUGUUGGGAUAACUCAAGUGACCAUGAGAAUGAAAUCAAGAAUGAUUCAAGGGAAAUGAAAUCUUACUUAUAAGUGUGAUUUCAAUUAAUCUCUAAUAGAAAUUAUUUUGAAUCAAUAGUGCAAGUUAUUUUUAAAAACAUUUUUCCAAAAUUAAAAAAAUCAAUUUUUUUUUUUUCGAUAAGUUGUUUUUAAAAGGAUUUUUUUUAUUUUGUAAAAAGAAAAUUGUAAUUCAAUUUAUAUAAUAUAAACUAAAUUUUAUUUUAUUCAAAAAGAAAUAAUUUUUUAAUUAUAAAUAAAUUAAAAAUAAAUACUUUUAAUAAAAUAUAAAUAGUAUUAUUAUAAUAAAAUCAUAAAUAAAUUUAAUUUUUUUUAUAAAUAUUAUAAAAAUAUGGAUAUUAACAUUGGAUAAUUGAUUUAUUUUGUUAAAAUAAAAAAUAAUAAUUUUUAAUAUUAUUUUAUGUUAAAUGAAUUUUAAAAUAAAGAAAGUUUAAUUAUUUUAAGGUAUAGAAGAGCCAAAUUUUGCAUUACAUACAUAACAAACAAUAUUUAUUAGAAACAUUUCUCAAGGAGAAUCUUAUUCCAUCUCACAAAGAUACUCGUUUAUUCGAUGUUUGACCAUCCGUAACAAUCAUGUCAAUUCUACUGAUUUAAUAAUUCCUUUACAUUUAUUACUCACUUAUGAACAUGGUAUUGUGAUUUAUUUAUUUAUUUGAUGUAUAAUUAAUUAAUCAAUUUUUUAAAUUUCAAAUUAUUUUUAAAAACUAUUCAUUAAGGAAUUUAAAGCAUUAAUUAUGUCUAUUAUUUUUUAUAGUCAUUAUAUAUAUAUUGAGUUUUAAUUUAUUUUUAAAAAUUAUUAAACUUAUUAAUAAAUUCAAUAUAAAGUCUCGUUUCAUUUGAAAUUCAUUUCUUUAGUGAAAAUUUUGAAAAAAAAAUUGUUAUUUAUUUUACUUUGUUUUAAAAAAAUUGUUUCUAGAGAACAAUAAUCAAAUAAUGGUAUGAAUUUUUAAAAACAAUUUUGUUUUUAAAUCAUAUGCCCAAAUAAUUUUUUUUUAUUUAGCAAAAAACUUUGUUGUAGUAUGUGGCUCAUAUUGAGGGAAAGACAUAUAUGGAGAAAAAUGUGCAAAUGUUGGAGUGGAGCGGAGUGGAAUGACGACAUUUGUCAUUCAAACUUGUAUUUUUAUUGUUAAGGGUGACCGAUAGGUUGGUACGGUUUAGGGGUAUUUUUGGAAUUUCAUUACCUGAGGGUUAGUAUAAAUACCAUUUUAUGUAACCCUAAUUUUACAUAUAAUGUAAGUUUUCUUCCUUGUUCUUGUGGACAUAGGCAAUCCGUCGAACCACGUUAAAUCUGUGUGUUUUUUUUUCUUUUUUCUUUUUCUCUAAUUUCUUCACCAGGAAUCGUUACACUAAGAUCAACAAACUCUCAAAGAUGAUUUUUAAAAUGAAAAAAAUAAUGUAUAGUGUGAGAAUUUUUUAUUUUUUAUUUUUUUAAAAUGAAAAUAAAAAAUUGCUUUAAGGUAAAAGUGUGGAUAUUAUUGUUAAUUUAUUUCAUUUUUCAUUUUCAUUUCCAUUGUUACCUACAAUUGAAAUGGAAACAACUAAUCAUUACAACCUUACAUUCUUAUAUGCAUCCAAAUACAAAAAUUGAAAUCACCAAAUUCAUAUUCAAGGCAAAAUAGGAAUGAAAACAAAUAUUCAUUCUCAUUCUUUAUUCCCACGUGUCAAACAUGACCUCAAAGUUAUAAACAUGAACAAGAAGUCCUUGAAACACCAAUGAUCUCUUCUGGUAUAUAUAUGAGCUUGAUUGACAACUGUUUUAAAUACAGUUUUUUUUUUUUUUGUUUUCAAAAUCAAAACAAAUUUAUUUUUAUUUUUUAUAAAUAGUAGUUUUUUAAUAUUUUUUUUAAACCUUAUUAUGAAAAUAGGAUGUUUUCUAAUAUCAUAUUUUAAUUAUUUUCAAUUAUUUUCCCUUCUUUUAAGGAGGGCUAUUUUAAAAAUAUGAAAAAUGAUACAAAAUAAAGCAUUACAAAUAAAAAUCAUUUUUAAGAAAUAUAUGAAAAUAAUUUGAGAACAUUUGAAGUUCCUUAAUUAAACUUUUGUUCUAGAAAAUGCAAGAAAACUGUUUUUGAAAAUUGUUUUCAUAAUGAUAUGCAUUGAUCGUUUAAAAUUUAAUUACAUGAUAAAAAGACCUAUGUAAAAACCAGAGUUAUAUAAUCAGUCAUAGAUCAAAUCUACUAAAUAUGAAAAGUAAGUACAUAGUUGUAUAUGACUUAGAUGGAGCCUUCUCCGAAUGACAUUCUUUAGUCGGUACUCAUAUUUUUUUGUUUCGUGUCUUCAACAUAACACCUCAUGAUCCUUAAUAAAUCACCUGAAAACUAUAUUAGCACCUUAUUGUUUAAUAUUUCUCUAAAUUUUUUUAUUAAGCAAAUAAAUUCCAAAUUUAAAAUGACAAAUAAAAUUUAUUAAUUUUUAAAAAUAAUUUAAAACUCAAAAACCAAUUUAAUUGAUAUUAAAAGUCAUGAAACUUAAUAAUAUUAGAAAGUCAUGUAUCCAAAUUUAUUUUAAAUGACUUGUUUAAUUUCUUGUUUAUAUAUAUUAUAUUUUUAUAAUUUUUUUUACUAUACAAAUAAAUUUUAAAUUAAACAAAACUUAAUGCGUUGAAUUCAUUAACGAGUCUAAUAAUUUUUAAAAGUUACUUAAAAUUUAAAUACUAAAUCAAUUAGUACCACAAAUUCAUGGAAAAAAAUUGAUUUAUUACUACUAUAUUGUUUCUCUAUUGCAUAGAACCAUUAUUUUUCAAUUUUUUCAUUUGGCAAAUGAACAUCAAAUUAAACAAGACUAAGUGUAUUAAAUUCAUUAAUGGGUCUAGUAAUUUUUUAAAAUAAUUUAAAAUUCAAAUAUUGAUACUCCAAAUUAAACAAGACUUAGGUGGUGUUUGUUUUUUGGUUGAAUAGAAAAAGGUAAAAUAUUUGACUUUUUCUAUUUAGUUAAAAGUAACUUGUUGACAUCGUCCAAUAUAAUUAAAGUAAACCUAUUGAGGGCAAGUUCACUUUAAUUAUGUUGGACGAUGUCAACAGGUUACUUUUAACUCAAUAGAAAAAAUCAAAUAUUUUGACUUUUUUUUUAACUCAAAUAAUAAAUCCAUUAAUACAAAAAAAUUAUGGAUAAUUUGAAACUUUCUUUCUUUUUUUUUUUUUUUUUGCUACACAUAGCUAUAUUUUUAUAAAUUUUAUCAUUAGAGAAAUGGAUUUCAAAUCAAGUGAAACUUUGUAUUGAAUUAAUGGAUUUAACAUUUUUUAAAAAUAAUUUGGAACUAAAAAAAAAAGAUUUAAUUACUAAGAAAAUCAUAGAUCAAAACUAAUAUAUUCUGAUCCAUGAUUUUAUUAUUUUUCCUAUACAUACAAUUAUAUUUUUAUAAUUUUCUCACUAGGUAAAGAUAUUAUAAAUUAAGUGACACAUAAUUAAUAAUUUAAAUUUUUGAAUGAAUCUUUUAAUUUUAGGAAUAAUUUGAAAUUUAAAAAGUUGAUCCAAUUAAUUGUAAAUUAACUUAAAAUAUUAUAAAAUAUUAUGUUCAUAAUUAAGUACUAAAUGUAUAUAUGUAAUGAAAACUUAACUAGUUACAUGUUACAAAAGCCAAAAUUUAUUCAUUCUUUAUUUUAAAUAAAAUAUUAUUAAUAAUUAUUUUUUUUAAAAUAAUAUUUAGUAAUUAUUGUUUUUAAAUUAUUAUUAUUAAUUUUUAAUAAAAAAAUUGCAAAGUUAUUAAUAUCAUUAUAUUUCUAACAUAAAUUUAAAUAGUAUAUUUUUUAAUAUAUAUAUAUAUAUAUAUAUAUAUAUAUAUAUAUAUAUAUAUAUAUAUAUAUAAUUUAUGAUUUCAUUAUAAUAUUUUUAUUCAUGAUUGACGAAAAAUUAUUUAUUGUUUAAUUUAUUUGAAUUGCAAAACUAUUUUUCAAAAUUCAAGCGAGAAAAUAGGCCUGGAUUUGAAUUUCCUGUAGAAGAGAAGGAUGUGGAGAAUAUGUUGGGAGUAUUUGUGGAUAAAGAAAAGGCCAGGGUACUGAGAAAGGAGAGAGAACUUGCUCUUGCCAAAAGAGCCCUGCACAGGUAUUCUACUGAUUCUAAUUAUCGGUUCUUACAUGAUCAGAUUUCAGAUUUAUUUGCUGAGCUUCUGAAAUCUGAUACAGUAUUUAAACUCCGGUGAGCUUUACAAGAUUAGUCUCGCAUCCAAUUCCAAAUGGUGUCCCACAAUUGAUUCUUCUUAUGAUAAAUCCACCUUGAUAUGUGAAAAUAUUGCUCGAAAGGUUUAUCCUCGCGAGGAAUAUCCAGAAUACUAAGGAAUUGAGGAGGCUCACUAUGUUUAUAGAGUCAGGGAUAGGUUGAGAAAACAAGUAGUUGUUCCAUUACAUAAGGCCCUGGAGUUGCCAGAGGUUUUCAUGUGUUCGAACAAGUGGGGAUCACUUCCCUACAACCCUGUGGCUUCAGUGGCCAUGAAAUCAUACAAGAGCCUCUUCUCAAACCAUGAUACAGAGCGGUUUGGUGAGUAUCUUGAGAAAGUGCAAACUGGGAAGGCUAAGAUUGCAGCUGGUGCAUUACUUCCCCAUGAGAUUAUAGCUUCAUUGAAUGAGGAGGAUGCCGAGAGAGUUGCCGAGCUUCAGUGGGCAAGAAUGCUGGAAGAUUGAUCAAAGAAAGGGAGGCUCACAAAUUGCAUUGCAGUAUGUGACGUAUCAGGAAGUAUGAGUGGAACUCCAAUUGAGGUGUGUGUGGCUCUGGGGCAGUUAGUUUCAGAGCUCAGUGAAGAUCCAUGGAAAUUAAGGUAAUGUAAUUACUUUCAGUGCAAAUCCUGAGCUUCACAAGAUCCAAGGAGACAGCCUUGUAUCCAAGACUGAAUUUGUGAGGAUGAUGGAAUGGGGUGCCAACACUGACUUUCAGAAAGUUUUGACAGAAUCUUACAAGUAGCAGUGGAGGGAAAUAUGAGUGAAGAUCAAAUGAUAAAGAGGGUUUUCGUUUUCAGUGAUAUGGAGUUCGAUGAAGCUUGUGGGAGGUAUAACUAUUGUGACUAUGACUAUGAUAUGGAGGAAAUUGACGAGAGUCAGAAGGCAUCUCAGAAGUGGGAGACAGAUUAUGAAGUGAUACAGAGGAAAUUCCAGGAGAAAGGAUACAGAAAAGUUCCAGAGAUAGUGUUUUGGAACCUUAGAAACUCAUCAGCGACUCCAGUGACGGCCACAGAGAACGGGGUGGCCUUAGUAAGCGGGUUUUCAAAGAAUCUGUUGACCUUGUUUUUGGAAGGAGGUGGAAUUCUGAUCCCUCAGGAUGUGAUGGAAUUCGCCAUCUCUGAUGAAGAUUACAAGAAACUUGUUCUAUUUGAUUAAGAUAUCAAGAGAUUUAUCAAUAAUAAUAUAUUUUUUUUCUAUGUGAAAUACAUAUAAUAUUAACUGUGGAGUUAUCAAAGUUCUGGAGGUUUAAUUAUUUCUUCUUUUCAAGUUUUGUUUAUUUAAGGUUUUCUUUGUCUUUGUUAGGAAUUCCCCUUGGGUGGACCCAGCUGGGGAGUUGGAUUGAGGAAGUAAGCAGGCGAACUUGUGUUCUUCUAUGGACAGAGAAAAAAAAUAAAAUAAAAAAAUAAAAAAGGAGGUUAUUUGCAUUUGGAUGUCGUGGUUUGAGGGUACAACUACAAGCUCGAAAUUGUACAUAAUGUGAAAACUCCUGUGUCCAUUGCUGAGAACAGCAUAAAUGAUGGUGAUUUUCAAGUUGUGCCUGGUAUUCUACAGGAUGAAACAAGAAAGGAUCCAGGUGGUAUAUUGAACAAUAUCCCAAUCAUGUUGGUGGCAUCUUUAUUUAGUUAAUGGUAUUCAUUUGGUGGAAGCUGGUUGUUUAUGAUGUUUUUAAUUUUUUUUAACAUGAAGUUCGAUCAAAUACGUAUCUUAGUAUGUUUUGUUUGAGCUAAUUGGCAAAUGCGCUUUAAACAUGGUCACAUGGAUGCAGUUUUAUUUGUGAAAUGAUAAUAGUCGAUUACUUGGUCAGUAAGGUUUAUAUCUCUAACUUCAACAUCUUAUUGUAGUCUUUUAAAAUGUCAAAAGUUUAAUGCUUGAGAAAUUUUGGAAUGGAGACAUUCUAAACAAAGUUAAUAAUCCACAAGACUUGGUAAAACCGAUCAGAUGAUGCUUACGUACAUCAAUGCCUUCUUUAAGCCAUAUCCUAUUUUCAUUGAACGGGAUGUGCCAUCUAGUUUGGUUCUUUAAGCCUCCAAAUCCUAAACCUAGUCUCAAUUUAGAGCAAAUUUAGGGUGCAGGGCCUGCAUGCCUCCCCCUCCCCCUUCCACAAAUAGUAGUGACCUUGCUAUGCCUAUGCAUUGUCAAUGCCUCAUUUUCUAUGGUCUCCAAUGUAAUAUCUUAGUUUCAAUGUCUCUUUCCUUACUAUCUCCAAUGCAAUAGAUUGAUUUCAAUACCUCUUUACAACUAAGACCUCCAAAUUUUCUUGGUUCAAACCUACCAGAAUUUUUCUUCUCCUUUGCUUUCUAUCAAUAUUAGUUCCCCUAAUUUAAUAUAUACUUCUUUAUUACCUUCAACUCUACCUCUCUUUCUUUCUCUAAAAGCUUCCUCAAAGAUUUAAUUGCUUUCUUGCAUGUUUUAAGAAAACAAACAUGCUCAUAUUACAUUACCUCUACUUGAGAUCUACCUUAUACUCUACCUUCUUUCUUUACCUCCUAUAUCAUCUACUACAUUAGCUUCAAAAAUAUUAUUUAGUUUGAUACUAAAUAAGGCUCCUAAUCCUACUCUUCCUUCAACAAACUUUCUUUUUACAAGUUCCUUAAACUUUAUUUUUUAUUUUUUAUUUUUUGGAAAUUCGGGUUAGAAAGAUUCCAUUACUCUUACCUAAUAUUUCAACCAUCAAGUUGAAUCCACUUAUUGCCUAAAUCCAAGGAGUCUGCCCUCCACAAAAACAAGGAAAUUGAUCCCACAAUAACAAGGAGAUUGCCUUCCACAGAAACAAAGAGAUCUCCCUUCACAGAAGCCGAAUACAUUGCAAUCUAUUUUCUUUCUUGUAAGAUCAAAUCUUCAAUCGAGCUCCAUCUUAUGGGGGCAUAUUAGAGAAAUUUAAUAUUAUCCUUAAUUUACAUAUUAAUAUUUAUCUAUUUAUUAUAUAUUGAAUUAAAAUAGAAUAUAGAAUUUGAAUCAUAGUAGAAGUUUACUAUAAGAUUGAAUUACAAUAGUUAAUAGAGUUUAAAUUAUAAUAACUCAAAUACAUUUAUAUAUAUUUGACCUUACGAGAUUUUCUAUUUAUGUAUUUGAACUACAAUCCUUAUGAUCCUUAGGUCUCUAUACCUUCGUGAUGGGCUCCUUGACAUUUCAUAGGUUGUGCUACACAUGCAUUUGAAAUUUAGAGUGCAUUUGACAGUGAUUCUGGGAAGUGUUUUUGGCAUUUCUAACACUUAAAAUUUUUUAUUUUUCAAGUAUUAGAAAUGCUACAAACACUUUUGAAAAUUACUGUCAAACACACUCUUAGGAGCGCAUAUAGUAGAAAACUAGAAAUUGUGGUUUUUUUAGGAUUUACUGUAAUGUCAUUAGGAGGGUAGUAAGUUGAAACUGAGUAUGAAUAAAUAUUUCUUUCUUUGGGAUGUUCUUCUGGUAGGUGCUGAUGAAACUGUUCUUUUUACUGCCAAUGUCACAUAUCAGCCAGAAAUUGAAAAUUUCAGUCAAGGUGUCCUCGGUUUUAGUGGUGAGGAAAGCUAGAAAUUUUAAGGUGAAGUUCUGUUAAAAACCUUAAGUAGCUGGGAUAUCAGGCCUGUUUUGCUUGAAAAAAAAAGUUGCAAGAUAACUCAUAUGCCAAACAGGUUCUGAUAUUGUGAAUCUAUCGGCAGACAUCAGUAAUCUCAUCUUCUGAGAUGGAUGUUGGGGGUGCAUGUGGUGGUGGAGGGGCAAGGUUUCAUUUGGUUUAUUUUGUUGAUGGAUAUUGUCUAGCCCCCUGCGCCAAGUUUGAGGGGUGGUGGGUUGUGAUGGCCCUACAAUUACUAUUAAUUUCUUCCUCUUUUACCGAUUAAAGUGUCCGAACAGUCGAAGUUACCCUUAUGCAUGUCAACUUGAUCACUUACCUCUUCAAUGGAGUUUAUGCUGGUUCAUUUAGGAACUGAUUUUUAUUGUUAUGCAUUCUAUGCUGAUGUUUAGGCCUCUCCAUCAUCACUAUAUACAAAAAUUCUAGGUUGAUACUAUAGGUUGAGAUUUAUUUUUUAAAUAAAAAAUAAUAAAAAUAAAAAUUAUGGUGAUGUUUAGUUGUUUUAUGGAAAAUUUUAACAAGUUAUUUUUGGGCAAGUUUUCAAACAAAAAGAAAAGUAAAAGUUGUUUUGACAAAAACAUAUAGAAAAAAAAAAUCAUAGAAAAGAAAUAAUUUCCCCAUAUUCUAACUUUUUUUAAUUUUUCUCAAUGGGCAAAGGAAUAUCAAAUCAAGUUUGAGUAGGAUUUCUUAAUUUUUAAAAUAACUUACAAUUAAAAAAUUUUGGUGUUUUCAUUUUUGGACAAUUUUUUAUUAAGCAAAUGGACUCUGAGUCAUGCAAGAGAUAUGGUUGAUUAAUGGGUCAAACAAUUUUUUUAAAAUAAUUUAAAACUCAAAUACAUAAUCAAUGUCACAAAAUUUAUAAACAAAAAUAGGUUUAGAGAAGAUCUACACAUAAUUUUACUUUUCUAAUUUUAUUUUAUUUUAUUUUUUUGUUGGAAAAUAGUCUUCAAAUCAUGUAAGAUUUAAUAGGUUAAAUUUGUUAACAAUAAAUUUUAAAUUAUAAAAUAUAAUCUGGAACUUAAAAAUCAAUUCAAGUAAUGCUAAAAAAAAUCAAAUUUGGUAUAGAAUGACUACGUAAAAUUUUUUACAAAACAAAUGAAUUUUAAAUCAAGUGAGAUUUAAUGCAUUAGAUUUUUAUCAAAUAUAGUAAUUUUAAAAUUUAAUUUGGAACUCAACAAUAGACACAAUAAAUACCAAAAAAUAAUGAACCAAAAUUGGUUUGGAAUAACUCCACAACCUCUUUUUUUUUUUUUUGGUGCACACGAAUUUUCUUACUAGGUAUAUUGCUUUCAAAUUGAGAAAGAUUUACUAUUUAGAUUUUUUUUUUUAAUGAGUUUAAUGGUAUUUUAAAAUAAUUCAAAAUUUCAAAAAUUGACUAAUUACUAUUAUAAAUUCAUAAACCAAGACUAAUUCAAAAUGCAUUGGGGGCUAAGGGGGUUGAAAAUAGGGACAAUGGGAUGGGUUUGGGACAUGACACUCAUAUCUCAUUUCCAUUCCAAUUACAUAGUUAUCUCCCAUCCUUAUCCCAAACUUGUGUUGGAGCAAGUUGAUUUGUUCCCAUCUUUGUUGAUGAAAUGACUAAUAACCUCAUCCCCUCCUUAUCUUAGAUGUACAUUUUGUCAAAUUUGAUCAGGUAUGAUUGAUCCAAGCCCUAACCCUAAUUGGUAAUGACUGGAUACUACACCUAAUUGCAUUCUUCUUUCGUCGCAAAAUAAUGAGAUUAUAAUAAUCUAGCAAAUAAGAAAAAAUAGUAUGGAAGUUCAAUUUAACACCAUAACUAUCAAUAAUUUUAAGCUUAUAGAUGACUUAAAUGAUUAAAAACUAAUGCAAAAUACCAAAAAAAAAAGUUCAUAUAAAGAAUUCACAAGAGAACAAAAUGAACAAAAACCAAAUAUGAACAUGGGUCAACAUUAGUUAUGGAUUUGGAUUCCUUUCAAGGCCAAUCUUUGAACCAAGACUUCAUCAAAUCUACUACUUCAAAGGCUUUUGUGUUCUUCUUGGGUUGUGCUCUCAAACAAAGACUUCAAGGUGAUGCUCUAGAUGAUUGCAUUACACAUAUUUAGGGUGGAGAGAUUGGAGAAGCUUGAAGAUGCCAACGAUGGGUACAAUUGAGUGGUCAAUAAGAACAAUGUAGCCUAUGACUAGUUUGAUGUCGUGGUACAAGAGUUUUAGGCAUUGAGGUUAAAGCAAGAGCAACAUGGAAUUGAUUUUGGAGUCUUUCAAUUAGUGUAAAGGAGGAAGAAGUGGUAUUGAUUCUAGAAAUAGGGUUUUAGGUGGUGCGUUAGAGGAUGAAGAAGAAGAAAAAGAAGGAUCUGUUGGAAUUAGUGUGAGUGUGAAGAGAGAAGUAUAUAAAUAAGGGGAAGUAAAAGCAAAGUUCUAAAAGCUAUAUUUUUUUUUAUUGUUGGUGUAUGGUUGCAUGAUUAUCCCUAUAAAUAAUAGGAGUUUUUUUGGUAUUCUACUAGUAGUUGAAGGAUAAUUUCAUAAAUUUAUAUUUAGAGUGGGGUGGGGUGAGUUGUGACAAAAUUCAUACCCGUCCUAAACCUUGGUUCAGAUUUUUAAAAUAUCCUCAAACUUAUCAUAUACCCAACUUUUAUAUUUCAUACUUGUCUUGAUAGAGGCAGGUUAGGCCGGGUUACUUGAGUAACCUACAUAAUUGUCAUCCCUAGUUGAAAUACACUUUUUUGGCAGUGGCCACCAACUGAGCUAGAAGCUUGAUCGAUUGACCUACAAGAUUAGUUCUCAUCAUUUUAAAAAAAGUUUUGGCCUUGGUUGUGAGUGCAAUUGAAUCUAAACUGGCAUUUCCUUAAUGCAUCUACUUCAAUCCUAAAUUUCUUACUUCCUAAGCCUCAAUUGUUGUUAGGAUUUUGGAAAGCCCAUUUCCUUAAAUUGUAAAUUUAAGAAAAAAUAAAAUAAAAGUGAGACAUUUCUUGAUUGAAUAUUGUUAAAGGUCCCUUGGCAUUAAGACUUGGUUGAAGCCUUGGAAGAUUAGUGGAACUCUCAACUUGUGUUUGAAUCUUGAGGAGAGUGGACGUAAGCCAAAAUUUUGUCAAACCAUUAAACAAAUUGAGUUUGAAUCCUCAUUUCUUGAUUUCUUAUUUAUUUGCUUUUUCUUAUUAUUACUUGAAUUGUCAUUUGCAUUCAUUAAUGUUAAAAUUGGUUAUAAUUAACCAACACUAAUUCUCUUUCCCCUUCCCUUUCUUGGGUGUAAACCUAGGUUGGAUUAACUAGAUUAAUUUAUAAAAUCUAUUAAGAUGGUAAAAGAAUAAUUAUUCUUAACACACAUAAGAUCAUCUUCAAUCAAAUGACUCAUUGGCUAAUAUGUUGAAUUUGCUUAUUACUUGCAACUCAAAAUUGUGUUCUAGUUGAUAUGUCAAGUCCCCAGUGUAUGGACAUUAAAUUUGUAGUACGUGAUGGUAAUUAGAUGGUCCAACUCCAAGAAAGUGAUUGAAAACUAGUUCAAGAAAGGUGCAAAAGGGAAUUGUUUUGGUAUUUUCGUUUUUAUUCUUGAAGGUGGCAGAGCUAAAAUUUGUGAAAUCAAGCAAAACAUACUGAAAUUACAUUGAAAGAAAGAAAAUGGGAGUUAAUGUCUUGCAGUAGAUGAUAAGGACUUCAUGCAUGUAGUAUGACCCAUGUCUUGGACUGAUGCCAACUCACGGUUACACUUAUACCCUUGGUUCUCUCUUUACUACCUUGGCUAACCUAGAUCAGGCUAUGAGAUAGGCUCCUCACCACACCAUUACUUGCCCAUUAAUUAGAGACAUUUUCAAGCACUGAGGUAACAUGGUGACACCAAGAGGGUUUAUUCCUCGCCCUCCUCGCCCUCAACAAGUCUAGACUUGGUCUCAAAAAAAUGGAGAAAAAUGAGGUGUCGUUAUGUAGAAAUACAACAACCAUGCCUUCCUCAUUACUUUGAUUCAGAAUGUGAAGGUGAAAUUGAGAAACAGAAACUCUUGAAACCAAAAUGAAAAUUGAUACUUUUACGAAGAAUUACAACAACAUUGGAGGAAGACUACAUUCUUCCUCUUUAUUCCUACAUUUCUACACUACUUCUACUCCACUCCAUAUUUCUACAUACAUCUUUAAUCAGUCUUCCCUCCUUUAUAUAGAGCCAUCUUCACACAAAUUCCGCAAGGUAGAAAAGAGGAAUGAAACUUGGAGCAAGGUUCGACUACUGGCUGUAGCUUGUCAAGGCUGGAAGUGAACCUUUUUUCUUGGCUUUUCUGGGCAUGGGUAGUAACUUGUGGGUUCCUUUUUGGGAUACAAAUGGCUAGAACAUGUGGCACUAUCUUGUUGGAUGAUGUGUCAAGCAUGUGGCAGCCAUCUAGUGGCGAUUAUGUCAAUUUUGGGAUGGAGAGUUGGCAUCCAAUUGCAAAGAAAUAUGACGUCUACCAACAGGCAAUGUAAACCUAUGUAGAUCAUAUGAAGAUAGAGAGGAAAAAUAUAGAAAUGGAUAUAUACCUAGAACUAGCUUUUUAUUAAAUGAAACGGAGAGCCAACAAUGAAGGAAAAUAAAUUUUUUUGGCUUAUAUCAAAGAGUUCACAUUGUGCUACCCUAGGUUUUCUUAAAACUUACUUUUAUGAUAACAAAAAAAAAAAAAAACAUUAUUGUUUAAUCCUUUGUUUUAAACGCAUGUUUAGCAAGUUAUAAAAUGUAAAAAUCUUUCUAAGUUCAAAUAUGAAGAUAUGACAUCAUUUCAAGCAAGAUAGUCUCUAGGAAUUAAUGUAAAGCUAAAUUAAGGUGAAAUUAAAUUAGUUCAAUGCAUUAAUUUAAGAAACUUGACCUAUCAAAAGUACAAAAUUAGAUGAAAUCCAUUUCAAUGGUUAAAAUGAUCAAAAUCAAACUUUUUCUAAGUAUUUUUUAAAAGUAUCAAUAUUGAAAGACAAUUUUAUAUUUAGUCAGAGUUUGGACAAAACCAAAAAGCACACAAAAUCCAAGCGACCAUCUCUAGCUUGGAUGGUCGCUUGAUCUCUAGCUUGUGUACUUGGAAAGCAACAUCGAGAUGAUAUAUAUAUAUAUAUAUAUUUUAUAUAAUAUUGUUUGUCCAAAUUCCCUAAAAAUUAGGCCACCACAUGUUCAUAAUUCUCCCUUCUUGAAUUUGAAAACUCGGACAAUUGGACAAUGCGACACCUAAGUCCGGUUUCUAAAUGCUAAAGUGAAAGGGUAGGUAUGGACCAUUGAAAUGUGAUCACAACUUUUCUCUGUAGCCAUGUUGUCUCUUUUUUCUUUUGCAUGAUUUUCUCACCUUAACAGAAUCAUAGACUUGUUUAAUCUCUAAAUGGGAUUAAUUUCAUCCAGCUUUAAGCUACUAUAUUAUAUCUAGGUGGAGGACUUUUAAGAGUGCAACCGACAUAGAGCACAUGCAAGUGGGUAUAUGGGACAUGAAAUUUCUUCUUAUAAAGAUUGCAUGAUUUUUAUAUUAGAGUUGUUGGGGCGCAAUGUAUGUAGCUUGUUUUGCAGUUAAAUUAAUUGGAUAAGUAGACAUUGGCGUUUCUAAAUCUACUGUGAAGUGCUUCAUGUACGUGUGAAGUAUUAGAAAUUUCUUUCUUGGCAACUUGUUUUUUCUUUGCGGUCUACUGAUAGGUUUGACUAAAAUUAUAUUCCCUGUCAUGCUAAUUAAUUUUCACGUGCAUGCUCAAAAGAAGAGUAUGACCUUAGUGCACCAAAAUCACUUUGAUUAAUUUGUGAUAGGUUUUUGUGCAUCAUGACAUUAGCCUUAUUCAUUUAGAUAAUGUUUAGUUUUUAGAAAGUAUUAAGAAAAGGAAAAUAAAUAUUAAGAAAAAUAUUCUUAUAUUUGAUUGUAUUAUGAAAAAUGUCAUAAAAAAAUCAAAUAUAAUUUAAAUUAAUUAAUAAUUUAUACAUUUUCAAAUUAUUUAAUCUUUAUAUUGAAGAUAUAAUAUAAAUGAAAUGAGUUUUAAGUAUUAUAUAAAAGUGAUUUAUUGAUCUUGCAUAUAUGUAUUUCUUUUUUUUUUCUUCUAUUUUUUUUCUUUAUUUUAUUUUCCUUAUGUUUUCCUCAACAUUUUCCGGAACCAAACAUAGCCUUAGGAAAUCCACAAUUACCUUCAACUGAGUAUAUUCGGUUGUUUUAGCAAUGUUAGGCUGCUAACUUGUGUUGGUACGAACCUGUUAAGCCUAAAGAUGUAAUUAGUUAGGAUAUUCUUUUCCCUCUAGUCUUGUAGCUCCACGUGUAUAGUUGGUUAGGACCUCAUUGUAUAUAAUGCCUGCCCUGUUAUUGUUGAAGACAACAGAGAUAAAUAAUAUUAACAUUUUUCCUCUCAUCUCUCUUUGUUUCCCUCUGUUUUCAUCUCCUCUCUCAUCUUGGUAUCAGAGCCUCCAUGGAUUCUUUCAAAGAAACCUCCGAAUCACCUUCUGCUAGCAUUGUUAAUGUGCAAAACCCAUUAUCUCAGUCAAACAACCUUCCUUCACCAGCAGCCACACCCUCUUUUUCUUUCUUGUCUAUGAAUCAACCUCUCACAGUGAAGCUGGAUAAUGGAAACUACCUCAUCUGGAAGAAUUAGCUUCUGAAUGUCAUCAUUGCGAACAGACUCGAUGAUUUCAUUUAUGGAACUCGACCCUGCCCUCCUUGAUUUCUCAAUCUGCAACAACAAACCCUCACUCCAGAGUACUCGGUCUAGCAGAGAUACAAUCGACUUCUAAUGAGUUGGCUGUACGCAUCCUUGUCCGAAGAUAUAAUGACUCAGAUUGUUGGGUAUUCAACAACUGUGGAGAUUUGGAACGUCCUUAAUCAGAUUUACUCUGCCUCUUCAAUGGCGUGGGUUACCGAGCUUCACACCAAGCUUCAAACGCUCAAGAAAGAUGGACUCUCAGUUGGUGAAUAUAUUCAAAGGCUCAAAUCCAUUUGCAAUAGUCUUGCAGCAAUAGGAGAACUAGUUUCUGAGAAAGACCAGCUUAUCUAUUUGUUCAAUGGAUUAUAUUGUGAGUAUAAUUCUUUUGUUACCUCCAUUCAAAAUCGAUCUGACCAACCAACUAUUGAGCAAAUCCAUAGCCUAUUGCUUAGCUAUGACUUUCGGCUUGAACAACAAAACUCUGUUUCUCUCCAUUAUGCCCAAGUCCGUAUGGCUCAUCUGAACAAGAAACCUUAUAAAUCAACUCCUCAACCUACAUUCAAUCAUAUUCACAUUCAACCUAGAUACUCUUCUCCACCUUUUAAGCCAACCACUAGUCAAUAUCAACCCAGGAUUUUGGGCAAACCACAACCACAACCAUGACAGCCUCAACCUCAAUGGAAACCACAUUUUUCAAUCCAGAAUCAAAAGCCUCAGUGCCAAAUUUGUGGUAAAUUUGGACACACUGCUCUUAUUUGCUUCCAUUGCACAAAUUUGAACUAUUCACCCCAACCUUCUCCUAAAUCUUUCAAUACUGUUCUCACCACAAAUUCCCAGCUCCCUAAUCCUCCAAAAUUUUCUUACCCUACAAUGGCUCAUCCUGCUGCUACGCAUAACACGAUUCCUGAUACAAAUUGGUACAUGGACUCAGGUGCUACACAUCACUUUACUCCGGACAUCAACAUGCUUGACACUGUGACACCAUUUAGUGGUUUAGAACAGGUGACAGUUGGGAAUGGUAAGCAACUCUGUAUCUCACAUCUUGGUACUGCAAAACUACCAUCCUCGUAUUCUCCUCUUGUUCUACAUCAGGUAUAUCACACUCCAAAAAUUUCAAAUAAUCUUAUUAGUGUUAGAAAAUUGUGUUCUGAUAAUAAAGUUUUUGUUGAAUUUUAUGCCACUCAUUUUCUUAUCAAAGAUCAAGUUUCGAAGAGAGUUCUCUUUCAAGGUCAACUUGAUAAUGGCUUAUACAAAGUUCAGUCGUCAUGCUCUCCUUCUACUAUUUCCUUUCAUCCUCAAGUUUUCAUAGCCAACAUCAAGGAUCAAAAUUUGUGGCACAAGAGACUAGGCCACCCAGCUUUAUCUGUUAUUAAUCAAAUCUUGGAUUCUUGUAACAUUGCUCGAACACAGAAAAUUGGUUUUAAUUUUUGUAGUUCUUGUCAAUUAGCAAAAAGCCACAGGCUUCCUUUUUCUCUGUCUCCAUCCAUUGCAGAAAAACCUUUUGAGUUAAUUCAUACAGACCUAUGGGGUCUUUCUCCUGUUCGCUCUAUUUCUGGUGCUCGUUAUUUUUUACUUUUCAUUGAUGAUCAUACUCGUUUUACUUGGUUUUAUUUGCUCAAAACAAAAGAUGAAGCAUAUCCUACUUUUCUCAAGUUUCAAGCUCUCAUUGAAAAUCAAUUUAAUACCAAGAUUAAGGUUGUCCAAUCUGAUUGGGGAGGUGAGUUUCGAUCUCUCUCCAUACUGUUUUCAAAUAUGGGCAUUGUCUAUCGUUUAUCAUGUCCAUACACCUCACAACAGAAUGAGUGGGUUGAGCGAAAAAAUCACCAUGCGGUUGAAAUGGGAUUGUCCUUUCUUGCUCGCUCGGGUAUGCCCUUAUCUUAUUGGCCUUAUGCCUUUCAAACUGCCACUUACCUUAUUAAUCGUCUCUCUACCCCUGUGCUGCACCAUCAAUCCCCUUACUUCGCACUCUAUCACAAAUUCCCAGCUUAUACUCAUCUUAAGGUCUUUGUUCCUCUUGUUUUCCAUAUUUACGCCCUUAUAAUACCCAUAAACUCCAAUACAGGUCACUGGAGUGUGCUUUUCUUGGUUGCAGUUCACACCACAAAGGUUAUCUAUGUCUUGACAUUCAUUCUAGCAGGGUGUAUAUUUCUCGCCAUGUGAUUUUUAAUGAAGAUUCUUUUACAUUCAAGAAUUUGAAAUCUUCUCUCUCUUAGUCUAUUUCUUCUUCCUCUUCUUUAUUAGUUCCUCUGUUCAUUUCCUUGCCUCCCCUCUCCCCAUAUCCUCCUAUUUCUCCAUCUAUAUCUCAUUCUUUUCUCUCUUCUUCUUCUACCUCUAGUACUUGUUCCCCUCUCGUUGCUCCUACCUCUCUUCCUCCCUCUUCACACUUUGUGUCCCAUCUAUUCCACCUCCUUCUCCACCUUCUUCGAGUGUGGACCUGCUUGUACCUUGUGUGAAUACAAAUUUACUUACUUUUUCUCGCACUCACAAUAUUCAUCCUAUGGUGACCAGAUCUAAGGGUUUGUAUCUAUAAACCUAAGUUGCUAUUGAGUGUCUCCAUAGGUUCUCUCACUAAGCCUACUUCCUUUCUUCAAGCUAUUAAAGAUCCUUCAUGGAAGCAAGCCAUGGAAUUGGAGUUUGCUGCCCUUCAACACAACAAGACCUGGCAUCUAGUUCAUUCACCUUCCUCAGGCAAAGUAAUUGGUUGUAAAUGGGUCUAUAAGAUAAAGCUUUAGCCUGAUGGCUAAUUGAGAGAUACAAGGCCCGCUUAGUAGCUUAGGGUUAUCAUCAAACUGAAGGUAUUGACUACUUCGAAACAUUCAGCCUGGUUGUCAAGCCUUCUACUACCGUAUUGUGCUCAGUCUUACUUUUUCCCAGAAUUGGUGUAUUAGACAGCUGGAUGUUCAUAAUGCCUUCUUACAUGGUGACUUAGCUGAAGACGUUUUCAUGGAACAACCACCUGGAUUUGUUGAUCCUCUCUAUCCUACUCAUGUCUGCAAGUUGGAUAAGUCUCUCUACGGUCUUAAUAGUCACCUCGGGCUUGGUAUACUAAGCUGAGUACUUCUCUACUACACUUGGGAUUUGUUACUUCUAAGAAUGACUCUUCCUUAUUUAUUUGUCAUUCGUCUCAUGGGUUACUUCUUGUUCUUGUCUAUGUGGAUGAUAUAAUCGUCACUGGGAGCCACUCUCCUCAAGUUACUCACCUUAUCCAAUAGUUGCAUCAUCAGUUUUCUUUAAAGGAUCUUGGUCAUUUACACUAUUUUCUGGGCUUGGAGGUUCAUCACACCCCUACUGGUAUUCACCUCAGCCAAGCAAAGUAUAUCACUGAUCUCCUUACCCGGGCGGCUAUGUUGGAUGCCAAGCCAUGUCCCACUCCUAUGUCCUCCAACACAUAUCUUUCUCUUCAUGAUGGAGUGGCUCUUGAAAAUGGUUCAGAUUAUUGAAGUUUUGUUGGUGCCCUUUAGUAUUGUACCAUGACACGCCCAGAUAUAGCUUUUGCAGUAAAUAAAGUGUGUCAAUUCAUGCACCAUCCCUCUGAUGUUCACUGGCAGGCUAUAAAACGUAUUCUCCAGUACUUAAAGGGCACAUCUCAUUUUGGUCUCUUCCUACAGCCUUCCUAUGACUUCAACAUCACUUGCUAUACAGAUGCCGACUGGGCUUCCUGCCUUGAUGACAAGUGUAGCACCAGUGGCUACUGCCUCUUUCUUGCCUCUAAUCUGGUUUCUUGGUCAUCUUCCAAACAAAAAGUGGUCUCCCGCUCCAGCGCCAAAUCAGAGUACCGAGGGGUAGCAAAUGGGGCUGCUGAAAUUGCUUGGACUGAAUCUCUUCUUUGUGAACUUUCCACCCACUCGACCUCCCCUCAUUGUCUGUGACAAUAUCAGUGCCACAUACUUAGCUGUCAAUCCUAUUUUGCAUGCCCGCACCAAAACAUGUGGAAAUCGACUAUCACUUUGUCUCGGAACGUGUUCUUCAACGCUCUCUCUCUCUCCAGUUUACACCUUCGGAUGAUCAACUUGCUGAUUGCAUGACCAAGCCUCUCUCCACCCAACGUUUCAUCACUCUACGCUCCAAGCUCACUGUUCUCACUAGACCAAUGAGCUUGAGGGGGGAUGUUAAGCCUAAAGAUGUAAUUAGUUAGGAUAUUCUUUUCCCUCUAGUCUUGUAGCUCCACGUGUACAGUUGGUUAGGACCUCAUUGUAUAUAAUGCCUGCCCUGUUAUUGUAGAAGACAACAGAGAUAAAUAAUAUUAACAUUUUUCCUCUCAUCUCUCUCUCUGUUUCCCUCUGUUUUCAUCUCCUCUCUCAUCUGAACCAAAUGAUCCAUGUUAACCUUGGCUUGGUUUGAUUUGGCUCUAUCUUAGAGAGCUCAAGGAUCACGUCAACUCUGGUUUCUACUAUUCAGGUCCAUUCCCAUAUGAACUGGUUCAAAUUUGAGAAAAUGGUAACAGACCUUUAGUGAUGUUGGUUUGGAGCCAGUUGCCAAACCCGCCCUGAGCUUUACCACUAAUGUCAAGGGAGAAAGCCUUUUGAACAAAAACAAUAGCUUCAAGAGACUGAAUCGUGGAUGAAAUCUGAUCCACAUUUCUUCUCAUUUUGGAAACAAAUGAGAACUUAACUAAGAAGAUUCUACGGCCUCAUAGUGCUUUUCCUGAUCUAAGGUUGGUUCGUUUCCCAAAUUGUGAGAUGCACGGGCCAGACUUCAGAACUCUCACGCUCAGGAGUGUAUCCACGUGGUGGACAUAAGAUGGUGGCUUAAGAUCUGGUGUCGGUGGCUUUACUUUACUAGGAGAGUAGUGUGUCUUCAUCUCAUUCACUGCCGGAGGGUGGCGUAAGCAGUGACGCUAAGGUGGGGCAUAGUCAAUAUCAUUUGCAUUUGACCAUUAUAGUUUUCUCCCGGCUUGAAAGUAACCUUAUCGUGAUAAAGGAUUACUAGCACUAGUUCAGAUGACAGUCAUGUUAAAUUCGGACCAUGUUUGUGUCACAUUAUCAGCAACCAUGUGUUUAUGGUUCAUGCUUUCUGCAACUGAAAUUGAAAUUGAUAUAUAACCAGGUGAACUUCAAUCUAAAUUCUGGAAGUACUCAUGUGAGCGAUGGUGCCCAUCUGCAGAGUCCAUCAAUUGAAAAAUGGAGUGAGUGUAUCUAUAAGAGGGAAGGCUUGGCAAAUGUCCAGUUUUCUGGGAAUUCAACAAGGAUCUAAAAUAGAUUGUUUUCUUUGCUGAUUUCAAUGGUUGAAAUUUGAGAAGAUUGUGUCCCACAUAACACAACUAUUACUGGUCCUUCUGUUGCAAUUUAUCCUCUAAGGCUCUAGCAUGUCUUCCAAUUCCCACUUCCCUGUUACUCCAGGAAAGCUAUUUCUGUCAUUGUGAAGAAGAAAAGAGAAUGUAGAUAUCGAUGCUUUUAAGUGACUGGAGCAUUCAUAUCAGGUGGUCUGCAGCCAUAUAUGCCACUUUGUGAAGAUUGGAACAGUCAAUCACUAGGCUAUAUAUUAGUGUGGCCCAGCCACUUUAAUCAAGGACAAUUCUUCAUACUUAAAAGUCAAAUUCUGCCUUUAGUCUCAUUAUAAAUUGCUGUUUAAAUAUUAAGCAAACAUUUGUUUAAUGCGAUUAAGACAGUACUAACUCAAUACUUGUUCUAUUUUUGGAUGGAAAUGCUUGAUGGUUUCAUCAUUGGAUGGGAUAAAGGUGCAUUCAUGAUUAUGAAUACUUGUAGUUAUAUUUUCAUUCUCUUUUUUCUCAAUGAGACUUGUUGGCACAAUUUUUCUGUUCAGAAACCUACCUCUCCAUGGAAAAUAAGUUGUGAUUGAUAGUACUGGAUAUAUUCAAGAAAGCUAAAUAUAGAUAGCACAAAAUAUUAUCGACAUAAAUAGCAUUAACAGCGUACGUAUGUCUCAGUGCUCAUCAGCCAUAAGCAUGGGGCAAACACUUACGAUGAGCAACUUACGUCAAAAUUCCAGAAUAGGACAUAGAAGUGACAGAUCUAUAUAUAUAGAACACUGCAUAAGAGUCACAAGAAAGGAAAUUACGGGUGCAUAGCAGCUCUUAUUUCACAUACUACUCAUACUGAUCAAAGUCACUCAGUUGGGAUGGGUGGGAGUAGGAGGUUUGUGGGGUGGCUUGUGCGGAGGAGUUGGCAGCUUCUUUCCAGGACCUGGUGGCUUCUCUCCCUUAGGUGGUUUGCCAACUGGGGUUGGUGGCUUGUAUGAGUCUUCAGCAUUCUCUGCAGGAGGGUGACCAGGGUUGUGACCAUAAUGUGGUGGCUUCUCUCCCUUAGGUGGUUUGCCAACUGGGGUUGGUGGCUUGUGUUCUGGGAGUGGCUUCUCCCCCUUGGGAGGUUUUUCCAAUGGGGUUGGUUUGUGUUCAGGAGGUGGCUUCUCCACUGGAGGCUUGUGUUCAGGAGGUGGCUUCUCCACCGGAGGCUUGUGUUCAGGAGGUGGCUUCUCCACCGGAGGCUUAUGCUCUGGUGGUGGCUUCUCCACCGGAGGCUUAUGCUCUGGUGGUGGCUUCUCGAAUGGGGGAUGCUUAGGGUAAUCAGCAAGUGAGGGGGCGGUGAGAACCACCAGGCCAAGCAAGACCACUAGCAAGUAUGUAGGAGACAUCUUUGGGUUUAGACUCAGAUGGUGCAAAACUAGGAGAAUUGUCUUUUAUAGCGGAUCGCACCCAAUAAUGAAAUGACACGUGUCUUUAUGACCCAUGUGUAAUGGGGUCGAUUUGGGUCCUACAGUGUUGAAAACUUCGACAUCCACUUUUGGCCUUUUGCUUUCUCUACAGCCGCCUUGCUUUUUCCCUCUUUCCUUUUGUUUUCCUCCUGCCCCAUUCUAUCAACUAAACACAAUUAUGUAGUUGUUUAAUUCUUAAAUGAGAUAUUAUCCGUCAAUCGUAUCAUAUUUUAUCAACAGAGAACGGAGUGCAAUGUGGCAAUCCAAAGAAAGAAGAUCCAUAAUGCAGCUGUAAUUUUAUCGUUUACUUUUAUCUCUUGGACCACUGCAUUUUUGUUAAGAGGUGCAAUAAUACACGUCUUUAUCUGCCAUUCAAUGUUUACAGUAAAGAGAGGGCACAAAACUCUUCACUGCUCUGCAUGUGUCCCAAAAAUGCAAUUGGACAAAUUAUGAUUUGCAUGCUAAAAAGAGGCAAAUGAGGUUAAUUCGCACCAUAAUUAUUUUGUUUUCUGGACCCCGGGGCCCUUUGGUUGGUUUGGGGGUCAGAAAAUGAACAUCAUAGGGGGUUUUUCCCUUAUGUGCAUUUGUAUCUGAUGGCUUUAACUCGCCUUGUUACUACAAAGAAAUUGUCACAUAUAGGAACUUAUUCCAGGCUGAGUAUCUCCGCAUAGACCCUAUAAAAGAAGACAAGUCAUAAUGAACAUCUAACCUUUGUUCAAUUUGAUUCAAUGCCCCAUUGUGUCCACCUCACAAAUCUGAAUUAUUAUAUCCAUUGAAUACAUAAAUUAAUGAAGAAAAUAUGAAACCCAAGAUACAUCUCUGCACAACCUCAACCCUGGUUGCUAUGUUUCCCUUCUAUUCACAUGAGGAUAUUGAUUACGGAAUAGGGAAACCUAGCAAGGGUUUACUCGGCUCUGGUUUGAUGCUAAUUGCCAAACUUGCAACAAGCCCUGAGUUUGAAGCUCACAGAAGAUGUUAUACAGGCAGGGAAAAACCUUCAGAGUUCGCUGCCAAAGAUAAUUAUUAAGGAGAUAUCACCAAGAGAAUUCCAAGGAGUCUGAAUCAAAGACAAAUUGGUCGUUCGUGGAGGUUCUUACUUUCUUUUGGGUAUAACUCACUGAGGGCACUGUCUUUUUUAUUUUCAUUUCACAUUUAGAGUUCUGUUCUGGAAACAUAUAAAAGGAGCAUCAGUUUGUUCUUGGGUAACCCAUAGUCGUGAGUGGGUCCAUUUGCAUGCUACUUAGUUGAAAAGUUGGACCAUUUGCUCCGACGCCUACCUCCUGGAUUCCAUGCUCGGAUAAAACAAGAAUAAAAAAAUAUUUAUAAUUUACAAAUGGGGGAAAGAAAAAAAUGUCAACAACAAACUAGGAAAAAAGAGUAGUAAAAUUCAUGUCACAUGCUAGUGAGAGAAGGGGUUGUUACACUCACUCGAAGUUCUUUUCAAAAUAUCGCAUGGUAUUUUAUUUUAUGUGUGAGCGCAGUUGUGAAUGGAACGUGCAAAAGUCCAAAUUGGUGACCUUUAAUAAAUAUUUAAAACAAAAAACGAAAAAAAGGAGGGAAAAGGGAUCAGAAAAGAUAAAACAAUGUGUACAAAAGCUCAAUUAGUUUGCAAAUUACUGUUUGGAUUUUGAUAGUAUUUUAUUUGAUGUAAAAGAGAAUUUAAGAUAUUUCCGAAACAAAAGCAUUAGUUUGCUCCAUGUCAAUUUCGGCAUUUCUCAUAUGUUUCACACAUACACAGAAGAGCAUCGUUUUUUAAAGCAUGCAUUUAUGUUGGAUUAAUUUGGAUUUUGUGGGAACUGGGGCAAGGAUCACAUGGAAGAGAGGUUGACUUUUUUCAGUACUUCAAUGGUUGAGACAGGUGAAGGCCUGAUUGAUACUGAAGCCUGAAAUUGCGACUCCGUCAUUUGUCAAAACAUAUGACAGCUUCCAUGCUCUCGUUUGGUUGCAUUGUUCUGUGGUCAUGCAUACAUGCCACUUAGUGAUCAGUCUGUAACUGUCAAUCAUUGGGCUUUGACUGAACAACAUCAGCCAUGUAUAAAUACUUGCAAAUCAAACGGUCUUCUUCCUCCCAUAAGGAAUUUCGGUUUAAUUAUGAAGCAUGCAUUUGGCUGACCAUCAUAAACCACUUCUUUAAAUUGAUGAAUGAUAGUUUUUCAUUCAUUCUUUCAUUCGUUCAUAUACAGAGUAUAUAUAGAGGGUAAUCAUCAUUCUAAGAAUGGGAAAGAAUGAUACAAGGAAAUAAUGAUAUAAAGAAAUAACAACUAAUAUUCUAAUAUCUCAACUUUCCUAAUAUCUAAACAUUCCUAAUAUCUCAACACUAAAUGAUAUAAAGAAAGAAUGAUAUAAGGAAAGCAUUCCUAAUAUCUCAACACUCCUCCUCAAGUUGGUGCAUAGAUGUCAAACAUGUCCAACUUGUCUAAAAAUUUUGAGAACAGUUGACUUGAGACAUCUUUGGUGAGGAUAUCGGUCAAUUGAUCUUCUGAUCGAAUCUUAGGCAAUUCCACAAUCUUAUCAUCCAACUUUUCCUUAAUGAAAAAUCUAUCCAUCUCGACAUGCUUUGUACGAUCAUGUUGUACUAGAUUAUGAGCAAUGUCACAUGCUGCUUUAUUGUCACAAAACAAUCGGAUUGGUUGCCUAGAUAGGUAACCUAAAUCCUAUAAGAGGAGUCUUAGCCAUAAUGCCUCACAAAGUCCUAAAGUCAUACCUCUAAAUUCCGCUUCUGCACUUGAACGAGCGACGACAUUUUGCUUCUUACUUUUCCAUGUCACAAGAUUACCACCUACAAAGGUAAAGUAACCAGAUGUAGAUCGCCUAUCAUCCACUGCACCGACCCAAACAGCAUUAUACUUCUAUACUCUGAUGAUCAACAUUUUUAGCGAACAAAAUUCCCUUCCUAGGAGCAUUCUUCAAAUACCUCAAAAUACGCAUGACUACAUUCAUAUGUUGCUCUCCAGGAUUAUGCAUGUAUUGACUCACUACACUCAAUGUAUAAGCAAGAUCUAGUCUUGUAUGAGCUAAGUACAUUAAUCUCCCCACAAGUCUCUGGUAUCUUCCCUUAUCGAUUGAUACUUGAUUAGGCUCAACACACAAUUUCAGACCUUCUUCUAUUGGUGUAUUAAUAGGUUGACAUCCCGACAUUCCAGUUUCCUGUAGAAGAUCUAAGGCAUACUUUCUUUGAGACAGAAAAAUUCCUUCACUUGAUCGAGAAACUUCAAUCCCAAGAAAGUAUUUCAGACGACCAAGAUCUUUCAUUUCAAAUUCUCUAGAUAGAUACUUUUGCAAAGCUUUUCUUUCUUCAGGAUCAUUUCCUGUAACUACAUGUCAUCCACAUAUAUCAUAAGUGUCGUAAUCUUACCAUGUUGCUUUUUCAAGAACAAAGUGUGAUUUGAAUUACUUUGAUGAUAGCCAAAAGCUCUCAUUGAUUUUGUGAACCUUCCAAACCAUGCUCUCGGGGAUUGCUUCAACCCAUACAAUGACUUCUUCAAUUCGCACACCUUCUGACAUUGCUUUUCUGACACCAUGCAUCCUGGUGGAAGAUCCAUAUAUACUUCUUCAGAUAAAUCGCCAUGCAGAAAGACAUUUUUUACAUCGAACUAUUGUAAUGGCCAAUCUAGGUUUGCAGCUAAAGACAAUAAUACUCGAACUGUGUUGAUCUUAGCUACAGGUGCAAAUGUCUCUGUGUAGUCAAUUCCAUAAGUUUGAAUGUACCCACUAGUCUUGCUUUAAAUCGUUCAAUACUACCAUCUGCCUUGUACUUCACAGUAUAGAUCCAACGACACCCAACUAGCUUCUUUCCUGGUGGACAUUCUACGAGUUCCCAUGUUUCAUUUUUCUGCAAUGAUUUCAUCUCUUCAUUCAUGGUUGCUUUCCACUUUGGAUCAGCUAAAGCUUCCUGCACACUAUUAGGAAUAGCUACAGUAGAUAAUUGAUUUACAAAUGACUUAUUUGAUUCAGACAAACCAUGGUGUGGACCCGCAUUUUUCACGUGCGCCUCUACUCGAUCGGCGAGACUCGCUUUCUAUUUGUGAAAAAUUAAUUUUAGAAAAGUUGGAGUCGCCACCUAUUUUAUUUUUAUUUUGAAGGGAAAAUAAAACAAGAAAGAAAAACCCUAAAAAGUGACUCCAUAGUUUUGGAAAAAGCAUGUCUUUGGGAAACCUGAGUCUAGGUCCGGGGAUCAUGUUACUUAUUGGGAAGGUACCUCUAGGAGGUAGCACCCCUCUAAGCCUUAUGAAGGUCUCUACUAACUAAAUUAAGGGAAGUGUGGCAAUAAAUCGAUUGAUCAUAGAUACCUAAGUAGACUAGGUGAUUUUAAAGUGUGGCAUGUCAAACACAAUCAAAUUGCAAUAAAGGAGAGUUAGGGCGCGUACCUGAACCGCUUCUCAAGCGCUAUCAUAAAACAUCAAUGGUUAAUUUAAAUAAUAUAUCAUCCAGCAUGUAUUUUAUUAGAAAUAAUCAAACAAUGAAACAUGUAUAUCAGAACACUCAAGCAUUAUUAGACAUAAGCAUUAUUUCACUAUUCACAGAAUUCAGAAAGUAGGUGAUAGAGGACAUACCUGGAUAGCAUAGAUAAUUUGUAAUGUGCUUCCUCAAGUUGUAAGGGGUUAGAUAACAAAUAAUAAAAUAUAGAAAUCCUAGCAUGCUCGUUAUCUAAUUAGCAUAGCAAAAGUGAUCACAGUAUACAGAAUCAUCAAUUAUCACAUACAUCUUGUAUAUAAUUCCUAAAAAAAAUAGAUAGACAUGAUUUCAACAAGUGUCAAAUGUGGCAACAAAAAUAAAUUUUGAAAAGAUUUUCUUAUGUAGGGGUUUCACCAAUUCCCCAAAUUAAUAUACACGAAUUUAGCUUAGAAUUAUCCCAUUUAUUUGGGACUACAAGCUUUGAUUCGUGUUUUUGUUCAAAACCAAAAAUUUUUGUUGAAAAUCAAGAAGGAUGCGAACCGAACAAGAUAUGGUUGCAUAUUAUUUUUAAAUAAAUAAAUAAAUAAAUAAAGGAGAUUUUGAUCCUGAGGACUUUAAUGAGUUUUUUUUUUUAAAAUAGAUUUUUAAAAUGAUUUUUUUGAGAAAAGUAUUUUAUUUUAAAAUAAAAGGGAUUAAUUUGGGAAAAAAAUAAAAUAUAAGAAAUAAAAUACCAAACAAAACAAAAAUGAAACCUCAAAGUAAAAUUUUUUUAGUAAUUAACAAAAAUGAUAAUGGUGAUGGUAGAGGGCAAUCUUCAUGAUUUUCCAAUGGCCUCAGAAAGAAAAUCAAAUUAAAUGAAGGAUCACUAACAGGCAAGACAUUCUAAAUUAGACAAACUAACAAAGUAUCAAUUCAUGAACUAACCGCUAGGAUUUUGAAAGCAUAUAAGCUAAGAUAAGGGUGAUCAGGAACUAAUAUUAAUGAUUUUGAAAUAAAAACUAAAAAAAAGGAUCAAUUCGGGUAAGGAACUAAAAUUAUAAAAGUACCUAAACUAAUUAUGACGAGUUUGACUAAAUUAAACUAAAAACAUGAACUUUCAAACAUAGAAUUAAUUUUACUAAUGAACCAAAGCAAACUAAAAAUAUGUACUUUCAAGCAUAGAAUUAAUUUUAUUGAUGAACUAAACUAUAACAAAUAUCUAAACUAAAUAUAAUGAAUCAAAUUAAAUUAAAGCAACUUAAAAACGCAAACUUUCAAACAUAGAAUCAAUUUUAUCAAUGAAUUAAAACUAUAAAUGUAUUUGAACUAAAUAGAUGAAUCAAACUAAAUCAGAGCAAAAUUAAAAAAAAAAAAGAACUUUCUAACAUGAAAUCAAUUUUAUCAACAAAUAAAUGAAUGAAUAACAAGUAAUUAAAAGAAUAGCUACUACAUGAAUAACUGAAUGAAUAAAAUUCAAAUGUUUUCAAUCUGAAGCAAUCAAUCAAAAUUAAAUAGGGAUCAAAUCAAAAUAAUCGAAAUCGGAAAAACAAUAUGCAAUCUUUCUAAAGGUUUAACCAGACAAUUGAAUUAAAAUUAUGAAUAGAAUAAAUUAAUAAACCAAAUCGAAACCUAAAUUGUACCUAAAAAGAUUAAUUAAUUAAACUAAGAAAUCAAAAUCAAUAACAAAACUAAACUAAGGAGUAAAUUAAGACAAGACUAAUUAAAUUAAACUCACAAACACGUUUUAACUAUCAUAUGGAUUAAAACAAAAUUAGCAUGGACUUAUGAAUUACGAACAAAAAUAAUCAAAACUAUUUUAAAAAACUCACCUCUAUUAUAAGAAAAAAUCUGCCUUUGAUGCGUUGAGGUGGCUCCCCUCUCUGUGUGGAUCUCUCUGCUCCCCAGAAAAAAAAUGUCUCUUCCUCCGUUCUCUUUUGUUUCAGCAAAAUAAUAUAUCCCCUGCUGUGGAUCUCUCUACUCCCAGAAAAUAAUAUAUUCUCUCCGUGUCCUAAAGUGGACCUAGGGUGCCUAAGUGGACCUAGGGUGCCUAAAUGGGCCUAGGGUGCCUAAAUGGGCCAAGUGUAUCUAAAUAGGCUUAGGGUGCCUAAGUGGGCCUAAGUCUAAGUGAGCCUAAGUCUAAAUCAAGACUACCAAGGAUCAUAAUAAGGGGUUAGGCAAUCCCUUAACCAAAGUCUCCAAGGUGGCUAAAAAAAAGUAAGUAGUAUGAGUAGCUAUGGGUCACCAAGGAACUACUGUGGAGCAUUGAAAACGAAUUUAAAGACAUGUGCCAAAGGGACAAAAUUGAGGGUCUACAGAUGGUUAGACACAUAGUUGCUCAUGGGAUAUUUGACUUUGGUAAACAAUUCAGAUUCAUAUGUGGGUUUAGGAAUACCUUUAUUAUGACGGUGUGGUAAUCGUUUCAUGAAUGGAUCAGGUUGCAAAUUAAGAACACCCUCAGCAAACAACGAUUGGUUUGGUAUUUCAGUGAAGACAUCUUCGAACCCAAAUUGUUGACCACUCAUAUCCAACUCACCCGCUUCCUGGUUCACUAGUUCAGAUUGUCCAAAUUCAUCAUUCUCAUAGAUAUGAUAAUCAUAAUCGAGAGUCUGAAUUUCCUUAUGGUACUCCCCCUGAAGUUCAGACUUAGAUGAAAAAUACAUCGAAUAUUCAUGAAACAGCNNNNNNNNNNNNNNNNNNNNNNNNNNNNNNNNNNNNNNNNNNNNNNNNNNNNNNNNNNNNNNNNNNNNNNNNNNNNNNNNNNNNNNNNNNNNNNNNNNNNNNNNNNNNNNNNNNNNNNNNNNNNNNNNNNNNNNNNNNNNNNNNNNNNNNNNNNNNNNNNNNNNNNNNNNNNNNNNNNNNNNNNNNNNNNNNNNNNNNNNNNNNNNNNNNNNNNNNNNNNNNNNNNNNNNNNNNNNNNNNNNNNNNNNNNNNNNNNNNNNNNNNNNNNNNNNNNNNNNNNNNNNNNNNNNNNNNNNNNNNNNNNNNNNNNNNNNNNNNNNNNNNNNNNNNNNNNNNNNNNNNNNNNNNNNNNNNNNNNNNNNNNNNNNNNNNNNNNNNNNNNNNNNNNNNNNNNNNNNNNNNNNNNNNNNNNNNNNNNNNNNNNNNNNNNNNNNNNNNNNNNNNNNNNNNNNNNNNNNNNNNNNNNNNNNNNNNNNNNNNNNNNNNNNNNNNNNNNNNNNNNNNNNNNNNNNNNNNNNNNNNNNNNNNNNNNNNNNNNNNNNNNNNNNNNNNNNNNNNNNNNNNNNNNNNNNNNNNNNNNNNNNNNNNNNNNNNNNNNNNNNNNNNNNNNNNNNNNNNNNNNNNNNNNNNNNNNNNNNNNNNNNNNNNNNNNNNNNNNNNNNNNNNNNNNNNNNNNNNNNNNNNNNNNNNNNNNNNNNNNNNNNNNNNNNNNNNNNNNNNNNNNNNNNNNNNNNNNNNNNNNNNNNNNNNNNNNNNNNNNNNNNNNNNNNNNNNNNNNNNNNNNNNNNNNNNNNNNNNNNNNNNNNNNNNNNNNNNNNNNNNNNNNNNNNNNNNNNNNNNNNNNNNNNNNNNNNNNNNNNNNNNNNNNNNNNNNNNNNNNNNNNNNNNNNNNNNNNNNNNNNNNNNNNNNNNNNNNNNNNNNNNNNNNNNNNNNNNNNNNNNNNNNNNNNNNNNNNNNNNNNNNNNNNNNNNNNNNNNNNNNNNNNNNNNNNNNNNNNNNNNNNNNNNNNNNNNNNNNNNNNNNNNNNNNNNNNNNNNNNNNNNNNNNNNNNNNNNNNNNNNNNNNNNNNNNNNNNNNNNNNNNNNNNNNNNNNNNNNNNNNNNNNNNNNNNNNNNNNNNNNNNNNNNNNNNNNNNNNNNNNNNNNNNNNNNNNNNNNNNNNNNNNNNNNNNNNNNNNNNNNNNNNNNNNNNNNNNNNNNNNNNNNNNNNNNNNNNNNNNNNNNNNNNNNNNNNNNNNNNNNNNNNNNNNNNNNNNNNNNNNNNNNNNNNNNNNNNNNNNNNNNNNNNNNNNNNNNNNNNNNNNNNNNNNNNNNNNNNNNNNNNNNNNNNNNNNNNNNNNNNNNNNNNNNNNNNNNNNNNNNNNNNNNNNNNNNNNNNNNNNNNNNNNNNNNNNNNNNNNNNNNNNNNNNNNNNNNNNNNNNNNNNNNNNNNNNNNNNNNNNNNNNNNNNNNNNNNNNNNNNNNNNNNNNNNNNNNNNNNNNNNNNNNNNNNNNNNNNNNNNNNNNNNNNNNNNNNNAACCAAAGGAAGCAUGUUCCAGACGUCGAUGCCACAACCAAAUUUCAGACUUUUUCUUCUCCUCCUUAGAUCCAUCUGCCAUCAAGGCUUGUUGCAACUUAUUUGAAUCCUUUGAUUGCAAGUCCAAGUAUAGAGUUUCCCCCGCUUAAUACGACAACCAAUCGUCUGUCUUGUUUGAAUGUCCUUAAUCACACAAAAUUCAGGCCAAAAAAUGACAAUACAAGAUAAGGCUGCAGUGAUUUGAGAAACUAACAAAAGAUUGUAAUCUAAAGAUGGAACAACUAAAACAGAAUCCAAAUUCAAAGUAUCAGUAAGAGUUAAGGAUCCUUCCCCAAUGACUGGGGUUGUGUUACCAUUGGCUGUGGAAACAAUUUUUUGUGAGGAAGGUCUAAGGGGUGAAACCUGUCUAGAAUCAAAAGUCAUAUGAUCUGUAGCACCAGAAUCAAUUAUCCAUGCACUAUUAAUAACAGGUGUAAAAGUAUUUAAAAACUUACCACAAUGAUCUGUAGCGGCUACUAAUGCAGAGACUUUCUCAACAACAUUAGUCUUUGUUUUUAUUUCGGUAACAGUUGCAAUCAAGGUUUUCUUGGAAUUCUUCUUCCGUUGAUCACGAUUAUUAUCAUUAAUAACAAAGUGUUGAUAGCCUAAACAUGAUCUAAAGGUCCAUGGUGCAAACCCUCGGUUCCUCAUUGUUUUCCUGGUCAUACCAAGAGUUGUUGCUUUGAAAUUGUGGGAUAUCCAGACUGGUGGGAUCAGUUUUAUUGCAGUGAGUGCAUUUGAAUGUUGACUUAUCAAUAUUAGGGCUUGUCUUCGGAUGGUUGAUUGCUGUUGGACUACCAUAGCGACAAAAUAUCCAGGAUUUCAAUUCCAGGGCUCUGAUACCAUCUUCAAAUUGAUGAAUGAUAGUUUUUCAUUCAUUCUUUCAUGUACAGAGUAUAUAUAGAGGGUAAUCACCAUUCUAAGAAUGGGAAAGAAUGAUACGAGGAAAUAAUGAUAUAAGGAAAUAAUAACUAAUAUCCUAAUAUCUCAACUUUCCUAAUAUCUCAAUAUUCCUAAUAUCUCAACUUUCCUAAUAUCUAAACAUUCAUAAUAUCUCAACACUAAAUGAUACAAGGAAAGAAUGAUAUAAGGAAAACAUUCCUAAUAUCUCAACACCACUUCAUGAUAUAUAUAGUUUCUUACCCUUAAUCAAUGGUUUCUAAGUGAAUUUAUAUAGAAAGAAAUCCAAACUGUAGACAGCAGUAUUGGUAACACUCAAUAUUCUGUAUAUAAUAGAAUAAAUAGCGUCACAGUGAUCGUCGCCUACAAGCAAGGUACAAAUACCACAAAGAGUGACCCACAUAGACAUUCCCCAACAAGAUGUAGUAGUGACUGACACAUAGCCACAAUUAACACGUAGAAAAGGAUAAGACCGGUGCACAGUAGCUCUUAUUUUACAUACUACUUAUGCCAACCAAAGUCACUCAGUUGGGAUGGGAGGGAGAUGGAGGUUUGUGCGGUGGCUUGUGGGGCGGAGUUGAUGGCUUCUUUCCAGGAGCUUCUGGCUUUUUCAUCGGAGCUGAAGGAGGCUCAAUCUUAUGAGGCGGCUUGUACGAGUCUUCUUUGCUCUCGAAAGGAGGGUGGCCAGGGUUGUGACCAUAAUGUGGUGGUUUCUCUCCCUUGGGAGGUUUACCAAUUGGGGUUGGUGGCUUGUGUUCUGGGAGUGGUUUCUCUCCCUUGGGAGGUUUAGUGGGUGACUUGUGUUCUGGAGGUGGCUUCUCCACCGAAGGCUUGUGCUCCGGUGGUGGCUUUUUGGUUGGAGGGGGCUUGGGGUAAUCAGCAAGAGAUGGGGUGGUGAGAACCACCAGUCCAAGGAACAACACUAGCAAGUAUGUGGGAGACAUUUUUGAGUUUGGGCUGAUCAGAUGAUGCAAAACUAAAGCAUUACGUGACCUUUUAUAGCAAGUAGCUCCCAAUACCUACUUGACACGUGUUACUGUGACCCAUAAAUAUUAUGGGGUCUAUUUGUGCCCUACCGGGUUGAAAACUUGGACAAUUGGGCAAGGACCCGCCUGACUAUGGAGGACUACUGAGGUGUGAUCACAGCUUUAGGAUUUUUCUUCCUCUGCAGCCGUCUUGCCGUUGGCAUGAUUUUCUUAAUCUCAAAUAAAGGCAUAGUUAUAGAGUUGUUUAAUCUCUAAAUGGGAUUUUAUAUAUCUUCAGAUAGCCAUUAAUACAUUUGAUGAAGAAAGAAAGACAAGUGCAUACAACAUGUAUACGACUAGCUUUCAUGGAGUUCAUUUAUGAUCAGUUUUCCUGUACAUGUAAACCAAGAUCAUAUAUGUUUUUGUUCCACAACAAUUUUGGAAUCUUGUUUAUCCGUUUUUAUCAUUAUAAUGUCACAUAGGCUGCCAACUUGGGCGCUAAAUUAAAGAUCCAGUUGGGCAAGUUCGUUUCAGAAUUUCAAUGGUGGAUUCAGGAAUUGUUUUAUAAGAUAUGCAAAAUAGUAGAGGGAUGAAUAGUGUUUCAUUAAGAAAAGAGCCCUGUAAAAAUAUUGUUUAAAGGUGCCAUAGAAACUAUAAUCAAUAAAUAACUUUUUUUCCCCAUGGGUGGUGUUUCUUGUGGGGAUCAGUGACUGGUUUGAGUCAACGCCGUGUCUCUUUAGUCCAGAAAUCAACUAUUUUAUGCAUUGAAUACAUCAACAAAGAAAAUAUGAAAGCCAAAUGACACCUCCCCCGCAAAAACUAAACCCUGGUUGCUAACUUUCUAUGUUUCAGUUCCAUUCACACAAGAAUAUUAGUUCAAGUUUGAGAAAAAUGGCGACUUACCUAGUGAUAACUCGGUCUUGGUUUGCGAUUUGACUUUAACGUCAUGGGUUGAAGCCUCCUACAAUCAUCGUGUAUGCUAGUUCAAAGCUCGUGGAAGAAGUUAUACAGGGAGGGAGAAACCUCCACAGCAAGCUCCAAAAGAGAAUUAUCACAUUGAAAGCUCCAGUUGAACACUGGGUGAAAGCCAUAACAAGAUUGGUUUUCUAUCGCUCUUUUAAGUAAUGGAAGAUUAUUAUCUCUGCUUGUCACUACAACCGUGCAUGCUGCUAGAUCUUUCUAGACACUUCAAACAGUGAAACCAAGUAUGAUUCUUUUUCUCUUGAGUGGGUCCACUUGCAUGCCAAUGAACGAGUUGAAAAGUUGGACAAUUGGCCACAGCGCGCACUUACCUUCUGGAACCGAAGGUCAGUGAAGUGGGGUUCCUUUUGGCCCCUUGUGUUUCUGUUCCAACCUACUCCAGGAACCGAAGUUCAGUGAAGUGGGGCUACUUUUGGCCUCUUGUGUUUCUGUUCCAACCAAACAAAAAUGGGAGGGAAAAAUAGCAUUAUGCUUGUGCUAAAGAUCAACGCAUGAUAGCUGAAUAAGGGAGAAAAAGGCAUUGCUAUCUCAAUUUCAUAAACUUGAUAAGUAGUGACAUUAAUAGUCUUCCUCAUAGAUGGAUACAUGGUUUUAUUUUAUUUAUUUAUUUUUAUUUUUUUGUUUUAUGUCAAUGCUAAUGAAUGAAGUGCAUUAGCUUGUUUUGUGACUAGAACUACAAAUGUCCAAAUUGGAGCUUCUCCAAUAUAUUUCUCAGUGAGUUAUUGAUUAGAACUCUUGGAUUGAGUUCCAAGAUUUGAAUCAGACCCCUCUAGCAGCUUCAGGGGUACGUAGCAACCUAUAGCAUAUUAAUGAAGACUUAGGAUUUAGACUUAGGAAUACAAAUUAAUAUGUACCUCAUGCUCUGACUAGCUUCCCUGCGUAUGCACAAAAUGGAGAUGACUCCCAAAAAAAUAGCAGAAUCGCCUUAGUAUGUUUUUGUGGUUAAGAUGAUUCUCCACUUUAUAUAUCCACAUUGGUUCAUUAUGCAAAUUAAUCAACUAAGCUAUUUUUAUUUUUUCUUAAAUGUGAAAUAGGAGCUCCAAAUUAACCUAACCAUUGGCCUGAUUGAAUUGAUUUCACUUGCAUAAUGUUAUAGUAGAAGUCCGUAAUUUGAAUUUUAUUUUUGCAAAAGGUAACGUAAAUGAAGCAUUGUAAUUAAAUUUAUUUGUAAUUACAAACUAAUUUUAUUUUAUUAAGAAUUAAUUUAAUUACUCAUUUAAAAUAAAAAUCAGUUAUACUUUUACCAAGAUGAUAAUAUUCAUAUUUUUCUAGUUAACAUAUAUAAAAUAGUACACUUUUUCAUAUAAAAAAAUAAUUUAUGAUUUAUUAUAAUGUUACUAUUCACAUUUUACUAAAUUGAUGGUACAUGAUAGUGAGAGAAGGGGGUGUCACACUCAGCUAAAGUUCUUUUCAAAAUAUUGCAUGGUGUUUAAUUUUAUGUGUCGGCGCGCGUGUGAAUGGAACCUGCAAAAGUCCAAAUUGGCGUUUCUCCAUUUUCCACAUAGGAUGGUGACGUUAAUAGACAAAGAUACAAUAUCUGUAGACAUUGCUUAAAAAUCGAUGUGAAGUAUUAGAAAUUACAGGGCACUGUACUGGGGGAGCGGCUGCCCCGCCAAAGGAGGAAGAAUGUAGCAAUUUCUUCUGUUAGCCAGGCCUUAGGAUUUAUGCAUGGGAUGCCUAAUAACAAACAGAGAAAAUAUACUUUUGGGGAAGGUAUCCAACAACAGACACCAUCAUUCAGAUGGUGGGAAGGUAUCCAACAGAUGCCAUCAUUCAGAUGGUAACAUAUAUAUACAUUUAUUAGUGAGUUUUUUUAAUACCUAUAAAAAAAAAUAUACACUUUGAUAUUGUGGCUGAAUCCAUUACAUACUCAACUAACCUUGCUCAUUAGGGAUUUGACUUAACAAGGGCAACGUUGCAGUACAAGCUCAAAACUUUAUGCAGGUGACAUUACAUUUGGUAAAGAAGAGGAAAAUAACGAAAGCCAUCCAUAAAAGCAAAAUUCCACAUGGGAUGAAAUUCACAAGCUUCAUUUACGAUAGAGUCGCAUCCAGGCAAUUAAUUCCACAUUAGACCGCCUGUUGACAUGUGUACCAAUCUUUUUUCAAAAAAUAUUUAUAAAUAAUUGAUACUCACAAAAAUAAUUUAAUAUUUAUAAAGGAUAAAAAAAUAUUUUCAAAUCUAUAACAAUUUAUAAAAUAUUAAUAAAAAAUUAUCUCUUAAACUUAGUAUAGUUUUAUCAGAUUAAACUUUUAUUUUGAACAAAUAAUUUUAAUCUAAGUUUUAAAUUCUAAAAUUAUUUCCUUAAAAUAAAAUUUUAAAAUUCAACACUUCAAUUGAAAUUGUCUUUUUAAAAAAUAUCUUCUUAUUUUAAUCCUUAUAAACUAUAGUUGAUUGAAAAUACUAUUGAAGUUCUCUCUUAAAAAAAAGUCUUAUUUUAAUCUUCAUAAAUUGCCCUUGAUUUGAAAAUAAAUUUUCAGUUAUCAUAUUUUAAAUAAUAUCUAUAUUUAAAAUACUCUAUUUAAAAAAAAAUGAACUAAUUUUAAUUAUAUUAUAUUUUAUUUUUUUAUAUAUUUUUAAUGAUAAACCAAACAUAGAAAAUCAUUUUUCUAAAUAUUUUAAAAUUUCUAAGCAACCAAACAUAAUCUUCAAAAUAAAAGGAAAAUAAGGAGGGACAUUUGAGAAAUGGCGAUUAAAAAAAAGUGUACAAAAGCUCAAUUAAUUUUCUUCUAGUCUUUUAUAUAAAAAAGUAAAGGAAUUGAAAAGUAUUGAUAUGUAAAUUAAUAUUUGGAUUUUAAUAGUAUUUUAUUUGUCUUUCUCUAUCUCAUGUAAAAGAGAAUUUAAGAUAUUUCCUAAAGCAAAGCAUUAGUUAUCUGCAAUCAGUGGUGAUCAUGCCCCAUGUCAAUUUCGGACCCAUAUCUUAAAACUGUAUAAUUUGCAUUCAAACAUUACUGAUUUCUCAGAUGUUUCAUACUCCACAGAAGAGCAUUGUUUGUGAAAGCAUGCAUUUAUGUUGGAUUUUGGAUGAUGUGGGAACUGGGGCAAGGAUCAUAUGGAAGAGUGGUCGAUUUUGUUCUGUACUUUAACAUUUGAAAUAGGAGAAGCUCGGGCAUUUGUGGGGCUUAAUUGAUUUUGAAGCCUGAAAUUGCGUUUCUGUCAUUUUGUAAAAAAUAUGGCAGAUUCCAUGCUCUCAUAUGUUUGGUCUGUGGCCAUGUAUAGAUGCCCCUUAGUGACCAGUUUGUAACUGUCAAUCAUAGUGUUUUGACUCUGGCUCAACAACAUCAGCCAUUGACGGAUUUUCAUACUUGCAAAUCAAAUAGUCUUCUUCCUCCCUUAGGAAUUUCGGUUUAAAUGUUAUUAAGCAUACAUUUGGCUGACAAUUAUUAACCACUUCAUGAUAUGGUUUCUUACCCUUAAUCAAUGGUUUCUAAGUGAAUAUAUGCAGAAGGAAAUCUGAACUGUAGACAGCAGUAUUGAUAACUCUCAAUAUUCUUUAUAUAAGAGAAUAAACAACGUCAUAGUGAUCGUCGCCUACAAGAAAGGUACAUUUCCCAACAAGAUGUAGUUGUGACUGGUACAUGGACGCAAUUAACUCGUACAAAAGAAUAAGACCAGUGCACGGCAGCUCUUAUUUUACAUGCUAAUUAUGCUAACCAAAGUCACUCAGUUGGGAUGGGAGGGAGAUGGAGGUUUGUGCGGUGGCUUGUGGGGCGGAGUUGGUGGCUUCUUUUCAGGAGCUUGUGGCUUUUUCGGAGCUGAAGGAGGCUCAAUCUUAUGAGGCGGCUUGUACGAGUCUUCUUUACUCUCGACAGGAGGGUGGCCAGGGUUGUGACCAUAAUGUGGUGGCUUCUCUCCCUUAGGUGGCUUGCCAACUGGGGUUGGUGGCUUGUGUUCAGGAAGUGGUUUCUCUCCCUUGGGAGGUUUACCAAUUGGGGUUGGUGGCUUGUGUUCUGGGAGUGGUUUCUCUCCCUUGGGAGGUUUAGUGGGUGACUUGUGUUCUGGAGGUGGCUUCUCCACCGGAGGCUUGUGCUCCGGUGGUGGCUUCUCCACCGGAGGCUUGUGCUCCGGUGGUGGCUUCUUGAUUGGAGGGGGCUUGGGGUAAUCAGCAAGAGAUGGGAUGGUGAGAACCACCACUCCAAGGAACAACACUAGCAAGUAUGUGGGAGACAUUUCUGAGUUUGAGCUGAUCAGAUGAUGCAAAACUAGAAGAAUUACGGGACCUUUUAUAGCAAGUAUCUCCCAAUACCCACAUGACACGUGUUACUAUGACCAUAAAUAUUAUAGGGUCCAUUUGUGCCCUACCGGGUUGAAAACUUGGACGCUUGGCCGAGGACACACCUGACUAUGGAGGACUAUUGACGUGUGAUCACAGCUUUUGGAUUUUUCUUCCUGUGCAGCUGUCUAGCGGUUGGCAUUAUUUUCUUAAUCUUAAAUAAAGGCAUAGUUAUAGAGUUGUUUAAUCUCUAAAUGGGAUUUUAUAUAUCUUCAGAUAGCCAUUAAUAUAUUUGAUGAAGAAAGACAAGUGCAUACAACAUGUAUACGGCUUGCUUCAAUCGAGUACAUUUAUGAUCAGUUUUCCUGUGCAAGUAAACCAGUUUUUUGUUCCACAACUAUUUUGGAAUCUUGUUUAUCAGUUUCUAUCAUUAUAAUGUCACAUAGGCUGCAAACUUGGGCACCCAAAGAUCUAGGUGGGCAAAUUUGUUUCAGACUUUCAAUGGUGGAUUCAGUAAUUGUUAAAAGGUGUUUCUUCAUUAAGGAAAGAGUCCGGUAAAAAUAUUGUUAAAAGGUGUCAUAGAAACUAUAAUAAAUAAAUAACUUCUUUUCCCCAUGGGUGGUGUUUCUUCUGGGGAUCAGUGACUGGUUAGGGUCACCCAAAAUGAGUCCAGAUUAAAAUUGGUUCGAGUCAAAGCAGUCUCUUUUGUCCAGAAAUCAACUAUUUUGCGCAUUGAAUGAAUCGAUAAAGAAAAAAUGAAAGCCAAAUCACACCUCCCCUGCAAAACCUAAACCCCGGUUGCUAACUUUCUAUGUUUCAGUCCUAUUCAUAUAGGAAUAUUGGUUCAAGUUUGAGAAAAAUGGCAACUUACCUAGGGUUUACUUGGUUUUGGUUUGCGACUAUUUACGCAACCAACCAUGAGUUUGACUUUAACGUCAUGGGUUGAAGCCUCCUACAAUCAUGUAUGAUAGUUCAAAGCUCGUGGAAGAAAUUAUACAGGAAGGAAGAAACCUCCAAAGCUAGCUCCAAAAGAGAAUUAUCACAUCGAUAGCUCCAGAGAUUCCCAAGGGAACUGAAUCAAAGACAAGUUCCUCACUUUUUCUUCUUUUGAGGCCAAAUAUGAACCAAGGAUCACACGACCUCAUUCAACUUCAUAAGUUUGAUUUCAUGCAGUUGAACACUGGGUGAAGGCCAUGACAAGAAUUGAUUAAAAAAUUCUACCACUCUUUUAAGUAAUGGAAGAUUAUUAUCUCUGAUUGGCACCACAACAGCACAUGCUGCUAGAUCUUUCUAGACACUCCAUGCAAUGAAAGCACAAUGGAUCUUGUAAUGAUAGAAACUAAGCCAUGCUACAGUACUAGAUGAGGGGGUAAAACUAGUAGACAUCUUUCUAGACACUCCAUGCAAUGAAAGCACAAUGGAUCUUGUAAUGAUAGAAACUAAGCCAUGCUACAGUACUAGAUGAGGUGGUAAAACUAGUAGACAUGGCUGGCAGUUGAUUACUACUCAAAAAGUACUCUUUUAUAGCUUGAAACUAACUGUUUUAAACACUUUUGAGUAGUAGUUAAUACCUUUUAACUUAAUUGGCACAUUAAGGAACCUAGCAAGGGUUACUAAUCAACAUUUGGCAAGUUUUGAUGUUUUUGGUAGCUAUUUGAUCAUUGAAACAAGCCAAGAAUGAGGGGGAAUUUUGUGAAGUCCAUGGCAAUGCAAGUUAAAGCUCAAAUACAUGAAGAAUCCAAGCUUUGGAGCACUUCAUAGCCCUUUGCCAAGCCAAUCAAAGAUGCAAGGAAGAAAACCAAAGGAAGAAAUCCAACAAUCAGCAUUUUGGCAUGGCUAUGUGAAAUUUCGCACACCAUGCGAAACCACAAGAGGCAGCCAAAGAAUUUCGCAUGGUAUGCGAAAUCUUCUUGUGCACUGACUCUGUUAGAUUUUUAUCUUCAGAUAUUUUGUGUAAUUUCCUAGUUUCUCCUUGUAACCAACUUAGAUAUUUUCUUUUAUAUCUUUUUUUAUAUUUUUUAGGUAACAUCAUAUAUAAGAGGAGAGACAUAAGGAGGAUAUGGAUGUUUUUCAUAGAACACUUGUAAAUUUUUGGUAGUAAGAAAUAUACAAAGCUUUUUGCUCUGCCUUACCUUCUCAAGGGAUGAGUGGCUAGGUUUUCUUGGAGUGAGGGAAGCUAGGUGAAGGACCUGAAUGCAAAGGUGGGAGUUUUCCUUACUUUAAAUGAAAGUAGUUGUUAAACAUUAAUGGUUUUUAUUUUAAGGUUUAGCUUUAAAUCCCUGAAAAACACCUUGAAUGGCCAAUACUUGGUAAGCUUUUUAGAUUCUAUGGAUGCUUAUUGCUAGAUCCAUGGAUGUCUAUUAGUUAUCAUUUACGAGCCAUUGGAAGGUGAUUCAAGGUGAGGGUCUUUAGUGUUUGAAGCCAUUAAUGGGAAGCAAUUACCAUUUUUUCAUGAAUCCUUUGGAUCAAAUCUUAAUUGCUAAAUAUAAAACCGGUUUCGAGAGAUAACCACCAUCCUUUAUGUUAUUAUCCCCAACGCGAGGAGAAGAUCCGAAAUCUUCCUUUUUAUCUAAGGAACCCGAUCCUAGUGACCUAAAGCUCCAAGAUACCUUUUCUUUGUAGUUAACUUCAUUUAUUGUUUUUGCUUAACUUAAAAUCAAUCUUUGCAACCACAAUUCCAUUUUCUUUAAAAGCUAAUUUUUAUAAGGAAAAACACCAUUUUAUUUCCUUCACUAAGUCAACUGUACGAUGAAAACCCAUCCCUGUGGACGAUCCUAGAGCCACUAUACUAUGUUAGCUAUGCUACCCUAGUGUGAGGUGAUUUAGGUUUUAUAAAUUUUUUUGAUAACACCCAUCUGAGCCAGAAUCAAAUGGCACGACUGAACCAGGGACGAAUCAAAUGACGCCGCUACCAAGGAUGGUGCCAAAGUACAUUGACAUGACUUUUGGUGAACACUUGUGAUCUUCACCACAAGUUUGGUGAUUUUUCUUUUACUAAUUUUUUUUAUUUUAGCUUAUCUUUUAUUUAGUUUUUAGUUAACCUUAAAUUUUUCCUAGAAUUGUAUUUCUUUUGUUUUCUUUGUUUUUGUUUCAGUGAUCUUUAGUUGUGCAUGCCCUAUUGGAUAAGAGAUAUUGAGGGAAUACUUGUGAAGAUUGAAACUCCUCGAGAAACUGAGUUAGAAGUGUGCUUGAACAUCAUGGAUGUUCCACCUGAAGACCAGAAUAGCCAACAUGGUUAAGAGGAUAAUUUCAACACAUACCGAUCCAUGAGGAACCGCAUACAUCCACCUUGUAUGAGUGCACCGUCAGGCAUAAUGCCUCCCACUGAGCAGCUAGUAAUCUGACCUCACAUUGUGCCACUCCUACCUACUUUCCAUGGGAUGGAGAGUGAGAAUCCCUACUCGCAUAUUAAGGAAUUCGAGGAGGUUUGUAAUACAUUCCAAGAAGGAGGAGCUUCAAUUGACUUGAUGAGGCUCAAGCUAUUUCCUUUCACUUUGAAGGAUAAGGCCAAGAUUUGGCUUAAUUCUUUAAGGCCAAGAAGUAUCCAAACUUGGAUUGAUUUGUAAGCCGAGUUUCUUAAGAAGUUCUUCCCUACCCAUAGGACCAAUGGUUUGAAAAGGCAAAAUUUGAACUUCUCAGUUAAAGAGAAUGAGAAAUUCUAUGAGUGUUGGGAGAGCUACAUGGAAGCUAUUAACGUUUGUCCUCACCAUGGCUUUGACACAUGGCUCUUAGUGAGCUAUUUUUACAAUGGUAUGUCUUCUUCAAUGAAGCAACUCCUAGAAACUAUGUGUGGAGGAGACUUCAUGAGUAAGAAUCCGGAGGAAGCCAUGGACUUUUUGAGUUAUGUGGCUGAAGUUUCAAGAGGAUGGGAUGAACCAAAUGCUAGAGAGGUGGGAAGAAUGAAGUCUCAACCUAAUGCUAAGGGUGAGAUGUAUGUUUUGAAUGAAGACAUUGACAUGAAAGCAAAGGUUGCAGCUAUGGCAAGGAGAUUGGAAGAGCUAGAAAUGAAGAACAUACAAAAAGUGCAAGCCAUUUCUGAGACAUCAAUGAAAGCUAUGCCUUGUUCCAUUUGUCAAUCUUAUAAGCACCUAGUGGAGGAGUGUCCUACAAUUCCAGCAGUGAGAGAGAUGUUUGGUGAUCAAGCAAAUGUUAUUGAUCAAUUCAAGCCUAAUAACAAUGCUUCAUAUGGCAACACCUACAAUUCAAAUUGGAGGAACCAUUCAAAUUUCUCUUGGAAACGAAAGCCACCUCAAUACACACAACCUACUCAAGCACCUUAGCAAUCCUCGAAUCUUGAACAAGCUAUUGUGAACCUUAGCAAGGUUGUGGGAGACUUUGUGGGAGAUCAGAAGUCCAUCAAUGCUCAACUGAAUCGGAGAAUUGACAGUGUGGAGAGUACAUUGAACAAAAGGAUGGAUGAGAUGUAAAAUGAUCUGUCUCAAAAGAUAGACAAUGUCCAAUACGUAAUCUCAAGGCUUACCAACCUCAACACAGUGUAAGAGAAAGGAAAGUUUCCUUCUCAACCUCAUCAAAAUCCUAAGGGUAUCCAUGAAGUAGAGGCUCAAGAGGGAGAAUCUUCAAAGGUGAGGGAAGUCAAAGUAGUUAUCACCUUGAAGAGUGGUAAAGAGGUUGAUCAACCCACAUCCAAGCCAAAGCAUAAUGAAGAGAGUGUAGCAGAAAAAGAAAAGAGAGGAAAAUAAAGGAAUUAGAAUAGAGAAAAAUACAAAGAAAGAUGACCAUGAGUCUAGUGUGGAUGAAGAGCCCGAGAGGAUGGUGAUCAAGGAAGAUAUGAUGAAGAAACACAUGCCUCCACCUUUCCCCUAAGCUUUGCAUGACAAAAAAAGAACCAAUAAUACAUCAGAAAAUUUUGAAGUAUUGAGGCAAGUGAAGGUCAAUAUCCCUUUGCUAGACAUGAUCAAACAAGUGUCGACAUAUGAAAAAUUCUUGAAGGACUUGUGCACUGUAAAGAGAGGGUUGAAUGUGAACAAGAAAGCUUUAUUGACCGAGCAAGUGAGUUCCAUCAUACAGUGCAAGUCCUAGUGAAGUACAAAGAUCCGGGUUGCCGUACCAUCUCAGUGAGUAUUGGAAGGACUUGUGUGGAGAAAGCUUUGUUGGACUUGGGAGCAAGUGUGAAUUUGCUAUCCUACUCUGUCUAUAAGCAGUUGGGAUUUGGAGAGUUGAAGCCAAUAUCCAUCACUCUAUCUCUAGCGGAUAGAUCAAUGAAGAUUCCAAGAGGGAUGAUCGAAGAUGUCCUGGUUCAAGUUAACAAAUUCUACUAUCCAGUAGAUUUUGUUGUUCUUGAUAUGGAUCCGGUUGUCAAAUGAACUAAUUAUGUUCCUAUCAUACUUGGAAGACCCUUCCUAGCUACAUCAAAUGCAAUCAUCAAUUGUAGGAAUGGAGUCAUGCAACUCACAUUUGUCAACAUGACAUUAGAGCUCAACAUCUUCCAUUUGUACAAGAAGCAUAUCCAUCAGGAGGAAAAAGAAGGUCUAGAGGAAGUGUGAAUGAUUGACACUUUAGUGGAAGAGCAUUGUGAUCGAGAAUGCAAAAAGAUUUAGUUGAGAAUUUUGGGGAUCUUGAUGAAAGGUUACUUGAACCCUCAGAUUUGCUUGCUACCCUACUCCAUUGGAAGAGAAGAGAAGAAAUUCUACCCUUAUUCAAUGAGGAGGAGACGCAAAGAGCUGCAAAGGAGAAACCCCCAAAACUUAUUCUUAAGCCACUACCCACAGAGUUGAAGUAUGUAUACUUGGAAGAAGACAAGAAGUGCCCUAUUGUUAUAUCUUCAACUCUUACCAUUCAUCAGGAGGAUUGUCUACUUGAAGUCCUUAGAAGAUGUAAGAAGACAAUAAGGUGGCUAAUUUCUUAUUUGAAAGGGAUCAGCCCUUUAGUCUGCACCCAUCAUAUUUACAUGGAGGAUGAAGCUAAGCUAAUUCAUCAACCUCAGAGAAGGUUGAACCCUCACAUGCAAGAGGUGGUUCGAGCUGAAGUUCUGAAGCUACUUCAGACCAGUAUUAUUUACCCCAUAUCAAAUAGCCCAUGGGUGAGUCCUACUCAAGUUGCGCCAAAGAAGUCUGGGAUCAUGGUGGUGCAAAAUGAUAAGGGAGAAGAUGUCUCUACACGCCUCACUACAGGUUGGAGGGUGUGUAUCAAUUACAGGAGGUUGAAUGCAGUGAUAAGAAAGGACCAUUUCUCAUUGCCCUUUAUUGAUCAGGUGCUUGAGAGGGUCUCUGGGCUUUUUUUUUUAUUGUUUCUUGGAUGGCUACUCCGGGUACUUUCAGAUAGAAAUUGAUGUUGAAAACCAAGAUAAGACCAUUUUCACAUGCCCAUUUGGAACCUAUGCAUAAAGGAGAAUGCCUUUCGGCUUAUGCAAUGCACCCGCAACUUUCCAAAGAUGCAUGUUAAGCAUUUUCAGUGAUAUGGUGGAGCGUAUUAUGGAAGUCUUUAUGGAUGAUAUCACCAUUUAUGGAAGUGCAUUUGAUGAAUGCUUGGUCAACUUAGAAGCUGUUCUGAACCGAUACAUUGAGAAAGACUUAGUGCUUAACUGGGAGAAGUGCCAUUUCAUGGUACACCAAGGGAUUGUCCUUGGGCACAUUAUCUCCAAGCAAGGCAUUGAAGUUGACAAAGCAAAGGUUGAACUCAUUGUUAAGUUGCCAUCCUCAACAAAUGUCAAAGGAGUAAGGCAAUUCUUUGGCCAUGUCGGGUUCUAUAGGAGGUUUAUCAAGGAUUUCUCUAAGCUUGCAAGGCCUCUUUGUGAAAUAUUGGUGAAUGAUGUUAAAUUCAUAUGGGAUGAUGGAUUUGAAAGGAGUUUUGAAGAAUUGAAGCUAUUUUUGACAACCGUACCAAUAGUGAGGGCUCCCAACUGGCAACUGCCCUUUGAAGUAAUGUGUGAUGUCAAUGAUUUUGCUAUAGGAUUUUUUCUUGGGCAAAGAGAAAAUGGAAAACCUUAUGUGAUCUACUAUGCGAGGAAGGCAUUGAAUGAGGCACAAAGAAACUACACAACCACCGAGAAAGAAUUGUUAGCUGUAGUUUUUGCCUUGGAUAAGUUUCGCGCUUACUUGGUGGGGUCCUUCAUCAUGGUUUUUACUGAUCACUUUGCUUUGAAGUAUCUGUUGACUAAGCAAGAUGCUAAAGCAAGGCUGAUUAGAUGGAUUCUCUUACUUCAAGAGUUCAAUCUCCAUAUCAAAGAUAAGAAAGGAGUGGAGAAUGUGGUAGCAGACCACAUUUCAAGGCUAGCUAUCGCACAUAAUUCCCAUGCUUUGCCCAUUAAUGACGAUUUUCUAGAGGGGUCUCUCAUGUUGGUGGAAGUUGUCCCUUGGUACGCUCACAUUGCUAACUACCUGGUCACGGGAAAAGUUCCAAGUGAGUGGAAAGCACAAGAUAAGAAGCACUUCUUUGCAAAAAUUCAUGCCUACUAUUGGGAAGAGCCAUUUCUAUUCAAGUAUUGUAUGGAUCAGAUAAUAAGGAAGUGCGUUCCUGAAGAAGAGCAACAGGGGAUCCUUAGUCAUUACCAUGAAAAUGCAUGUGGAGGCCACUUUGCUUAUCAAAAGACAGCCAUGAGGGUGUUGCAAUCGGGUUUCUGUUGGCCAUCACUUUUCAAAGAUGCCCACACCAUGUGCAAGAGUUGUGAUCGAUGCCAGAGGCUUGGGAAGUUGACACGCAGGAACAUGAUGCCUUUGAACCCCACUUUAAUAGUUGAUAUUUUUUAUGUUUGGGGCACUAACUUCAUGGGACCUUUCCCUAUGUCUUUUGGCUACUCUUACAUCUUGGUAGGAGUAGAUUAUGUUUCUAAGUGGGUUGAGGCAGUCCCAUGCAAACACAAUGACCAUAGAGUGGUUCUCAAGUUUCUUAAAGAGAAUAUCUUCUCAAGAUUUGGGGUGCCCAAAGCCAUAAUUAGUGAUGGGGGUACUCAUUUUUGCAACAAGCCUUUUGAAACUCUCCUAGCCAAGUAUGGGGUGAAGCAUAAGGUAGCUACACCUUACCACCCUCAAACUCAUGGACAAGUUGAGUUAGCAAACAGGGAGAUUAAAAACAUAUUGAUGAAGGUGGUGAACACAAACAGAAAAGAUUGGUCAGUCAAGCUUCUUAAUUCACUAUGGGCAUAUAGAACAACUUACAAGACCAUUCUCGGGAUGUCUCCUUAUCGCCUAGUUUAUGGCAAAGCAUGCCAUCUCCCUGUGGAAUUGGAAUACAAAGCUUGGUGGGCAAUCAAGAAGCUCAACAUGGAUUUGAGCAGAGCUGGGUUGAAGAGGUUCUUAGACCUUAAUGAGAUGGAGAAAUUGAGAAAUGAUGCCUACAUCAAUUCAAAAAUUGCAAAAGAAAAAUUGAAGAGGUGGCAUGAUCAGUUGAUUUCCCGCAAGGAUUUUCAAAAUGGACAAAGAGUCUUACUUUAUGACUCUAAACUCCACAUCUUUCCGGGCAAGCUGAAAUCAAGGUGGAUAGGUCAUUUUACCAUUCACCAAGUGCAUUCAAAUGGAGUAGUGGAACUACUCAACUCCAACAAUAUCGAGAACUUCAAAGUGAAUGGCCACCGUCUCAAGCCCUUUGUGGAGUCUUUUUCUCACAACAAGGAGAAAUUCAUCCUCCUUGAUCCACAUCAAGCUUAACAAGACCAAUUUUCUUGAUGGACUUAGUCUUUCUAAAGACUAUCGAGUCCAUAACUUUUUGUUUUAUUUUUUAUUUGAGAUUUUUUCGGUAUUGUUACUUGUUUUGUUUUUUAUUUUUCGUUUUAAUUUUAUUUGGUUUGAUUUAACUUAGGUUUUUGAUGAUCAAUUACAGGGGGGAUUUCAAAUAGAGGAAAAACCAAGAUAAUUCGCACACCCUACGAAAAUUUCGCAAGGCAUGCGAAAUUUAUGGCUUAUUUUGCAUGGGGUGAAAAUUUUCGUACAUCUUACGAACCAAUUUCGAACACUUUGCGAAAAUAAACCAACCCUGCGAAAUCAUUUCGAUUACUCUACGAAAUUUUCGUAGAGCAUGCGAAAAAUUUAGCACACCAAACACCAUUUCGCAUACUAUGCAAAAACCUAAGGGGUCUGCGAAACCAUUUCGCACCUCCAAAUCCAUUUCGCACAUUGUGCGAAAACCAAGAGGCGCUGUGCGAAAAUGAAAAGUCGCCCUGUCAUCCCUUUUUAAACCCCUCGAGCCCUAAAAUCUCCAUUUCGCAAGCACCCCUGUCCUUGCGAAUCCCUCAUUUUCCUCUACUACCUUGCAACCUCGUCCCUUUCCAUUUGAUAUUGUGCCCCGCGCACAUCUCAUUUCAGAGACUCGCACUCCGCGCCCCCUCAAAGCAUGGACUCGAGACCCACCUUCCAUUUCCGACGUGGCACGGACCCAAGGAGCCCUUUCUGCCCCUUCACUAAGACACACACCAAGGCAGAAAGCCUCCUUUGCUCAAGUGCCUAGUGAUUCUCCAUCUUAGGCCUCAGAGGCCUCGGAGGCCCCGUGGAUUCCACCUUCCGAGGGUAGAGCAGCCAUUGGUCCUUCCUCUUCUACUCCUUAGCGUAGAUACGAGACGAGGAGACCACCUACUACACAAGGGGCGACUACUUCGAGCCUUGAGAAUUCAGUACGAUGCCUUCCUGCCAAGAGGGUCAAGACUUCAGGUCCAAGUGAGUCAUCCAGAGCUUCAUAGCCUAAGCCUCCUGUAGAUUCCAAGGUUCCUACUGACAUAUCACCGGAGUCUAUUAUCAGAAGCCCGAUGCUCAUAGCACCGCCCAUUGAGGGCAACUCAGAUUAUAGAGCGAGAUCUUUCCACUUGGAGCUAUAUUUUGAUCAGGAGGCCAUACGACAGCAGCCUGAGCUCCGAGACUCUUAUGGCUUACUGCAGAGGUACCAUCUUGAGGAACUUAUGACUCCUCGUGAGUUUUUUUAUCCCAGAGUAGCACUAAACUUUUACCAGUCCAUGACUACUCGUGGCGUCCCGAGUCCUACCACGAUUCACUUCACCAUUGAUAGACGUCAUGGUAUCCUCAAGGCCAGACAUAUUACAGAGGCUCUACAAAUUCCUUUCGAGCUAGAGGAUCCAUCUGUUUUUCGCUAAUGGUCCCCAGUAUCUCAGAGGGACAUGGUCCGUAUUUUAUCUAGGGGAACAUCUACAGAUUCGAUCUUUCUACGGAAGGAGCUUCGACCUGGGAUGCUCCUCUUAGAUGUGGUGCUAUGCUCCAACCUCUUUCCCUUACAACAUUCGGUACAUAGGUGAUGAGCUAUUUUGGACGCUUUAUUCCGUAUAUCAGAGGGCUUCUACUUUGGCCCGCACCACUUGAUCAUGGUCUCCCUCAUCCACUUUGAGGAGAAGGUUCAUAGGAAGAAGCUUCAGAGGGUGGACACCAUUCCAUUACUAUUCCUGAGGUUACUUUGCCAGGUCUUGGAGUACAUGGGCUUUCCUACUGAGCCUCGGCUCGAGCUUUGCCGCCUUUGUCGAGAGUGAUCCACUCUCGACAAAUGGAAUUAGUUGGCGGGCUAUUCUGCACCUCCAGGAGCCCCUCCCAUGGUAGCACCUCCAAUGUCCCCACAGGCAAAGUAGGGCGAGCUCCCGGCAAAGACUGUACCACCAAUGCCCACACUUGAGGCUAUUUCUGCUGCUCUGCCUAUGACUCCUACUGUUCCACCAGUUGGUCCUUUUACAUCCGAGCCUUCCAUCACCAUCUCGGCUUCGGAGUUUCGCGCCCUUGUGCAUACCUUUCAGACACUCACCACCACACAUACUCCUCUCUUCUAGCAAAUGGUUGAGAUGUGUGCCCAUCAGGACCGGAAGACUACUAUACUCUGCCAAAUUCAGCAGCACCUAAGACUUUUGCCUCAACCUCAACCUAACCAUCCCAUAUCAUCAGAGCCUCUAGCUCCAACUGAGGAUACUAUUCCACCUGAGAACACUACCACAGUAGAGGUCCGGUUUCCACCACCUUAAGAGGCCACCACAGCUACAUCAGAGGAUGUGUCAUCUCCACUUGAGGCUCCCACUACUUGAUCAUAGGACAUAUCUUUAUCUUAUUGUAUUUACAUAUUAUAUUACUAGAGAUUUGUCCUUGUUUUGAUACUUUAUAUUCUGGGAUUGGAUGUAUUGCCUGAUGAUAUCUCAAUUGUACUUUCUCAUAUUAAUAUAUAGACAUCAAUUUUUUUUAGUAUACUUAGCAUUUUUCUAUUUCCUCUACUCAUUACUCUUUUGUUUUUUUUUACUCAUGUGGUUUCUCUUAUACAACUCAGACUCCAUUUCACUCAGGAGGUACCACUUCCUCCCUUUAUUUUCAAUUGCUCUUGAAAUAUUGAGUGCAAUGUUGAUCUUGGUUGGGGGGAGAGUUGAGGAAGGAAGUUUUGUUAAUAAUGCUAGGUUAAUUUGUUAAUUUAGUUACUUUCUGCUUAAUUUUAAAAGUUUUCACUCUACUUUCCAUGGUUAUUAAGGAAAAAUUCUCAAAAUGAAAUGGGAGAAAUCGAAUUCUUGCAUUUUUACUUGAAUCUUAGAAUUUGUAUCAUGCUUAUUAAAGUUGAUGAAUUAUUGAAACUCCUAUUGAAUUCAACCUUAUUUUUUCCACUUUAAUCUUACCACACACGGUGCACAUUAGGUUCCAGUUAUAAGAUAAAAAACUAUCUCACCCCCUAAACUUAGAAAAAUUUACACUUGGUACCUUUGACAUCGUUUUAAUAGUGUUGGGACACCUUAUAAAAGGCCAAUGAGCCUUUAAAAAAAAAAAAAAAAAAAAAAAGAGAAAGAACAAAGUAUUGCACUUGCCUUGAAACCUGAGCAAGAUCCGAGGGGUAUACAGUGAAAGUCUUUAAAACCUGGUGCCCUAAGCCUUGAUUGGUUGGGAGUCACCGACCUCAAUGCUCGUUAUAAGGGUGAAUAGGUGGAGUUUAACAUAUUGUAGGUGCUUGGGUAUUGAAUUUCAAUCUCAAAAGUCCGGGAAAAAAUCUAAGGAGUUAGUGGUCAAAAGAUCCUUAAAGCUUGAUGCCCUAAACCUUGAUUGGUUGAGAGUCAUUGAUGGAUCCCCGCUACAUGGACAUUUUAGAAAACAAUACCUUUAGCAUUGCACGCCUACAAUGAAAAAAAAAUGUGAAAUAAAAGAGGUGCGUUCUUAGCCUAUUGGAGGUUGGUCAGUUUGCUAAAGUUUGAGAAAUCUAGGUUGGGGGGAGAGAAUAGUCCGACAUACUAUAAUAAAAAACUAAUAACCUUAACACUUAGAUUUUUGUGGAAGAGUAAGGAUUGGACCUUUAGGGGUGGAAAUUCUUUUGAUGCUUAAAUUUGCAUAAUGCCUACUCUUUAUAAAUUAUGAUUAGGCAAGAGAUUUGAUGACUCUUGUUCAAAGUUGGGUUUUUCCUCUUUGAUGUUCCAUGAGAGAGUAUAAUCCUCAUCAUGCCACUUGAAAUCUUUUUGGAGUGAUUAACAUGAUUUUGUAAAUUAUUUUACUGUCUAUUUUUCUUUAUCUCUCUUUUAUUGCUAAUGGACUAGCAAUAUGUCAGUUGGGGGGAGUGAUUACUACUCAAAAAGUACUCUUUUAUAGCUUGAAACUAACUGUUUUAAACACUUUUGAGUAGGUGUUAAUACAUUUUAACUCAAUUGGCACAUUAAGGAACCUAACAAGGGUUACUAAUAAGUUUUUGGCAAGUUUUGGUGUUUUUGGUAGCUAUUUGAUCAUUGAAACAAGCCAAGAAUGAGGGAGAAUUUUGUGAAGUCCAUAGCAAUGCAAGUUAAAGCUCAAAUACAUGAAGAAUCCAAGCUUUGAAGCACUUCAUAGCCCUUUGCGAAGCCAAUCAGAGAUGCAAGGAAGAAAACCAGAGGAAAAAAUCCAACAACCAGCAUUUUCGCAUGGCUGUGCGAAAUUUUGCACACCAUGCGAAACCACAAGAAGUAGCCAAAGAAUUUUGCACACCAUGCGAAAUUUCGCAUGGUAUACGAAAUCUUCCUAUGCACCAACUCCGUUAUAUUUUUAUCUUCAGAUAUUUUGUGUAAUUUCCUAGUUUCUCCUUGUAACCAACCUAGAUAUUUUCUUUUAUAUCUUUUUUUUAUAUUUUUUAGGUAACAUCAUAUAUAGGGGGAGAGACAUAAGGAGGAUAUGGAUGUUUUUCAUAAAACACUUUUAAUUUUCUGGUAGUAAGAAAUAUACAAAGUUUUUUGCUCUGCCUUACCUUCUCAUUUUGUUUUCACCUAUCUUUCUAGCCAAACAACCUCUGAGAAUGAUUUCUCAGGGGAUGAGUAGUUAGGUUUUACGUUUCUUGGAGUGAGAGAAGCUAGGUGAAAGACCCAAAUGCUAAGGUGGGAGUUGUCCUUGCUUUAAAUGAAAGUAGUUGUUAAAUAUUAAUGGUUUUUAUUUUAAGGUUUAGCUUUAAAUCCCUUAAAAACACCUUGAAUGGCCAAUACUUGGUAAGCUUUUCGGAUUCUAUGGAUGCUUAUUGCUAGAUCCAUGGAUGUCAUUAGUUAUCAUUUAUGAGCCAUUGGAAGGUGGUUCAAGAUGAGAGUCUUUAGUGUUUGAAGCCAUUAAUGGGAAACAAUUACCAUUUUUUCAUGAAUCCUUUGGAUAAAAUCUUAAUUGCUAAAUAUAAAACUGGUUCGGGAGAUAACCAUCCUUUAUGUUAUUAUGCCCAAUGCAAGGAGAAGAUUUCGAAUCUUCUCAUUUGUCUAAGGAACCCGAUCCUAGUGACCUAAAGCUCCUAGAGACCUUUUCUUUGUAGUUAACUUCAUUUAUUGUUUUUGCUUAACUUAAAAUCAAUCUUUGCAACCACAAUUCCAUUUUCUUUAAAAGCUAAUUUUUAUAAGGAAAAGCACCAUUUUAUUUCCUUCACUAAGUCAACUGUAUGAUGAAAACCCAUCCCUGUGGACGAUCUUAGAGCCACUAUACUAUGUUAUCUAUGCUAUCCUAGUGUGAGGUGAUUUAGGUUUUAUAAAUUUUGUUGAUAACACCCGUCUGAGCCAGAAUCAAAUGGAACCACUGAACCAGGGACAAAUCAACAGCCUAUAUGGGAGGGACACAAGUUUAAUUGAUUUGCAUUUCAGCGUUAUAGAUAAGUAUGUUUUGGAAGAUUUGUUCUGGAAAUACUGCACCAAGUACGAUUCUUUUUCUCUUGAGUGAGUCCAUUUGCAUGCCAAUUAACGAGUUGAAAAGUAGGAGCACCUACCUCGUGCUCAUGGAACCGAAUGUCAGUGAAGUGGGGCUCCUUUUAGCCUCUUGUGUUUCUGUUCCAACCAAGGCGGCGUAGGGAAAAACAACAAUAUGUCUGUGCUAAAUAUCAACGCAUGAUAGAUGUUUUUUUUUUUUUUUUUGGUAUGUCAAGGCUAACGAAUGAAAUGCAUUAGCUUGUUUUGUGACUAUAACUGCAAAUGUCCAAAUUGGAGUAUCUCCAUUUCUCACUUCGGAUGGUUAACUUUAUAAACAAGAUAUAGGAAACAUGUGAACAUCUUGAGGAACAAUUCAAAUUAUUCAUUAGAAGUCCUGGGUUAAGUUCCAAGAUUUAAAUCAGACCCUUCUAGCAGCUUCAAGGGUACUUAGCAACCUAUAACAUAUUAAUGAAGAUUUAGGAUUUAGACUCCGGAAUACAAAUAAAUAUGUAUCUCAUGCUUUGACUAGCUUCCCUACAUAUGCAUAAAAUGGAGAUGACCCAAAAAAAAUAGCAGAAUCUAGCUUCCCUACAUAUGCACAAAAUGGAGAUGACCCAAAAAAUAGCAUAAUCGCCUUAGUUUCUGUGGUUAAGGUGAUUCUCCGCUUAAUAUCCACAUUGACUCAUUAUGCAAAAUCAACUGAGCUAAUUUUAUUUAUUUAUUUAAUGUCAAAUAGGAACUCCUAAUUAACUGAUUACUGUCGAAAAGUGCUAUUUUGUAGACCUAAUUAUAAGGGUUUUAAGCACCUUUGAGUAGUAAUCAUAUUCAUUUAACCUAAUUAAUUCAUUAAGCUCCUUAGUAAUUAGUUCUAACCAUUUUUAGUGGCAAGUUUACAUGUUUUUCAUCAGCUUAUGAACCAAUUCAAGCAUGCCAAUUGAUGGAGGAGCUACUUGGGCGAGUUAAGCAAGGAUUUUGGACGUUUACAGGCUUGAAUUUCAAGUGGAAACACGAGCACAAGCAAUGGGAACACCAUUUCGCAAGGGGAGGCAAUUCACCUUGCCAAAUGACCAAUUUCGCAAGGGGAUUUUCCUCAUGGUGCAAAAUUUGGUCAUUUCGCACCAUGAAGAAACCACCUUGCAAAAUUUCGCAAGGUGGAUUUAGGCACCUUGCGAAAUGCCAAAUUUCACAAGGUGGCUUUUCACCUUGCGAAAUUUGGACCUUUCAUCUUCCCCCCUUGCGAAAUGCCUUUGAAAUCCCCUGUUUUGAGACGCUGUUGAUGAUAUUCCACUGCCGGUUCUCCAAGAUAUUUUGCUUGACUUUUAGCUUUAUAAAUACCUAUUUUACCCUUGUAAUCAACCAAUGAAAAGGUUGCUUUUGUAAUAGCUCUUGUAAUUUAGCUUUUUAUUGUCUUUAAAUAGAGGUGAAGAGCCUCAGACACGAUCAUCUUGUAACCUGUAACUUUAUAAGUUAUAAGAGCACUUUUGUUCAUACGCUUCUUUUCUCUUUUCUUUCUCAUUUUCUUAGUAGCCAAACAUCCUUGGAGGAUGAAAUCCCCAAGGAUGAGAGGCUAAAACCUUUUAGUUUCUUGAAGUAAUGGAUGCCAUGUGAAGCUCCCGUGUCAGGAUGGAGAUUUCCAAGCCAUAAAUGUAAGUAGCUGAGCGUCAUAAAUGUUUUCAUUCAAAGUAAAGCUUUUAAUCCCUCUGACUUGCUUUGAAUGGCCAAUACUUGAUAACCUUUUGGUCUCAAUGGAUUCUUAUUGUUAGAUCCACUGACGUUCAUUAGUUAUCUCCUACGAGCCAUUGUAUUGCAAGUCGAGGAGAUGACCUAUACCAAUAAAAGAGCAUUUAUGAGGUUCAACUACCCUUUUUGUAAGUUUUCAAGGACUAAAACUCAGUUGUUAAACUCAUACCGGUUCGAGAAGUAAGCAUCACCUUAGUUGCUUCCCCAACUCGAGGUGAAAAGUCCCAAAAUCUCCAUUUUUACACAGUGAGUUAAGCAUGGCUAUCCAAAGCUUUAAGAAACUUCUUUUUCCAUCUUUUAACCUAUUUUCAUGUUAGUUUAGUUUACAACACCUUCAUCUUUUUAUGUUUUCAUCUUAACCUAAUUUUUAUUAAGAAAAGUUCACUCCAUCCUCCGAACUUCACCAGUUAAAGUAAAAACCCUUCCCAGUGUUCGAUCCUAGAGCCACUAUGCUAUAGUAGCUUUGCUACUUUAGUGUAAGGACCUUAGGUAUAAAUUUUGUUGAUACCCUUACAUGCCAAGCUACCAAGAGUCGGGUUAUCAUUAACCUAACCAUUGGCCUGUGUAAAUUGAUUUCACAUGCACAAUGUUGUAGUAGAAGUCCAUAUUUUGAAUUUUAUUUUUGUAAAGGUAAGGAAAAUGAAGCAUUGUGUAAUUAUAAAAAUAACUUCAUUGGAAUUCACAAGGUUCACCCAAAAUGGAGCUACAUCUGUAUUCUAUCCUACAGUAGACUAUAUAGAUUGUACAAUAGUAAAUUGCAAAUACAAUUAAUAAGUCUUGUGCUUCCUUACUAAUAAUCCUUUGACAUGAACAUUGCAGCACUAAGGUCCUCUUGGGAAGACACCUUGCACCCAUGAGAGCACUAAGAGGAAGCAAGGCAGAGUCAUGGGUGCAAUGUCAUGACUUGUUGUUGCACCAAGAGAGGCUUGGUGAUGCCAUGGUGUUGCAGUAGCAAGAAUGUUGCCUUGGCAGGGACACGAUCUAGGGAUAGAUGCCAAGAAAGGCUUAGCACUCACAUGAGUUGCACAAAGAUGAAUGUAAUAGAGCAUCAGAGAGACGUCUUGGCAAGUAAAUGAAUGGAUCCAAGAGACAACAACAUGAGGAGUUUCAAAUGGAUAAGGAAUGACUCAAAGACAUUUGAAAGCUACAAGUUGGAUUCUAAUUACGAUUGCAAUUUGAGUUUGAGUAGGAGUUUAGAUUUUGAUUGUAAUUGUAGUAUGAGUUGGACUAGGAUUGCUUAUCCUUAGUCAAUAUAGGAGCGGUUCGUGUCACCCUAUGAAAAGAGUUUGAGUAGGGACUAGGAUUGCUUACUCCUAGUCAAAUAUGGAGUAGGUGGUGCCACACCUAUAAAAAAAAGGGACAACAUGAGAGAGAGAGAGAGAGAGAAAGAGAGAGUGAAUUCACUAAAGAUAUUGUGGGAGUUUUGCUUUGUUACGUCUUGUAUUAUUACUUAGAAUAGGAAUAAAAUACAAGUUGGGGCUAGAGCCCCAUAAUUAAUCUCGUGUGCCUUUGUGGUUAUUCUUUAUUUGUCAUCUCGUGUGGAUUGGAUUAGGUUGACUUAGAGGGCUUCUAAGCACCACCUUUGUGGGUUAUUAUUUAUUUUCCAUCUCUUGUGGAUUAGAUUAGGUUGACUUAGAGGGCUUCUGAGCACCACCUUUGUGGGUUAUUAUUUAUUUUCCAUCUAUUGUGGAUUAGAUUAGGUUGACUUAGAGGGCUUUUAAGCACCACAUUUGUGGGUUAUUCUUUAUUUUCCAUAUCGUGUGGGUUGGAUUAGGUUGACAAGGAGAAAAAUUAUGUGGGAAAUUUGUGUUGGGACACUUACCAUAACCAAGUAAAAUCUACCAAGUCCUUUGUAAUAUCUUCAACAAAUAUUUUAGACUAGUUCUUUCAGUUAGUGUAAAGGAGGAAGAAGUGGUAUUGAUUCUAGAAAUAGGGUGUGUGUAUUUGAACUACAAUCCUUAUGAUCCUUAGGUCUCUAAACCUUCGUGAUGGGCUCCCUGACAUUUCAUAGGUUGUGCUACACAUGCGUUUGAAAUUUAGAGUGCGUUUGACAGUGAUUCCGGGAAGUGUUUUUGGCCUUUCUUACACUUGAAAAUUUUUAUUUUUCAAGUAUUAGAAAUGCUACAAACACUUUUGAAAAUUACUGUCAAACACACUCUUAGGAGCGCACAUAUAUAGUAGAAAACUAGAAAUUGUGGUUUUUUUAGGAUUUACUGUAAUGUCAUUAGGAGGGUAGUAAGUUGAAAUUGAGUAUGAACAAAUAUUUCUUUCUUUGGGAUGUUCUUCUAGUAGGUGCUGAUGAAACUGUUCUUUCUACUGCCAAUGUCACAUAUCAGCCAGAAAUUGAAAAUUUCAGUCAAGGUGUCCUCUGUUUUAGUGGUGAGGAAAGCUAGAAAUUUUAAGGUGAAGUUUUGUUAAAAACCUUAAGUAGCUGGGAUAUCAGGCCUGUUUUGCUUGAAAAAAAAAGUUGCAAGAUAACUCAUAUGCCAAACAGGUUCUGAUAUUGUGAAUCUAUCGGCAGACAUCAGUAAUCUCAUCUUCUGAGAUGGAUGUUGGGGGUGCAUGUGGUGGUGGAGGGGCAAGGUUUCAUUUGGUUUAUUUUGUUGAUGGAUAUUGUCUAGCCACCUGCGCCAAGUUUGAGGGGUGGUGGGUUGUGAUGACCCUACAAUUACUAUUAAUUUCUUCAUCUUUUACCGAUUAAAGUGUCCGAACAGUCGAAGUUACCCUUAUGCAUGUCAACUUGAUCACUUACCUCUUCAAUGGAGUUUAUGCUGGUUCAUUUAGGAACUGAUUUUUAUUGUUAUGUAUUAUAUGCUGAUGUUUAGGUCUCUCCAUCAUCACUAUAUACAAAAAUUCUAGGUUGAUACUAUAGGUUGAGAUUUAUUUUUUAAAUAAAAAAUAAUAAAAAUAAAAAUUAUGGUGAUGUUUAGUUGUUUUAUGGAAAAUUUUAACAAGUAAAAGUUAUUUUUGGGCAAGUUUUCAAACAAAAAGAAAAGUAAAAGUUGUUUUGACAAAAACAUAUAGAAAAAAAAAUCAUAGAAAAUAAAUAAUUUCCCCAUAUUCUAACUUUUUUGAAUUUUUCUCAAUGGGCAAAGGAAUAUCAAAUCAAGUUUGAGUAGGAUUUCUUAAUUUUUAAAAUAACUUACAAUUAAAAAAUUUUGGUGUUUUCAUUUUUGGACAAUUUUUUAUUAAGCAAAUGGACUCUGAGUCAUGCAAGAGAUAUGGUUCAUUAACCGGUCGAACAAUUUUUUUAAAUUAAUUUAAAAGUCAAAUACAUAAUCAAUUUCACAAAAUUUAUAAACAAAAAUAGGUUUAGAGAAGAUCUACACAUAAUUUUACUUUUCUAAUUUUAUUUUAUUUUAUUUUUUGUUGGAAAAUAGUCUUCAAAUCAUGUAAGAUUUAAUAGGUUAAAUUUGUUAACAAUAAAUUUUAAAUUAUAAAAUAUAAUCUGGAACUCAAAAAUCAAUUCAAGUAAUGCUAAAAAAAAAUCAAAUUUGGUAUAGAAUGACUUUGUAAAUUUUUUUACAAAACAAAUGAAUUUUAAAUCAAGUGAGAUUUAAUGCAUUAGAUUUUUAUCAAAUAUAGUAAUUUUAAAAAUAAAUUUGGAACUCAACAAUAGACACAAUAAAUACCAAAAAAUAAUGAACCAAAAUUGGUUUGGAAUAACUCCACAACCUUUUUUUUUUUUUUUUGGUGCACACGAAUUUUCUUACUAGGUAUAUUGCUUUCAAAUUGAGAAAGAUUUACCAUUUAGAUUUUUUUUUAAUGAGUUUAAUGGUAUUUUAAAAUAAUUCAAAAUUUAAAAAAUUGACUAAUUAAUAUUAUAAAUUGAUAAACCAAGACUAUUUCAAAAUGCAUUGGGGGCUAAGGGGGUUGAAAAUAGGGACAAUGGGAUGGGUUUGGGACAUGACACUCAUAUCUCAUUUCCAUUCCAAUUACACAGUUAUCUCCCAUCCUUAUCCCAAACUUGUGUUGGAGCAAGUUGAUUUGUUCCCAUCUUUGUUGACGAAAUGACUAAUAACCUCAUCCCCUCCUUAUCUUAGAUGUACAUUUUGUCAAAUUUGAUCAGGUAUGAUUGAUCCAAGCCCUAACCCUAAUUGGUAAUGAGUGAAUACUACACCUAAUUGCAUUCUUCUUUCAUUGCAAAAUAAUGAGAUUAUAAUAAUCUAGCAAAUAAGAAAAAAUAGUAUGGAAGUUCAAAUUAACACCAUAACUAUCAAUAAUUUUAAGCUUAUAGAUGACUUAAAUGAUUAAAAACUAAUGCAAAAUCCUAAAAAAAAUAAAAAUCAUAUAAAGAAUUCACAAGAGAACAGAAUGAACAAAAACCAAAUAUGAACAUGGGUCAACAUUAGUUAUGGAUUUGGAUUCCUUUCAAGGCCAAUCUUUGAACCAAGACUUCAUCAAAUCAACUACUUCAAAGGCUUUUGUGUUCUUCUUGGGUUGUGCUCUCAAACAAAGACUUCGAGGUGAUGUUCUAGAUGAUUGAAUUACACAUAUUUAGGGUGGAGAGAUUGGAGAAGCUUGAAGAUGCCAACGAUGGGUACAAUUGAGUGGUCAAUAAGAACAAUGUAGCCUAUGACUAGUUUGAUGUCAUGGUACAAGAGUUUUAGGCAUUGAGGUUAAAGCAAGAGCAACAUGGAAUUGAUUUCGGAGUCUUUCAGUUAGUGUAAAGGAGGAAGAAGUGGUGUUGAUUCUAGAAAUAGGGUUUUAAGUGGUGCGUGAUUACUACUCAAAAAGUGCUAUUUGAUAGCCUUUAAUUAAUCCUUUUUAACACUUUUGAGUAGUAGUUUAGGCCUUUUAACUCAAUUGGCAUGUUAAGGAUCCUUUAAAGCAAUUUUGAUCACUUUGUGCAAGUUUUGGUGUUUUUGUUAGUAUUUUGAUCACCAAAGCAAGUCAAGAAUGAGGAGAACUAUGAGGAAUCAUGGGCAAAGCUUAGAAUUCAAUUGCCAAGAGUGAAUCCGGAUUGCAAGGAGAAAAAGCAAAGAGAAUCUGUCAUGAAGCCUAUUCUUGAUGACAGUCGUAGCAGCCACUUUUGGAGCACUUUCUGAAGUCCAAAUGAUGCAAGCUAUAUACCAUUUCAAAGAUCAGGAAGUCAACAAUCCAAUGCUUCAAACGGUGCGCGAUUCGGAGUUGAAACGAAGAAGUUGCAGCCAUUACAAGCCAGUCACUCUAAAGUGUUGCGGAAUCAGCCUUUUGUUGCGAGAAUUUCGCAGCACUUUUGUACAGUAAGGUGUUUCUCCUUCUGACGAUGCACGAACCAUGCCGCGAGAGGGAAGCUAGGAACUUCAAGAUGGAAGCCAACUUUGCAGCCUGGUGAAGAUAGCUUGGUCUUGCGAAAUAAUUUCGCAGCCCUCUUGGGUGUCUGCGAAAUUUCGCAGGCACCACUUUUUUCCUGCGAAAUGGCUCCGGAAGCCUCCCGAAGCUUGCUACCGACAUUGGGAGAUAUUUUCCAUUAGAUUUUUGUUGUCUAAAUUCCAAAAUACUCCUUGUAAACCACCAAUUACAUGAUUCCUUAGUUUUUAAGUUAGUAAAAAGACCAAAUAUCUAUGUAAUAAUUAGUUUUAUAUUAGUUUGCUAUAAAUACCUCUCGGGAGCAUGUUCUCAGAGAGGAGUUCCUUCUGUAACCAUUUUGGUAAGCAAGUAAAGUCUUUUCUUUCUACUGCCUUACCUUCUCACUUUGUAUUUUCAUUUUAUUUCUAAGUUAUGAAUUCUCUGAGGAGCUUUCCCCAGAGAAUGAGUAACUAAACCUCCAAUUCCUUGGAGCUAAGGUUGCCGGGGAAGGUUCCAAGUGCAAGAAUGCAAAGCUCUGUGGUUUUAGCUAGUAAUGAAGAGGAAGUGAAAUCCUUUAGUGAUUUCAAUGUUUUUAGUUAACUUAAAACACCUUGGAGUCACCUGGGCCAACACUUGGUAAGGCAAGUGAUUUCCAACCGUGGAAAUGCACUAGUUUACCCCUUGCGAGCCUCUGGUAGGUGACUUCAAGGUAGGAUUUUCUGGAAUUACCAACACUUGGUAAGCUUUUGGACUCCUAGGAGACAUCCAUUAGUUAUCUCUUGCGAGUUUGUGAAGGGGAAUCCAAGGUUAAAGAUCACCUUGAAUGGUAAGUGCUCGUGAGAGGCAUGAACCAUUGCAAGUUGUAUCAGUGAGAGAAUUAAAGUGAAAUCUAAUUGAAGGAGUCUCUGUACAUCACCGGUUAGAGAAUUGACUAUAAGUUGAAUCUCUAAUGCGAGGAAAUGAACCAUCUGACCGGAGCUAUGUCUUUUGCAUGAGGAACCACCCCAGUGAACCUAAAUCUCCAAGGAAUGCUUUUCUUCCUAAAUUAUUCCAAACUUCUGUUAAGUUAGUUAGUUUAAGUCUAAACCUUUACCAAUCAAACUUUGUGUUUUAUUUCUUAAGCUAACCGUGAAAUGAAACAAAACCAAUUCACUUGGAAUUGGUAUCCUUGAUUGCUUGCAAAUCAUUCCCAGUGAACGAUCCUUAGAGCCACUAUACUAUAGUAGCUUUGUAUUUGCUACCCUAGUGUAUGGUGUUAUAGGUAUAAAUUUUGUUGAUCACUUCCUCAAUCAAGGAACACCAGCUGAACACAAAUCAGCUGAGACACCAAUUGGGCAUGAGUCAAAUGGCGCCGUUGCCGGGGAAUGAGUGUCAAGAUCAUUGUGAUACCAUUUUUGAGCACUUGUGAUUUUCAUCACAAGUUGGUAAAGUUUCUUUCACUUUACUAAUUUUCAUUCUCUCUUUGUUUAUUUACAAUCUAAGUUUAUCUUUUUAAAAUUUAGUCUAGUUUAAUUUUGCUAUUGUAGCCUUGUUUCUCUUGUUGUCCUCUGUUCUUGUUGUCCUCUGUUUUCAUUUUAGUUGCAGCUGAAUACUAGUUGUGUAUGCCAAAGUGGAUACGAGACAUUGGAGGUAGGCUUAUUAAGUGUGAUACACCUCAGAGAGGAGAAUUGGAAGUAAUCUUGAAUAUCAUGGAGGCUGCACCUGAAGAUCAGCAUAGUCACCAAGGUCGUCAAGACAAUCUCAAUGAAUUCAGAUCAAUGAGGGACCGUAUGCAUCCACCUCGUAUGAGUGCACCAUCAUGUAUAGUGCCCCCUACAGAGCAACUAGUGAUCAGACCAUAUCUUGUUCCACUUCUACCAACUUUCCAUGGGAUGGAAAGUGAGAAUCCGUAUGCACACAUCAAGGAAUUUGAAGAUGUUUGUAAUACAUUCCAAGAGGGAGGAGCUUCAAUUGAUUUGAUGAGGCUUAAGUUAUUUCCUUUUAAUUUAAAGGAUAAGGCCAAAAUUUGGCUUAAUUCUUUAAGGCCAAGGAGUAUCCGCUCUUGGACUGAUUUACAAGCUGAAUUCCUCAAGAAAUUUUUUCCUACUCAUAGAACAAAUGGCUUGAAAAGGCAAAUUUCAAACUUCUCAGCUAAAGAGAAUGAGAAAUUCUAUGAGUGUUGGGAAAGAUACAUGGAAGCUAUAAAUGCUUGUCCUCACCAUGGCUUUGAUACUUGGCUACUGGUGAGUUAUUUUUAUGAUGGUAUGUCCUCCUCAAUGAAGCAACUCCUCGAGAAAAUGUGUGGAGAAGAUUUCAUGAGCAAAAAUCCAGAGGAAGCUAUGGAUUUCUUGAGCUAUGUAGCUGAUGUUUCAAGGGGAUGGGAUGAACCAACUAAAGGAGAAGUGGGAAAGAUGAAGUCUCAGUUGAAUGCUUACAAUGCAAAGGCUGGGAUGUAUACUUUAAAAGAGGAUGAUGACAUGAAAGCAAAGUUGGCAGCUAUGACAAGAAGAUUGGAGGAGCUGGAGCUGAAAAGAAUGCAUGAAGUGCAAGCUGUUGCUGAAGCACCAGUGCAAGUGAAGUUGUGUCCCAAUUGUCAAUCGUUUGAACAUUUGGUAGAGGAAUGCCCUGCAAUUUCAGCUGAAAGGGAAAUGUAUAGAGAUCAAGCAAAUGUUGUUGGACAAUUCAGGCCCAAUAACAAUGCUCCUUAUGGAAAUACCUACAAUUCAAGUUGGAGGAAUCAUCCAAAUUUUUCAUGGAAGGCCAGAGCAACUCAAUACCAACAGCCGGAUCCACCAUCUCAACAAUCUUCAAGUAUUGAACAAAUAAUAGCUAAUCUCAGCAAGGUAGUGGGAGAUUUUGUGGGAAAGCAAGAAGCCACCAAUGCUCGAGUGGAUCAAAGAAUGGACAGAGUGGAUCAAAGAAUGGACAGAAUGGAGAGUAUGUUGAACAAAAGAAUGGAUGGAAUGCAAAAUGAUAUGAAUCAAAAAUUUGAUAACAUCCAAUAUUCAAUUUCAAGGCUUACAAAUUUGAAUACACUGCAAGAAAAGGGAAGAUUUCCUUCUCAACCUAACCAAAAUCCCAAAGGUGUCCAUGAAGUGGAAAGCCAUGAGGGAGAAUCAUCACAGGUGAAAGAUGUGAAAGCUUUGAUCACUCUAAGGAGUGGUAAGAAAAUUGAGCAGCCAACACCCAAGCCACAUGUUGAGAAAGAAGAAGAGAUGAAGAAAGGGAAGGAAAUGGAAGAUAAAGGCAGUGAGAUCAGUGAAGAAAAGAAGGACUCUGAUGCAACAAUGAAAGUAAUUCCAGAGAAGGAGCUUCUGAAGGAAGAAAUGCUGAAGAAAUCAACUUUUCCACCUUUUCCUCAAGCAUUACAGGGGAAAAAGGGGGUUAGAAAUGCAGCUGAAAUCCUAGAAGUAUUGAGGCAAGUGAAAGUUAAUAUUCCACUGCUGGAUAUGAUCAAACAAGUUCCAACGUAUGCAAAAUUCCUAAAGGACUUGUGUACUAUCAAAAGAGGGUUGACUGUAAACAAGAAAGCCUUCUUGACUGAGCAAGUAAGUGCAAUCUUACAGUGUAAGUCUCCUUUGAAGUACAAAGACCCUGGAAGUCCUACCAUUUCAGUCAUGAUUGGAGGAAAGGUAGUGGAGAAAGCCUUGCUAGACUUGGGAGCAAGUGUGAAUUUGCUUCCAUAUUCUGUCUACAAGCAACUGGGACUUGGAGAGUUGAAGCCAACAGCAAUCACUUUGUCUCUGGCAGAUAGAUCAGUGAAAAUUCCAAGAGGGGUAAUUGAGGAUGUAUUGGUUCAAGUAGAUAAUUUCUACUAUCCUGUAGAUUUUGUUGUUCUUGAUACAGAUCCUACUGUAAAGGAAGCUAAUUUAGUUCCUAUCAUCCUUGGAAGGCCAUUUCUUGCAACUUCAAAUGCAAUCAUCAACUGUAGAAAUGGGCUUAUGCAACUCACUUUUGGUAACAUGACACUGGAUCUAAAUAUUUUCUAUAUGUCUAAAAAGCAAAUCACUCCAGAAGAAGAAGAGGGUCCAGAAGAGCUAUGUAUUAUUGAUACUUUGGUGGAGGAGCACUGCAAUCAACAUAUGCAAGAUAAGUUGAAUGAAAGUUUUGUGGAUAUUGAGGAAGGUUUUUCUGAAUCUCCUAAUGGGCUUGCUACUCUACAAAGUUGGAGAAAGAUAGAAGGAAUUCUACCUUUGUUCAAUGAAGAAGAGGAGGCAGCUGUUGAAAAAGAAAUUCCAAAACUCAAUCUGAAGCCUUUACCUAUGGAGCUGAAAUAUACAUAUCUUGAAGAAAAUAAUCAAUGUCCUGUCGUAAUAUCUUCAUCUCAAACCAAGUCUCAAGUGAAGGAUGCAAGCUUCAAAUGGGAUCCGGGCAAACUGAAUCAGGAAGGGCAAAAAGUUUUGAUGUAUGACACAAGACUCCAUAUCUUUCCUGGGAAGCUCAAGUCAAGGUGGAUUGGUCCAUUUGUUAUUCACCGAGUAUAUUCCAAUGGAGUGGUGGACUUAUUGAAUUCCAAUGGCAAGGACAGCUUUAGAGUCAAUGGAUAUCGUCUUAAGCCGUUCAUGGAGUCAUUCAAAUCAGAAAAGGAGGCAAUCAACCUCCUUGAACCUCAAAAAGCCUAAGUGAAAUGGGUUUGCUGGACGUGGUUUUACCACAGUCCAAAAAUUUUUGUAAAUUUUGUAAAUUUUCAAGUUGUUUCCAUGCUUUUAAUCUUAGUUUUUGAUUUUAAAUCAUGUUUUUAGGUGUGUUUUAAUCGUUUUAUAUGAUCCCAGGCGGAAGAAAUUUCAAGGGGAUUGAAAAGAAAAAAAUCGGGUCGAAAUUGGAGCCGAAACAGAGCAAAAACAGGGGAAAAACAGAGCUCUGCGAAAUUUCGCAGGGUGAAGGAAACUUCUGCGAAAUUGGCAUUUUGCUGCCAAACCAUUCCGCAGCACUGUAGAAGCCUCUGCGAGUGUAUUUCGCAAUUGCGAAAGUGGAUUUGGCACACGAGUGCCACUUCGCAGCACAGUGACAUCAAUUUCGCAGCUGCGAAACUCACUGCGAAGUUGCUGCGAAAAUGGCAAGUUGCUGCGAAAUUGGCGUUUUGUUGCGAAACGUAAUCUGACCCCUGGGCUUCCGUUUUUCCUAUUUAUACCUGUCAAAAGUGCUGCGAAAAAGGUUUCAAAAAUUAGAGCACCAUUCUCGCAGCCCUUUCAUCUUCUUCGCCAAGCCACGCCGUCCGUUUCUCCGGUCGUCUUCUCCGUUUAGCAGCGCCGGCCAAAGAUCGAUAGCCCAAAAAUGGCACGAACGCGAGGGGCAAAGUCUUCAUCCCCUUCGAACCGCAAAAGGAGUCUGCGAAAGGAGCCAAGUUCAGGCUCUGUUCCAGAACCUGCUCCAAAGCCUUCGCCGUCGAGACCACAACCUUCUCCAGUGAAGCCGGCGCCACCAAAGCCGCCGGCAAGGCGAUAUUUAACCAGGUCAGGUGGUCAGCCAUUGAAGAAGAAAGCCAGAGUUGAGAGCUCUGAACCAAUCGAUUUGACUGAGCAAUCCCCUGAGAAAUCACCAAAUCCUUCACCGGUACAAAUUCCAGUGCCAUCACCGGUUCCCUCGCCAAUUCCCUCACCAGAAGCAACUCCAAUUCCAUCGCCGGUACCAUCUCCGGCACCCCAAGAAAAAGCUCAGGAGCCUCAAGCGCCAAUUCCAGAGCCCCAAAUUGCAGCUGAAGCACCUCUGGAAGAAGUGAUCCGAAGGCCAAUGCUGCCUCAGCCCCCAAUCGAAGGAAACCUGGAUUGCCGAACUCGGGCAUUCCAUUCUGAGCUUUGCUUCGAUUUAACAGCAUUCAGAGUGAGGCCAGAGCUUGCCCAAUCCUUCCAACUGCUGAGGAGAUAUCAUAUGGAGCAUCUGCUAGCUCCAAGGGAUUUUUUCUAUCCCCGGGUAGUCACGGAUUUCUACCAAACCAUGACAACCAAAGAAGUAAGAAAUCCAACUCUGAUUCAUUUCAUAAUUGAUGGAAGGCAUGGUAUUUUGGGAGCAAGACAUAUUGCUGAAGCCCUGCAAAUUCCUUUUGAGCCAACUCAAUUCGACAAUUUUAAAGCUUGGACAAAUCCUACUGAGUUAGAGAUGGUUAGCACACUAACCAGAGGAGCUGCAAAUCGAUCGCAUUUGUUGAGGGGGGAGCUACCUCCAGUUAUGUUUUUGAUUGAUGCCUUUUUGAGGCAUAAUAUCUAUCCCCUGCAGCAUUGGACCCAAAGAAGGGGAAUUCUCCUAGAAGCCUUGUACAAAAUGUCUGAAGGAUUCUUCUUUGGGCCUCAUCAUCUGAUCAUGGCAGCCCUUCUAUACUUUGAGGAGAAGGUUCACAAGAAGAAGCUUCAAAGAGCAGAUUGCAUUCCACUCCUCUUCCCAAGGCUGCUAUGCCAAGUUUUGGAGCAUCUCGGAUACCCCUCUGAGCCUCAGCAGGAAAGAAAGAGAAUAUGCCGUGAGCCUUUUACCCUUGAUAAAUGGAAUAAUAUGACGGCCUACAAAAUUGAUCAGCCUGGGCAGCCUCAGCCAGCAGCAAGGAGAGUCUCCCCAAGACAUAUACCUGAAGGUAUAACACUUGCUACUCCUGCCAUCCCUCGAGCUCCACCAGCUGCACCUGCUCCAUCACAGCCAUCCACAUCAGCUGAGCCGAGGAUGGCCAUCCCUAUAUCCGAAUAUCGAGAGCUGUGCCGUGCAUUGGAGACUCUUACAGCUUCUCAGAGCAAUCUUGCUCAGGAGUUGGCAGCCAUUAAAGCAUGCCAGGAGCAGAUGUUAGCCUCUCAGACUCAACAAGCUGCCAUCCUAAGGCAGCUUCAAGUCCAUUUCGAUCUGCCACAAGCUGUAGAGCCCUCUAUUCCUACUCCACCAGAGCCACACUCUCAGCCUUCAGAGUCUCAUCCUCCAGAACCCGAAGCACCAGCUGAUCCACCUACUGAGGAGGCAGAUCCUUCUGCCUAGCACCAUCACCCCCCUCAUCAGACAUUAUAUAUAUAUUUGCUGUUUAUGUUUUUAUGCAUGUUUGUUUUGUUUUAGUUGAAAAGAAAUCCCAGUAUUUUGGUACUAUAUAUGGGAUUCCUUGUGUUACUUGUCUUUAGUAUUGUAAUCACAUGAACUCAAAGUAAUACAAGUUGACUAUUUCUUGUUAAAAGUUAGCAUUAAAGUUUCCUUAUUUCCUUUUCUCACAUAUUCUAUUCUUUUUGAAACAUGUGGUUUUCCCCAAUCAAUAUUCGAAUUUGAUAUCAGCAUGGAGGUACCACUUCCUCCCUUUUAUUACAGUCACUCAAAUCACAUUGAGGACAAUGCUCAGUUCGGUUGGGGGGUAUGAGGAAGGAAGUAUUCUAAACCUUUUUGGUAUUGCAAUUAUAUUGGUUAAUUAGUUGUAGAUUUUACUUUUUACUAGUGUUACUCUAUUCUCCAUGAAUUUUGAGGAAAAAUUUUCAAAUUAAACCAAGAGAAAUUGAACUGUUGUUUUUCACUUGACUUAGAGUAUGGAUUAUGCUUACUAAAGUGGUUCAAUUGUUGAAACUUCUACUGAAAUUGAAUUGAGUUCUUCCACUUUAAGCUAUCCACACACUGUGCACAUUAGUUUCCGAUUAUAAGAUGAAAAGCUAUUUCCCUCUUGACUUAGUAUAUUUUUGGGACUUGGUAUAUUUGACCUCAUUUGAUAAAAAUUGAAACACCCUGCAAAAGGCCAAUGAGCCUUUGAAAUAAAGAAAGUUGUUUGCUUGCCUUGAAACCCGAGCAAGGUCUGAGGGGUAUAUGGUGAAAAUCUUUAAAGCCUGGUGCCCUAAGCCUUAAUUGGUUGGGAGUCACCGACCUCAAUGCUCGUUACAAGGGUGAAUAGGUAGAGUUAGCAUAUGGUAGAUGCUUGGGUAUUAGAAAUUCAUUCUUAAAAGUCCGGGGAAAAAUCCGAGGAGUUAGUGGUUGAAAGAUCCUUAAAACUUGGUGCCCUAAACCUUAAUUGGUUGGGAGUCAUCGAUGGACCCCCAUUACAUGGACAAGUCAGAAAGAGUACCCCAUAAAGCUACCUUAAAAAAAAAAAAAAAAAAAAAAAAAAAAAAAAAGAUGAAAGUGUGUUCUUUUCUUAUUGAUUUUGGUCAGUUUGCUAAAGUGUUGAAAAGAGAUAGGUUGGGGGGUGAGAUUAGUAGCAUAUUAUUCUCGGAACCUAAGGAACCAAUACACAUAGAUUUUUGUGGAAGAUUGAAGUUUAGUUCUUAGAAAAUGAAAUGAUUUUAAAACUUCAGUUUGCAUAAUGCACUCCCUUGAUUGACAGUGUUUAGCAUAGGUGUUAUGACUCUUGUUGAGAUUUGGGUUUGUAUUUCUUUAAUGAUUCAUGUGAGAAAUAGAUCAUCAUGCCACUUGAGAAUUAUUUUCCUUUUAGCAUGAUGUUGUAAAUUUUAGAUUAGUUUGCUAUUUAUUUUUUAUUUUCUCUCCUAUAUUGCUAAGGGACUAGCAAUAUGUCGGUUGGGGGGAGUGAUUACUACUCAAAAAGUGCUAUUUGAUAGCCUUUAAUUAAUCCUUUUUAACACUUUUGAGUAGUAGUUUAGGCCUUUUAACUCAAUUGGCAUGUUAAGGAUCCUUUAAAGCAAUUUUGAUCACUUUGUGCAAGUUUUGGUGUUUUUGUUAGUAUUUUGAUCACCAAAGCAAGUCAAGAAUGAGGAGAACUAUGAGGAAUCAUGGGCAAAGCUUAGAAUUCAAUUGCCAAGAGUGAAUCCGGAUUGCAAGGAGAAAAAGCAAAGAGAAUCUGUCAUGAAGCCUAUUCUUGAUGACAGUCGUAGCAGCCACUUUUGGAGCACUUUCUGAAGUCCAAAUGAUGCAAGCUAUAUACCAUUUCAAAGCUCAGGAAGUCAACAAUCCAAUGCUUCAAACGGUGCGCGAUUCGGAGUUGAAACGAAGAAGUUGCAGCCAUUACAAGCCAGUCACUCUAAAGUGUUGCGGAAUCAGCCUUUUGUUGCGAGAAUUUCGCAGCACUUUUGUACAGUAAGGUGUUUCUCCUUCUGACGAUGCACGAACCAUGCCGCGAGAGGGAAGCUAGGAACUUCAAGAUGGAAGCCAACUUUGCAGCCUGGUGAAGAUAGCUUGGUCUUGCGAAAUAAUUUCGCAGCCCUCUUGGGUGUCUGCGAAAUUUCGCAGGCACCACUUUUUUCCUGCGAAAUGGCUCCGGAAGCCUCCCGAAGCUUGCUACCGACAUUGGGAGAUAUUUUCCAUUAGAUUUUUGUUGUCUAAAUUCCAAAAUACUCCUUGUAAACCACCAAUUACAUGAUUCCUUAGUUUUUAAGUUAGUAAAAAGACCAAAUAUCUAUGUAAUAAUUAGUUUUAUAUUAGUUUGCUAUAAAUACCUCUCGGGAGCAUGUUCUCAGAGAGGAGUUCCUUCUGUAACCAUUUUGGUAAGCAAGUAAAGUCUUUUCUUUCUACUGCCUUACCUUCUCACUUUGUAUUUUCAUUUUAUUUCUAAGUUAUGAAUUCUCUGAGGAGCUUUCCCCAGAGAAUGAGUAACUAAACCUCCAAUUCCUUGGAGCUAAGGUUGCCGGGGAAGGUUCCAAGUGCAAGAAUGCAAAGCUCUGUGGUUUUAGCUAGUAAUGAAGAGGAAGUGAAAUCCUUUAGUGAUUUCAAUGUUUUUAGUUAACUUAAAACACCUUGGAGUCACCUGGGCCAACACUUGGUAAGGCAAGUGAUUUCCAACCGUGGAAAUGCACUAGUUUACCCCUUGCGAGCCUCUGGUAGGUGACUUCAAGGUAGGAUUUUCUGGAAUUACCAACACUUGGUAAGCUUUUGGACUCCUAGGAGACAUCCAUUAGUUAUCUCUUGCGAGUUUGUGAAGGGGAAUCCAAGGUUAAAGAUCACCUUGAAUGGUAAGUGCUCGUGAGAGGCAUGAACCAUUGCAAGUUGUAUCAGUGAGAGAAUUAAAGUGAAAUCUAAUUGAAGGAGUCUCUGUACAUCACCGGUUAGAGAAUUGACUAUAAGUUGAAUCUCUAAUGCGAGGAAAUGAACCAUCUGACCGGAGCUAUGUCUUUUGCAUGAGGAACCACCCCAGUGAACCUAAAUCUCCAAGGAAUGCUUUUCUUCCUAAAUUAUUCCAAACUUCUGUUAAGUUAGUUAGUUUAAGUCUAAACCUUUACCAAUCAAACUUUGUGUUUUAUUCCUUAAGCUAACCGUGAAAUGAAACAAAACCAAUUCACUUGGAAUUGGUAUCCUUGAUUGCUUGCAAAUCAUUCCCAGUGAACGAUCCUUAGAGCCACUAUACUAUAGUAGCUUUGUAUUUGCUACCCUAGUGUAUGGUGUUAUAGGUAUAAAUUUUGUUGAUCACUUCCUCAAUCAAGGAACACCAGCUGAACACAAAUCAGCUGAGACACCAAUUGGGCAUGAGUCAGUGCGUUAGAGGAUCAAGAAGAAGAAAAAGAAGGAACUGUUGGAAUUAGUAUGAGUGUGAAGAGAAAAGUAUAUAAAUAAGGGGAAGUAAAAGCAAAGUUCAAAAAGCUAUAUUUUUUUAUUGUUGGUGUAUGGUUGCAUGAUUAUCCCUAUAAAUAAUAGGAGUUUUUUGGUAUUCUACUAGUAGUUGAAGCAUAAUUUCAUAAAUUAAUAUUUAGAGCGGGGUGGGGUGAGUUGUGACAAAAUUCAUACCCGUCCCAAACCUUGGUUCAGAUUUUUAAAAUAUUCUCAAACUUAUCAUAUACCCAACUUUUAUAUUUCAUACUUGUCCUAAUAGAGGCACGUUAGGCCGGGUUACUUGAGUAACCUACAUAAUUGUCAUCCCUAGUUGAAAUACACUUUUUGGCAGUGGCCACCAACUGAGCUAGAAGCUUGAUUGAUUGACCUACAAGAUUAGUUCUCAUCAUUUUAAAAAAAGUUCUGGCUUUGGUUGUGAGUGCAAUUGAAUCUAAACUGGCAUUUGCUUAAUGCAUCUACUUCAAUCCUAAACUUCUUACUUCUUAAGCCUCAAUUGUUGUUAGGAUUUUGGAAAACCCAUUUCCUUAAAUUGUAAAUUUAAGAUAAAAUAAAAUAAAAGUGAGACAUUUCUUGAUUGAAUAUUGUUAAAGGUCCCUUGGCAUUAAGACUUGGUUGAAGCCUUGGAAGAUUAGUGGAACUCUCAACAUGUGUUUGAAUCUUGAGGAGAGUGGAUGUAAGCCAAAAUUUUGUCAAACCAUUAUACAAAUUGAGUUUGAAUCCUCAUUUCUUGAUUUCUUAUUUAUUUGCUUUUUCUUAUUAUUACUUGAAUUGUCAUUUGCAUUCAUUAAUGUUAAAAUUGGUUAUAAUUAACCAACACUAAUUCUCUUUCCCCUUCCCUUUCUUGGGUGUAAACCUAGGUUGGAUUAACUAGAUAAAUCUAUUAAGAUGGUAAAAGAAUAAUUAUUCUUAACAUACAUAAGAUCAUCUUCAAUCAAAUGACUCAUUGGCUAAUAUGUUGAAUUUGCUUAUUACUUGCAACUCAAAAUUGUGUUCUAGUUGUGUCAAGUCCCCAGUGUAUGGACAUUAAAUUUGUAGUACGUGAUGAGUAAUUAGAUGGUCCAACUCCAAGAAAGUGAUUGAAAAGUAGUUCAAGAAAGGUGCAAAAGGGAAUUGUUUUGGUAUUUUCGUUUUUAUUCUUGAAGGUGGCAGAGCUAAAAUUUGAGAAAUCAAGCAAAACAUACUGAAAUUACAUUGAAAGAAAGAAGAUGGGAGUUAAUGUCUUGCAGUACAUGAUAAGGACUUCAUGCAUGUAGUGUGACCCAUGUCUUGGACUGAUGCCAACUCACGGUUACACUUAUACCCUUGGUUCUCUCUUUACUACCUUGGCUAACCUAGAUCAGGCUAUGAGAUAGGCUCCUCACCACACCAUUACUUGCCCAUUAAUUAGAGACAUUUUCAAGCAAUGAGGUAACAUGGUGACACCAAGAGGGUCUAUUCCUCGCCCGGAACAAGUCUAGACUUGGUCUCAAAAAAAUGGAGAAAAAUGAGGUGUCGUUAUGUAGAAAUACAACAACCAUGCCUUCCUCAUUACUUAGAUUCAGAAUGUGAAGGUGAAAUUGAGAAACAGAAACUCUUGAAACCAAAAUGAAAAUUGAUACUUUUACGAAGAAUUACAACAACAUUAGAGGAAGACUACAUUCUUCCUCUUUAUUCCUACAUUUCUACACUACUUCUACUCCACUCCAUAUUUCUACAUACAUCUUUAAUCAGUCUUCCCUCCUUUAUAUAGAGCCAUCUUCACACAAAUUUCGCAAGGUAGAAAAGAGGAAUGAAACUUGGAGCAAGGUUCGACUACUGGUUGUAGCUUGUCAAGGCUGGAAGUGAACUUUUCUUGGCUUUCUGGGCAUGGGUAGUAACUUGUGGGUUCCUGUUUGGCAUAAAAAUGGCUAGAACAUGUGGCACUAUCUUGUUGGAUGAUGUGUCAAGCAUGUGGCAGCCAUCUAGUGGCGAUUAUGUCAAUUUUGGGAUGGAGAGUUGGCAUCCAAUUGCAAAGAAAUAUGACGUCUACCAACAUGCAAUGUAAACCUAUGUAGAUCAUAUGAAGAUAGAGAGGAAAAAUAUAGAAAUGGAUAUAUACCUAGAACUAGCUUUUUAUUAAAUGAAACGGAGAGACAACAAUGAAGGAAAAUAAAAUUUUUUGGCUUAUAUCAAAGAGUUCACAUUGUGUUACCCUAGGUUUUCUUAAAACUUACUUUUAUGAUAACAAAAAAGAAAAAACCAUUAUUGUUUAAUCCUUUGUUUUAAACGCAUGUAAGGUGUAAUUAAGUUAGUUCAAUGCAUUAAUUUAAGAAACUUGACCUAUCAAAAGUACAAAAUUAGAUGAAAUCCAUUUCAAUGGUUAAAAUGAUCAAAAUCAAACUUUUUCUAAGUAUUUUUUAAAAGCAUCAAUAGUGAAAGACAAUUUUAUAUUUAGUCGGAGUUUGGACAAAACUGAAAAACACACAAAAUCCAAGCGACCAUCUCUAGCUUGGAUGGUCGCUUGAUCCCACCUAGAGAUGUGCAUGAGUAAAAGGAUUUGAAAAUGGAAAUUGACUAUGUAGUCGAUCAAUUAACUUUGCAACAUCAUAUGCAAUCCUAAUUGCUAGUCAUCUAAUCAAUUAGGUAGUCAAUCAACAGGCCAAAAAUAUGUUUAUAAUGACUAUUUUGUACAAAAACCACCUGUAUAGUUAAAUAUAAUGCAUUUCAUUUAUAAAUCUUCUAAUUCUUGAAUAACGAUCCUAUCAUCCUUUGAAAGUUUUUAUUACACUUUUUUUACUUUUGUUCUAAAACUUACACAUCACCCUUAAUUGUACCAUGAGAACCUAGCUAUUUUUUAUUUUUUUUUUUGUAAUUCAUCAAAGUUAGCUUUUGUAUUCAUUGUUGUAUUAUUUUUAGUAUAACUUAGAAAGCUAGUGUUUUCAAGUGAGUAAAAUUAACUUGUAAAUAUUGUAAAGAUUCAUCGACAUGUAUCUUAAACUAAGUGUACAAGUUAAAACAUUUGCUAGUAGAUUUUCUCAAAAUUUAGAAUAGAGCUUGAGACUAUUGAAAUAGGUGGGGUUGCACCAAACCACAUCACAUCGUUGUUUGCACCUUUUUUCACUCUCUUUUACUUAGUUGCUCUAUAUUUGUUGUCUAGUAAUAUCCUAUAGGCUUGAUGGGUUAGGGAGCAUCCCUUUGUGAAAAAAUUUUAUUCAAUCCUUAGUUGUAUCACGCAUAUAUAAAAUGCCUCAUUGUUUUAAUGGUAUUCAGUCGUGGCAUCACAGAUAUGGGCAUCUAAAUUUUAAAAGUUUGAAACUUUUAUCUAAAGAAAAUAUGGUGCUUUGCCUUUUUGUAAAGCAUGUUGAUGAAAUCCAUGAGAAUUGUGUACUUGGGAAGCAACACCGAGAUGACUUUUUUUUUUUUUUUAUAAUAUUGUUUGUCCAAAUUCCCUACAAAUUAGGCCACCAGAUGUUCAUAAUUCUCCCUUCUUGAAUUUGAAAACUCGGACAAUUGGACAAUGCGACACCUAAGUCCGGUUUCUAAAUGCUAAAGUGAAAGGGUAGGUAUGGACCAUUGAAAUGUGAUCACAACUUUUCUCUGUAGCCAUGUUGUCUCUUUUUUCUUUUGCAUGAUUUUCUUACCUUAACAGAAUCAUAGACUUGUUUAGUCUCUAAAUGGGAUUAAUUUCAUCCAGCUUUAAGCUACUAUAUUAUAUCUAGGUGGAGGACUUUUAAGAGUGCAACCGACAUAGAGCACAUGGAAGUGGGUAUAUGGGACAUGAAAUUUCUUCUUAUAAAGAUUGCAUGAUUUUUAUAUUAGAGUUGUUGAGGCGCUAUGUAUUUAGCUUGUUUUGCAGUUAAAUUAAUUGGAUAAGUAGACAUUGGCGUUUCUAAAUCUACUGUGAAGUGCUUCAUGUACGUGUGAAGUAUUAGAAAUUUCUUUCUUGGCAACUUGUUUUUCUUUGCGGUCUACUGAUAGGUUUGACUAAAAUUAUAUUCCCUGUCAUGCUAAUUAAUUUUCACGUGCAUGCUCAAAAGAAAAGUAUGACCUUAGUGCACCAAAAUCACUUUGAUUAAUUUGUGAUAGGUUUUUGUGCAUCAUGACAUUAGCCUUAUUCAUUUAGAUAAUGUUUAGUUUUUAGAAAGUAUUAAGAAAAGGAAAAUAAAUAUUAAGAAAAAUAUUCUUAUAUUUGAUUGUAUUAUGAAAAAUAUCAUAAAAAAAUCAAAUAUAAUUUAAAUUAAUUAAUAAUUUAUACAUUUUCAAAUUAUUUAAUCUUUAUAUUGAAGAUAUAAUAUAAAUGAAAUGAGUUUUAAGUAUUAUAUAAAAGUGAUUUAUUGAUCUUACAUAUAUAUAUUUCUUUUUUUUUUCCUUCUAUUUUUUCUCUUUAUUUUAUUUUCCUUAUGUUUUCCUCAACAUUUUCCGGAACCAAACAUAGCCUUAGGAAAUCCACAAUUACCUUCAACUGAGUAGAUUCUGUUGUUUUAGCAAUGUUAGGCUGCUAACUUGUGUUGGUACGAACCUAUUAAGCCUAAAGAUGUAAUUAGUUAGGAUAUUCUUUUCCCUCUAGUCUUGUAGCUCCACGUGUACAGUUGGUUAGGACCUCAUUGUAUAUAAUGCUUGCCCUGUUAUUGUAGAAGACAACAAAGAUAAAUAAUAUUAACAUUUUUCCUCUCAUCUCUCUCUGUUUCCCUCUGUUUUCAUCUCCUCUCUCAUCUUGGUAUCAGAGCCUCCAUGGCUUCUUUCAAAGAAACCUCCGAAUCACCUUCUGCUAGCAUUGUUAAUGUGCAAAACCCAUUAUCUCAAUCAAACAACCUUCCUUCACCAGUAGCCACACCCUCUUUUUCUUUCUCGUCUAUGAAUCAACCUCUCACAGUGAAGCUGGAUAAUGGGAACUACCUCAUAUGGAAGAAUUAGCUUCUAAAUGUCAUCAUUGCUAACGGACUCGAUGAUUUCAUUGACGGAUCUCGACCCUGCCCUCCUCGAUUUCUCGAUCUGCAACAACAAACCCUCAAUCCAGAGUACUCAGCUUGGCAGAGAUACAAUCGACUUCUGAUGAGUUGGCUGUACGCAUCCUUGUCCAAAGAUAUAAUGGCUCAGAUUGUUGGGUAUUCAACAGCUAUGGAGAUUUGGAAUGCCCUUAAUCAGAUUUACUCUGCCUCUUCUAUGGCGCGGUUUACUGAGCUUCGCACCAAGCUUCAAACGCUCAAGAAAGAUGGACUCUCAGUUGGUGAAUAUAUUCAAAGGCUCAAAUCCAUUUGCAAUAGUCUUGCAGCAAUAGGAGAACCAGUUUCUGAGAAAGACCAUCUUAUCUAUUUGUUCAAUGGAUUAGAUUGUGAGUAUUAUUCUUUUGUUACCUCCAUUCAAAAUCGAUCUGACCAACCAACUAUUGACAAAAUCCAUAGCCUAUUGCUUAGCUAUGACUUCCGGCUUGAACAACAAAACUCUGUUUCUCUCCAUUCUGCCCAAGUCCAUAUGGCUCAUCUGAACAAGAAACCUUAUAAAUCAACUCCUCAACCUACAUUCAAUCAUAUUCACAUUCAACCUAGAUACUCUUCUCCACCUUUUAAGCCAACCACUAGUCAAUAUCAACCCAACAUUUUGGGCAAACCACAACCACAACCAUGACAGCCUCAACCUCAAUGGAAACCACAUUUUUCAAUCUAAAAUCAAAAGCCUCAGCGCCAAAUUUGUGGUAAAUUUGGACACACUGCUCUUAUUUGCUUCCAUCACACAAAUUUGAACUAUUCACCCCAACCUUCUCCUAAAUCUUUCAAUACUGUUCUCACCACAAAUUCCCAGCUCCCUAAUCCUCCAAAAUUUUCUUACCCUACAAUGGCUCAUCCUGCUGCUACGCAUAACACGGUUCCCGAUACAAAUUGGUACAUGGACUCAGGUGCUACACAUCACUUUACUCUGGACAUCAACGUGCUUGACACUGUGACACCAUUUAGUGGUUCAGAACAGGUGACAGUUGGGAAUGGUAAGCAACUCUGUAUCUCACAUCUUGGUACUGCAAAACUACCAUCUUCGUAUUCUCCUCCUGUUCUACAUCAGGUAUAUCACACUCCAAAAAUUUCAAAUAAUCUUAUUAGUGUUAAAAAAUUGUGUUCUGAUAAUAAAGUUUUUGUUGAAUUUUAUGCCACUCAUUUUCUUGUCAAGGAUCAGGUUUCGAAGAGAGUUCUCCUUUAGGGUCAACUUGAUAAUGGCUUAUACAAAGUUCAGUCGUCAUGCUCUCCUUCUGCUGUUUCCUUUCCUCCUCAAGUUUUCAUAGCCAACAUCAAGUAUCCAAAUCUGUGGCACAAGAGACUAGGCCACCCAGCUUUAUCUGUUGUUAAUCAAAUCUUGGAUUCUUGUAACAUUGCUCGAACACAGAAAAUUUGUUUUAAUUUUUUAAAUUCUUGUCAAUUAGCAAAGAGCCACAGGCUUCCUUUUUCUCUGUCUCCAUCCAUUGCAGAAAAACCUUUUGAGUUAAUUCAUACAGACCUAUGGGGUCUUUCGCUCGUUCGCUCUAUUUCUGGUGCUCUUUAUUUUUUACUUUUCAUUGAUGAUCAUACUCGUUUUACUUGGUUUUAUUUGCUCAAAACAAAAGAUGAAGCAUAUCCUACUUUUCUCAAGUUUCAAGCUCUCAUUGAAAAUCAAUUUAAUACCAAGAUUAAGGCUGUCCAAUCUGAUUGGGGAGGUGAGUUUCGAUCUCUCUCCAUACCGUUUUCAAAUAUGGGCAUUGUCUAUUGUUUAUCGUGUCCAUACACCUCACAACAGAAUGGGCGAGUUGAGCGAAAAAAUCGCCAUGCGAUUGUCCUUUCUUGCUUGCUCUAUGCCCUUAUCUUAUUGGCCUUAUGCCUUUCAAACUGCCACUUACCUUAUUAAUCGUCUCUCUACCCCUGUGCUGCAUCAUCAAUCCUCUUACUUCGCACUCUAUCACAAACUCCCAACUUAUACUCAUCUUAAGGUCUUUGGUUCCUCUUGUUUUCCGUAUUUGCACCCUUAUAAUACCCAUAAACUCCAAUACAGGUCACUAGAGUGUGCUUUUCUUGGUUACAGUUCACACCACAAAGGUUAUCUAUGUCUUGACAUUCAUUCUAGCAGGGUGUAUAUUUCUCGCCAUGUGAUUUUUAAUGAAGAUUCUUUUCCAUUCAAGAAUUUGAAAUCUUCUCUCUCUCAGUCUAUUUCUUCUUCCUCUUCUUUAUAAGUUCCUCUGUUCAUUCUCUUGCCUCCCCUUUCCCCAUCUCCUCUUAUUUCUUCAUCUAUACCUCAUUCUUUUCCCUCUUCUUCUUCUACCUCUAGUACUUGUUCCCCUCUCGUUGCUCCUACCUCUCUUCCUUCCUCUUCACACUCUGUGUCUCCAUCUAUUCCACCUCCUUCUCCACCUUCUCCGAGUGUGGACCUGCUUGCACCUUGUGUGAAUACAAAUUUACAUACUUCUUCUCGCACUCACAAUAUUCAUCCUAUGGUGACUAGAUCUAAGGUUUGUAUCUAUAAACCUAAGUUGUUGUUGAGUGUCUCCAUAGGUUCUCUCACUAAGCCUACUUCCUUUCUUCAAGCUAUUAAAGAUCCUUCAUGGAAGCAAUCCAUGGAAUUCGAGUUUGCUACCCUUCAACACAACAAGACCUGGCAUUUGGUUCCUUCACCUUCCUCAGGCGAAGUAAUCGGUUGUAAAUGGGUCUAUAAGCUAAAGCUUCAGCCUGAUGGCUAAAUUGAGAGAUACAGCCUGCUUAGUAGCUAAGGGUAUCAUCAAAUUGAAGUAUGGACUACUUCGAAACAUUCAGCCUGAUNNNNNNNNNNNNNNNNNNNNNNNNNNNNNNNNNNNNNNNNNNNNNNNNNNNNNNNNNNNNNNNNNNNNNNNNNNNNNNNNNNNNNNNNNNNNNNNNNNNNAGCUUCAGCCUGAUGGCUAAAUUGAGAGAUACAAGGCCUGCUUAGUAGCUAAGGGUUAUCAUCAAAUUGAAGGUAUUGACUACUUCGAAACAUUCAGCCUGAUUGUCAAGCUUUCUACUAUCUGUAUUGUGCUCAGUCUUACUUUUUCCCAGAAUUGGUGUAUUAGACAGCUGGAUGUUCAUAAUGCCUUCUUACAUGGUGACUUAGCUAAAGACGUUUUCAUGGAACAACUGCCUGGAUUUGUUGAUCCUCUCUAUCCUACUCAUGUCUGCAAGUUGGAUAAGUCUCUCUACUGUCUUAAAUAGUCACCUCGGGCUUGGUAUACUAAGCUGAGUACUUCUCGCUACACUUGGGAUUUGUUACUUCUAAGAAUGACUCUUCCUUAUUUAUUUGUCAUUCGUCUCAUGGGUUACUUCUUGUUCUUGUCUAUGUGGAUGAUAUAAUCGUCAUUGGGAGCCACUCUCCUCAGGUUACUCACCUUAUCCAACAGUUGCAUCAUUAGCUUUCUUUAAAGGAUCUUGGUCCUUUACAUUAUUUUCUGGGCUUGGAGGUUCAUCACACCCCUACUGGUAUUCACCUCAGCCAAGCAAAGUAUAUCACUGAUCUCCUUACCCGGGCGGCUAUGUUGGAUGCCAAGCCAUGUCCCACUCCUAUGUCCUCCAACACAUAUCUCUCUUUUCAUGAUGGAGUGGCUCUUGAAAAUGGUUCAGAUUAUCGAAGUUUUGUUGGUGCCCUUUAGUAUUGUACCAUGACACGCCCAGAUAUAGCUUUUGCAAUAAAUAAAGUGUGUCAAUUCAUGCACCAUCCCUCUAAUGUUCACUGGCAGGCUAUAAAACGUAUUCUCCGGUACUUAAAGGGCACAUCUCAUUUUGGUCUCUUCCUACAGCCUUCCUAUGACUUCAACAUCACUUGCUAUACAAAUGCCGACUGGGCUUCCUGUCCUGAUGACAAGUGUAGCACCAGUGGCUACUGCCUCUUUCUUGCCUCUAAUCUGGUUUCUUGGUCAUCUUCCAAACAAAAAGUGGUCUCCCGCUCCAGCGCCGAAUCAGAGUACCGAGGGGUAGCAAAUGGGGCUGCUGAAAUUGCUUGGACUGAAUCUCUUCUUUGUGAACUUUCCAUUACUCCCCCUCCCCUCAUUCUCUGUGACAAUAUCAGUGCCACGUACUUAGCUGCCAAUCCUAUUUUGCAUGCCCGCACCAAACAUGUGGAAAUCGACUAUCACUUUGUCACGGAACGUGUUCUUCAAUGCUCUCUUUUUGUCCAGUUUACACCUUCUGAUGAUCAACUUGCUGAUUGCAUGACCAAGCCUCUCUCCACCCAACGUUUCAUCACUCUACGCUCCAAGCUCACUGUUCUCACUAGACCAAUGAGCUUGAGGGGGGAUGUUAAGCCUAAAGAUGUAAUUAGUUAGGAUAUUCUUUUCCCUCUAGUCUUGUAGCUCCACGUGUACAGUUGGUUAGGACCUCAUUGUAUAUAAUGCCUGCCCUGUUAUUGUAGAAGACAACAGAGAUAAAUAAUAUUAACAUUUUUCCUCUCAUCUCUCUCUCUGUUUCCCUCUGUUUUCAUCUCCUCUCUCAUCUGAACCAAAUGAUCCAUGUUAACCUUGGCUUGGUUUGAUUUGGCUCUAUCUUAGAGAGCUCAAGGAUCACGUCAACUCUGGUUUCUACUAUUCAGGUCCAUUCCCAUAUGAACUGGUUCAAAUUUGAGAAAAUGGUAACAGACCUUUAGUGAUGUUGGUUUGGAGCCAGUUGCCAAACCCGCCCUGAGCUUUACCACUAAUGUCAAGGGAGAAAGCCAUUUGAACAAAAACAAUAGCUUCAAGGGACUGAAUCGUGGAUGAAAUCUGAUCCACAUUUCUUCUCAUUUUGGAAACAAAUGAGAACUUAACUAAGAAGAUUCUACGGCCUCAUAGUGCUUUUCCUGAUCUAAGGUUGGUUCGUUUCCCAAACUGUGAGAUGCACGUGCCAGACUUCAGAACUCUCACGCUCAGGAGUGUAUCCACGUGGUGGACAUAAGAUGGUGGCUUAAGAUCUGGUGUCGGUGGCUUUACUUUACUAGGAGAGUAGUGUGUCUUCAUCUCAUUCACUGCCGGAGGGUGGCGUAAGCAGUGACGCUAAGGUGGGGCACAGUCAAUAUCAUUUGCAUUUGACCAUUAUAGUUUUCUCCCGGCUUUAAAGUAACCUUAUCGUGAUAAAGGAUUACUAGCACUAGUUCAGAUGAUAGUCAUGUUAAAUUCGGACCAUGUUUGUGUCACAUUAUCAGCAACCAUGUGUUUAUGGUUCAUGCUUUCUGCAACUAAAAUUGAUAUAUAACCAGGUGAACUUCAAUCUAAAUUCUGAAAGUACUCAUGUGAUAGAUGGUGCCCGUCUGCAGAGUCCAUCAAUUGAAAAAUGGAGUGAGUGUAUCUAUAAGAGGGAAGGCUUGGAAAAUGUUCAGUUUUCUGGGAAUUCAACAAGGAUCUAAAAUAGAUUGUUUUCUUUGCUGAUUUCAAUGGUUGAAAUUUGAGAAGAUUGUGUCCACAUAACACAACUAUUACUGGUCCUUCUGUUGCAAUUUAUCCUCUAAAGCUCUAGCAUGUCUUCCAAUUCCCACUUCCCUGUUACUCCAGGAAAGCUAUUUCUGUCAUUGUGAAGAAGAAAAGAGAAUGUACAUAUCGAUGCUUUUAAGUGACUGGAGCAUUUAUAUCAGGUGGUCUGCAGCCAUAUAUGCCACUUUGUGAAGAUUGGAACAGUCAAUCACUAGGCUAUAUAUUAGUGUGGCCCAGCCACUUUAAUCAAGGACAAGUCUUCAUACUUAAAGUCAAAUUCUGCCUUUAGUCUCAUUAUAAAUUUCUGUUUAAAUAUUAAGCAAACAUUUGUUUAAUGCGAUUAAGACAGUACUAACUCAAUACCUGUUCUAUUUUUGGAUGCAAAUGCUUGAUGGUUUCAUCAUUGGAUGGGAUAAAGGUGCAUUCAUGAUUAGGAAUACUAGUAGUUAUAUUUUAAUUCUCUUUUUUCUCAAUGAGACUUGUUGGCACAAUUUUGCUGUUGAGAAACCUACCUCUCCAUGGAAAAUAAGUUGUGAUUGAUAGUACUGGAUAUAUUCAAGAAAUCUAAAUAUAGAUAGCACAAAAUAUUAUCGACAUAAAUAGCAUUAACAGCGUACGUAUGUCUCAGUGCUCAUCAGCUAUAAGCAUGGGGCAAACACUUACUAUGAGCAACUUACGUCAAAAUUCCAGAAUAGGACAUAGAAGUGACAGAUAUAGAACAUUGCAUAUGAGUCACAAGAAAGGAAAUUACGGGUGCAUAGCAGCUCUUAUUUUACAUACUACUACUCAUACUGAUCAAAGUCACUCAGUUGGGAUGGGUGGGAGUAGGAGGUUUGUGGGGUGGCUUGUGCGGAGGAGUUGGCAGCUUCUUUCCAGGACCUGGUUGCUUCUCUGCUGGAGUUGAAGGAGGCUUAAUCUUCCGAGGUGGCUUGUAUGAGUCUUCAGCAUUCUCAGCUGGAGGGUGACCAGGGUUGUGACCAUAAUGUGGUGGCUUCUCUCCCUUAGGUGGUUUGCCAACUGGGGUUGGUGGCUUGUAUGAGUCUUCAGCAUUCUCAGCAGGAGGGUGACCAGGGUUGUGACCAUAAUGUGGUGGCUUCUCUCCCUUAGGUGGUUUGCCAACUGGGGUUGGUGGCUUGUGUUCUGGGAGUGGCUUCUCCCCCUUGGGAGGUUUUUCCAAUGGGGUUGGUUUGUGUUCAGGAGGUGGCUUCUCCACUGGAGGCUUGUGUUCAGGAGGUGGCUUCUCCACCGGAGGCUUGUGUUCAGGUGGUGGCUUCUCCACCGGAGGCUUAUGCUCUGGUGGUGGCUUCUCGAAUGGGGGAUGCUUAGGAUAAUCAGCAAGUGAGGGGGCGGUGAGAACCACCAGGCCAAGCAACACCACUAGCAAAUAUGUAGGAGACAUCUUUGGGUUUGGGCUCAGAUGGUGCAAAACUAGGAGAAUUGGCUAGCCUUUUAUAGCGGAUCGUACCCAAUAAUGAAAUGACACGUGUCAUUAUGACCCAUGUGUAAUGGGGUCGAUUUGGGUCCUACAGUGUUGAAAACUUCGACAUCCACUUUUGGCCUUUUGCUUUCUCUACAGCCGCCUUGCUUUUUCCCUCUUUCCUUUUGUUUUCCUCCUGCCCCAUUCUAUCAACUAAACACAAUUAUGUAGUUGUUUAAUUCUUAAAUGAGAUAUUAUCCGUCAAUCGUAUUAUAUUUUAUCAAGAGAGAACGGAGUGCAAUGUGGCUGUAAUUUUAUCGUUUAGUUUUAUCUCUUGGACCACUGCAUUUUUGUUAAGAGGUGCAAUAAUACACGUCUUUAUCUGCCAUUCAAUAUUUACAGUAAAGAGAGGGCACAAAACUCUUCACUUCGCACCAUAAUUAUUUUGUUUUCUGGACACCCCGGGGCCCUUUGGUUGGUUUGGGGGUCAGAAAGUGAACAUCAUAGGGGGUUUUUCCCUUAUGUGCAUUUGUAUCUGAUGGCUUUAACUCGCCUUGUUACUACAAAGAAACUGUCACAGAUAGGAACUUAUUCCAGGCUGAGUAUCUCCUCAUAGACCCUAUAAAAGAAGACAAGUCAUAAUGAACAUCUAACCUUUGUUCAAUUUGAUUCAAUGCCCCCAUUGUGUCCAUCUCACAAAUCUGAAUUAUUAUAUCCAUUGAAUACAUAAAUUAAUGAAGAAAAUAUGAAACCCAAGAUACAUCUCUGCACAACCUCAACCCUGGUUGCUAUGUUUCCCUUCUAUUCACAUGAUUUGAUGCUAAUUGCCAAACUUGCAACAAGCCCUGAGUUUGACACCUAGUAUCGAUGGGCGAAUUUAAAGUCUCCUCCAAACAUAUAUUCCACAGCUUGAAGCUCACAGAAGAUGUUACAGGCAGGGAAAAACCUUCAGAGUUCGCUACCAAAGAUAAUUAUUAAGGAGAUAUCACAAAGAGAAUUCCAAGGGGUCUGAAUCAAAGACAAAUUGGUCGUUCGUGGGGGUUCUUACUUUCUUUUGGGUAUAACUCACUGAGGGCACUGUCUUUGUUAUUUGCAUUUCACAUUUAGAGUUCUGUUCUGGAAACAUAUAAAAGGAGCAUCAUUUUGUUCUUGGGUAACCCAUAGUCGUGAGUGGGUCCAUUUGCAUGCUACUUAGUUGAAAAGUUGGACCAUUUGCUCCGACGCCUACCUCCCGGAUUCCAUGCUCGGAUAAAACAAGAAUAAAAAAAAUAUUUAUAAUUUACAAAUGGGGGAAAGAAAAAAAUGUCAACAACAAACCAGGAAAAAAGAGUAGUAAAAUUCAUGUCACAUGCUAGUGAGAGAAGGGGUUGUUACACUCACUCGAAGUUCUUUCCAAAAUAUCGCAUGGUAUUUUAUUUUAUGUGUCAGCGCAGUUGUGAAUGGAACGUGCAAAAGUCCAAAUUGGCGUUUUUCCUUUUCCCGUGUAGGAUGGCGACCUUUAAUAAAUAUUUAAAACAAAAAACGAAAAAAAGGAGGGAAAAGGGAUCAGAAAAGAUAAAACAAUGUGUACAAGAGCUCAAUUAGUUUGCAAAUUACUGUUUGGAUUUUGAUAGUAUUUUAUUUGUCCAUCUAUAUUUGAUGGAAAAGAGAAUUUAAGAUAUUUCUGAAACAAAAGCAUUAGUGUAAAACUAAAUUAAGGUAUAAUUAAGUUAGUUCAAUGCAUUAAUUUAAGAAACUUGAUCUAUCCAAAGUACAAAAUUAGAUGAAAUCCAUUUCAAUGGUUAAAAUGAUCAAAAUCAAACUUUUUCUAAGUAUUUUUUAAAAGCAUCAAUAUUAAAAGACAAUUUUAUAUUUAGUCGGAGUUUGGACAAAACCAAAAAGCACACAAAAUCCAAGCGACCAUCUCUAGCUUGGAUAGUCACUUGAUCCCACCUAGAGAUGUGCAUGAGUAAAAGGAUUUGAAAAUGGAAAUUGACUAAAUAUUUAGUUGAUCAAUUAAAUUUGCAAUGUCAUAUGCAAUCCUAAUAGCUAGUCAUCUAAUCAAUUAGGUAGUCAAUCAAGUGUUUGUAAUGACUAUUUUGUACAAAAAACCACAUGUAUAGUUAAAUAUAAUGCAUUUCAUUUAUAAAUCUUCUAAUUCUUGAAUAACGAUCCUAUCAUCCUUUGAAAAUUUUUAUUACACCUUUUUUACUUUUGUUCUAAAACUUACAUAUCACCCUUAAUUGUACCAUGAGAACCUAGCUAUUUUUUUUUUUUUUGUAAUUCAUCAAAGUUAGCUUUUGUAUUCAUUGUUGUAUUAUUUUUAGUAUAACUUAGAAAGCUAGUGUUUUCAAGUGAGUAAAAUUAACUUGUAAAUAUUGUAAAGAUUCAUUGAUAUGUAUCUUAAACUAAGUGUACAAAUUAAAACAUUUGCUAGUAGAUUUUCUCAAAAUUUAGAAUAGAGCUUGAGGCUAUUGAAAUAGGUGGGGUUACACCAAACCACAUCACAUCGUUGUUUGCACCUUUUUUCACUCUCUUUUACUUAGUUUCUCUAUAUUUGUUGUCUAGUAAUAUCCUAUAGGCUUGAUGGGUUAGGGAGCAUCCCUUUGUGAAAAAAUUUCAUUCAAUUCUUAGUUGUAUUACGCAUAUAUAAAAUGCCUCAUUGUUUUAAUGGUAUUCAGUCGUGGCAUCACAGAUAUGGGCAUCUAAAUUUUAAAAGUUUGAAACUUUUGUAAAGCAUGUUGAUAAAAUCCAUGAGAGUUGUGUACUUGGGAAGCAACAUCGAGGUGACUUUAUUUUUUUUUCCUUUUAUAAUGCCACACCUAAGUCCGGUUUCUAAAUGCUAAAGUGAAAGGGUAGGUAUGGACCAUUGAAAUGUGAUCACAACUUUUGGCCUUUUCCUUUCUCUGCAGCCAUGUUGUCUCUUUUUUCUUUUGCAUGAUUUUCUUACCAAAACAGAAUCAUAGACUUGUUUAGUCUCUAAGCUACUAUAUUAUAUCUCGGUGGACUUUUAAGAGUGCAACCGACAUAGAGCACAUGCAAGUGGGCAUAUGGGACAUGAAAUUUCUUCUUACAAAGAUUGCAUGAUUUUUAUAUUAGAGUUGUUCACGUGCAAUGUAUUUAGCUUGUUUUGCAGUUAAAUUAAUUGGAUAAGUAAACAUUGGCAUUUCUAAAUCGACUGUGAAGUGCUUCAUGUACGUGUAAAGUAUUAGAAAUUUCUUUCUUGGCAACUUGUUUUUUCCUUGCCAUCUACUGGUAGGUUUGACUAAAAUUAUAUUCCCUGUCAUGCUAAUUAAUUUUCAUGUGCAUGCUCAAAAGAAGAGUAUGACCUUAGUGCACCAAAAUCACUUUGAUUAAUUUGUGAUAGGUUUUUUUGCAUCAUUUAGAUAAUGUUUAGUUCUAAGAAAAAUUUAUAUAAAAAUGGUUUAUUUAUCUUACAUAUAUAUAUAUAUAUAUAUAUUUUUUUUUUUUUCAUUUUUUUUUCUUCUAUUUUAUUUAUUUAUUUUAUUUUCCUUAUGUUUUCCUCACAUUUUCCGGAACUAAACAUAGUCUUACGAAAUCAACAAUUGCCUUCAACUGAGUAGAUUCUGUUGUUUUAGCAAUGUUAGGCUGCUAACUUGUGGUGGUACGAACCAAAUGACCCAUGUUAAUCUUGGCUUGGUUUGAUUUGGCUCUAUCUCAGAGAGCUAAAGGAUCACGUCAACUCUGGUUUCUACUAUUCAGGUCCAUUCCCAGAUGAACUGGUUCAAAUUUGAGAAAAUGGUAACAGACCUUUAGUGAUGUUGGUUUGGAGCCAGUUGCCAAACCCGCCCUGAGCUUUACCACUAAUGUCAAGGGAGAAAGCCAUUUGAACAAAAACAAUAGCUUCAAGAGACUGAAUCGUGGAUGAAAUCUGAUCCACAUUUCUUCUCAUUUUGGGAAAAAAUGAGAACUUAACUACAAAGAUUCUACUGCCUCAUUCAUAGUGCUUUUCCUGAUCCAAGGUUGGUUCGUUUCCCAAAUUGUGAGGUGCACGUGCCACUCUCACGCUCAGGAGUGUAUCCACGUGGUGGACAUCAGAUGGUGGCUUAAUAUCUGGUGUCGGUGGCUUUACUUUACUAGGAGAGUAGUGUGUCUUCAUCUCAUUCACUGCCGGAGGGUGGCGUAAGCAGUGACGCUAAGGUGGGGCACAGUCAAUAUCAUUUGCAUUUGACCAUUAUAGUUUUCUCCCGGCUUGAAAGUAACCUUAUCGUGAUAAAGGAUUACUAGCACUAGUUCAGAUGACCGUCAUGUUAAUUCGGACCAUGUUUGUGUCACAUUAUCAGCAACCAUGUGUUUAUGGUUCAUGCUAUCUGCAACUAAACUUGAUAUAUAACCAGGUGAACUUCAAUCAAAAUUCUGGAAGUACUCUUGUGAUAGAUGGUGCCUGUCUGCAGAGUCCAUCAAUUGAAAAAUGGAGUGAGUGUAUCUAUAAGAGGGAAGGCUUGGCAAAUGUUCAGUUUUCUGGGAAUUCAACAAGGAUCUAAAAUAGAUUGUUUUCUUUGCCGACUUCAAUGGUUGAAAUUUGAGAAGAUUGUGUCCACAUAUCACAACUAUUACUGGUCCUUCUGUUGCAAUUUAUCCUGUAAGGCUCUAACAUGUCUUCCAAUUCCCACUUCCCUGUUACUCCAGGAAAGCUAUUUCUGUCAUUGUGAAGAAGAAAAGAGAAUGUACAUAUCGAUGCUUUUAAGUGACUGGAGCAUUCAUAUCAGGUGGUCUGCAGCCAUAUAUGCCACUUUGUGAAGGUUGGAACAGUCAAUCACUAGGCUAUAUAUUGGUGUGGCCCAGCCACUUCAAUCAAGGACAAGUCUUCAUACUUAAAGUCAAAUUCUGCCUUUAGUCUCAUUAUAAAUUGCUGUUUAAAUAUUAAGCAAACUUUUGUUUAAUGCGAUUAAGACAGUACUAACUCAAUACUUGUUCUAUUUUUGGAUGCAAAUGCUUGAUGGUUUCAUCAUUGGAUGGGAUAAAGGUGCAUUCAUGAUUAUGAAUACUUGUAGUUAUAUUUUCAUUCUCUUUUUUCUCAAUGAGACUUGUUGGCACAAUGUUGCUGUUCAGAAACCUACCUCUCCAUGGAAAAUAAGUUGCGAUUGAUAGUACUGGAUAUGUUCAAGAAAGCUAAAUAUAGAUAGCACAAAAUAUUAUCGAUAUAAAUAGCAUUAACAGCGUACGUAUGUCUCAAUGCUCAUCAGCUAUAAGCAUGGGACAAACACUUACUAUGAGCAACUUACGUCAAAAUUCCAGAAUAGGACAUAGAAGUGACAGAUCUAUAUAUAUAGAACACUGCAUAUGAGUCACAAGAAAGGAAAUUACGGGUGCAUAGCAGCUCUUAUUUUACAUACUACUACUCAUACUGAUCAAAGUCACUCAGUUGGGAUGGGUGGGAGUAGGAGGUUUGUGGGGUGGCUUGUGCGGAGGAGUUGGCAGCUUCUUUCCAGGACCUGGUUGCUUCUCUGCUGGAGUUGAAGGAGGCUUAAUCUUCCGAGGUGGCUUGUAUGAGUCUUCAGCAUUCUCAGCUGGAGGGUGACCAGGGUUGUGACCAUAAUGUGGUGGCUUCUCUCCCUUAGGUGGUUUGCCAACUGGGGUUGGUGGCUUGUAUGAGUCUUCAGCAUUCUCAGCAGGAGGGUGACCAGGGUUGUGACCAUAAUGUGGUGGCUUCUCUCCCUUAGGUGGUUUGCCAACUGGGGUUGGUGGCUUGUGUUCUGGGAGUGGCUUCUCCCCCUUGGGAGGUUUUUCCAAUGGGGUUGGUUUGUGUUCAGGAGGUGGCUUCUCCACUGGAGGCUUGUGUUCAGGAGGUGGCUUCUCCACCGGUGGCUUGUGUUCAGGAGGUGGCUUCUCCACCGGAGGCUUAUGCUCUGGUGGUGGCUUCUCCACCGGAGGCUUAUGCUCUGGUGGUGGCUUCUUGAAUGGGGGAUGCUGAGGGUAAUCAGCAAGUGAGGGGGCGGUGAGAACCACCAGGCCAAGCAACACCACUAGCAAAUAUGUAGGAGACAUCUUUGGGUUUGGGCUCAGAUGGUGCAAAACUAGGAGAAUUGGCUAGCCUUUUAUAGCGGAUCGUACUCAAUAAUGAAAUGACACGUGUCAUUAUGACCCAUGUGUAAUGGGGUCGAUUUGGGUCCUACAGUGUUGAAAACUUCGACAUCCAGUUUUGGCCUUUUGCUUUCUCUACAGCCGCCUUGCUUUUUCCCUCUUUCCUUUUGUUUUCCUCCUGCCCCAUUCUAUCAACUAAACACAAUUAUGUAGUUGUUUAAUUCUUAAAUGAGAUAUUAUCGGUCAAUCGUAUUAUAUUUUAUCAAGAGAGAACGGAGUGCAAUGCAGCUGUAAUUUUAUCGUUUACUUUUAUCUCUUGGACCACUGCAUUUUUGUUAAGAGGUGCAAUAAUACACGUCUUUAUCUGCCAUUCAAUGUUUACAGUAAAGAGAGGGCACAAAACUCUUCACUGCUCUGCAUGUGUCCCAAAAAUGCGAUUGGACAAAUUAUGAUUUGCAUGCUAAAAAGAGGCAAAUGAGGUUAAUUCGCACCAUAAUUAUUUGGUUUUCUGGACACCAUAAAAAGAUGUUAUACAGGCAGGGAAAAACCUUCAGAGUUAGCUACCAAAGAUAAUUAUCAAGCAGAUAUCACCAAGAGAAUUCCAUAGAGUCUGAAUCAAAGACAGAUUGCUCGCUCGUGGGGGUUCUUACUUUCUUUUGGGUAUAACUCACUGAGGUCACUGUCUUUUUUAUUUGCAUUUCACAGUUAGAGUUCUGCUCUGGAAGGUUUGUUCUGGAAACAUAUAAAAGGAGCAUCAUUUUGUUCUUGGGUAACCCAUAGUCGUGAGUGGGUCCAUUUGCAUGCUACUUAGUUGAAAAGUUGGACAAUUUGCUCCGACGCCUACCUCCUGGAUUCCAUGCUCGGUAAAACAAGAAUAAAAAAAAAUAUAUAAUUUACAAAUGGGGGAAAGAAAAAAUGUCGGAAAAAAUAGUAAAAUUCAUGUCACAUGCUAGUGAGAGAAGGGGUUGUUACACUCACUCGAAGUUCUUUUCAAAAUAUCGAAUGGUAUUUUACUUUAUGUGUCAGCGCAGUUGUGAAUGGAACGUGCAAAAGUCCAAAUUGGCGUUUUUAUUUUUCCCAUGUAGGAUGGUGACCUUUAAUAAAUAUUUAAAACAAAAGACGAAAAAAAAAAGGAGGGAAAAGGGAUCACAAAAGAUAAAAUAAUGUUUACAAAAGCUCAAUUAGUUUGCAAAUUACUGUUUGGAUUUUGAUAGUAUUUUAUUUGUCGUUCUAUAUUUGAUGUAAAAGAGAAUUUAAGAUAUUUCCGAAGCAAAAGCAUUAGUUUGCUCUGUGAUGUCCCACAUCGAAUAGGGGAGAAAGUUUCUGGCGCUAUAUAUGUAGAGGCUCCUCUUAACCAAGUAGAUGCGUUUUAAAACCAUGAGGGCCCCCUUAGGUCCAAAGCGGACAAUAUCUACAUGAUUGGGUGUAAGUCAUUACAAAUGGUAUCAGAGCCGAUCCCCGACCCCGGUGUGGGGGUUUGUUUGGCCCUGUAAGGGGUGUUUGUCUGUUUGACCCCACAAUCCCAUGGGACACAACGAGGACGUUGUGUCUGCAUGGGGGGGCGUUUGUGAUGUCCCACAUCGGAUAGGGGAGAAAGUUCCUAGUGCUAUAUAUGUAGAUGUUUCUCUUAACCAAGUAGAUGCAUUUUAAAAUUGUGAGGGCCUCUUUGGGCCCAAAGCGGACAAUAUCUACAUGGUUGAGUGUAAGUCAUUACAUGCUCCAUGUCAAUUUCAGCAUUUCUCAUAUGUUUCACACAUACACAGAAGAGCAUCGUUUUUUAAAGCAUGCAUUUAUGUUGGAUUAAUUUGGAUUUUGUGGGAACUGGGGCAAGGAUCACAUGGAAGAGAGGUUGACUUUUUUCAGUACUUCAAUGGUUGAAAUAUGUGAAGGCUUGAUUGAUACUAAAGCUUGAAAUUGCGACUCUGUCAUUUGUAAAAAAAUAUGACAGCUUCCAUGCUCUCGUUUGGUUGCAUUGUCCGGUCGAGAGGUGCAAAAAGCAUUCUCUCUCUUCUAAUAGUCUUUUCGUUUAAAUCAAGGGAUUUGCCUUCCCGGUCGAGGUCCAAUAGAGGGUAACGGUCACCUACUAAACAUUAAAUGCUCCAACAACUAGUGAACUGAUCGACCCCAGCUCGACUAGUUGAGGUUACUUUUUGGUUUUCUUGUCUCCCGAGGUUAGAAACCUAUAAAUAGAGAGCUUCACUUCAUUUAUGAGUAAGAGAACACCUAAAUUUAUUUGUUUACCUACUUGUUUUUGCCAUAAAAGCUCUCAUUUCUUUUCUUGGUGUAUUAAAUCUCCAUUUGCAUAUCCUUUAGUGCACCUUUGUGAUUCAUUCUAGCCUUGAGUUGUAUUUAAGCCUUUGUUGAGCUAGGUUGAGAGUUUCAUACUUGUUUAUUGAGUGUUAAAGCCUUCAAGUGAGUUAAAACUUGAAGAGAUUGUGUAAGAGCCCAUUGGAGUCGGAAUCCAAGUGUAAAGGUGAUUAAAAGCUUGGUUGAAGCUUCAAGUUAGUGGAACUCUCACUCGGUUAUGAGCUUGAGAAGAGUGGACAUAGACAAGGCAGUGUCGAACCACUAUAAAAUCUGAGUUUGAUUUCUCUAACCUUAUCUCUUUAUAUUUGCUUCUCUUGUGCUUAAAUUUUUUGUGUUUAAAAAGAAUUUUUAAAAACUCAAUUCACCCCCUUCUUGGGAGUUUUUCUCUUUUAAGAUCAGCUUUUAUUUUCUCAAUUGGUAUCAGAACUAUGCCUCUUGUUUAAGACUUAAUCGUCUAAGAGGAAAUGGCUAAUCCAUCAAGUUCAUCUCACAUUGAAAGUUUUGCAACCAAUAGACUUCUUUUUUUUUUUUUGCGGGAACUGAUUAUCCCUAUUGGAAAACUAAAAUGACUUGGUUUUUACAAUCAAUUGAUUUAGAUGUAUGAGAUGCCAUUGAAGAUGACCUAACUUUUCCUUCAAAACUAGUUGAUGGAGUCAUGGUUCCAAAACCUAAGCAAGAAUGGGAUGAGCGUGAUUGAAGAAAUUUUCAAUUAAAUGCUAAAGUCGUUUAUACUUUGCAAUGCUCUAUGGACAGAAAUGAAUAUAAUAGAAUAUGUCAAUGCAAAUCGGUUAAAGAAAUUUGGAGAUUGCUUGAAAUAACUCAUAAAGGAACAAAUCAAGUUAAAGAGUCAAAAAUCAAUUUACUUGUUCAUAGAUAUGAAUUGUUUUUUAUGAAAGAUAAUGAAACUAUUGUUAAGAUGAUCACUAGGUUCACCAACAUUGUUAAUGGUCUUAAAGCCUUGGGAAAGACCUACAAGGAAUCCGAAAACGUGAUGAAGAUCUUGAGGUCACUUCCAUCAAAGUGGCAUACCAAGGUCACCGCAAUUUAAGAAGCAAAAGACUUGAUCAAGCUACCUUUGGAGGAGUUCAUAGGGUCAUUGAUGACAUAUGAAAUCAAUUUGGCAAAGAAGUAACAAAAAGGUGAAGACAAAAAGAAGAAGAACAUAACUCUCAAAGCUACAACUAAGGAAGAAGAAGUUGAAGAAGAAAAACAAAUUGAAGAAGAUGAAGAUUUAGCCCUCAUCACAAGAAAGUUCAACAAAUUCAUGAGGGGUGAAAGGUUUAGAAGAAGAAGGUUCACUUCUAGAAGAGACUUUUCUAAAAAGGAAUCUUCAUCUAAUGGUGACAAAAAGAGAUGGGAAGAGAAAAGAGACUUGGUGUGUUUCAAGUGCAAGAAACCGGGACACAUUAAAUAUGAUUGUCCUCUCUACAAAAGUGAAGUCAAGAGGAAAAAGAAUAAGGCAAUGAUGGCCACUUAGAGUGAAAGUGAAGAUGAAUCAUCCGAAGAAGAAAAUGAGAAAGAAGUGGCAAACAUGUGUUUCAUGGCAAUAGAUGAACUUGAUGAGGUAAAAUCUAACCUUAGUGAUUAAGAUAUACAUGAUGCAUUUGAAGAAUUGUAUGAGGAUUUUUAAAAACUUAGUUUGAAAAAUAUUUCUCUUAAAAAGAAAGUUCAACAACUUGACAAAGAACUUAGAGAAGUAAAAGAAAAAUUUUCAAAUGUUAAAGUUUCUAAAACUCAUCUUGAAAAAGAAAAUGAGAUUCUAAGAAAGAAAAAUGAAUAGUUGAACUCCUCUCUUUCAAUCUUUUCUUCUAGACAAAAAUCUUUUGAAAUGAUUCUAACUAGCUAAAAAUGUGUUUUUGACAAACAAGGGUUAAGAUUUAAAUCUUCAAAAAAUCAAAAGUAUUUUAAAAACUAUUUUGUAAAGGAAUCCACAAGUGCAAGUCCUUCCACUACUUGCAACUUUUGUGGAAGAGAAUGGCACAUUAGUAGUACGCCCUUUAAGAAAUGGUUCUCAAAAGAAUUUAAAUGCAAAAACUAAAAAAGAUUUGGAUUGAGAAAUCCAAGGUCACUAACCCUCAAGGACCCAAAAAGAUAUAGGUACCUAAAUCAACUUGAGUUUUAUGUUGUAAGGUUCAAAGAAUGAUAAGUGGUUCUUAGAUAAUGGUUGCUCAAGACACAUGACCGGAGAUGAAUCCAAGUUUGCUUUUCUUAAAAAGAAAAAUGGAGGAUAUGUUACCUUUGGAGACAAUGCAAAAGAAAGGAUGAUUGGUCAAGGCAACAUUGGUAAUGGCACAUCCUCUCUCAUUGAAAGUGUUUUAUUAGUAGAUGGUUUCAAACAUAACCUUUUAAGCAUUAGUCAAUUUUGCGACAAAGGUUUUUAAGUGAUUUUUUAAGCAUCUCAUUGCAUCAUCAAGGAUAUUCAAAAUGAUAAAACCAUUUUCAUGGGCCAUAGAUGUGAUAAUGUUUAUGCUAUAAAUAUUUCAAAAUAUGAUGGCCAUGAUAGAUGUUUUUCAAGCAUGCAUGAUCAAAGUUGGUUGUGCCAUAGGAGAUUGAGACAUGCUAACAUAGACCUCAUUUCCCAACUCAACAAAGAUGAACUUGUUAGAGGCCUUCCCAAAAUAAUUUUUUAAAAAGAUAAAGUUUGUGAAGCUUGUCAAGUGGGAAAGUAAAUCAAAAACUCUUUUAAAAACAAAAACUUCAUUUCCACAUCUAGGCCACUUGAGUUGUUGCAUAUGGAUUUAUUUGGUCCCUCUAGGACACCAAGUCUUAGAGGAAAUUCUUAUGCAUAUGCUAUUGUGGACGACUUCUCUAGAUACACAUGAGUCUUGUUUUUUAGUCAAAAGAAUAAAGUUUUUUAUGAGUUUUCAAAGUUUUGCAAUAAGAUUCAAAAUGAAAAAGGUUUUUCAAUUACUUAUAUAAGAAGUGAUCAUGGGAGAGAAUUCGAAAAUAUUGAUUUUGAAGAGUAUUGCAAUGAGCAUGGAAUUGACCACAAUUUUUUGGCUCUUAGAACUCCUCAACAAAAUGGGGUAGUUGAAAGGAAAAAUAGAACUCUUCAAAAAAUGACAAGAACCAUACUAAAUGAAAACAACUUACCAAAAUAUUUUUAGGCCAAAACGGUUAACACUUCUUGUUAUGUUUUAAAUAGAGUAUUAUUGAGGCUCAUACUUAAGAAAACUCCCUAUGAGCUUUGGAAAAACAAAAAACCCAACAUUAGUUAUUCCAAAGUCUUUGGAUGCAAUAUUUUAUAAUAAACACCAAAGACAAUCUUGGAAAAUUUGAUGCAAAAUUGGAUGUUGGAAUUUUCCUUGGUUACUCAACUUCAAGUAAAGCUUUUCGAGUUUUAACAAAAGAACCAUGGUUGUAGAGGAGUCCAUCCAUGUUAUUUUUUAUGAAUCUCCAAGAAAGAGAGAGGAUUGAUGAUGAUUUAGGUUUGAAGACCUCUAUAGGAAGAUUGCAAAUCGAAGAUAGAAGACAACAAGAAGAAAAUGGAGAGAAUCCAAAGAAAGAAGGAUCACCAUUGGCACUACCCCCUCAUCAACAAGCGCAAGGUGAAUCAAGUCAAGAGCUUCCUAAAGAAUGGAAGUUUGUCAUCAAUCACCCACAAGAUCAAAUUAUAGGCAAUCCAUCUAGUGGGGUAAGAACUAGAUCCUCUCUUAGAAAUAUUUGCAAUAAUCUAGCUUUUAUCUCUCAAAUUGAGCCUAAAAAUAUAAAUGAUGUUUUAGAUGAUGAAAAUUGGAUAAUUGCAAUGCAAGAAGAGUUAAAUCCAUUUGAAAGAAGUGGAGUAUGGGAAUUAGUACCAAGACCUUCAAAUCAAAGUGUUAUUGGAACUAGAUGGAUCUUUAGAAAUAAAAUGGAUGAAAAUAGCAUAAUUGUUAGAAAUAAAGCAAGAUUGGUAGCCCAAGGUUUUAAUCAAGAAGAAAUGAUAGAUUAUGAAGAAACCUUUGCCCCCGUAGCUAGGUUGGAAGCCAUUAGGAUGCUACUUGCCUUUGCAUGUUUUAAAGACUUUGUUUUAUAUCAAAUGGAUGUGAAAAGUGCUUUUUUAAAUGGUUUUAUAAAUGAAGAAGUAUAUGUUGAACAACCACCCGGUUUUCAAAGUUUCAACUUUCCUAACCAUGUUUUUAAACUUAAAAAGACACUUUAUGGUUUGAAACAAGCACCUAGAUCAUGGUAUGAAAAAUUGAGUAAAUUUCUUUUGAAAAAAAUGUUUUAAAAUGGGAAAAAUUGACACAACUCUUUUUAUAAAAACCAAAGAAAAUGAUAUGCUCUUAGUUCAAAUAUAUAUUGAUGAUAUCAUUUUUGGUGCUACUAAUGUCUCUCUUUAUGAAGAAUUUUCUAAGUGCAUGCAUAGUGAGUUUGAAAUGAGCAUGAUAGGAGAACUCAACUUCUUCCUUGGACUUCAAAUCAAGCAACUAAAGGAAUGAACCUUCAUCAAUCAAGCAAAGUAUAUAAGAGAUCUUCUCAAAAGGUUCAACAUGGAAGAAGCCAAAACAAUGAAGACUCUAAUGAGCUCAUCCAUUAAGCUUGAUAAGGAUGAGAAAGGUAAAUCCAUUGACUCUAUUAUGUAUAGAGGCAUGAUAGGUUCUUUGCUCUAUUUGACCACUAGUAGACCUUACAUUAUGUAUAGUGUGUGUUUGUGUACUAGAUUUCAAUCUUGUCUUAAAAAAUCUCACUUAAGUGUCGUGAAAAGAAUCCUCAAAUAUUUGAAAGGGACAAUGGACAUAGGCUUAUGGUAUCCUAAGAGUGAUAACUUUGAAUUAAUUGGUUUUUUGGAUGCUGAUUUUGUCAGUUGUAGGGUUGAAAAAUAAAACACUAGUGGCACUUUUCAUUUCUUAAGACACUUACUUGUCUCAUGGCAUAAUAAGAAGCAAAAUUUGGUAGCUUUGUCAACAGCAGAAGCUAAAUACAUAGCAACUGGUUUAUGUUGUGCACAAAUCCUUUGGAUGAAAUAAACACUUAGUGAUUUUGAUUUAUCUUUUGAGCAUAUUCCUAUUAAAUGUGAUAAUAGUAGUGCCAUAAGUAUAUCAAAAAAUCUCGUGCAACACUCUAGGACUAAGCAUAUAGAGAUUAGACAUAAUUUUCUUAGAUAUCAUACACAAAAGGAUGAUAUAACACUUGAAUUUGUAAGCAUAAAAGACCAACUUGCCGAUAUCUUUACAAAACCUCUAAGAACAUUUUGUUGAUAUUAGAGGACAAUUAGGAGUGAUUUCUUUAUGAUCUAAUGUGAUGAAUUCUUGAUGAAUAUACUUUUUGAUUGCAUGAAUUUCAUGUCAUAUAUGCAUCAUAUAGAAAUAUACUUAGAUAAUGGUCAAAUUUCGACCAAAAAUCAAAAUUCCCAUGGCAUUAGGCAUAAAAAUUUUGGAAUUUCAACUGAAAAUGGUAGGAGGAGGAUCACAAAAUGAGAAAGUAUGCAAAAAUUGAAAAAUCAAAACGUUGACCAAGCGGUCAAUCGGACUAGACCGAUCGACUAGUUUGUCGAGAUUUAGGAUUUUUAAGAGACUCCAACGCUUCAAUUUUUGCACCGUUCUCCUCUAUUUCUUCACGGUUUCUCUGAUUUUGUCUUUUAGAGACUAAUUUGAGUGCGUUUUGGAUCAAUUGAAGCAUUUUGGAUUGGAUUUUAGGAAGAUUGAAAGUUAAGGUUUCGGAUUUGGGUCGCCUUCUCUUCCUCUCGCGUGUCACAAUCAGCUUUAGCAUUGUUCUCUUUCCAUUUUCACACACCUAGGGUUUCAGUUGUGAGCAUCUCUCUCUCUUUACCAACCACUACUCCCUUGCUUCUUCCAUAUGGCUCCUAGGCGAGAGUCCGCUACUUCUAGGGCACAAGGCAAGCACCCAACUGAGUCGUCUCAGUCAAAGGCACGUCGAAAAGUGAGAUUUGACAUUGCCUUGUUCAGUUCCAUGGAGGACUACCAACUAUACAAGCAACACUUUGCUUAGAGACGAGUAGUUCCCAAGAGAAAUAUUAAUUUUCCUCAACUUCAGCAUUUCGAAUUUAAGGGUCUAUUUACUAGGAUGGUUGGUUGUCUAUUGUCACAAUUUCGGAGCCGGUUUUCCUGACCUUAGUGCGAGUUUUUUACUCGAGGGCGACUUAUGGCAUGGGUGGCAUGAUCAUUUCUACUGUUGGAGGAGUUGAGAUCUGUCUGGACCCAGAGAGCAUCUGCCAUAUUUUCGAUAUUGCUCUGGUUGGACUCAAAGUAUACAAGUCCAAAAUGUGGCCCAUUGUGCCAGGAUUUGAGCUUAGAGAGGUCAUUCAGAGGAUUUGUGAACUUCCAGACGCCCAGGAGAUGGGCAAACCAUUGCCACACAGUUUGACGGUCAUCAACAGGGUGCUACACCAUAUAUUGUGCUCUAUCUUUCUACCACGAAGUGGACAUUGAGAUGAGGUCUCUUAUUAUGAGGCAUUCCUUAUUGACUCCAUUCUAACGGAGAGACGAAUUCAUCUACUAUGUCAUCAUUCACUAAGCCUCCUCACAGUGACAUACCACCUCAUCAGGCACCUCUUGCUCCUGACCAUGCUCCAUUGAUGGAUUUAUUUACUCAUAUUAGCUCUCUAGGCACUCGCAUGAAGGAGUUUGUUGUAGUUAGUGAUACAUGGUUCUACUCCAUAGAGGAUCGCAUGGAUCAGUAUCAGACUGGCUUCACGUCACAGUUUGAGUAUCUCCAAUAGAGGAUUGAGCAUAUUGAGGAUCACUUGAGCAUGAGAAGAUGAUGGCUUUUCUAUGCUCUGUGUUUCCACCUCCACCUCGUCAACCUUGAUUUCUUAGAGACCCAUUGUUUUCAUUUUGUAAUGUUGCCAAAAGGGGGAGAUAUUUAGGAUCUAGGACUCUAUAGGAGACUUACAUGCAUAUCAUUUUCAUAUCAUUGUUUGGAUCGUACAUAUUGGAUAGUGAUACUUUUUACUUAUAUAUGAUAUGCCUAUAUGUUUCAUGUCUUACAUUGUUUCUUAUUGCAAAUUAUCUCUAACAUGUCUUGAUUAUCUUUUUUUUAACUUCAUAAAUUUUGAUUGUUAACCCAUGAUUGGUUUGAGGGGAAGAUUCUUCUUCUCCUAGAUAACCAAGGUUUGUCAUCAUAAAAAAAUUGGAGAUUGUUAGCCCAAGGGUUCUCCUAAUCAUGUUUUGAUGAUAACAAACCAUGCUUAAGUUACUAAUUGGUUUGAAUUAUAAAGAAUUUCAAGUGUUAAUUUGAAAAUUCAUCAAAGAACCUAAUGGAUGCAAGAUCAAGAUUUUUGGAAGACCUUUAAUCAUAAGAAACAUAUGUAAGAUGAAUGCAUGGGUGCACUUAAGAUUUGCAUAUCAUUUCAUGCAUAUUUGGAAAACACGGUUUAUGCUUUAAAGUUACAUUUCCAUCAAAAUUUGAGAUCCAUCAAAUGAACCUUAGGAAAAAUGUUUUAAAAUUGGCAUAUAAUUUUACCUAAAGACCUUGCCUAAGUGUUAGAAGCAAAAGGACAAAAAAAAUAUAGGUUUUCUGGUCAAAAAUGGUGAACCAGUCAAGGCAUUGUCUAAAUCAGCUCAAUCGGCCAAGGUACCGGUCGAUCGGUUUCCCUUUCCCUGUCGAGAUCUAGUCAAGAGGUACAAAAAUCACAAUCUCUGUCUCUUUCUCUCUUUGUCUAUCUUCCAGUAGUCUUUCCUUCCCGGUCGAGGGAUUUGCCUUCCCGAUUGAGGUCCGAUUGAGAGUAAUAGUCACUUGCCAAAUAUUAAAUGCUCCAACAGUUAGUGAACUGGUCGACCCCCACCUUGCCCAGUUGAGGUUACUUUUUGGUUUUCUUGGCUCCCGAUGUUAGAAACCUAUAAAUAGAGAGUUCCACUUCAUUUAUGAGCAAGAGAACACUUGCAUUUAUUUGUUUACCUACUUGUUCUUGCCUUAAAAGCUCUCAUUUCUUUUCUUGGUGCAUUAAAUCUCCAUUUUGAUAUCCUUUAGUGCACCUUUGUGAUUCAUCUUAGCCUUGAGUUGUAUUUGAGCCCUUUUUUUAGCUAGGUUGAGAGUUUCAUACUUGUUAAUUGAGUGUUAAAGCCUUCAAGUGAGUUGAAACUUGUAGAGAUUAUGUGAGAGUCGAUUGGAGCCGAAAUCCAAGUGUAAAGGUGAUUAGAAGCUUGGUUGAAGCUUCAAGUUAGUGGAAUCCUCACUCAAUUAGGAGCUUGAGGAGAGUGGACGUAGCCAAGGAAGUGUCGAACCACUAUAAAAUUUGAGUUUGAUUUCUCUAACAUUGUCUCUUUAUAUUUGUUUAUCUUGUGCUUAAAUUUAUUGUGUUUAAAAAGAAUUUUUAAAUACCCAAUUCACCCCCCUCUUGGGUGUUUUUCUCUUUUAAAAUUAGCCUUUAUUUUCUCACAAACUAUUGUAGUAUAGUGGUUUUUAGGUGUCAUCCAUUAGGAUGAAUUGUUCUCGGUAAUUAAGGCGUGAAUGAGAGGAGAAUUAAUGAUUGUGAUUAAGUAAAAUUGAUUUGAAAAUUCAUGGUGAAAAAUCAAUUUAACAAUGGUUUCUAAUUGAGAAAAACAAUGAAAUGUGAAAUAAAAUAAAAUUAAUAGGAAAUGAAAUUCUCGAAGUUAGAAUUUUCUAAAAAACAAAUUCCAUGGUGAAUGGAUGUUGAGAUCUAAUUUUCAUCAAGUUAGAUUGAAAACCGAAAUUUUCAUAUAAACUGAUUUUUUAUUUAGUUUUAGGUCUAGAUUUAAUUUCCCUUAAAAUUAGGUUAUUUAAUCCAAGAAAUCAAUUCAAAUCAUAUAUUCAAUUCAUCUUAAAUUAUCUUCCAAUUAUUCACACAAUGCAACUAUUCAAUCUCAUCAAAUCUAGCUUUUAAGAAUUUAAUGAAUCUACCUAGUUUGCAUUGUAAUAGUCAUCCAUGACAAUUUGAAGAGAAAAAUAAUUCAAUUAAUCAAUCACUUGGAUCAAAUUACCUUUGCAAUUAAAGUUCAUUUCUCUAAUUCACCACAGAUUUUGUCUCUAGAUCCUCCUUUCUCAAAGAAAAAUGAGAUUUAGCCACACAUGAUUGGAGAUUUGGUCUCAUAAGGCAUGUUUAGCUAGUGAUAAAAUGAGAGAAAAUAAAGAAAAAUAGAGAAUUCGAUUAAGAAAGAAAAUCUAAAAAAUUCUACAAUUAGAAAUGUCCAAAAAGCUUUUUCAUGAGAAAAUCAAGUUUCUAUUUAUAGGCCAAGGUCAAGUGGACACUUGACAUCAUCUAAGAGGUCUUCCGGAAGCUUCUUCAUCAAGAAAUCUGGAGUUUAAUAAUAAAAUGGUCAUUUCACAAGAGCUCAAACAAUUUCGCAUGAUUAUGUGAAAUAAAAAAUGCAACAACAGCAAUUUACAUCUUCUUGGAGCAUUUCGCAUGACUGUGUGAAAUUUUCACAUGAUCAUGUGGAAUCGACUUGACAACUCUCAUUUAGCCUACAACAUAAUUCCACCUUUUGGUCCAUUUUUCAUAGUCAUGCGAAAUGGAAAUAUUUGAUUUUUAAGUUUUCUUUUGUCAUUUCUUUCAUUUCCUUCUCUUGAUUCCACUUCAACUACCUCCGAAUCCUGGUCCAAACCAAUUGCAUUACUUCUUUCAUUAUGCAUUUGGAUCAUCAUCAACAUUAUUUGUUCUCUUCAAUUUGAUUCAUCUCUUUUGUCACCAAUUUAUCAAAAUCAUACCUUGAAAUGACUCCAAAACUUCAUAAAACUUGUUAGUAACUCUUGCAAGGGCAACAACAUAUUAAUUAAGUGUUUUAGGCAUAGUUACUACUCAAAAGAUGCGAAACUCAUGAUAAUUAUUAUAUAAAAUAUGCUCUUUUUGAGUAGUAAUCAACUUUCUUGCAUAAGCAGACCUUUUAGGGUGGAGUACUAAAGACCAAUAUGCUUGUCCUUGUUGUAAUAAAGAAACUUGCUCUUAUUGAUUGCACCAUGGGAGAAAAUUUUGCUACAUGAGUUAUCAUCAAUUUCUUCCCACCAAUCAUAGAUUUAGACGUGACAAGAGGCCUCUUAAUGGCAAGGAGGAACUGACACUCACACUUAUACAAUUAUCGGGCAUUGAUGUGUUGCAACAAUUAGAAUAACUUACACCAAUUAUGUUGGGGAAGUCACAAAAGGCAAACAUGAAAACUAAAAGGAAAAAAGAAAAAUGUUACAUAUCACCACAACUGGAAAGAAAAAAGUAUUUACUUUCAUUUGCCAUAUUGGAAAGCACUUAUUUUACAUCAUAAUAAUUUAGACAUAAUGCAUAUUGAGAAAAAUGUGUGACAAUAUAAUUGAGACAUUGUUCAGUAUUGACGAAGAAACAAGGACAACCUAAAUAGUCAUCUCGAUUUACAAGCUCUAACUAUUAGAAAUGAGAUUCACCCAAUAGAAAGCAGGACCAAAUUUAUUUUGCUUGCAACAUGCUACUCACUCACCCCAAAUGAGAUUAAGGAAUUUUGCAAGUUUUUGAAAUCAAUAAAGGUCCCCAAUGGCUAUUCUUUCAAUAUCUCUCGUUAUGUGCAACUCAAUGAAAGGAAGAUAUAUGAGCUCAAAUUGUAUGAUUGUCAUGUCCUAAUGCAACAACUUCUCUCACUUGUAGUUCGUGGAGUUCUACAUAAGAAUGUUUGUGGAGUUAUCAUAGAAUUGCGUAAUUUUUUCAAGCAAUUGUGCUCAAAGGUGUUAGAAACAAAUCACUUACACCAACUUGAGAACAAUAUUAUUGUCAUACUAUGUAAAAUGGAGCAAAUAUUUCUUCCAUCAUUCUUUGAUAUUAUGGUGCAUUUACUUGUGCAUCUAGUAAGGCAAAGGUUGCAAGACUUGUGCAAUAUUGUUGGAUGUACCUAAUUGAACGAUAUUGUUAUAAUUUCAUAUGAAUCAUUUAAUUUUAUUUUAUAUUAUGUUCAGUUCAUUAACAUGUACAUUGGUCUACAUAUGGAUGAUGAUAGGUACCUAAGCACUUUAAAGUCAUAUGUGCGUAAUAGAACUUUUCUAGAAGGUUCUAUUGUAGAAAGGUACCUUGCAAAAGAAUGUACAACAUUUUAUUCUAGGUACUUGAAUGAUGUGGAAAUAAAGUAUAAUCACAAUGAUAGAAACUUUGUUGGUUUCAACACUAGAGGAGAUGAAAGGGGUUAUCUUUAAACAUAUUGGACAUGCAUUGGGAAAGCCCAUAUUUCAUUAACUUAGUUCAAAAGAGUGGUCACAAGCACAUUUAUAUGUGUUGACAAAUUGCGAAGAUGUCAUACCAUUCAUUGAGUAAAAAAUUUAUUUGAAUUUUAAUUAAAGCUCUAGUUUAUAUCCUUAAUCAAUGUUUUUUAAAUUCACAAGGAGCACAAGCAAACCAUCAAGGCUAGACCACAUAUACGUGUUUGAGACGUAGAUUUAAUUCAUAACAAGGAAUUUAUCAAGUGGUUUGAAAGACAUGUAAGUAUAUUCCUUAUUAUAAGGGAUUUAUUUCACAUUAUGUUUAUAUUGAAUCCAAACCUAUUAUUGAAUUGUAGGUUGAACAAUUACAUAAUGAAGGUCAUAUAUCUGAACACCUUCUCACAUUAUCAUGUGUUCCAAAUUCAUUAGUUACAUGCUUCAAAUGAUAUAUUGUCAAUGGAUUUAGAUCCCACAUUAAAGAACGUGAUAAAAAAGUUUUUAAAAAAAGACUCAGAAUAAUGGAAUUGUUGUAGUUGCAAAAACGUCAAGCUUUACAAGUGCAUGUGAUAUGAGUCCAAUUAUUAGUGAUGCUCUCUACUAUGGUGUUCUAACUAAAGUUGUUGAGUUACAUUAUCUUGGUGAAAAUAAGGUUGUUUUAUUCGAGUUUGAUUGGUGGGAUGUUACAAAUAUUGGAAAAUUGAUAAAAGAUGAUGAGUACAAUUACACAUUUGUUAACUUUGCAUGAAUUCUAACCACGAACGAACGAUUUGUACUUGCAUCUCCAGCAAAGUAAGUGUUCUAUGUGAAGAAUGCGAAUGAAUCAGAUUGGCAUACUAUCAUGGAGAUGCAACCUCAAGACCUCUAUAAGAUGAACGGGAUAGGAUCCAAUGGUGAUUUUGAACCAUUUCAACAAAGUGAACUACAUGAUCACUAAUAUAUCUCAGAUUUAGUUGAUGAAGAUAUAAUCAAGUGGAACAAAAGUGAUGUUUUAGGACUAAUCAUCCUAAAAAAUAUUGUAGUUUCUUAAAAAAAAAAUGAAAAUGAAGAAGAUAAUUGAACCUUUGUCAUACUUUAAAAAGCAACUAUGCAUUGUUCAUUUUGUAUGUUUUGGUUUUCUUCAUUUAAUUUCCUGAUUUUUGUGAUUCAAUGUCAUAUUAUUGAUCUUGAAAUAUUUUUCUAAUUUUUCAUUCUACGAUGGUUUCAACAAGGAUGACAUCAAGUCAAAAAAGGAAAUGUGGUCCCACACACAAUAUUGCAUUACAGGGAUUAAGGUCAGGGAAGAAGGUAAAAGUUGCAUUUAAUGAGUACAAUCAAUUGGUUAAACAGAAAAAUGGAAAACACUUAUCGAGCUACAUAGGGACACUUGUAUCUAACCAACACAAUGUACCUCUCCAAGCUAGUGAUUGGAAAAAUGUUCCAAAUGAUGCAAAAGAGAAAGUAUGGCCUUUGUUUUGGUAUGUUGUAUUUCUCACUAUAUGAUGUCAUUUCACUGUUAUUCUAUUUUGUGACUAACGUUUGAAUCAUAUGUAAGAAAAAUUUGAAGUAGAUAAAGACUGAAAAGAUUACAUGUUGGGUAUAGCCUCAAAUAAAUAUAGAAGCUAUAAAAAUAUGAUGAAUGCAAAAUACUAUGACCCUUGGCAUAAGGAUGCAUGAGGAGAGGUUAAUACAUAAAUCACCAUUUGUCUCUGAUGUUGAUUGGAAGUGGCUUGUCUCUGAUGCAUAAACCAAAUCCCCCACUGAAUGUUUGAUAUUUGAUAGCAGGAAAAACACACCCGCAGCUAUACACCUCCAUCAUUCAGAUAAUUAUAGUGGGGGAGAUGAUUCAUGGUUGCCCUUAUACCCUUUAUUUGCACCAUCUAUUGAGAUUCUUUAUCAUGGCCAGGUUUUACUGCAGCAAUAAGAUAUGGUGGCAACAAUUUUAUCUAUAGGUGCGGUUCCAGACCGCCUCCAUAGGUGCGGUUCCUGACUGCCUCCAUAGGUGCCUCUUCUUGUAAUGUUUGUUCUGGGAAUUACACUUGAAAGCCUUAUCGUGAUAAGGGAUUACAAACACUAGUUCAGAGGACAGCCAUGUUAAACUUCCACUAUGUUUGUGUCACAUUAUCAGCAGCCUAGUGUUUAUUGGUCAUGCUAUCUGCAACUAAUAUAACCCGGUGAACUUCAAUCUAAAUUCUGAAAGUACUCAUGUGACAGAUGGUGCCUUUCAGCAGAUAUCAUCAAUUUAAAAGUAGUGUGUGUGCCUAUAGGUGGGAAGGCCUUGGCAAAUGUUCAGUAUUCCGGUAAUUCAAGAAGGAUAUAUCUAAAAUAGAUUUUCUUCUUGCCCAUUUCAAUAGUUAAAAUUUGAGAAGAUUGUGUCCACAUCACACAAAUAUUAUUGGUCCUUCUGUUGCAAUUUACCUCUGAACAUGUCUUCCAAUUCCCACGGUCCUGUUACUCCAGGAAAACUAUUUCGGUCAUAUUGAAAAAAAAAAUAUUAAAGAAGGUACACAUGCUUUUAAGUGGACUGGGGCAUUCAUAUCAGGUGGUCUGUAUCCACAUAUGCCACUUCGUGAAAGGUGGAACAGCCUAAUCACUAGGCUAUUUAGUGUGGCCCAGCCACGUUAAUCAAGCACAAGUCUUCAUACUUAAAGUCAAAUGGUGUCUUUAGUCUCAUUACACAUCGCUAUUUGAAGAUUAACUCAUCACUAGUGUAAUGCGAUUAAGACAGUCCUAACUCAAUAUUUGUUCUAGUUUUGGAUGCAAAUGCUUGCUGGUUUCAUCAUUGGAUGGGAUAAAGGUGCAAUCAGGACUAUGAAUACGUGCAGUAAUACUUCAUUCUCUUUUUUCUCAAUGAGACUUCUUGGCACAAUUUUGCUGCUCAGCAACCUACCUUUCCAUGGAAAAUCAGUUGUGACUGAUAGUAAUGGAUAUAUUCUAGAAAGCUAAACAUAGAUAGCAUUCAAUAUUAUCGAUAUAACAUUAACAGCGUAUGUCUCAAUGCUCAUCAGCUACAAGCAAUGGACAAACACUUUGAGUAACUCACAGCAGUCAAAAUUCCUAAACAGGACAGACGUGACAGAUCUAUAUAUAGAACACUGCAUAUGAGUCACAGGAAAAGAUAAUACGGGUACAUAGAAGCUCUUAUUUUACAUAUUACUCAUACUGAUCAAAGUCGCUCAGUUGGGAUGGAUGGGAGAAGGAGGUUUGAGGGGUGGCUUGUGCGGGGAAGUUGGCAGCUUCUUUCCGGGAGCUGGUUGCUUCUUUGCUGGAGUUGAAGGAGGCUUAAUCUUCCGAGGUGGCUUGUAUGAGUCUUCAGCAUUCUCAGCAGGAGGGUGACCAGGGUUGUGACCAUAAUGUGGUGGCUUCUCUCCCUUAGGUGGUUUGCCAACUGGGGUUGGUGGCUUGUUUUCUGGGAGUGGCUUCUCUCCCUUGGGUGGUUUGCCAACUGGGGUUGGUGGCUUGUGUUCUGGGAGUGGCUUCUCCCCCUUGGGAGGUUUUUCGAAUGGGGUGGGUUUGUGUCCUGGUGGUGGCUUCUCUCCCUUGGGAGGUUUACCAAUUGGGGUCGGUGGCUUGUGUUCUGGGAGGGGCUUCUCUCCCUGGGGAGGUUUAGUGGGUGGCUUGUGUUCUGGAGGUGGCUUCUCCACCGGAGGCUUAUGCUCUGGUGGUGGCUUCUCGAAGGGGGGAUGCUCAGGGUAAUCACCAAGUGAGGGGGUGGUGAGAACCACCAUGCCAAGCAACAACACUAGCAAGUAUGUAGUAGACAUCUUUGGGUUUGGACUCAGACAGUGCAAAACUACGAGAAAUCGCUAGCCCUUUAUAGCGGCUCGGACCUAAUACUGACAUAAUAUAAAAUAAAUAUUAUAUUUUAUCAAGAGAGAACAGAGUGUAAUUUUAUCAUUAAUACCGAUCGAGGCCAAAGAAAGAAGACCCAUAAUCCAUUUCCCACAAGCAUACACAAUGCAGCUGUAAUUUUAUCAUUUACUUUUAUCCCUUGGACCACUGCAUUUUUGUUGAGAGACACAAUAACACAUUUUUAUCUGUCAUUCAACAUUUACAGUAAAGAGAGGGCACAAAACGCAAUUAGAUAAAUUAUGUUUUGCCUGCUAAAAAGAGGCAAAUAACUUUAUUUGCAACAUAAUUAUUUUGGUUUCUAGUGACCCCGGGGCCUUUCGGUUGGUUUGGGAUCGGAAAAUGAACAUCAUAGGGGGGGUUGUGCCCUUAUGGGCAUAUAUAUCUGAUAGCUUCAACUGGCCUUGUUCCUAGAAAGAAAUUGCCAAAGAUAUAAACUUAUUCCAGGCUGAAAGUAGAUGAGAGUCAUAAUGAACAUCAACCUUUGUUCAGUUUGAUUCAAUGCCCCCAUAGUGUUCAUUUCACAGAUCUGAAUGAUUAUAUCCGUUGAAUACAUAAAUUAAUGAAGACAAAUAUGAAACCCAAGAUACAUCUCUGCAUAACAACCCCAACCCUGGUUGCUAUGUUUCCCUUCUUCUAUUCACAUGAGGAUACUGGUUAUAAUUGUCAAACUUGCAACAAGCCCUUUGACACCUAACGUCAAUGGACGAAUUAAAAGUCUCCUUCAAACGUCUAUUUCACAGCAUGAAGCUUAUAAAGGAUGCUGACAACCUUCAGAGUUAGCGACAAAAGAUAAUUAUCAAGGAGAGAUAGUUCCAUGAGAAUUCCAAGGAGUCUGAAUCAAAGACAAAUUGCUCACUCAAGGGUUCUUAUUUUCUUUUAGGUACAAAUCUCUUGAGUGUUGUUAAAGAAACACGUCACUGUCAUUUUGAUUUGCAUUUAACAUUUCACUUUUGUUCUGGAAGGUUUGUUCCGGAAACAUAUCAAAUGAGCAUCAUUUUCUUCUUCGGUGACACAUGGUCGCGAGUACGUGGGUCCAUUUUCAUGCCACUUAGUUGAAAAGUUGGAAAGAAAAAACAUGCCAACAAGAAGAUAGUGAGAGAAGGGGCACUUCAAGCCUUUAACAUGAACAAACAGUAAAUAAAAGAUGUUUCUCCACUCAUAAAAGUGUGUUAGAUAGCAAUAUAACGAAUCACAUCCAAAAUCUUUACUAGGCUCAAACAUAAAGAAGACUCAUUUUUAAGAAAAGAUAAAAAUGGCAUUGUCUGAUAGUAUCCAAUACACGAGAUGGCACUUAAUUUGUACAAGAUCUGUCAAUGCUGACGCACAUUUUCUGAUUAAAAAAAAACUGAUCAGUCAAAAGCAAUGAAGAGAAGUGAUGACAAUGAAUGAUGCUUCCAAUAUUUUCACCCCUUAUAGUGUUCUUCAUGAUUCAGAUAUAUAAUUGGAAAUAGAACAACCCUAUGCCAUACAUUCGUCUAAGUAUGGUGUCUAAUUUUUUGUGUCAGCGGUUGCGAAUGGAGCGUGCAAAAGUCCAAAUUGGCGUCUCUCCAUUUCCACAUAGGAAGGUGACCUUUAUUGACAAAUACCCAAUAUUUGUAGACAUUCCUUAAAUAUCAUAACUUCUUGUUGAUUUGAAAAUCAUUUUUCAACUACCAUGUUUUAAUAAAUAUUUUUUAAAAUGUAUUUUUAUCAAAGUCCACCAUGAUGGAUAAUAUUCACCAUGCAAUAAUUAAUAAAGUACAAACUAAGCGAAAUGAAAAGCAUUUUCUUUGCUUUGAGUUGAUUUUGGUUGCAUUGAGUUGAUUUUGGUUUCAUGGUUUUUUCAACUCUUAUUUUGAUUGGAAGAUGUCAAGAAAAGAAAACAUAAAGAAAAAUUAAAAGGGAAAAAAGAAGAAAAAUAAAAAAAAAUAGAUUUAAAAGUUAAUAAAUUAUUUUUUAUAUUUAUUUUAAUUCAUUUCACUUAUUUUUCUUUUACUAUAUAAAAUUUAAAUAAUUUAAAUUUUAUAAUUAAUUUAAUUACAUUUCAUUUUCUUCUAUAUUUAAAUAUUGGAAAAAUAUUUUACUUAAUAUUUUUUUCUUUAAUUUCUUUGGCAUUUUGGGAACCAAACUUAGCCUUUAAAAUAAAAAACAAAAAAAAAAUGAAAAUAAGGAGGGAAAAGUGAGAAAAGAUAAAAACAAUAUGUAAAGGAUUUGAAAAGUAUUAGUUUGUAAUUACUAUUUGGAUUUCAAUAGUAUUUUAUUUGUCUUUCUAUAUUUCAUGUAAGAGAGAAUUUAAGAUAUUCCCCAAGGCAAAGCAUUAGUUACCUGCAAUCAGUGGUGAUAAGGCUCCAAGCCAAUUUUGGGCCCCAUAUCUUAAGACAGUACAAUUUCCAUUUCAACAUUUCUGAUUUCUCAGAUGUUUCACAUACCACAGAAGAACAUUGUUUGUGAAAAUAUGCAUUUAUGUUGGAUUUUGUAUGCUGUGGGGACUGGGGCAAGGAUCAUAUGGAAGAGUGGUUGACUUUUUCUGUACUUUAACGGUUGAAAUAGGAUAAGCACGGGCAUUUGUGAGGCUUAAUUGAUUUUGAAGCCUGAAAUUGCGUUUCUGUCAUUUUGUCAAAAAAAUGGCAGAUUCCAUACUCAUAUGUUUGGCCUGUGGCCAUGUACAGAUGCCAUUUAGUGACCAGUUUGUAACUGUCAAUCGUUGCGUUUUGACUCUGCCUCAACAACAUCUGCCAUUGACGGGUUUUCAUACUUGCAAAUCAAAUAGUCUUUCGUCCCAUCAGGAAUUUCGGUUUAAAUAUUAUUAAGCAUACGUUUGGCUGACAAUCAUUAUCCAGUUCAUGAUUUGGUUUCUUACCCUUAAUCAAUGGUUUCUAAGUGAAUAUAUGUAGAAGGAAAUCCGAAGUGUAGACAGUAGUAUCGAUAACUCUCAAUAUUCUCUAUAUAAUAGAAUAAACAGCGUCAUAGUGAUCGUCGCCUACAAGCAAGGUACAAAUACCAAAACGAGUGACUCACAUAGACAUCUCCCAACAAGAUGUAGUAGUGACUGACACAUGGACACAAUUAACUCGUAGAAAAGGAUAAGACCAUUGCACAGCAGCUCUUAUUUUACAUACUACUUAUGCUAACCAAAGUCAAUUAGUUGGGAUGGGUGGGAGAUGGAGGUUUGUGCGGUGGCUUGUGGGGCGGAGUUGAUGGCUUCUUUCCAGGAGCUUCUGGCUUUUUCAUCGGAGCUGAAGGAGGCUCAAUCUUAUGAGGCGGCUUGUAUGAGUCUUCUUUACUCUCGACAGGAGGGUGGCCAGGGUUGUGAUCAUAAUGUGGUGGCUUCUCUCCCUUAGGUGGCUUGCCAACUGGGGUUGGUGGCUUGUGUUCAGGAAGUGGUUUCUCUCCCAUGGGAGGUUUAGCAAUUGGGGUUGGUGGCUUGUGUUCUGGGAGUGGCUUCUCUCCCUUGGGAGGUUUAGUAGGUGACUUGUGUUCUGGAGGUGGCUUCUCCACCGGAGGCUUGUGCUCCGGUGGUGGCUUCUUGGUUGGAGGGGGCUUGGGGUAAUCAGCAAGAGAUGGGGUGGUGAGAACCACCAGUCCAAGGAACAACACUAGCAAGUAUGUGGGAGACAUUUUUGAGUUUGGGCUGAUCAGAUGAUGCAAAACUAAAGCAUUACGUGACCUUUUAUAGCAUGUAGCUCCCAAUACCCACUAAGUAUUGUGGGGUCCAUUUGUGCCCUACGGGGUUGAAAACUUAGACAAUUGGGCAAGGACCCACCUGACUAUGGAGGACUAGUGAGGUGUGAUCAUAGCUUUAGGAUUUUUCUUCCUCUGCAGCCGUCGUGCCGUUGGCAUGAUUUUCUUAAUCUUAAAUAAAGGCAUAGUUAUAGAGUUGUUUAAUCUCUAAAUGGGAUUUUAUAUAUAUCUUCAGAUAGCCAUUAAUAUAUUUGAUGAAGAAAGAAAGACAAGUGCAUACAACAUGUAUACGACUAGCUUUCAUGGAGUUCAUUUAUGAUCAGUUUUCCUGUACAUGUAAACCAGGAUCAUAUAUAUGUUUCUGUUCCACAACUAUUUUGGAAUCUUGUUUAUCAGUUUUUAUCAUUAUAAUGUCACAUAGGCUGCCAACUUGGGCGCUAAAAGAACCAGUUGGGCUAGUUCGUUUCAGAAUUUCAAUGUGGAUUCAGGAAUUGUUUUGUAAGAUAUGCGAAAUAGUAGAGGGAUGAAUAGUGUUUCAUUAAUAAAAGUGUCCUGUAAAUUAGAAGGUGUCAUAGAAACUAUAAUCAAUAAAUAACUUUUUUUCCCCACGGGUGGUGUUUCUUGUGGGGAUCAGUGACUGGUUUAGGUUCACCCAAAAUGAGUUCAGACUAAAAUUGGUUUGAGUCAAUGCCGUGUCUCUUUUUUCCAGAAAUCAACUAUUUUAUGCAUUGAAUAAAUCAUACAAAGAAAAUAUGAACGCCCGCAAAACCUAAACCCUGGUUGCUAACUUUCUAUGUUUCAGUUCUAUUCACGCAAGAAUAUUAGUUUAAGUUUGGGAAAAAUGGCAACUUACCUAGUGAUUACUUGGUUUUGGUUUGCGACUAUUUACGCAACCAACCAUGAGUUUGACUUUAACGUCAUGGGUUGAAGCCUCCUACAGGAAGGGAGAAAGCUCCACAGCUAGCUCCAAAAGAGAAUUAUCACAUUGAUAGCUCCAGAGAUUCCCAAGGGGACUGAAUCAAAGACAAGUUCCUCACUUUUUCUUCUUUUGAGGCCAAAUAUGAACCAAGGAUCACACAACCUCAUUCAACUUCAUAAGUUUGAUUUCAUGCAGUUGAACACUGGGUGAAGGCCAUGACAAGAAUUGAUUCAAAAAUUCUAUCACUCUUUUAAGUAAUGGAAGAUUAUUAUCUCUGAUUGGCAUCACAACAGCACAUGCUCCUAGAUCUUUCUAGACACUCCAUGCAAUGAAAGCACAAUGGAUCUUGUAACGAUAGAAACUAAGCCAUGCUACAGUACUAGAUGAUGAGGUAAAACUAGUAGACACGGGUGGCAGCCUAUAUGGGAGGGACACAAGUCUAAUUGAUUUGCAUUUCAGCAUUAUAGAUAGGUAUGUUUUGGAAGAUUUGUUCUGGAAAUACCGCACCAAGUAGGAUUCUUUUUCUCUUUAGUGGGUCCACUUGCAUGCCAAUUAACGAGUUGAAAAGUAUGAGCACCUACCUCGUGCUCGUGGAACCGAAGGUCAGUGAAGUGGGGCUCCUUUUGGCCUCGUGUAAACUUGAUUCAGAAGUGAAGUUAAUAGUCUUCCAUUCAGAUGGAUACAUGGGAAUUUUUCUCUUUUAUUUAUUUAUUUAUUUUUUUUUUGUGUGUGUAUGUCAAAGGAUAAUGAAUGAAGCGCGUUAGCUUGUUUUCUGACUGGAACCGCAGAUGUCCAAAUUGGAGUUCCUUCAUUUCUUACUUAGGAUUGUUACAUGUAUAAACAAGGUAUAAGAAAUAUGCCAACGUGUCUUGAGGAGUUAUUGAUUAGAAAUAACAAGUCACCCGACUGUAGAGUUCCAAGAUUUGAAUCUUCAGACCCUAUAGCAGCCUCUGGGGUACGUGGCAUCCUAUAGCAUAUUAAUGAAGGCUUUUUCGAUUUAGACUUCACAAUACCAAUUAAUAUGUAUGCACAAAAUGGAGAUGACCCCAAAAAAAACAGAAUCGCCAUAGUUUAUGAGGUUAAGGUGAUUCUCCACUUAAUAUCUACAUUAGCUAAUUAUGUAAAUCAAAUGAACUUCUAUUUUUCCUUUUUUUUUUUGGUUUAUGUCAAAUAGUAGCCCAUAAUUAACCCAACCAUUAGCCUGUUUGAAUUGAUUUCACAUGCACAAUGUUGUAGUAGUUCAUAUUUUGAAUUUUAUUUUUACAAAGGUAGUUAAGGAAAAUGAAGUAUAAUAAUUAUAAAAGCAGACUAUAUACACUACAAUAAUUGUUAGAAUGGUAUCUCAAAUUCUAAUUUAAAAUAUUAUUUUUUGUAAAAGAAAUAUUAUAUAGAAUAUUUCCUAAUUUUAUAAAUGAUUAUAAUUAGAUCUUUAUAAAAUAAGGAAAGUUGGUAAGAAUAUCUUUAUAAAUAUUUUAGGUCAUGAGAGAAAGAAAUGGGAUAAAAAUGUGAUGAAGAGGUGAAAUAAGAGAGUUGAUUAGGAUAUAGAUGUGAAGAAGAAAGGGAUUCAAUAUAUAUAUAUCUUUCAAUUACCACAUUAAAACCCUGUGAACCUUUUAUAUGGUUUACUUUAUUUUUAUAUUCCUCCUUUAAUAUAUUUACAUUAAUGCUUCCAUUGGCACAACAAUAACGAAUUACAAAUACAAGCAACAAGUCCCAUGUUUUAUUACCAAAAGCAGGUAAAAUCCACCUAAUAUAUUACAAUAUAUUCAUCCAAUAUUUUAGACCAAUUCUUCACCAUAAAUAUCAUAAUGUGGCUUUUGUUCUUUCUUAAAUUUAAAUUGAAUUGUCUUAUAUCAAUUUGUUUGUGAUUUUUUCAUUAACUUCACUUUCAUUUGGUUAUCUUUGGUUUUUGAAAAGUAUUAAGGAAUUAAUUAACAAAAUAAUGUUAAGAAAAAUAAUUUUCUCUCUUUUGAUUUUGAUUUUGUAGUAGAAAAAUAUAAUUAAAAUUAUUUAAAAAGUAUGUAAUUUUAAAUUAUUUAAUAUUUAGAUAAAAAAAAUAAGUCUAAUGAGUUUAAAAUAACAUAUAAAAAUAAUUUAUUUAUUUUAAAUUUAUUUUUUAUUUUCCAUUAUGUUCUCUUUCUCUUUUACUUUUUCAUAUUUUUUCUUACGAAGAAUCAAACACAACCUCAUAUUAUAUGUCAAGUGUUUGUCUAUAUUUGAGCAAUGUUAGAUACGGCCAUGGAUUCAUCAAACUAAACUGAUUUUAAUAGAUACUUCACAAAUUGAUUUAUACACUAAAUCAUUGGAUAGCAAUGAUGCAUUGGAAUUAAACGUAGGAUGAAGCUCGAAGAACACUGUUUGUGUAACAACAUAUUUAUGAAAUUAUGCAAAGGAUGAGCUUCGGGGUAGUAGUACAAGGUCAUUAAUGGAGAGCCGUGUUAAACCUUGAUUGUGAUUGGAUUCCGUUAUCAGCAACAGCAACCUUGUUUGUAACCUUGAAAGUCAUUCUGUCCACAUCGAAACUCCAAUUUGACGUUUGUAAUUACCAUUCCUGGAGUGUUCCUUGAUUGAAAUUUAAAUAAUAAUUGCGGCCCACAAGGAAUAUUUUCGAUUCUGUGGGAAUUUGACAAGGUUUGUUAGAGAAGACUGGUGACAUGUUGACUUCAAUGGUUCAAAUAGGAGACGUAUGUGGAUUUGGGGGGUUUAAUUGAAACUGAGUCCCUAUGGCUUUUUAAUAUUUGCAUUGAGCAGUCUCCAUGUGACUUCCUAAUUCCCACCAACCCUCCUGUCCAUGCUGUGAAACUAAAUUGUAAUUUAUCAGCCUUUGUCAAUGGUUUCUAAAUUAAAGAUAUAGACCAUGCAUGUACUUUAAUAAAAGCAAAUCUAAAGUGUAGAUAGCAGCAAUGGUGACACCCAAUAUUCUCCAUAAAAUAGAAUUAGAAUAAGCAGUGUUACAUUGUUCAUGAUCACCUACAAGCAUACAAGAACUUCCAUGAAUAACUCAUAGCAAUUGCCAACAGGGCGUCGUAGAGACUCAUACAUAGAACACUAUCCACCCAGAGGAAAGGACAAGACCAGUGCGCUGCAGCUCUUAUUUUUCACAUGUAUACCACCACUCGUAAUAACCAAAUUCACUCAGUUGGGAUAGGUGGGAGAUGGUGGUUUGUGGGGUGGCUUGUGGGGAGGAGUUGGAGGAGGCUUUAUUUUCUGAGGCGGCUUGUAUGAGUGUGCAGGAGGAUGCCCGGGAGUGUGACCAUAAUGUGGUGGCUUCUCUCCCGUAGGUGGUUUGCCAAAUGGGCUUGGUGGCUUCUCUCCCUUAGGAGGUUUACCAAUUGGGGUUGGUGGCUUGUGUUCUGGGAGUGGUUUCUCUCCCUUGGUAGGUUUGCCAAUUGGGGUUGGCGGCUUAUGUUCUGGGAGUGGCUUCUCUCCCUUGGGAGGUUUGCUAAUUGGGGUUGGCGGCUUAUGUUCUGGGGGCGGCUUCUCUCCCUUGGGAGGUUUGCCAAUUGGAGUUGGCGGCUUAUGUUCUGGGAGUGGCUUUUCUCCCUUGGGAGGCUUGCCAAUUGGGGUUGGCGGCUUAUGUUCUGGGGGUGGCUUCUCUCCUUUAGGAGGUUUGCCAAUUGGAGUCGGCGGCUUAUGUUCUGGAAGUGGCUUUUUUCCCUUGGGAGGUUUGCCAAUUGGGGUUGGCGGCUUAUGUUCUGGGGGUGGCUUCUCUCCCUUGGGAGGUUUGCCAAUUGGAGUCGGCGGCUUAUGUUCUGGGAGUGGCUUCUCUCCCUUGGGAGGUUUUGUUGGUGGCUUGUGUUCUGGAGAUGGCUUCUCCCCUGGAGGCUUGUGCUCCGGAGGUGGCUUCUGAAAUGGCGGGGGCUUGGGGUAAUGAGCAAGAGAUGGAGUACUGGUGAGAACCACCAUUCCAAGCAACAAUACUAGCAAGCAUGUGGGAGACAUCUUUGAGUAGUUGUAGCUAAGAUGGCGCAACACUGUAGGCAUUGGGUGGCCUUUUAUAAAGGGCUGGACCCAACAGCCAUAUGACACGUGUCAUGAUGACAAAUGAAGUUGAGGGGAUCCAGAUGGGUCCUACUGAGUCGAAAACUUGCACUAAUUGAUCUGGUGAGAUGACUAUUUCUGUCCUUUUGCCCUUCUCGGCCACCCUGUGCUGUUUUCCUUUUGCACGAUUUUCGUUGCCAAACAAGCAAAUAAUAUUUCGCCAAGAAAGAGGAGAGUGAAUGUGGAAUGCAUCAAGUCCCAUCAAGGAUGGCAGAGAAGAAAUAGAAGAUUGCCCAACUGUGAUAAACAUAGCAUACACGUAGCACCAGGAACUUCAUUUACUUCCAUCUAAUGGAACAUAACAAUCUUCUAAAGUUUUUGCAUGAUUUUGUUAUAUGUCUCUUAGCCUAAAGUUGGAAAUGCGCAACAAAUUUUGUCACUUCUCUAUUUCCCACUGAUGAUGUUAAUUAGCCUUCAUAGAUAUCAUCCUUUCUACAAAGUGCUUCAUUUGUGUGUUAUUGUAAAGUGUAAGAAAAGUAAUUGAACAUGUUCUUUUUCCUUUCAUAGAUGACUUUUGAUGUGCAUUUUAAAAGCAGCGCUGUGAGUCGGUGACCUUGAUUCACACGGAAACUAAGGCUCCUAUAGGACCCACUUUUAGCUGGUUAGGGGUGAAGAAAAUAUCAACUUUUCAGAGUGAUUUAAGUCAAGGCCAAGCCUCACUGUGUCAUUACUCGUGUGAAUUUUAUAUGCACAUACAUACAUAAAUAAAGUAUGAGACCCAAAUAACACCUUCCCUUUACAAACUUAACCCCAGCCGCUCUCUUUCAAUUCUUUUCACACAAGGGUAUUGACUCUAUAAAGGUCAAGAAAAUCAUAAUUUCCUAGGGUUUACAAGGUAAUUGGCUUAAUGCUAAUGUGAAAACAUAAAAGAUAAUAGUAUAUUGUAAGCUAACGAAUAUUCUAUAGUUAUAAUUAUUUGUGAUGUGCAUAAAUAAAUCUUCAUAUAUAUAAUGGAACAAUGAAUAAAGAACCAAUGAAAAAAUACUAUAUAUCAUUGCUUGGCAUUUAAACCGUAUAUGCUGCUCUUUCUAGCUACUCCAUCCACUGAAAGACAACAAGGUAAUCCAUGUUAUAAUGAUAGAAGAUACUGUCUCUAGGCUUUUUGUGAUGAAAAAUAUAAGAUAUGGGUAGGGUUGACCCUUGUAUGUUUGUCCUAUAAACACUUCAAAGUAACAUAUUUUUCUUCUUUAGCAACUCAUAAUGAUGGGGUUCAUUUGCAUGUCACUGAGUUGAAAAGUUGGACAAUUGCCCAUGUCGCCUUCCUCCUAGAUUCCGUAGUUCACGGGAAGGUAACUCAAGUUUGACAUAUUUUGAAUUCUUUUCACUCGGACGUCUUCAUAACCUGACAAAACAAAAAUGAAAAACAGAGGAUUGGUAUAUUAUUCAUGGUAAGCCUCAAAUUAUAGUAGUAUGAGAAAGGAGAAAAAGAUUUUGGGAACUCCAAUCUGGAUAAUUCUCGUUUCUUCUCUUGAAUAAAAAUUUCACUUACCUAACUUCGUUUGGAGAAAUGGCAUAUUUUAAUUUUGUACGUCAUUGCUAAUAAAUGGAGCAAUUUAGCAUGUUUUGUGACUGAAACUGCAAAUGUCCAAUUGGCAUUUCUUCAUUUCCCACUUAGGAUCUGAUCUUGUAGACCAUAUAACGAUAUGUAUCUGUGCAAGCAUUGAAAACUAAUGUGAACUAUGAGGAGUUACAAGCCACUGGACUGUAGAGCGAGUGCCAAGAUUUAAAUCUUCAGGCUCUAUCUGGGUAAGGGGAGGAUAGCGACCUAACCUUUUACCAAAGGCUUAGAAUUUAGACUUUUGGAAAAAAAUUUCUCAUGUUUUGGCUGGAUUUCUUGUGCUUGGCGCAAAAAGGAGAUGGCCUCAAGAAAUAGCAGACUCACUUUUGUUUUCAGCCCUUAAUAAUUCUCCACUGCUUUCCAUAACUACAUGGGUUAUACAUGCAGUCUGCUGCAAUAUUCCAGUUAUAUUUAUUAUUUCAAAGAGGGUGAAUGACUUCACAUGCAAUAUGUUGCAGUAACAACCCAAAUUUUGGCACACCAUCUUAAGAAUAGAAAAGUAUAAUAAAAGAAAUCAAUCAGAGAAUCACUUUGCAUGCAGUUCAUAGAGUUCGCCCAAAAUGGAGCCACAUGUACGGACAACCCCACAAUAGACAAUCUUCUCUAUACAGUAAUAAAAUACAGAAAUGGUUAAUGAAGCUCUGUAUUUCCUUAUCAUAUAUGACCGGUUGAAAACUCAGCAAGUCUUCCUCAAUCACAGACAGUUGGAGUUGCUUCAUCAAAAUCAUGCCUUCAUUACUGGCUUCAUUUUGGUUUCAAUGUCUGUUCUACCCUUAAAUUGGGUCUCUGCUUACUACCGGGAUAUCCUUUAGCGUCCUGCAAUUCUACUAGAUUAAAGAGAAUGACUUAAUUCUGCAUUCUGCCGUCCCUAGUCCAAGUGGUACUAGAAUUGAUGUUUCCUUUAGUGUCCUUUCUUCAUACUUUCAGGUUCUUCCCUUGUUUCAAUAAUGCUGUUUUCCUUCAUGUUUAACCUCUGUUGAACCACUUAAAACAACACAAUUUGCACACCAAUGUUUCUUUACAGAAAAGACUGUUUGCAAAAAUGCACAUGUUAUAAGGUUAAUGGAAGAAUUAAUUUGGGGAUAAGGGACUAGGAUUGGGCCAAUGAAGUUUGGUGUUAAAUUUUGAUUAUGAUUGCUUUUCAUUAUCAGGUACCUUAUAUUUGCUGAUGCUAUCUGGAACUAAAUUCAAAUCAGACAUUAUCCGAUUACUAACAGGACAUAUCAUGUCCCUCUGCAGAGUUUCUAAACUAACAUGUAUCGAAAUGUGGCCCCAAAAGGAAGGCUAGGAAGAUGGAGGAUUUUGUAGGAAUCGACCAGAAUCAGAUGGAAGAGAGAUAGUCCUGUUGACUUUAAUGGUUGUGAUAGGAACAUGCAUCAUUAUAUGAGAAGUUGCAUGAAUUUAUGUAUCCUGUUAUCGUUCCUUGACGAUUUCCCAAUGCAAUUUCACUGUCCACAAGACUAACCUCUCCAUGCAGUCAAAUGAAUUGUAAUUUCUCUAUUGGUACCAGUAGUACAUUUCAUACCAAACAUAUAGUAAAUAUAAAAUAUAAAUAGAUCAAGGAAAUCUGAAUUGUAGAUAGCACUGCAAGUAACACUCAAUAUUCUCUAUAUAUAAUAAAAUAAACAGUGUCACAAUACUCAUCACCCAGUGGCAAGGGAGAAAAACCUACAAUGAGUACUCAAAUCACCAUUCUCAAACAGAAACAUAGCAGUGACUGAUACAUAGAACCUAUAUGCUCACAGGGAAAGAAUAAGAUGACCAGUGCACAGCGGGCAGCAGCUCUUAUUUUACGUACAACUCAAAUCCCAAACUAACCAAAGUCGCUCAGUUGGGAUGGGUGGGAGAUGGUGGUUUGUGGGAUGGCUUCUGGGUAGGAGCUGGUGGCUUCUGUCCCUUUGGUGGUUUGCCUAAUGAGCUUGGUGGCUUGUGCUCCGGGAGUUGUUUCUCUCCCUCGAGUAGGUUUCGAGUCUUGUCAGAUGGCUUGUGUUCUGGUGGUGGCUUCUCUCCCUGGGGUGGUUUGCCGAAUGGGCUUGGUGGCUUGUGUUCGGGGAGUGGCUUCUCUCCCUGGAGAAGGUUACGAGUUUUGUCAUAUGGCUUUUGUUCUGGUGGUGGCUUCUCUCCCUGGGGUGGUUUGCCGAAUGGGCUUGGUGGCUUGUGUUCGGGGAGUGGCUUCUCUCCCUGGAGAAGGUUACGAGUUUUGUCAGAUGGCUUGUGUUCUGGUGGUGGCUUCUCUCCCUGGGGUGGUUUGCCGAAUGGGCUUGGUGGCUUGUGUUCGGGGAGUGGCUUCUCUCCCUGGAGAAGGUUACGAGUUUUGUCAGAUGGCUUUUGUUCUGGUGGCGGCUUCUCUCCCUGGGGUGGUUUGCCAAAUGGGCUUGGUGGCUUGUGUUCGGGAACUGGCUUCUCUCCCUUGGGAGGUUCAGUUGGUGGCUGCUGUUCCGUAGGUGGUUUCUUCACCGGCGGCUUGUGCUCCGGAAGCGGCUUCUCUACCUGGAGAAGCUUACGAGUUUUGUCCGAUGGCUUGUGUUGUGGUGGUGGCUUCUCUCCCUGGGGUGGUUUGCCAAAUGGAGUUGGUGGCUUGUGUUCGGGGAGUGGCUUCUCUCCAUUGGGAGGUUUAGUUGGUGAUUGGUGUUCCGUAGGUGGUUUCUGAAGUGGGGGAUGCUUGGGGUAGUCAGCAAGAGACGAGGUAGUGAGAACCACCAGUCCCAGCAGCAACACUAGCAAGCAUGUGGAAGACAUCUUUGAGUUCAGGCUGAGAUCUGUGCAAGGAUAACAGAAUUAGGUGGCCUUUUAUAGAGGCCUGGACCCAACACCCAUAUGACACGUGUCAUGCACUCAUGGUGACACAUAAUUCUAUGGGACCAUUUGGGUCCUACAGAAGUUGCAAAGUUGGACUACUGAGGUGUGAUCACAACUUUUGUCCUUAUUGCUUUCUCUGCGGCCAUUGCACGAUUUCCUUUAGCAUCAUUUUCUUGGCUAAAUAAGCGUAUUAUAUUUGUGGCAGACCGUCCACGUGUCAUAAACAGAUAUAUUAUAAUAAUGUAGUAUGCUUUUCUCCAAUGGAACAUGACACUCUUCUAAGUCUUGUUUUAAAUAUUGUGCAGGAUUACUUUAUACGUUGCAGUUCCAAGUCAAAAUUGGUGGGCAAACGUUGGCCUUUUUUCAUUUCACCUAAGAUUAAUGCUCACCUGGGAUAGGCACUACAUGACUUAUCUGCUCUUUUACUGUAAAGUUGCUUUGUGUAUGAGAUACACCUCCCCUGCACACCCUCAACAUUCGUUGCUCUGUUUUCCUUGUGUCCAGACGAGGAUAUUAAUUGGAGGCUGACAAAACGACUGCUAGCCCAGGAUUUACAAGGUCCUGGUUUGAGGCUUCGGUGAAAGUAUUUUUGAAAAGACACACAUAGAGAUAGUGCGUUUGGUGCAAUGCAGCACUGUGAGCCAUUCUGACGCGUUCUUAAUUUCAAAACUAAUGAAUGCUUCAAAAUUUUAAGAAGUGACAUUUCCAAAUAUUUGAGUUCGUUUAAUUGAACAUUGGAUAACUAGUGAUCAUAGAUUAUUAUCUGUGCUUGGCACUAUAAGAGGGUAUAUGCUUCUUUUUCUGGCCCCUCCUUCAAGGGAGGAGGGACAAUGUGAUCUGUAACGUUAGAAGCUAUUCCAUGUCAUCUUUGGGCUCAGUUCAAAACUAAAAGAUAAUGGGGGGGGGGGGGGGGGGCAUAUCAUUUUAUAUUUCUUCUAGAAGGUUUGUUCUGGAAAUAUUUCACAGGAGCAUAUCUUUUUCUUCUAUUACGUCAUCCGCAGCCUCCAAUAGGUCGGUUAACAAGCCACCGAGUUGAAAAGUUGGAAAAAUGGGAACACAGCCCGCCUCUUGUAUUCAGUAGUUAAAUAAAAGGUCACUAGAAGUGAGAUCCCUUUUGGCGUCUUGAUUUUCAAUCCAGCACCUCUGUGACCUGACAAACCAAAAAAACUAAAAAAUAAAAAACAGUACGUGGGUUGGUGUUAAGCAUCAAGACAUGUUAAUGAAAGAAGGUAGAGAAUAGGAUAUUGAAAUCCCAAUCCUGAUAACAUGAUUUUCUUUGCUAACAACCAUAUUAUAUUUUAUCAAGAAAGAGUAAUGCAUGUGGCGUCCAUCAAGACCCAUUAGAGUUCCGCUAAAGCUAUAGUUCUGUCAACGUUAUCAUUUACGUUUCCUCUAGAUAAUGGCAUUUUCCUCUAAAGCUCUUGCACCAUUAGGCUUCAAGUCAAAAUUUCACAUGUGAACUUUGGAAAUUUUCUCCAUUUGCCCCUAAGGAUACAGUUAGAAUUGACUUAAAAUCCUGAUUGAUAUGUACUAUUAACCAAAGAAUAUUGUAUAUAAUAAUUGAAAUAUUGUUGAUUCAUCGUGGAAAUACAUUUUGUAAGGAAAGUUGUUGAGAAUUUAGUAUGCUAUAUGGAGAAAAAAGUCAUGACUUAAGGUUGUGUAUGUAUAUUCUAUAUCAAAUAUUAGGUAGGAAUGUGGGAAAGAGCAGAGUGUAAUGAUAAGAAACAAAGAAAUAUAAGAUAUUCUUGAAAGUGGAAAAUAUAAAAUGGCUAACGAGUCAAAUUUAUGAUGCGUAAGGGGGAUCAUGUCACAUAAGAAAACCAUGGCAUACUAAAGACGUACGUGUGGUAUGGAGUAAUAAUUUUGUUAAAAUAAGUUUCUUGUUGGAGUACAUUAGGUGACUAUUCAUAACGUAUCAAAUUAAAGAGUCAAGUGCAUCAAUGAAGGCAUAUGUAGAAAAUUUGUUUGUGACAUGUACCAUAAAGAUAAGAUUGACUUGAUAGAAUUUAGUCUAAGUAGGAGUUGUUAAAGGUGUCUUAAAUUUCUAAUUGAUGUAUAUUUUUUUCUAAAAAAAUAUUAUAUAGAUAUUUUAAUAAAUGAUUAAUUCUUUGUAAAAAUACUUACAUAAUAAAAAACAUCAUUAAAAAUAUCUUUAUAAAUAUUUUAAGUUACAAGAAGGAAAAAAACCACUGUGAGAUAAUGAUGAACAUGCAACACUGUACCAAGUAAAUAAAAAUGUGAUAAAAAAAAAAGAGAAACACUCGAUAAAGGAAGGCUCGUAUAUAAAGAGUAAUAUUUUUAAUCAUAUGAUAGAAUGAUUUUCUCUCAUUCAUGAAUAUAGGCAAGAUUGGGGAACCAUUAUAAAAUUUUGUACACCUCGUGUAAAUUGAUGUUUGUCUUCAUAUUUUACACCAACAAAUGACAUUGAAGUUGUCAUUGAUAAAAGGGAAAAGGCAUGCCUCCACACCAUGUGCUUGAUUCGAAUGGUUCAAGUUUGAAGAAUUUUCUCCGGAAGAUCUAAAACAUUUUCGCCUUUAAAUUUCAUUUGAUUAUUAAUAUCCGAAAAAAUAGUUAAAUACUCUUUCUAUUUUUGAGUUGUUGAAUUUUUUGAAAGUUUUUAUAUUUGUUAUCAAGAAUUUCUAUUUUAUUAAGGGUGAAUAUUUAUAAAUAAGAUAUUAUAUAAUAUUUGGAUAAGAGAGAAUGGUGGAAUAUAAUAAAGUUUUAAUCCUUCCCAAUUUUGAACCUUUUUUUUUUUUUUUGAUAUAAUCGCCUUUCUCUUGCAAUCCUAUUAUCAGGUACCUUAUAUUUGCUGAUGCUAUCUGGAACUAAAUUCCAAUCAGGCAUUGUCCAAUUACUAAUAGGACAGAUCAUAUCUCUCUGUUUCUAAACUAACAUGUAUCGUAAUGUGACCUCAUAAGGAAGGCUAGGAAGAUGGAGGAUUUUGUGGGAAGCGACCAGAAUCAGAUGGAAGAGAGAUAGCCCUGUUGACCUAAUGGCUGUAAUAGGAGAAGCGUGUGGUUUUAUGGGACUUAACUGAUACUAAACCUGUAUGAUGCUUGGAGUGGUGUUUCUUUCAUUUUGUUAAGAAAAUAUGGCAGCAUACAUGCUUUCAACUGAGUGCAUCAGAGCAUCCAUAACAGAUGGUCUGCAACCCUAGGUGCAUGCCACUUUCUGACUGAUAAUGAAAUUGUCAGGUACCUGGCCUUGACUAAGCUCAACAGCAUCACAUAAAGAGAAGCUUUCAUACUUAGAUUACUGUUUAAAGUUUUUGCUUAUUUGAUUUCUUAAUGCCAUUAUGACAUUAUUGAUUCAAUUCUGCUUCCGAUUUUCGAAGUUCUGGGCAUCUACUGAUUGCAUCAUUAUAUGAGAAGUUGCAUGAGUUUAUGUAUCCUGUUAUUGUUCCUUUGCGAUUUCACUGCUCACGGGACUAACCUCUCCAUUCAGUCGAAAUGAAUUGUAAUUUCUUUACUGGUAGCAGUAGUACUUUUCAUAGCAAAGAUAAUAGAAAAUAUGAAAUAUAAAUAGAAGGAAAUCUGGAUUGUAGAUAGCACCAUAAGUAACACUCAAUAUUCACUACAUAAUAAAUAGACAGUGUUACAUAGGUAGAGAAACCUACAAUGAGUACUCAUCACCAUUCUCAAACAGAAACAUAGCAGCGACUUAUACAUAGAACCUAUAGGCUCGCAGGGAAAGAGUAACAUGAUAAGUUCACAGCGGGUAGCAGCUCUUAUUUUACGUAUUACUCAAAAUCUCAAACUAACCAAAGUCACUCAGUUGGGAUGGGUAGGAGAUGGUGGUUUGUGGGGUGGCUUCUGGGUAGGAGCUGGUGGCUUCUUUGUUGGAGUUGAAGGAGGCAUAUUCUUCUGAGGUGGCUUGUAUGACUCUUCGGCACUCUCUGCAGGAGGGUGCCCAGGGUUGUGACCAGAAGGAGGUGGCUUCUGUCCCUUUGGUGGUUUGCCUAAUGGGCUUGGUGGCUUGUGCUCCGGGAGUUGUUUCUCUCCCUCGAGUAGGUUUCGAGUUUUGUCAGAUGGCUUGUGUUCUGGUGGUGGCUUCUCUCCCUGGGGUGGUUUGCCGAAUGGGCUUGGUGGCUUGUGUUCGGGGAGUGGCUUCUCUCCCUGGAGAAGGUUACGAGUUUUGUCAGAUGGCUUUUGUUCUGGUGGCGGCUUCUCUCCCUGGGGUGGUUUGCCAAAUGGGCUUGGUGGCUUGUGUUCGGGAACUGGCUUCUCUCCCUUGGGAGGUUCAUUUGGUGGCUGGUGUUCCGUAGGUGGUUCCUUCACCGGCGGCUUGUGCUCCGGAAGCGGCUUCUCUACCUGGAGAAGCUUACGAGUUUUGUCAGAUGGCUUGUGUUGUGGUGGUGGCUUCUCUCCCGGGGGUGGUUUGCCAAAUGGACUUGGUGGCUUGUGUUCGGGGAGUGGCUUCUCUCCAUGGGGAGGUUUAGUUGGUGGUUGGUGUUGCGUAGGUGGUUUCUGAAGUGGGGGAUGCUUGGGGUAGUCAGCAAUAGACGAGGUAGUGAGAACCACCAGUCCCAACAGCAACACUAGCAAGGAUGUUGAAGACAUCUUUGAGUUCAGGCUGAGAUCUGUGCAAGGAUAAAAGAUUUAGGUGGCCUUUUAUAGAGGGCUGGACCCAACACCCAUAUGACACGUGUCAUGCACUCAUGGUGACACAUAAUUCUAUGGGACCAUUUGGGUCCUACAGAAGUUGCAAAGUUGGACUAUUGAGGUGUGAUCACAACUUUUGUCCUACUUGCUUUCUCUGCGGCCAUUGCACGAUUUCCUUUAGCAUCAUUUUCUUGUCUAAAUAAGCGUAUUAUAUUUGUGGCAGACCGUCCACGUGUCAUAAACAGAUAUAUUAUAAUAAUGUAGUAUGCUUUUCUUCAACGGAACUUGACACUCUUCUAAGUCUUGUUUUAAAUACUGUGCAGGAUUACGUCAUAAGUUGCUUGUUCCAAGUCAAAAUUGGUGGGCAAACGUUGGCCUUUUUUCAUUUUCCCUAAUAUUAAUGCUCACCUGGGAUAGGCACUACAUGAUUUAUCUGCUCUUUUACUGUGAAGUUGCUUUGUGCAUGAGUUACACCUCCCCUGCACACCCUCAACAUUUGUUGCUCUGUUUUUCUUGUGUCCAGACGAGGAUAUUAAUUGGAGGCUGACAAAACGACUGCUAGCCAAGGAUUUACAAGGUCCUGGUUUGAGGCUUUCACGAAAGUAUUUUUGAAAAGAUACACAUAGAGAUUGCGCGUUCGGUGCAAUGCAACAAUGUGAGCCAUUCUGAAGUCUUAAAUUUCAGAUUAAUGAAUGCUACAAAAUUCUAAGAAGGGCCGUUUCCAAAUAUUUGAGUUCAUUCAUCCGAACAUCGGGUAUAUGCUUCUUUCUCUAGCCCCUCCUUGAAGGGAGGAGGGACAAUGUGAUCUGUAUCGUUAGAAGCUAUUCCAUGUCGUCAUCUUUGGGCUCAGUUCAAUACUAAAAGAUAUGGGCGGGGCCCUUAUCAUUUUAUAUUUCUUCUAGAAGGUUUAUUCUGGAAAUCUUUCACAGAAACAUAUCUUUUUCUUCUCUACGUGAUCCGUGGUUUGAAAGUUGGAAAAAUGGGUCCGUUAACAAGCCACCGAGUUGAAAAGUUGGAAAAAUGGCAACACCGCCAACCUCUUGUAUUCGAUAGUUAAAUAAAAGGUCACUGGAAGUGAGAUCCCUUUUGGCCUCUUGAUUUUCAUUCCAGCAUCUCUAUGGCCUGAUAAAUUAAAAAACUAAAAAAAAAGACAGUACGUGGGUUGGUGUUAAGCAUCAAGAGUCAAGACAUGAUAAUGGAGAGAAAGGAUAUUCAAAUUCCAGUUCUGACAACAUGAUUUUCUUUGCUGAACUACCAUAUUAUAUUUGAUCAAGAAAGAGUAGUGCAUGUGGCCAGGAUCAAGACAUACAUUAAUUUCCACAUGAUGAAGACAGUUUCUGAGAGUUUCUUCUAAAGCUCUUGCGCGAGUAGGCUUCAAGUCAAAAUCUCCCAUGUAAACACUGGUUUUUCUUUCAUUGCCACUAAGGAUGCAGUUAAUAUUGACUUAAGAUCCUACGUGAUAUAUUUUUUUAAAAGAGCUAUAUUGUAGAUAAUAUUUGAAAUAAUGUUGAUUCGUUGUGGAAAUAUAUUUGUAAGGAAAGUUGUUGACAAUUUAAUAUAGUAUAAGAAGAAAAAAGUUAUCAACUAGCUAGAGAUGAGUAUGUAAAGUGAGGCUCACGAUUCAACGCGUAAAUAUAAGAUAUUUUAAGGCUCAAUAGUUAUGAUAUCUAUUUUAUUUUUUGUAUCUCAUAUAUUCAAAGAUAUAGUAAAAUGAUUUUACAUAUAUAUAUAUAUAUAUAUAUGAACAUAACUAUUUGUGCCAAUUGAUUUUUAUCUUUAUUUUGUAUAUUAGUAAUUAUAUUAAAGUUUUUACUAAUAUAAUAACUAAUAUAAAAGCUUUUUCUAAAAGAGUCAACAGAGCAAAACACUUAUUAUAAAAAAUAAUUUUGAUUGAAGGUGGAGUCAAUUAUUCUUUAUUUAACAUGUAAUGCAUACGGCGUGUACUUCAUAACUAAAGUAUAUAAGUGUAACAUCUCUUAUAUAUUCUCAUUCAAUCUCGAAAGUGGAAAUUUUAAAAAGAUUAAACGGUUCAAAUUUGUCGUGCAUAAAGGGGAUCAUGUCACAUAAGCAAACCAUGGCAUACCAAAGACAUAGGUAUGGACUAAGAAUUUUUUUCAAAUAAGUUUCUUAUUAGGGUACAUUAAUAGGUGACUUUUUAUGACAUAUCAAAGGAGUCAAGUGCACCAAUAAAAACAUAUAUAGAAAAUUCAUGCAUGACAUGUAUCACUAAGAGAAGAUUGACUUGAUAGAGUUUAAUCCAAAUAGGAGAUUGUUAAAAGGUGUCUCAAAUUCUUGAUUGAUAUAUAUUUUUUUUAUUAAAAAGGUUAUUAUAUAGAUAUUUCAAUAGACUAUUAAUUCUUUGUAAAAAUAGUUAUAUAAUGAGGAUGGUGAUUAAAAAUAUCUCUAUCAAUAUUUUGGAUUAUAAAAAGAAAAAAAAUGAGAUAAUGAUAAACAUAUAAAACUUGUACAAGUAGAUAAAGAUGUGAUGAAAGACACUUGAUGAAUGAAGGCUUUGUAUUUCAAGAUAUAAAUAUAUGGAGCAAAACUCUUAAUUAUAUGAUCAAAUGAUUCUCUCAUAUUCAUGAAUAUAAGCAGGAUUGGGGAACCAUGAUAGAAUCUUAUAUGCCUCUCCAUGUAGAGUGAUCGAUGUUUAUCUUCAUAUUUUACACCAGUGAAUGACAUUGAAACUCUUAUUGAUAAAAGGGAAAAGGCAUGGCCUCCACCCCAAGAAAAACAAGUAACCUCGGUUUAAAUCACUAGUCUACACCCCGAAGAGAGAACUAGCCAAACCUACUAAAAGAGAAACUUAACAAUUUAGAAAGAAACCGUCCAUGAUAAAGGGCCCCUAAAGGUCCAAUUCAGUGAGGUCGUGAACAAAAACACUUUCAUGUCAAAACAGAGAUAGGUACCACCAAAAUGUAAAGGGAAAGAUGUAAACCACGUCGAACUUUGGUAAUCAAUGGUAAAGAUAGCAUGAUAGCUAAAAGCACUAAAGCUGUGCUUGGUAUGCAAAAAUGAAAAGUGGAAAUCAGCGUCUUAUUCUUUUUCACCUUUAUUCACAUAUUAGGAUAACUAAUAUCUAAUGUUUUUUAUGUCUCAAAUUCUAUUCCAUGUUAUGGUAAACUUUCAUCUUGUUUAGAUCACUUUUGUCUGGUUUGGGCUCAAGACGAUAAGCCUAUAGAGACUUCAUAUUGGGUUGAAUCGAUGCCCUUGAUCUGAUCUGUUCGUUAGAAAAAUCUGAAUUAUUAUAAGCAUUUAGAUAAAAAAUAAAUAAAUGUGAAACACAAACUACUCCCUGCACAACCUUGACCCUAGUUACUCAGUUUCACUGCUCACAGGACUAACCUCUCCAUUCAGUCGAAAUGAAUUGUAACAAGAAGAUUUUUGACAGGAGGACGGUAGUUUAAAAUAAUAAUUUCUAAAGUACUUUUGUGAAAAAAAAUAAUUCCAAACGUGGAUUUUAUCAAGUAAAAAGAAAAAAAAAAGUUAUUUUCUUUUAAAAUCUGUUCUUCUAAAGAUGAUAUAUAUACCAAAAAAAAAAAUUGUUUUCUGAAGGUAAAAUUUUUAAAAUUCAUUUUUAAAAAAAUUUACACACUAAAAUUAUCUUUUCAAGAGAAGAUUUUUUUAAUUUUAAAUAAUUAUUAAUUUAUAAUUAAUUUGUUAUUAAUUAUUUAUUAAUUUUUUUAUUUGAAAAAUGCAUUUAUAAAAAACAAAUUUGUUAUUAAUUUAUUAAAUAAUUUUUACAAAAUAAAUAAUUUUUUUUUAUUUUAAUUUUAAAAUUAAUUUUAUUAUAUAAAUUUUAAAAUUAAAAAUAUUAAUAUUUAAUUUAAAAUUUAACUAUAAAAGGAAUAAAAUAUAGAAAAAUAAAUUAAUUUAUUAUUCAAUAAAUUAAUUUUCAAUAAAAUUUUCAGCAUUAAGAGAUAAAUUUUUAAGUAUUAAUCAAUUUAAAAAGAAAUAAUGAUCAUUUGUAUAUUAAGAUAUUUUAUUUAGUAAUUAUGAAUGAUAAACAACUAAAGUAAUUUGAAAAAAUAAUAAAAUAUUUAAAAAAUAAUAAUUUAAUACACGUAAAAUUAGAAAUGAUUAACUAUUUUUUAUUAAGAAAAAAUUGAGGAAAUAUUUUGUUAUUUAAAAUUUUUUAUUUGUUUUCAAUUUUUAAUGUUAUAGGUUUCAAGAAAAUUGAUCAAAUAAAAAUUAAGAAGUCAUUUUUUCAAAAACUAUAUAUCUAAAUAAAAGCCUUGAAAUUCAAAUACACAAUAUCAUAAAUAUAAACACCAAGUCAAUCCUUAAUUAUCAAAUGUUUUUAAUAUUAAAGAAUCAAAAUCACCUACUAUCAUGAUAAUAAGAAAACCAAUAAUAUUGUUCAUAUAAAUACUAAAAAGCUAACAAAUAUCCCAAACAAUUAAUAAAGUAUCAAACAUGAUAAAAAGUCAAUUAUUAUCAUGAAUGCAAAAAAUCAAUAAUUUUGUUUAUAUGAACCAUCAACAAAGAAAAAAAAAAUCAAUAUCUAAAUAUUAAACAUAAUUUAUAUUUUUAUAAAUAUUAUUGUUGAUAAAUAUCUUAACAAUUAUAAUUUUAGUAAAUAAAAUUAAUUAAUUUUAGUUUAAGAAUUAUUUUUUUAUACUUUCGUAUUCUUAUCAAAAAUCCCCAUUUUGCAUGUCUCCUUUGGCAUGACUUUCUUACCUAAACAAGCAUAUAUAUAUAUAUAUAUAUAUAAAAUAUUUGGUUAAGAAAGAGUACUAAAGUUUAUAUGGCACACAUCAAGAUAGAAACAGAAGUGGAAGAUAAUCCAAAUGUAUGAACAGAUAUAUUAUAUCCAUGUAGUGGUAGUGACUUCAUUAUUUACUUUUAUCUAAUGGAGCAUGACACACUUCUUCUGAAUAUUUUGCACGAUUAUGUUAUGUGUCAGCUUGUUCUAAGUCAAAACUAGUGAUAAAAAUCGGUUUUUUUUGCAUUUCCUUCAUGAAGAUGGCACCUGGAUGGGGCACUACAUGAGUGGCAUAGCACGAAGUGAUUUAUCUGCUCCCUUUACUAUAAAGUGCUUUGUGUAUAAGUUACACCUCCCCUGCACUGCCUCAACAUUUGUUGUUCUGUCUUCCGUCUGUCCAAACGAGGACAAACGUAUGUUGUAGGUUGACAAAACCACAGCUAGCCUAGGAUUUGCAAGGAUCUAGUUUGAUUCGUAUGCAAAAGGAUUGGUGAAAAGAUUCACAAAGAUAAUGCUUUUUGCAAUGCAAUCUUGUUCUAAUUCAACAGUGUGGACCAUUUUCAUGUAAUGCUUCAACUAGAUGUCAGUUUCAUGAAUUUUUGUUCAUCUAAUUGAUCACUGGAUAGGCCAUAACCCGAAGAAAUUCAAAAUUCCCUUCAGUACUGUAGCUAAGGAAAGAUCCCUAUCUACCACUGGGAUUUUAAGAGGGUAAAAAUGUAGGUGGGUGCCUAUAUCAUUUGCACUUCACUAUAGGCCUCUUUGGGAAGAUUUCUUCUGAAGACAUUUCAAAGAAACAUAUUUUUCUCUUCUCUCCGUAAACGGCAGCUGCAAGUCAGUCCAUUCACAGGCCACCGAGUUGAAAAGGCUGGAAAAUUGGCCAAAGCACCCGCCUCCUGGAUUCCAUGGGUAAGGAAAAGGUCACUGGAGGUGUGAUCCCUGUUGGCCUCUUGAUUUCCAUUCCGCCAUCUAUAUGACCUGAUAACCCAAAAACACAGAAGGAAAACGUCACCUGGGUUCAUAGUAAGCAUCAAGUCAUGAUAGAGACCAGACAACAUGACCAACAAAGAGUAGCGAAUGGGGCCAACAUCAAGCCCCAUUACGGUUAGAAGAUGGAAGAAGUAGAAGACAAUCCAAUUCUGAUAGAUUCGGGCAAAUGUAGUGCUGUUCAAACUUAAUCAUUUACUAUUUCUUCAUGAAUCACGGCAUUUUUCUUCUGAAAAUUUUCCAAGAUUAGGCCUCUGAAGAAAAAUUUCAUAUGUAAAUUGGUAUAUUAAGGAAAAGGCGUUACAAAGGUGAAAAAAAACCAAUCAAAUCUUAUAUAUGACAUCUCAAAAAUAUGAACUUGCUAUAAAUAUUUAAAAUCAAAAUCUUGCACAUCACCUCGUAGUACGAACUUGCUAUAAAACUUGAAAAUCAAGAAGAAAGGGGCAGUAUUGGACGAGACUACUUAGCACAUAUUAUUAUGAUGUUUUUUCAUUUUCUUAAUGUUGUUUUUAUGUCUUAAAUUCUAUUAUUCUAUGUUACGGUAAACAUUCAUCUUGUUUGUGUGGAAUAGGAUCACUUUUCUCUGGGUUGAGUCGAUGCCCUUAGUUAAUUUGUUCAUUUGAAUAAACUAAAUUAUUAUAAGUAUUUAGAUAAGAAAAACGUGAUACAUAAAUUACGCCUCUCGGCACAACUUCAACACUGGUUACUCUGUUUCAGUUUCCUCACACAAGAUUAUUGGUUCUAGGGUUUAUUUGGUUUUGGUUUGAUUCUAAUUGCUAAACUUUCUCAAGGAAGAUGUUAUAUAGGGAGUGAGAAACCUUCACUCUUGGCUACCUCCAAGAGAAGAGCAAGUGGUCUGAAUCAAAGAUAUACUGCUCACUUUUUCUUCUUCUAAGGACAGCUAUGACCUUGCUUUAAGGUUCGAAUAGCCUAAUGCAACCUCCCAUUUCUCAAGUCAGCUGAUGAUGUAAGUCACCUUGGCUUUCCACAUUCAUACGGUGAGGACGUUUGUGGGUGUAAUUCUCUUAACAGUUUUCAUUUUAUAUGGAAAAAUUCAUAAUUAAGGGUAAUUACUGAUUCCAUUUGACAGUGACCAAGUUUAAAAUAUUAAUUCAUAUAUUAAAUGCACAUUAAAAAAUCAUGGAAUAAAUAUAUUUACUAAUAUAUAGUUCUUUUGCCAUGUUCUGUCACAGAAGCAUCGAACUUUCCCUAGAAAUUUUUGCAUGGUAUUCUACUUAUGAUUUUGAAAACUCUAGGCACCUGAGGCCACUAAUUGCAUGGUUGGAUGAGGAGCUGCAUGAGAUUAUGUAUCGUGUUGUUCCUUAACUACAAAUAUCAGUUUUAAGUAGCAUCUCCAUGUGACAUUUUCCUGAUGCAAUUUCGCUGUCCACCAACAAAUUUCACCAUGCAGCAAGAUGAAUUGUAAUUUCUUUAUUGUUAUCAACAGCUUUAAUUAAUCUUGAUAUAUAUAUAUAACUUAGUAGAAGUAUAUUAAUCUAGAUUGUAGUUGCACUAAGAUAAUAGGCAAUAUUAUAACAGUGCCACAAUGCUCAUCGCCAAAUAGAAAGGUAGAAAAACUACAAUGAGUAACUCACAACAUUCUCAAACAGGACAUAGCGGCGACUGAUACAUAGAACACUAUUGGCACUCAGGAAAUGAUAAGAUCAGUGCCCAGCAGGCAGCACGUCUUAUUUUACAUACUACUUAAAACUAACCAAAGUCAUUCAGUUGGGAUGGGUGGGAGAUGGUGGUUUGUGCGGUGGCUUUUGGGUAGUUGGUGGCUUCUUUCCUGGAACUGAUGGUUUUUUUGUUGGAGUUGAAGGAGGCUUAAUCGUCUGAGGUGGCUUGUAUGAGUCUUCAGCACUCUCUGCGGGAGGGUGCCCAGGGUUGUGACCAUAAUGGGGUGGCUUCUCUCCCUUAGUUGGUUUGCCAAGUGGGCUGGCUGGCUUGUGCUCCGGGAGCGGCUUCUCUCCCUUAGGUGGUUUGCCAAAUGGGCUUGCUGGCUUGUGCUCUGGGAGCGGCUUCUCUCCCUCAAGAAGUUUACGGGUUUUGUCAGAUGGCUUGUGUUCUGGUGGUGGCUUCUCUCCUUGGGGUGGUUUGCCAAAUGGACUUGGUGGCUUGUGUUCGGGGAGUGGCUCCUCUCCCUUGGGAGGUUUAGUUGGUGGCUGGUGUUCCAUAGGUGGUUUCUCAACCGGGGGCUUGUUCUCCGUUGGUGGUUUAUGAACUGGGGGAUGCUUGGGGUAGUCAGCAAGAGACGGGGUGGUGAGAACCACCAGUCCCAGCAGCAACACUAGCAAGUAUGUGGAAGAGUACAUCUUUGAGUUCAGGCUGAGAUUUGUGCGAGACUUGAAGAAUUAGGUGGCCUUUUAUAGCUGGCUGCACCCAACACUCACAUGACACGUAUCAUGGUGACACAUGUGCUAUGGGUCCAUUUGGGUCCUACAGAAGCUGAAAACUUUUGACUAUUGAGGUGUGGUCACAACUUUUGUCCCUAUUGCUUUCUCCGCAACCGUUUUACAUGUUUCCUUUGGCAUAAUUUUCUAAGCUAAACAAGCAUAUAUCAUAUUUGGUUAAGAAAGAGUAAAGUGUAUAUGGCACACAUCAAGGAAGAGAAACAGAAAAAGUGGGAGACAAUCAAUUGUGAUAAACAGAUAUAUUAUAUUCAUGUAGUACUAGUGACUUUAUCAUUUACUUUUAUCCAAUAGAUCAUCACUCUUUCUUCUAAAUAUUUUGGAGGAUAAUGGUACAUGUUGCUUGUUUCCAAGUCAAAAUUGGUGGCAAAAAUCGGCAUGAUACGAAAGGAUUGGUGAAAAGAUUCACAUAGAUGGUGCUUUGUGCAAUGCAGUCUUGCUCUAAUUCAACAGAGUGGACCAUGGUGAUGUAUUUUAAAUUUUAAAUUUUAAAUUAAUGCAUGCUUCAAAGUUUUAACUAGAUGUCACUUCCAUGGAUUUUUGUUCAUUUAAUUGAGCACAGGAUAGGCUAUCAAACUUGAAGUAAUAUAAAAAUCCCUUCAUUACUGUAACUAAUGAAAGAUCAUUAUCUGCGCUUGGUAUUUUGCCAAGGUAUUUGCUGCUCUUUCUAGCCCUGUCUUACAGUUAAGGACAAUGUGAUCUAGUUAACCUUAGAAGCUAUUCCAUGUCAGAUACAAGAGAUCAAGCACAUUAUCUUUGGGCUCAGUUCAAAACUAUAAUAUAUGGGUGGGGUGGAGGCCCAUAUCAUUUGCAUAUCACCACUAUUGGUUUAGUUUGGAAGGUUUCUUCUGGAAGAUUGCUGCUUUCUGGAAUCAUUUCAAAGAAAUAUAUCUUUUUGUUCUCUUGGUGACGAGCAGCGGCAAUCAAGUCUGUUGACAAACAACCGAGUUGAAAAGUUUGAAAAUUGGUCACAGCCCACGUCCAUGGUUAAGGAAAAGGUCACUGGAAGUGAUCCCUUCUGGGCCUCUUGAUUUCCAUUCUGACAUCUAUAUGACCUGAUAAAUAGAAAGAAAAAAAAACAGAAGAAAAGCGGCACCCGGGUUCAUAGUAAGCAUCAAGACAGGAUACUGAAAGAAGGGAGAAAGGAGAUUGCAAGUCCAAUCCUGAUAAAAUGAUCAACAAAGAGUAUCAAAAUGGGGCCAACAUAAAGACCCAUUGAGGUUAGCAGAUGGCAUGGCAUUUUUCUCCUUAAGUUUUCCAUGAUUAGACUUGAAGUCAAAAUUUCACAUGUAAAUUUGUAUUUCUACAUUUCCCACUGACGACACCCAACUUCAACUUGAGUUAGAAUAACAUUGUGUGAACUUAUCUGGCCCUCAAAAUUUACUGUGAAGUGCUUUCUGCGUGUGAAGAUUCAGAAAAGCACCAAGGGAACAUGUAUGGUCUGCCUUUUUCUGAUGUUAUGUUUGUCUCUAAUUCUGUUCCAUGUCAUGGUAAAUGUUCACAUUGCUUGUAUGGAACACACCAGGAUCACUUUUUCGGGUUUAUUUUGAGGCUUCAUAUUGGGUUCAUAUUGGGUUCAAUGCUUUUAAUGUGUUCAUUAGACAAAUCUGAAUUAUCAUAUGCAUUUAGAUAAGAACAAUAAUGUGAAACCCUAGUUACACCUCCCCUGCAUAACCCCAACCCUGCUUACUCUAUUUCAGUUUACUCACACAAGUUUUACCGGUUCUUAUAAGUCAAGAAAAGGCAACUGAUGUUGGAUUGACUCUCUUCCAUGUAUAAAAAGCAACUUUUAUAUAUACAUAAAAUAACUUCUUCCCCUCACCAAUGUGGGAUAUCAUGGAUUUAUUCUGGAAACACAUCAAAGGAACAUCUUUUCUCUUGGGUGACCCUAAGUGGUGAGUCAGACCAUUUGCAUGCCAUUGAGUUGCACAGUUGGAUAAAUGCACCUACCUCCUGGGCUCCAGAGUUAAAAGGGUGGAUCCCUGGAUCGCAACCCUCUUGGCAUCUUGGUUUCCAUUCCAACAUCCACAUGACUUGACAAAACAAAAAACAGAAUAAAAUCAUCACUAUUUUCAUGCUAAGCACCAAUACAUGAUGGAAAUCAUUGCUUAAAGAUUUGGGGUCAUUUAGGUUUUGACUGCCUCCUAACACCUCACCUAAUCACAAGUUUUUAUGCUUACAAAUCAAAUAUCGUUCUUCAUUAUAUUAAAAUCAUUUUAAGAUUUCAGAUCCAUCUGCUAAUUAUGAUUAUGAUAACAUUAAUUCACCUGUGCUUCUCAUUUUCGACACACAAGGCAUCUAGGUUUGCAGGAUUUCCUUAUUAGAUGAGAUAAAUGAGUACGCAUGGUUAUGUAUGCAGCAUUCAUUAACCAUGGUAUGUGACAUUUAGAAUUAAGAUAGCAAGCAAACUUUCCCUGCAGCUUGAGUAAAUUGUGAUUUCUUAGCCUCUAUGAGUGGUUCCCAAAUCAAAUUAACAUAGUGAAAUAUACGUAGUCCAGUGAAAGGAAAUGUAAAUUAUAAACUAACAGCACUACACUACUGGUAACACUCGAUACUCUCUAUAUAAUGCAAUGAAAUAUACGUUAUACGUUGCUUGUUCCAAGUCAAAAUUUGUGGCCAAACGUUGGCCUUUUUUCAUUUUCCCUAAGAUUAAUGCUCACCUGGGAUAGGCACUACAUGAUUUAUCUGCUCUUUUACUGUAAAGUUGCUUUGUGUAUGAGUUACACCUCCCCUGCACACCCUCAACAUUUGUUGCUCUGUUUUCCUUGUGUCCAGACGAGGAUAUUAAGUGGGGGCUGACAAAACGACUGCUAGCCAAGGAUUUACAAGGUCCUGGUUUGACGCUUCCGCGAAAGUAUUUUUGAAAAUAUACACAUAGAGAUUGCGCGUUCGGUGCAAUGCAACAAUGUGAGCCAUUCUGAAGUUUUUAAUUUCAGAUUAAUGAAUGCUACAAAAUUCUAAGAAGGGCCGUUUCCAAAUAUUUGAGUUCAUUUAUCCGAACAUCGGAUAAGUAAUGAUCAUAGAUUAUUAUUAUUAUCUGACGUUCUUAUAAUGGUUGGCAUUAUAAGAGGGUAUAUGCUUCUUUCUCUAGCCCCUCCUUCAAGGGAGGGACAAUGUGAUCUGUAUCGUUAGAAGCUAUUCCAUGUCGUCAUCUUUUGGCUUAAGUCAAUACUAAAAUAUAUGGGCGGGGCCCCUGUCAUUUUAUAUUUCUUCUAGAAGGUUUGUUCUGGAAAUCUUUCACCGAAACAUAUCUUUUUCUUCUCUACGUGAUCCGUGGUUGGAAAGUUAGAAAAAUGGGUCCGUUCACAAGCCACCGAGUUGAAAAGUUGGAAAAAUGGCAACACCGCCAACCUCUUGUAUUCGAUAGUUAAAUAAAAGGUCACUGGAAGUGAGAUCCCUUUUGGCCUCUUGAUUUUCAUCCCAGCAUCUCUAUGUCCUGAUAAACUAAAAAACUAAAAAAAAAACAGUACGUGGGUUGGUGUUAAGCAUCAAGAGUCAAGACAUGAUAAUGGAGAGAAAGGAUAUUCAAAUUCCAGUUCUGACAACAUGAUUUUCUUUCCUGAACAACCAUGUUAUAUUUGAUCAAGAAAGAGUAGUGCAUGUGGCCAGGAUCAAGACAUACAUUAAUUUCCACAUGAUGAAGACAGUUUCUGAGAGUUUCUUCUAAAGCUCUUGCGCUAGUAGGCUUCAAGUCAAAAUUUCCCAUGUAAACACUGGAUUUUCUUUAAUUGCCACUAAGGAUACAGUUAAAAUUGACUUAAAAUCCUACGUGAUAUAUAUCUUUAACAAAAGUAUAUUGUAUAUAAUAUUUGAAAUAAUGUUGAUUCGUUGUGGAAAUAUGUUUGUAAGGAAAGUUGUUGACAAUUUAAUAUAGUAUAAGAAGAAAAAAGUUAUCAACUAGAGAUGAGUAUGUAAAGUGAGGCUCACGAUUCAACGCGUAAAUAUAAGAUAUUUUAAGGCUCAAUAGUUAUGAUAUCUAUUUUAUUUUUUGUAUCCCAUAUAUUCAAAGAUACAGUAAAAUGAUUUUAUAUAUAUGAACAUAGCCGAUAGUAUCAUGUUAAAACCUUAUAUGACUCUUUGUGCCAAUUGAUUUUUAUCUUUAUUUUGUGUAUUAGUAAUUAGUAUUAAAGUUUUUACUAACAUAAUAAUUGAUAUAAAAGCUUUUUCCAAAAGAGUCAAACAGAGCAAAACACUUAUUAUAAAAAGAAUUUUGAUUGAAGGUGGAGUCAAUUAUUCUUUAUUCAACAUGUGAUGCAUACAGCGGGUACUUCAUAACUAAAGUAUAUAAGUGCAACAUCUCUUAUACAUUCUCAUUCAAUCUCGAAAGUGGAAAAUUUUAAAAGAUUAAAUGGUUCAAAUUUUCCGUGCAUAAAGGGGAUCAUGUCACAUAACCAAACCAUGGCAUACCAAAGCCAUGAUAUGGACUAAGAAUUUUGUUAAAAUAAGUUUCUUAUUAGGGCACAUUAUGUGACUAUUUAUGACAUAUCAAAGGAGUCAAGUGCAUCAAUAAAGACAUAGAAAAUUCAUGCAUCACAUGUACCACUAAGAGAAAAUUGACUUGAUAGAGUUUAGUCCAAAUAGGAGAUUGUUAAAAGGUGCAUCAAAUUCUUGAUUGAUAUAUAUUUUUUUUAUUAGAAAGGUUAUUAUAUAGAUAUUUCAAUAGACUAUUAAUCCUUUGUAAAAAUAGUUAUAUAAUGAGGAUGGUGAUUAAAAAUAUCUCUAUCAAUAUUUUGGAUUAUAAAAAGAAAAAAAAUAUGAGAAAAUGAUAAACAUAUAAAACUUGUACAAGUAGAUAGAGAUGUGAUGAAAGACACUUGAUGAAUGGAGGCCUUGUAUUUCAAGAUGUAAAUAUAUGGAGCAAAACUCUUAAUUAUAUGAUCAAAUGAUUCUCUCAUAUUCAUGAACAUAAGCAGGAUUGGGGAACCAUGAUAGAAUCUUAUAUGCCUCUCCAUGUAGAUUGAUCGAUGUUUAUCUUCAUAUUUUACACCAAUGAAUGACAUUGAAACUCUGAUUGAUAAAAGGGAAAAAGCAUGGCCUCCACCACAAGAAAAACAAGUAACCUCGGUCUAAAUCACUAGUCUACACCCCGAAGAGAGAACUAGCCAAACCUACUAAAAGAGAAACUUACCAAUUUAGAAAGAAAUCUUCCAUGAUAAAGGGCCCCUAAAAGUCCAAUUCAGUCAGGUUGUGAACAAAAACACCUUCAUGUCAAAACAGGAAUAGGUACCACCAAAAUGUAAAGGGAAAGAUGUAAACCAAGUCGAACUUUGGUAAACAAUGGUAAAGAUAGCAUGAUAGCUAAAAGCACUAAAGCUGUGCUUGGUAUGCAAAAAUGAAAAGUGGAAAUCAGCGUCUUAUUCUUUUUCUCCUUUAUUCACAUAUUAGGAUAACUAAUAUCUAAUGUUUUUUUUAUGUCUCAAAUUCUAUUCCAUGUUAUGGUAAACUUUCAUCUUGUUUAAGUGGAAGAGUAGGAUCACUUUUGUCUGGUUUGGGCUCAAGACGAUAAGCCUAUAGAGACUUCAUAUUGGGUUGAAUUGAUGCCCUUGAUCCGAUCAGUUCGUUAGAAAAAUCUGAAUUAUUAUAAGCAUUUAGAUAAAAUAAAUAAAUAAAUGUGAAACAGAGACUAUUCUCUGCACAACCUUGACCCUAGUUACUCAGUUUCACUGCUCACGGGACUAACCUCUCCAUUCAGUCGAAAUGAAUUGUAAUUUCUUUACUGGUAGCAGUAGUACUUUUCAUAGCAAAGAUAAUAGUAAAUAUGAAAUAUAAAUAUAUAGAAGGAAAUCUGGAUUGUAGAUAGCACCAUAAGUAACACUCAAUAUUUACUACAUAAUAAAAGAGAUAGUGUUACAAAGGUAGAGAAACCUACAAUGAGUACUCAUCACCAUUCUCAAACAGAAACAUAGCAGUGACUUAUACAUAGAACCUAUAGGCUCGCAGGGAAAGAGUAACAUGAUAAGUGCACAGCGGGUAGCAGCUCUUAUUUUACGUAUUACUCAAAAUCUCAAACUAACCAAAGUCACUCAGUUGGGAUGGGUAGGAGAUGGUGGUUUGUGGGGUGGCUUCUGGGUAGGAGCUGGUGGCUUCUUUGUUGGAGUUGAAGGAGGCGUAAUCUUCUGAGGUGGCUUGUAUGAGUCUUUGGCACUCUCUGCAGGAGGGUGCCCAGGGUUGUGACCGGAAGGAGGUGGCUUCUGUCCCUUUGGUGGUUUGCCUAAUGGGCUUGGUGGCUUGUGCUCCGGGAGUUGUUUCUCUCCCUCGAGUAGGUUUCGAGUUUUGUCAGAUGGCUUGUGUUCUGGUGGUGGCUUCUCUCCCUGGGGUGGUUUGCCGAAUGGGCUUGGUGGCUUGUGUUCGGGGAGUGGCUUCUCUCCCUUGGCAGGUUCAGUUGGUGGCUGGUGCUCCGUAGGUGGUUUCUUCACCGCCGGCUUCUCUCCCUGGAGAAGGUUACGAGUUUUGUCAGAUGGCUUCUGUUCUGGUGGCGGCUUCUCUCCCUGGGGUGGUUUGCCAAAUGGGCUUGGUGGCUUGUGUUCGGGAACUGGCUUCUCUCCCUUGGCAGGUUCAGUUAGUGGCUGGUGUUCCGUAGGUGGUUUCUUCACCGGCGGCUUGUGCUCCGGAAGCGGCUUCUCUACCUGGAGAAGCUUACGAGUUUUGUCAGAUGGCUUGUGUUGUGGUGGUGGCUUCUCUCCCUGGGGUGGUUUGCCAAAUGGACUUGGUGGCUUGUGUUCGGGGAGUGGCUUCUCUCCAUUGGGAGGUUUAGUUGGUGGUUGGUGUUCCGUAGGUGGUUUCUGAAGUGGGGGAUGCUUGGGGUAGUCAGCAAGAGACGAGGUAGUGAGAACCACCAGUCCCAGCAGCAAUACUAGCAAGGAUGUGGAAGACAUCUUUGAGUUCAGGCUGAGAUUUGUGCAAGGCUAGAAGAAUUAGGUGGCCUUUUAUAGCGGGCUGGACCCAACAACCAAAUGACACGUAUCAUGAUACACAUAUGUGUUAUAAGAUCCUUGUGGGUCCUACAGAAGUUGAAAACUUUGACAAUUGAGGUGUGAUUACAACUUUUGUCCCUAUUGCUUUCUCGUCAGCCGUUUUGCAAGAUUUUUGACAGGAGGACGGUAGUUUAAAAUAAUAAUUUCUAAAGUACUUUUGUGAAAAAAAAUAAUUCCAAACGUGGAUUUUAUCAAGUAAAAAAAACAAAAAAAAGUUAUUUUCUUUUAAAAUCUUUUCUUCAUGAUUCAUAUACCAAAAAAAGAAUUGUUUUCUGUAGGUAAAAUUUUUAAAAUUCAUUUUUAAAAAAAAAAAAUUACACACUAAAAUUAUCUCUUCAAGAAAAUAUUUUUUAAAUUUUAAAUAAUUAUUAAUUUAUAAUUAAUUUUUUAUUAAUUAUUUAUUAAAUUUAUAUGUGAAAAAUGCAUUUAUAAAAAACAAAUUUUUUAUUAAUUUAUUAAAUAAUUAUUUACAAAAUAAAUAAUUUUGCUUUAUUUUAAUUUUAAAAUUAAUUUUAUUAUAUAAAUUUUAAAAUUAAAAAUAUUAAUAUUUAAUUUAAAAUUUAACUAUAAAAGGAAUAAAAUAUAGAAAAAUAAAUUAAUUUAUUAUUCAAUAAAUUAAUUUUCAAUAAAAUUUUCAGCAUUAAGAGAUAAAUUUUUAAGUAUUAAUCAAUUUAAAAAAUAAUAAUAAUCAUUUGUAUACUAAGAUAUUUUAUUUAGUAAUUAUGAAUGAUAAACAACUAAAGUAAUUUGAAAAAAUAAUAAAAUAUUUAAAAAUAAUAAUUUAAUACACUUAAAAUUAGAAAUGAUUAACUAUUUUUUAUUAAGAAAAAAUUGAAGAAAUAUUUUGUUAUUUAAAAUUUUUUAUUUGUUUUCAAUUUUAAAUGUUAUAGGUUUCAAGAAAAUUGAUCAAAUAAAAAUUAAGAAGUCAUUUUUUCAAAAACUAUAUAUCUAAAUAAAAGCCUUGAAAUUCAAAUACACAAUAUCAUAAAUAUAAACACCAAGUCAAUCCUUAAUUAUCAAAUGUUUUUAAUAUUAAAGAAUCAAAAUCACCUACUAUCAUGAUAAUAAGAAAACCAAUAAUAUUGUUCAUAUAAAUACUAAAAAGCUAACAAAUAUCCCAAACAAUUAAUAAAGUAUCAAACAUGAUAAAAAGUCAAUUAUUAUCAUGAAUGCAAAAAAUCAAUAAUUUUGUUUAUAUGAACCAUCAACAAAGAAAAAAAAAAUCAAUAUCUAAAUAUUAAACAUAAUUUAUAUUUUUAUAAAUAUUAUUGUUGAUAAAUAUCUUAAUAAUUAUAAUUUUUUAUAUAUUAAAUUUAGUAAAUAAAAUUAAUUAAUUUUAUAAUAUAAGAUAUAUAUAAUAAUUAAGAGACUAUUUGUCCCAAACAAUUUAUUUAUUUUUUUUUUAGGAAAUUGUCUCUUCAAGAGACGACUUCUCCCAACAUUUUUAAAAAAAAAAAAAAAAACAUCUAUUCAAAAGACGAUUUCUCCUCAUUUUUUAAAAAUGAAUUUUAGAAAUCAUAUUUUCAAAAAUGAAUUUUAGAAAUCAUAUUUUCAAAAGACGAUUUUUUUUUAUAUAAAUUAUUUUUUAAAAUGACGAUUUUAAAAGGAAAUAACGAUCUCUCUCCUACUUGGCAAAAACUAUGGUAAAUUUGGAAUUAUUUCUUCCACAACCAUAGUUUAAGAAUUAUUUUUUUAUACUUUCGUAGACUUAUCAAAAAUCCCUAUUUUGCAUGUCUCAUUUGGCAUGACUUUCUUACCUAAACAAGCAUAUAUAUAUAUAUAUAUAUAUAUAUCACUUUUGUCUGGGUUGAGUCAAUGCCCUUAACUAAUUUGUUCAUUUGAAUAGUCUAAAUUAUUAUAAGCUUUUAGUUAAGAAAAAUGUGAAACAUAAAUUACACCUCUCGGCACAACUUCGACACUGGUUACUCUGUUUCAGUUUAUUCACACAAGAUUAUUGGUUCUAGGGUUUAUUUGGUUUUGGUUUGAUUCUAAUUGCUAAACUUUCUCAAGGAAGAUGUUAUAUAGGGAGUGAGAAACCUUCACUCCUGGCUACCUCCAAGAGAAGAGCAAGUGGUCUGAAUCAAAGAUAUACUGCUCACUUUUUCUUCUUCUAAGGACAGCUAUGACCUUGCUUUAAAAUGUUCGAAUAGCCUAAUGCAACCUCCCAUUUCUCAAGUCAGCUGAUGAUGUAAGUCACCUUGGCUUUCCACAUUCAUACGGUGAGGACGUUUGUGGGUGUAAUUCUCUUAACAGUUUUCAUUUUAUAUGGAAAAAUUCAUAAUUAAGGGUAAUUACUGAUUCCAUUUGACAGUGACCAAGUUUAAAAUAUUAACUCAUGUAUUAAAUGCACAUUAAAAAAUCAUGGAAUAAAUAUAUUUACUAAUAUAUAGUUCUUUUGUCAUGUUCUGUCACAGAAGCAUCGAACUUUCCCUAGAAAUUUUUGCAUGGUAUUCUGCUUAUGAUUUUGAAAACUCUAGGCACCUAAGGCCACUGAUUGCAUGGUUGGAUGAGGAGCUGCAUGAGAUUAUGUAUCCUGUUGCUCCUUAACUACAAAUAUCAGUUUUAAGUAGCAUCUCCAUGUGACAUUUUCCUGAUGCAAUUUCGCUGUCCACCAACAAAUGUCUCCAUGCAGCUAGAUGAAUUGUAAUUUCUUUGUUGUUAUCAACAGCUUUAAUUAAUCUUGAUAUAUAUAUAACUUAGUAGAAGUAAUUAAUCUAGAUUGUAGUUGCACUAAGAUAAUAGGCAAUAUUAUAACAGUGCCACAAUGCUCAUCGCCAAAUAGAAAGGUAGAAAAACUACAAUGAGUAACUCACACAACAUUCUCAAACAGGACAUAGCGGCGACUGAUACAUAGAACACUAUUGGCACUCAGGAAAUGAUAAGAUCAGUGCCCAGCAGGCAGCACGUCUUAUUUUACAUACUACUUAAAACUAACCAAAGUCAUUCAGUUGGGAUGGGUGGGAGAUGGUGGUUUGUGCGGUGGCUUCUUUCCUGGAACUGGUGGUUUUUUUGUUGGAGUUGAAGGAGGCUUAAUCGUCUGAGGUGGCUUGUAUGAGUCUUCAGCACUCUCUGCAAGAGGGUGCCCAGGGUUGUGACCAUAAUGAGGUGGCUUCUCUCCCUUAGGUGGUUUGCCAAGUGGGCUGGCUGGCUUGUGCUCCGGGAGCGGCUUCUCUCCCUUAGGUGGUUUGCCAAAUGGGCUUGCUGGCUUGUGCUCUGGGAGCGGCUUCUCUCCCCCAAGAAGUUUGCGGGUUUUGUCAGAUGGCUUGUGUUCUGGUGGUGGCUUCUCUCCUUGGGGUGGUUUGCCAAAUGGACUUGGUGGCUUGUGUUCGGGGAGUGGCUCCUCUCCCUUGGGAGGUUUAGUUGGUGGCUGGUGUUCCGUAGGUGGUUUCUCAACCGGGGGCUGGUGCUCCGUAGGUGGUUUAUGAACUGGGGGAUGCUUGGGGUAGUCAGCAAGAGACGGGGUGGUGAGAACCACCAGUCCCAGCAGCAACACUAGCAAGUAUGUGGAUGACAUCUUUGAGUUCAGGCUGAGAUUUGUGCAAGACUAGAAGAAUUAGGUGGCCUUUUAUAGCUGGCUGCACCCAACACUCACAUGACACGUAUCACGGUGACACAUGUGCUAUGGGAUCCAUUUGGGUCCUACAGAAGUUGAAAACUUUUGACUAUUGAGGUGUGAUCACAACUUUUGUCCCUAUUGCUUUCUCCGCAACCGUUUUACAUGUUUCCUUUGUGGUGUUUAAUAGUGUUUUUUUCCUUAAUUCUAAAUAAACCUUAAUACUUAAUAAUGUUAAAUAUUAGGUUAUUUAUUUUUAUAAUAUUUUAUUUAUAUUAAGUAUUAAAAAGUAAAGAAAAAUCAAUAUAUUUAUUUUUCUAUUUAGAAAAAACUAUAUAUUUUUAAUUUUUUUAUUUAAUAAAAAAUUUAUAAUAAAUCAUGAAAAAAUAGAAAAACAAACAACCUAAAUUUUAAAAAUAAAUUGUUUUUAGUAAAAACCCAAAAAAACAAACACCACCUUAACUAAACAAAUAUAUAUUAUAUUUAGUUAAGAAAGAGUAAAGUGUAUAUGGCUCAAAUCAAGGAAGAGAAACAGAAUAAGUGGAAGACAAUCAAUUGUGAUAAACAGAUAUAUUACAUGCAUGUAGUACUAGUGACUUUAUCAUUUACUUUUAUACAAUAGAUCAUCACACUCUUUCUUCUAAAUAUUUUGGAGGAUAAUGGUACAUGUUGCUUGUUGCCAAGUCAAAAUUGGUGGCAAAAAUCGGCAUGAUACGAAAGGAUUGGUGAAAAGAUUCACAUAGAUGGUGCUUUGUGCAAUGCAGUCUUGCUCUAAUUCAACAGAGUGGACCAUGGUGAUGUAUUUUAAAUUUUAAAUUUUAAAUUAAUGCAUGCUUCAAAGUUUUAACUAGAUGUCACUUCCAUGGAUUUUUGUUCAUUUAAUUGAGAACAGGAUAGGCUAUCAAACUUGAAGUAAUAUAAAAAUCCCUUCAUUACUGUAACUAAUGAAAGAUCAUUAUCUGCGCUUGGUAUUUUGCCAAGGUAUUUGCUGCUCUUUCUAGCCCUAUCUUACAGUUAAGGACAAUGUGAUCUAGUUAACCUUAGAAGCUAUUCCAUGUCAUAUACAAGAGAUCAAGCACAUUAUCUUUGGGCUCAGUUCAAAACUAUAAUAUAUGGGUGGGGUGGGGGCCUAUACCAUUUGCAUAUCACCACUAUUGGUUUAGUUUGGAAGGUUUCUUCUGGAAGAUUGCUUUCUGGAAACAUUUCAAAGAAAUAUAUCUUUUUGUUCUCUUGGUGACGAGCAGCGGCAAUCAAGUCUGUUGACAAACAACCGAGUUGAAAAGUUUGAAAAUUGGUCACAGCCCACGUCCAUGGUUAAGGAAAAGGUCACUGGAAGUGAUCCCUUCUGGGCCUGUUGGAAGCAGGGGAGGUUAACACACCAAGCAACAAAGAACAGAGAUAUGCUGCUACUGAUCUAUAUUUUUUAUUUGAUCAUAAGGCUAAAUUUAUACAGAUUGUGUAACAGAUAUGACCUCAAAAAAAAGCAUCAAAUCAAGCUACUUGUUGAACAAACAACUACCUUCUACAAAAUAACAUCAAAAUUUAACUUAAAAGCAAAAACAUAAAAAUAGCAACAGCAAAAAUAGAAACAUAAAAAUAGCUUCAGCAUUCUAGUAAUCUCGUUGACUUCAAUUGCAUGUGGUUGACGAUUUCAGCCUUUUCCUCAGCAGCUACUAAGGCAUAACUCUCAACACUCCUCCUUGACUUAGGAGGUGCAAACUCCAAGUCUUUCUCAUAGAAACUCAAAUCUUAUUUUAGGAAGAGCUUUAGUCAGAAUAUCUACAUUUUGACUGUCUGUAUUGCAGUAGACUAGUUGUAUAUCUCCUUCUUUCUGUACUUCCCUCAAAAAUUACAAUUUAAUCUUGAAGUGCUUUGUUUUACCAUGAAAAACUGGAUCAUUUGCAAUAGAUAUAGUGGCCUGGUUGUCUACAAACACCUUUGUACUCACUUCUUGCUUCAUAUCCAAAUCUGUCAGCAACUUUCCAAGCCAUAAGGCUUGAUUUACAGCUGUAACAGCAGCAAUAUACUCUGCCUCAGCUGUGGAUUGAGCCACGACUUCUUGCUUCCUUGAACUCCAUGAAAAAACACCAGAACCAAAACUAAAACAAUAGCCUGAAGUACUUCUCAUAUCGUCAACACAACCAGCCCAAUCACUAUCAGAAAAUCCAUGAAAAUUGAAACUUUGAACUUGACUGAACUUAAUGCCAUAAUCCACAGUGCCUUUAACAUUUCUUAUCACACGCUUUGCUGCCUGGAAAUGAAUUUCACUAGCACAAUGCAUGUAUCUCGAAAGUAGACUUACAGCAUGCAUUAUAUCGAGUCUUGUUGCAGUCAAGUACAUUAAGCAUCCAAUCAUGCUUCGAUAAAGUCCUUCAUCUACCUUUUUAGCACCGUCCUCCUUACAGAACUUCUCUUUCUGGUUCAUAGGGGUAGAUGUAGGUUUGCAUUCCUCCAUUUUGAAUUUCUUCAUAAUUUCUUUGGCAUAUUUUUGUUGGCAGAUGAAAAUCUCAUUCUGCUUCUGGUGUACUUCCAUUCCCAAGAAGUAAGACAUCUCAUCUAGGUCUGUCAUCUCAAAAACCUGCUCCAUUUCAGCCUUGAAUUUGUUCACAAACCCUGCAUUACUUCCUGUUACAAGCAAAUCAUCAACAUAUAGAGAAACAAUUAAUAUAUCUUCUUCAAUCUUCUUAAUGUAGAGUGUAAAUUCACUCAAGCUCUUGUGAAAGCCUAAAGUUAGCAGGUGAGUGUCAAUCCUGCUGUACCAAGCUCUAGGGGCUUGUCUUAACCCAUACAAGGCCUUCUUAAGAAGGUAUACUUUUUCUUCUUUUCCUUUGAUAGCAAAACCUUCUGGUUGUUCGACAAAAAUCUCUUCCUCUAAGUAGCCAUUCAAAAAUGCUGACUUCACAUCUAGUUGAUAAAUCUUCCAUUUUCUUUGAGCUACAAGAGCCAACAACAUCCUGAUUGUAUCCAAACGAGCUACUGGUGCAAAGGUUUCCGAAAAGUCAACACCAAACAUUUGUGCAUACCCUUUGACAACCAGCCUUGCUUUAUGUUUGUUUAUAGAACCAUCAGAGUUGAGUUUGGUUCUGUAAACCCACUUAACCCCAAUAGGUUUUUUGUGUGAAGGUCUAUCUACUAGCUCCCAAGUGUUGUUCUUGUCAAUCAUAUCUAGCUCCUCCUGCAUUGCAACCCUCCAUCUUUUAUUUUCAGCAGCUUCAACAAACCCUGCAAGUUCAAGAACAGCUAUAUUACACCUUUGAUAAAUAUCAAAAAGUGUCAUGAAACCUCUAACUGGAAGUUCAUCAACAUCUUCAUCAAUAUAUUGCUGAUUCUGCUCAUCCCAACUCCAUUUCUCCGUUUCCAAAAACUUAACAUCUCUACUUACCACAAUUUUACUAUUUUGUGGCAAGUAGAUUCUGUAAGCUUUUGAGGUGCUGUUGUAUCCAAUGAAAAUUCCUGGUUCUGACUUUUUAUCUAGCUUGUCUCUUUUCACCUGAGGAACAUAAGAGAAACACAAGCAACCAAAGGUCUUUAAAUUCAUUAGCAUAGGCUUAUAAGCAAACCAGGCCUCAAAAGGUGUCUGUUUCUGCAAUGCUUUUGUUGGUAGUCUAUUUAGCAAAAAUACUACUGUAUUUGCAGCUUCAACCCAAAAACUUUUUGGCAGCUCUUUCUCAUGCAAAAGACAUCUUGUCAUUGAUUACUACUCAAAAAGUGCUAUUUGAUAGCCUUUAAUUAAUCCUUUUUAACACUUUUGAGUAGUAGUUUAGGCCUUUUAACUCAAUUGGCAUGUUAAGGAUCCUUUAAAGCAAUUUUGAUCACUUUGUGCAAGUUUUGGUGUUUUUGUUAGUAUUUCGAUCACCAAAGCAAGUCAAGAAUGAGGAGAGCUAUGAGGAAUCUUGGGCAAAGCUUAGAAUUCAAUUGCCAAGAGUGAAUCCGGAUUGCAAGGAGAAAAAGCAAAGAGGAUCAGUCAUGGAGCAUAUUCUUGAUGACAGUCGUAGCAGCCACUUUUGGAUCACUUUCUGAAGUCCAAAUGAUGCAAGCUAUAUACCAUUUCAAAGCUCAGGAAGUCAACAAUCCAAUGCUUCAAACGGUGUGCGAUUCGGAAUUGAAACGAAGAAGUUGCAGCCAUUACAAGCCAGACACUCUAAAGUGUUGCGGAAUCAGCCAUGUGUUGCGAGAAUUUCGCAGCACUUUUGUACAGUAAGGUGUUUCUCCUUCUAACGAUGCACGAACCAUGCCGCGAGAAGGGAGCUGGAAACUUCAAGAUGGAAGCCAACUUUGCAGCCUAGUGAAGAUAGCUCGGUCUUGCAAGAUAAUUUCGCAGCCCUCUUGGGUGUCUGCGAAAUUUCGCAGGCCUCAUUUUUCACCUGCGAAAUGGCUCUUGAAGCCUCCCGAAGCUUGCUACCGACAUUGGGAGAUAUUUUCCAUUAGAUUUUUGUUGUCUAAAUCCCAAAAUACUCCUUGUAAACCACCAAUUACAUGAUUCCUUAGUUUUUAAGUUAGUAAAAAGACCAAAUAUCUUUGUAACAAUUAGUUUUAUAUUUUGUUGUUAUAAAUACCUCUCGGGAGCCUGUUCUCAGGGAGGAGUUCCUUCUGUAAACGUUUGGUAAGCAAGUAAAGUCUAUUUUCUUUCUACUGCCUUACCUUCUCACUUUGUAUUUUCAUUUUAUUUCUAAGUUAUGAAUUCUCUGAGGAGUUUUCCCCAAAGAAUGAGUAACUAAACCUCCAAUUCCUUGGAGCUAAGGUUGCCGGGGAAGGUUCCAAGUGCAAGAAUGCAAAGCUCUGUGGUUUUAGCUAGUAAUGAAGAGGAAGUGAAAUCCUUUAGUGAUUUCAAUGUUUUUAGUUAACUUAAAACACUUUGGAGUCACCUGGGCCAACACUUGGUAAGGCAAGUGAUUUCCAACCAUGGAAAUGCACUAGUUUACCCCUUGCGAGCCUCUGGUAGGUGACUUCAAGGUAGGAUUUUCUGGAAUUACCAACACUUGGUAAGCUUUUGGACUCCUAGGAGACAUCCAUUAGUUAUCUCUUGCGAGUUUGUGAAGGGAAUCCAAGGUUAAAGAUCACCUUGAAUGGUAAGUGCUCGUGAGAGGCAUGAACCAUUGCAAGUUGUAUCAGUGAGAGAAUUAAAGUGAAAUCUAAUUGAAGGAGUCUUUGUACAUCACCGGUUAGAGAAUUGACUAUAAGUUGAAUCUCUAAUGCGAGGAAAUGAACCAACUGACCAGAGCCGUGUCUUUUGCAUGAGGAACCACCCCAGUGAACCUAAAUCUCCAAGGAAUGUUUUUUUCUUCCUAAAUUAUUCCAAACUUCUGUUAAGUUAGUUAGUUUAAAUCUCAACCUUUACAAAUCAAAGUUUGUGUUUUAUUCCUUAAGCUAACCGUGAAAUGAAACAAGACCAAUUCACUUGGAAUUGGUAUCAUUGAUUGCCUGCAAAUCAUUCCCAGUGAACGAUCCUAGAGCCACUAUACUAUAGUAGCUUUGUAUUUGCUACCCUAGUGUAUGGUGUUAUAGGUAUAAAUUUUGUUGAUCACUUCCUCAAUCAAGGAGCACCAGCUGAACACAAAUCAGCUGAGACACCAAUUAGGCAUGAGUCAAAUGGCGCCGUUGCCGGGGAAUGAAUGUCAAGUUCAUUGUGAUACCAUUGUUGAGCACUUGUGAUUUUCAUCACAAGUUGGUAAAGUUUCUUUCACUUUACUAAUUUUCAUUCUUUCUUUGUUUAUUUACAAUCUAAGUUUAUCUUUUUAAAUUUUAGUCUAGUUUAAUUUUGUUGUUGUAGCCCUGUUUUUCUUGUUGUCCUCUGUUUUCAUUUUUUUUUUCAGGUAGAUACUAGUUGUGUAUGCCCAAGUGGAUACGAGACAUAGGAGGUAGGCUUGUUAAGUGUGAUACACCUCAGAAAGGAGAAUUUGAAGUAAUCUUGAAUAUCAUGGAGGCUGCACCUGAAGAUCAGCAUAGUCACCAAGGUCGUCAAGACAAUCUCAAUGAAUUCAGAUCAAUGAGGGACCGUAUGCAUCCACCUCGUAUGAGUACACCAUCAUGUAUAGUGCCCCCUACAGAGCAGCUAGUGAUCAGACCAUAUCUUGUUCCACUUCUACCAACUUUCCAUGGGAUGGAAAGUGAGAAUCCGUAUGCACACAUCAAGGAAUUUGAAGAUGUUUGUAAUACAUUCCAAGAAGGAGGAGCUUCAAUUGACUUGAUGAGGCUUAAGUUAUUUCCUUUUACUUUAAAGGAUAAGGCCAAAAUUUGGCUUAAUUCUUUAAGGCCAAGGAGUAUCCGCUCUUGGACUGAUUUACAAGCUGAGUUCCUUAAGAAAUUUUUUCCUACUCAUAGAACAAAUGGCUUGAAAAGGCAAAUUUCAAACUUCUCAGCUAAAGAGAAUGAGAAAUUCUAUGAGUGUUGGGAAAGAUACAUGGAAGCUAUAAAUGCUUGUCCUCACCAUGGCUUUGAUACUUGGCUAUUGGUGAGCUAUUUUUAUGAUGGUAUGUCCUCCUCAAUGAAGCAACUCCUCGAGACAAUGUGUGGAGGAGAUUUCAUGAGCAAAAAUCCAGAGGAAGCUAUGGAUUUCUUGAGCUAUGUAGCUGAUGUUUCAAGGGGAUGGGAUGAACCAACUAAAGGAGAAGUGGGAAAGAUGAAGUCUCAGUUGAAUGCUUACAAUGCAAAGGCUGGGAUGUAUAAUUUGAAAGAAGAUGAUGACAUGAAAGCAAAGUUGGCAGCUAUGACAAGAAGAUUGGAGGAGCUGGAGCUGAAAAGAAUGCAUGAAGUGCAAGCUGUUGCUGAAGCACCAGUGCAAGUGAAGCUGUGUCCCAAUUGUCAAUCAUUUGAACAUUUGGUGGAGGAGUGCCCUGCAAUUUCAGUUGAAAGGGAAAUGUAUAGAGAUCAAGCAAAUGUUGUUGGACAAUUUAGGCCCAAUAACAAUGCUCCUUAUGGAAAUACCUACAAUUCAAGUUGGAGGAAUCAUCCAAAUUUCUCAUAGAAGGCCAGAGCAACUCAAUACCAACAGCCGGAUCCACCAUCUCAGCAAUCUUCAAGUAUUGAACAAAUAAUAGCCAAUCUCAGCAAGGUAGUGGGAGAUUUUGUGGGAAAGCAAGAAGCCACCAAUGCUCGAGUUGAUCAAAGAAUGGAUAGAAUGGAGAGUGUGUUGAACAAAAGAAUGGAUGGAAUGCAAAAUGAUAUGAACCAAAAGUUUGAUAACAUCCAAUAUUCAAUUUCAAGGCUUACAAAUUUGAAUACACUGCAAGAAAAAGGAAGAUUUCCUUCUCAACCUAACCAAAAUCCCAAAGGUGUCCAUGAAGUGGAAAGCCAUGAGGGAGAAUCAUCACAGGUGAAAGAUGUGAAAGCUUUGAUCACUCUAAGGAGUGGUAAGAAAAUUGAGCAGCCAACACCCAUGCCACAUGUUGAGAAAGAAGAAGGGAUAAAGAAAGGAAAGGAAAUAGAAGAUAAAGACAGUGAGAUCAGUGAAGAAAAGAAGGACUCUGAUUCAACAAUCAAAGCAAUUCCAGAGAAAGAGCUUCUGAAGGAAGAAAUGCUGAAGAAAUCAACUUUUCCACCUUUUCCUCAAGCAUUACAGGGGAAAAAGGGGGUUAGAAAUGCAGCUGAAAUCCUUGAAGUCUUAAGACAAGUAAAAGUUAAUAUUCCACUGCUGGAUAUGAUCAAACAAGUUCCAACGUAUGCAAAAUUCCUAAAGGACUUGUGUACUAUCAAAAGAGGGGUUGACUGUAAACAAGAAAGCCUUCUUGACUGAGCAAGUAAGUGCAAUCUUACAAUGCAAGUCUCCUUUGAAGUACAAAGACCCUGGAAGUCCUACCAUUUCAGUCAUGAUUGGAGGAAAGGUAGUGGAGAAAGCCUUGCUAGACUUGGGAGCAAGUGUGAAUUUGCUUCCAUACUCUGUCUACAAGCAACUGGGACUUGGAGAGUUGAAGCCAACAGCAAUCACUUUAUCUUUGGCAGAUAGAUCAGUGAAAAUUCCAAGAGGAGUAAUUGAGGAUGUAUUGGUUCAAGUGGAUAAUUUCUACUAUCCAGUAGAUUUUGUUGUUCUUGAUACUGAUCCAACUGUAAAGGAAGCUAAUUUAGUUCCUAUCAUCCUUGGAAGGCCAUUUCUUGCAACUUCAAAUGCAAUCAUCAACUGUAGAAAUGGGCUUAUGCAACUCACUUUUGGUAACAUGACACUGGAUCUCAAUAUUUUCUAUAUGUCUAAAAAGCAAAUCACUCCUGAGGAAGAAGAAGGUCCAGAAGAGCUAUGUAUUAUUGAUACUUUGGUGGAGGAGCACUGCAAUCAGCAUAUGCAAGAUAAGUUGAAUGAAAGUCUUGUGGAUAUUGAGGAAGGUUUUUCUGAAUCUCCUAUUGGGCUUGCUACUCUACAAAGUUGGAGAAAGAUAGAAGGAAUUCUACCUUUGUUCAAUGAAAAAGAGGAGGCAACUGUUGAAGAAGAAAUUCCAAAACUCAAUUUGAAGCCUUUACCUGUGGAGCUGAAAUAUACAUAUCUUGAAGCAAAUAAUCAAUGUCCUGUUGUGAUAUCCUCAUCUCUGACCAGUCAUCAAGAGAAUUGUUUAAUGGAAGUUCUCAUGAGGUGUAAGAAGGCAAUAGGAUGGCAAAUAUCUGACUUGAAAGGCAUUAGUCCUUUAGUUUGUACUCAUCAUAUAUAUAUGGAGGAGGAAGCAAAGCCAAUUCGUCAAUUUCAAAGAAGGUUGAAUCCUCAUCUACAAGAGGUGGUGCGAGCUGAGGUGCUGAAGCUACUUCAAGCAGGAAUCAUUUACCCUAUUUCUGAUAGCCCUUGGGUGAGUCCUACUCAAGUGGUACCAAAGAAGUCAGGGAUCACAGUGAUUCAAAAUGAAAAAGGGGAAGAAAUUACUACACGCCUCACUUCAGGUUGGAGGGUGUGUAUUGAUUAUAGAAAGCUGAAUGCUGUCACCAGGAAGGAUCAUUUUCCAUUGCCAUUUAUUGAUCAAGUGCUGGAGAGAGUCUCUGGACAUCCAUUUUAUUGUUUCUUGGAUGGGUAUUCAGGCUAUUUUCAAAUUGAAAUUGAUUUGGCAGAUCAGGAAAAGACCACUUUUACAUGUCCAUUUGGAACAUUUGCUUAUAGAAGAAUGCCUUUUGGUUUAUGCAAUGCACCUGCUACAUUUCAAAGAUGUAUGUUGAGUAUUUUCAGUGAUAUGGUGGAGAGAAUUAUGGAGGUUUUCAUGGAUGACAUCACCGUAUAUGGAGGUACAUUUGAGGAGUGCUUGGUUAAUUUGGAAGCAGUUCUUCAUAGAUGCAUUGAAAAAGAUUUGGUGCUGAACUGGGAGAAAUGCCAUUUUAUGGUACGUCAAGGAAUUGUCCUUGGCCAUAUCAUCUCUGAAAGAGGCAUUGAAGUUGAUAAAGCAAAGGUGGAGCUUAUUGCCAAAUUACCAUCUCCAACAACUGUGAAAGGAGUAAGACAGUUCCUUGGCCAUGCAGGGUUCUAUAGGAGGUUUAUAAAAGGUUUUUCAAGUCUUUCAAAACCUCUUUGUGAGCUGUUAGCUAAGGAUGCUAAGUUUAUAUGGGAUGAAAGGUGUCAGCAUAGCUUUGAUCAACUGAAGAAGUUUUUAACAACAACUCCAAUAGUGAGAGCCCCUAACUGGCAAUUACCUUUUGAACUGAUGUGUGAUGCCAGUGACUUUGCUAUAGGAGCUGUGCUUGGCCAAAGAGAAGAUGGGAAGCCCUAUGUGAUUUACUAUGCAAGUAAAACACUAAAUGAAGCUCAGAGGAACUACACAACUACAGAGAAAGAAUUGUUAGCUGUGGUAUUUGCUUUGGACAAAUUUCGAGCUUAUUUAGUGGGGUCUUUCAUCAUUGUCUUCACUGACCAUUCAGCCUUGAAGUAUUUAUUGACAAAGCAAGAUGCAAAAGCAAGGUUGAUUAGAUGGAUUCUAUUGUUACAAGAGUUCGAUCUUCAAAUCAAAGAUAAGAAAGGAGUGGAGAAUGUAGUAGCUGACCACUUGUCAAGGUUAGUUAUAGCACAUAAUUCCCAUCCCUUGCCUAUCAAUGAUGAUUUUCCUGAAGAAUCACUCAUGUUCCUAGUGAAAACUCCUUGGUAUGCUCAUAUUGCUAAUUAUUUAGUAACUGGGGAAAUUCCAAGUGAGUGGAAUGCACAGGACAGGAAGCACUUCUUUGCCAAAAUUCAUGCUUAUUAUUGGGAAGAGCCCUUUCUCUUUAAGUAUUGUGCAGAUCAGAUUAUUAGGAAGUGUGUCCCUGAAGAUGAGCAGCAAGGGAUUCUAUCUCAGUGUCAUGAGAAUGCAUGUGGAGGCCACUUUGCCUCUCAGAAAACAGCCAUGAAGGUAUUACAAUCAGGGUUUACUUGGCCAUCUCUUUUCAAAGAUGCCCACAUCAUGUGUAGAAAUUGUGAUAGAUGCCAAAGGCUUGGAAAGCUAACAAAAAGAAAUCAAAUGCCUAUGAACCCCAUUCUGAUAGUUGAGAUAUUUGAUGUUUAGGGCAUUGACUUCAUGGGACCUUUCCCAAUGUCUUUUGGUAAUUCUUACAUUUUGGUGGGGGUAAAUUAUGUUUCUAAAUGGGUUGAGGCAAUCCCCUGUAAGCAAAAUGAUCACAGGGUGGUUCUCAAGUUUCUUAAAGAGAACAUUUUCUCAAGAUUUGGGGUGCCCAAGGCCAUAAUCAGUGAUGGAGGAGCUCAUUUUUGCAACAAACCUUUUGAAGCUCUGUUAUCCAAGUAUGGAGUGAAGCAUAAGGUAGCCACACCUUAUCAUCCUCAGACAUCCGGGCAAGUUGAGCUAGCUAACAGGGAAAUAAAGAACAUUUUGAUGAAAGUGGUGAAUUCCAACAGAAAAGAUUGGUCUAUUAGGCUUCAUGAUUCAUUGUGGGCAUAUAGAACAGCUUAUAAAACUAUUCUUGGGAUGUCUCCCUAUCGUCUUGUCUAUGGCAAAGCAUGCCAUCUCCCUGUGGAAGUUGAAUACAAAGCUUGGUGGGCAAUAAAGAAGCUGAAUAUGGACUUGAUCAAGGCCGGAGAAAAGAGAUUUCUAGACCUUAAUGAGAUGGAGGAAUUAAGAAAUAAUGCUUAUAUCAAUUCCAAAGUUGCAAAACAGAGGAUGAAGAAGUGGCAUGAUCAACUCAUCUCCAACAAGGAAUUUCAGGAAGGGCAAAAAGUUUUGAUGUAUGACACAAGACUCCAUAUCUUUCCUGGGAAGCUCAAAUCAAGGUGGAUUGGUCCAUUUGUUAUUCACCGAGUAUAUUCCAAUGGAGUGGUGGACUUAUUGAAUUCCAAUGGCAAGGAUAGCUUUAAAGUCAAUGGAUAUCGUCUCAAGCCGUUCAUGGAGUCAUUCAAAUCAGAAAAGGAGGCAAUCAACCUCCUUGAACCUCAAAAAGCCUAAGUGAAAAGGGUUUGCUGGACGUGGCUUUACCACAGUCCAAAAUUUUUGUAAAUUUUGUAAAUUUUCAAGUUGUUUCUAUACUUUUGAUUUUAGUUUUUGAUCUUAAAUCAUGUUUUUAGGUGUGUUUUAAUCGUUUUAAAUGAUCCCAGGUGGAAGAAAUUUCAAGGGGAUUGAAAGAAAAAAAAUCGGGUCGAAAUUGGAGCCGAAACAGAGCAAAAACAGGGGAAAAACAGAGCUCUGCGAAAUUUCGCAGGGUGAAGGAAACCUCUGCGAAAUGAGCAUUUUGUUGCGAAACCAUUCCGCAGCACUGUAGAAGCCUCUGCGAGUGUAUUUCGCAGCUGCGAAAGUGAAUUUGGCACACGAGUGCCACUUCGCAGUACAGUAGCAUCCAUUUGGCAGCUGCGAAACUCAUUGCGAAAUGGAAAAGCGUGAUUUCGCACCAAAAGUCCCAUUCCGCAGGGUAUUUCGCAAUUGCGAAAGUGGUUUUGGCACACGAGUGCCACUCCGCAGCACAGUAACAUCAAUUUCGCAGCUGCGAAACUCACUGCGAAGUUGCUGCGAAAAUGGCAAGUUGCUGCGAAAUUGGCGUUUAGUUGCGAAACUUAAACUGACCCCUGAGCUUCCGUUUUUCCUAUUUAUACCGGUCAAAAGUGCUGCGAAAAGGGUUUCAAAAAUCAGAGCACCAUUCUCGCAGCCCCUUCAUCUUCUUCGCCAAGCCACGCCGUCCGAACCUCCGGUCGUCUUCUCCGUUUAGCAGCGCCGGCCAAAGAUCGAUAUUCCAAAAUGGCACGAACGCGAGGGGCAAAAUCUUCAUCCCCUUCGAAUCGCAAAAGGAGUCUGCGAAAGGAGCCAAGUCCAGGUUCUGCUCCAGAACCUGCUCCAAAGCCUUCGCCGUCGAGACCACAACCUUCUCCAGUGAAGCCGGCGCCACUAAAGCCGCCGGCAAGACGAUAUUUGACAAGGUCAGGCGGUUGGCCAUUGAAGAAGAAGCCCAGGGUUGAGAGCUCUGAACCAAUUGAUUUGACUGAGCAAUCCCCUGAGCAGUCCCCAAAUCCUUCACCAGUUCAAACUCCAGUGCCGUCACCGGUUCCCUCGCCAAUUCCCUCACCUGAAGCAACUCCAAUUCCAUCGUCGGUACCAUCUCCGGCACCCCAAGAAAAAGCUCAGGAGCCUCAAGCGCCAAUUCCAGAGCCCCAAAUUGCAGCUGAAGCACCUCUGGAAGAAGUGAUCCGAAGGCCAAUGCUGCCCCAGCCCCCAAUCGAAGGAAACUUGGAUUGUCGAACACGGGCAUUCCAUUCUGAGCUUUGCUUCGAUUUAACAGCAUUCAGAGUGAGGCCAGAGCUUGCCCAAUCCUUCCAGCUGCUGAGGAGAUAUCAUAUGGAGCAUCUGCUAGCUCCAAGGGAUUUUUUCUAUCCCCGGGUAGUCACGGACUUCUACCAGACCAUGACAACCAAAGAAGUAAGAAAUCCAACUCUGAUCCAUUUCAUAAUUGAUGGAAGGCAUGGUAUUUUGGGAGCAAGACACAUUGCUGAAGCUCUGCAAAUUCCUUUUGAGCCAACCCAAUUCGACAAUUUUAAAGCUUGGGUAAAUCCUACUGAGUUAGAGAUGGUUCGCACACUAACCAGAGGAGCUGCAAAUCGAUCACACCUGUUGAGGGGGGAGCUACCUCCAGUGAUGUUUUUGAUUGAUGCCUUUUUGAGGCAUAAUAUCUAUCCCCUGCAGCAUUGGACCCAAAGAAGGGGAAUUCUCCUGGAAGCUUUGUACAAGAUGUCAGAAGGAUUCUUCUUUGGGCCCCAUCAUCUUAUCAUGGCAGCCCUUCUAUACUUUGAGGAAAAGGUUCACAAGAAGAAACUUCAAAGAGCAGAUUGCAUUCCACUCCUCUUCCCAAGGCUGCUAUGCCAAGUUUUGGAGCAUCUCGGAUACCCCUCUGAGCCUCAGCAGGAAAGAAAGAGAAUAUGCCGUGAGCCAUUUACUCUUGAUAAAUGGAAUAAUAUGACGGCCUACAAAAUUGAUCAGCCUGGGCAGCCUCAGCCAGCAGCAAGGAGAGCCUCCCCAAGACAUGCACCUGAAGGUAUAACACUUGCUACUCCUGCCAUCCCUCGAGCUUCACCAGCUGCACCUGCUGCAUCACAGCCAUCCACAUCAGCUGAGCCGAGGAUGGCCAUCCCUAUAUCCGAAUAUCGAGAGCUGUGCCGAGCAUUGGAGACUCUUACAGCUUCCCAGAGCAAUCUUGCUCAAGAGUUGGCAGCCAUCAAAGCAUGCCAGGAGCAGAUGUUAGCCUCUCAGGCUCAACAAGCUGCCAUCCUAAGGCAGCUUCAAGUCCAUUUCGAUCUGCCACAAGCUGUAGAGCCCUCCACUGAGACUCCACCAGAGCCACACUCUCAGCCUUCAGAGUCUCUUCCUCCAGAGCCAGAAGCCCCAACUGAUCCACCUACAGAGGAGGCGGAUCCUUCUGCUUAGCACCAUCACCCCACUCAUCAGACAUUAUAUAUAUUUGCUGUUUAUGUUUUUAUGCAUGUUUGUUUUGUUUUAGUUGAAAUGAAAUCCCAGUAUUUUGGUACUAUAUAUGGGAUUCCUUGUGAUUACUUGUCCUUAGCAUUGUACUCGAAUGAAUUGAAAGUAAUACAAGUUGAAUUUUUCUUGUUAAAAGUUAGCAUUAAAAUUCUCCUUAUUUCCUUUUCUCACAUAUUCUAUUCUUUUUGAAACAUGUGGUUUUCCCCAAUCAAUAUUCGAAUUUGAUAUCAGCAUGGAGGUACCACUUCCUCCCUUUUAUUACAGUCACUCAAAUCACAUUGAGGACAAUGCUCAGUUCGGUUGGGGGGUAUGAGGAAGGAAGUAUUCUAAAUCUUUUUGGUAUUGCAAUUAUAUUGGUUAAUUAGUUGUAGAUUUUACGUUUUACUCUUGUUACUCUAUUCUCCAUGAAUUUUGAGGAAAAAUUUUCAAAUUAAACCAAGAGAAAUUGAACUGUUGUUUUUCACUUGACUUAGAGUAUGGAUUAUGCUUACUAAAGUGGUUCAAUUGUUGAAACUUCUACUGAAAUUGAAUUGAGUUCUUCCAUUUUAAGCUAUCCACACACUGUGCACAUUAGUUUCUGAUUAUAAGAUGAAAAGCUAUUUCCCUCUUGACUUAGGAUAAUUUUGGGACUUGGUAUAUUUGACCUCAUUUGAUAAAAAUUGAAACACCCUGCAAAAGGCCAAUGAGCCUUUGAAAUAAAGAAAGAUGUUUGCUUGCCUUGAAACCCGAGCAAGGUCUGAGGGGCAUAUGGUGAAAGCCUUUAAAGCCUGGUGCCCUAAGCCUUAAUUGGUUGGGAGUCACCGACCUCAAUGCUCGUUACAAGGGUGAAUAGGUAGAGCUAGCAUAUGGUAGAUGCUUGGGUAUUAGAAAUUCAUUCUUAAAAGUCCAGGGAAAAAUCCGAGGAGUUAGUGGUUGAAAGAUCCUUAAAACUUGGUGCCCUAAACCUUAAUUGGUUGGGAGUCAUCGAUGGACCCCCAUUACAUGGACAAGUCAGAAAGAGUACCCCAUAAAGCUACUUUAAAAAAAAAAAAAAAAAAAAAAAAAAGAUGAUGAAAGUGUGUUCUUUUCUUAUUGAUUUUGGUCAGAUUGCUAAAGUGUUGAAAAGAGAUAGGUUGGGGGGGGAGACUAGUUUAGCAUAUUAUUCUCGGAAUCUAAGGAACCAAUACACAUAGAUUUUUGUGGAAGAUUGAAGUUUAGUUCUUAGAAAGUGAAAUGAUUUUAAAACUUCAGUUUGCAUAAUGCACUCCCUUGAUUGACAGUGUUUAGCAUAGGUGUUAUGACUCUUGUUGAGAUUUGGGUUUGUAUUUCUUUAAUGAUUCAUGUGAGAAGUAAAUCAUCAUGCCACUUAAGAAUUAUUUUCCUUUCAGCAUGAUGUUGUAAAUUUUAGAUUAGUUUGCUAUUUAUUUUUAUUUUUCUCUCCUUUAUUGCUAAGGGACUAGCAAUAUGUCGGUUGGGGGGAGUGAUUACUACUCAAAAAGUGCUAUUUGAUAGCCUUUAAUUAAUCCUUUUUAACACUUUUGAGUAGUAGUUUAGGCCUUUUAACUCAAUUGGCAUGUUAAGGAUCCUUUAAAGCAAUUUUGAUCACUUUGUGCAAGUUUUGGUGUUUUUGUUAGUAUUUCGAUCACCAAAGCAAGUCAAGAAUGAGGAGAGCUAUGAGGAAUCUUGGGCAAAGCUUAGAAUUCAAUUGCCAAGAGUGAAUCCGGAUUGCAAGGAGAAAAAGCAAAGAGGAUCAGUCAUGGAGCAUAUUCUUGAUGACAGUCGUAGCAGCCACUUUUGGAGCACUUUCUGAAGUCCAAAUGAUGCAAGCUAUAUACCAUUUCAAAGCUCAGGAAGUCAACAAUCCAAUGCUUCAAACGGUGUGCGAUUCGGAAUUGAAACGAAGAAGUUGCAGCCAUUACAAGCCAGACACUCUAAAGUGUUGCGGAAUCAGCCAUGUGUUGCGAGAAUUUCGCAGCACUUUUGUACAGUAAGGUGUUUCUCCUUCUAACGAUGCACGAACCAUGCCGCGAGAAGGGAGCUGGAAACUUCAAGAUGGAAGCCAACUUGGCAGCCUAGUGAAGAUAGCUCGGUCUUGCAAGAUAAUUUCGCAGCCCUCUUGGGUGUCUGCGAAAUUUCGCAGGCCUCAUUUUUCACCUGCGAAAUGGCUCCUGAAGCCUCCCGAAGCUUGCUACCGACAUUGGGAGAUAUUUUCCAUUAGAUUUUUGUUGUCUAAAUCCCAAAAUACUCCUUGUAAACCACCAAUUACAUGAUUCCUUAGUUUUUAAGUUAGUAAAAAGACCAAAUAUCUUUGUAACAAUUAGUUUUAUAUUUUGUUGUUAUAAAUACCUCUCGGGAGCCUGUUCUCAGGGAGGAGUUCCUUCUGUAAACGUUUGGUAAGCAAGUAAAGUCUAUUUUCUUUCUACUGCCUUACCUUCUCACUUUGUAUUUUCAUUUUAUUUCUAAGUUAUGAAUUCUCUGAGGAGUUUUCCCCAAAGAAUGAGUAACUAAACCUCCAAUUCCUUGGAGCUAAGGUUGCCGGGGAAGGUUCCAAGUGCAAGAAUGCAAAGCUCUGUGGUUUUAGCUAGUAAUGAAGAGGAAGUGAAAUCCUUUAGUGAUUUCAAUGUUUUUAGUUAACUUAAAACACUUUGGAGUCACCUGGGCCAACACUUGGUAAGGCAAGUGAUUUCCAACCAUGGAAAUGCACUAGUUUACCCCUUGCGAGCCUCUGGUAGGUGACUUCAAGGUAGGAUUUUCUGGAAUUACCAACACUUGGUAAGCUUUUGGACUCCUAGGAGACAUCCAUUAGUUAUCUCUUGCGAGUUUGUGAAGGGAAUCCAAGGUUAAAGAUCACCUUGAAUGGUAAGUGCUCGUGAGAGGCAUGAACCAUUGCAAGUUGUAUCAGUGAGAGAAUUAAAGUGAAAUCUAAUUGAAGGAGUCUUUGUACAUCACCGGUUAGAGAAUUGACUAUAAGUUGAAUCUCUAAUGCGAGGAAAUGAACCAACUGACCAGAGCCGUGUCUUUUGCAUGAGGAACCACCCCAGUGAACCUAAAUCUCCAAGGAAUGUUUUUUUCUUCCUAAAUUAUUCCAAACUUCUGUUAAGUUAGUUAGUUUAAAUCUCAACCUUUACAAAUCAAAGUUUGUGUUUUAUUCCUUAAGCUAACCGUGAAAUGAAACAAGACCAAUUCACUUGGAAUUGGUAUCAUUGAUUGCCUGCAAAUCAUUCCCAAUGAACGAUCCUAGAGCCACUAUACUAUAGUAGCUUUGUAUUUACUACCCUAGUGUAUGGUGUUAUAGGUAUAAAUUUUGUUGAUCACUUCCUCAAUCAAGGAGCACCAGCUGAACACAAAUCAGCUGAGACACCAAUUAGGCAUGAGUCAGUCAUCUCCAUUAUUGUUUUAUUUUUUCUUUCCACCACCCCAUUUUGUUGUGGGGUGUAUGGUGCAAUGAGCUGGUGAUCUAUGCCUGCAUCUUCACAAAAUUUGUUGAAUUUUUCUGAAGUAUAUUCUGUACCAUUAUUCGACCUUAUAACCUUGAUUCUGUAUUCACUUUGAUUUUCAACCAUGGCCUUAUAUCUCAAAAACACAUCAGCAACCUCAGCUUUGUAAGUGAGAAAAUAAAUCCAACAAAAUCUUGUGAAGUCAUCAAUAAAUGCAAUAUAGUACUUACUCCCUUUCAAAGAUGGUGUCUUUUGAGGUCCACUCACAUCUGUGUGAACCAAUUGUAGUUUCUGUGUUGAUUUCCAUGCUGCUUUUUGAGGAAAAGGAAGUCUUGUUUGCUUCCCAUAUUGAUAGGCUGCACAUAUAGGAAGUUCUUCUUCCAAAUCAGGGAGUCCUUCUACAAUCUAAUUCUUCUUCAUGUAGAGCACGGUAUUGUGGUGGAAAUGCCCUAAUCUUUUAUGCCAAAGCAUUGUAUUGUUCUCGUGUUGUGCAGCAGUAAUUUGCUCAUCUUCUAACAUAUUUAAGGCAAAACUUUUGCCUUUCAUUUUUAUGUUGAACACCUCUUUGCCUUCAGCAUCCUUGAUUAUGCAAUUUUUGUCUUCAAAACAAACUUUAAACCCUUUCUCAACAAGCUGUCCAACACUUAGCAAAUUUUGGUCAAUGUCAGGCACAAACAAAACAUCAGAAAUGAGCUUUAAACCUGUUAGGCUUUCAAUAGCUAAUGUUCUUUUACCUUUUACUGGAAUAUACUCACCAUUUCCUAUUCUAACUUUGGAAAUAGUUGUCCUAUCAAUCUCCCUAAAGCGAUCUUGAUCAUGUCAUGUGGUUUGUGCAACCACUGUCCACGAGCCAGCUUUCAGAGGUGCUACCGUUUGCAAAACAUGUUGCUGAAAAUAGUUGUUCCUCCUGGUAUUGUUCAGCUGCUACAUUGGUUUCUCCCUGCUGCUGCUGAGUUCUACAGAUCCUUUCUAUGUGUCCAUGUCUACCACAUUUGUUGCAUUUCACAUCUGGUCUCCACCAACAUUUUUGUUGAGGAUGAUUUGUUUUCUUGCAAUGAGGACAGGGUGGAUAGGUUCCAGUUUUUUUAUUGUUGUUGUUGCUUGGCUUAUUGUUGUUCUUUUUGUUCUUCCUCCUUCUUGUGUUACCUUCAUUGGUCUGUGUCUUUGCUUGAAAAGCUCCUUCUACAGAACUUCCUUGCCUCAUGAGUCUUCUUUGUUCCAAAGCUUGUAAAGCAUUUAGUAGUUCUGCCAAGGUGAUACUUGACAAAUCUUUUGUGUUUUCCAAAGAAGAAAUUGUAGCUUCAUAUUUUUCAGGAAUUGUGACAAAAUUGUUUUGAACAACUCUUUCAUCAGAAAACUCUUUACCUAGCAACCUCACCUUGUUUGCUAUGGUAAGAAGUUGUUCUGCAUAAUCUUUUAUGGUUUGAGACUCUUUCAUCCUCACCAUUUCAAAUUCUCGAAUUAGAUUCAUUACCUGCACAUUUCUGACUCUUUCAUUGCCUUGAUAUUCUUCCCGUAGAUGCUUCCAGAUUUCUGCAACAGAUUCAAGUUGCAUGAUUCUGGUGAGAAUUAAUGGUGAGACUACAGAAAAUAAGCAAGCCUUGGCCUUAGCCUUCCUCGUCUUUUUCUCCUUAUGGUUUUUCAUCUGUGACACAGUUGGAUUGGCUCCAAGUGGAGAAAUUUCAUAAUCUUCCUCUAUUGCUUCCCAGACAUCAAGAGCCUGUAGAUGAACAGUCAUCCUGACAGCCUAAGUUUGGUAAUUUUCUCCAUUGAAGACUAGUGGUGCUGCUGUGAAGCUUGCUUCUUCCAUUUCUGCAAGGUUUUCAGAUUCAGGUUUGGUAUACGGUGUUUAGGCUCACACACCUCACUGGUCCCUCAAGACAAAAAUUGCUCUGAUACCAAACUGUUGGAAGCAGGCGAGGUUAACACACCAAGCAACAGAGAACAGAGAUAUGCUGCUACUGAUCUAUAUUUUUUAUUUGAUCAUAAGGCUGAAUUUAUACAGAUUGUGUAACAUAUAUGACCUCAAAAAAAGCAUCAAAUCAAGCUACUUGUUGAACAAAAAACUACCUCCUACAAAAUAGCAUCAGAAUUUAACUUAAAAGCAAAAACAUAAUAAUAGCAACAGCAAAAACAGAAACAUAAAAAUAGCUUCAACAUUCUAGUAAUCUCAUUGACUUCAAUUGCAUGUGGUUGACGAUUUCAGCCUUUUCCUCAGCAGCUACUAAGGCAUAACUCUCAACAGGGCCUCUUAAUUUCCAUUCUGGCAUCUAUAUGACCUGAUAAAUAGAAAGAAAAAAAAACAGAAGAAAAGCGGCACCUGGGUUCAUAGUAAGCAUCAAGACAGGAUGCUGAAAGAAGGGAGAGAGGAGAUUGCAAGUCCAAUCCUGAUAAAAUAUCAACAAAGAGUAUUAAAUGGGGCCAACAUAAAGACCCAUUAAGGUCAGCAGAUGGCAUGGCAUUUUUCUCCUUAAGUUUUCCAUGAUUAGGCUUGAAGUCAAAAUUUCACAUGUAAAUUUGUAUUUCUACAUUUCCCACUGACGACACCCAACUUCAACUUGAGUUAGAAUAACAUUGUGUGAACUUAUCUGGCCCUCAAAAUUUACUGUGAAGUGCUUUCUGCGUGUGAAGAUUCAGAAAAGCACCAAGGGAACAUGUAUGGUCUGCCUUUUUCUGAUGUUAUGUUUGUCUCUAAUUCUGUUCCAUGUCAUGGUAAAUGUUCACAUUGCUUGUAUGGAACACACCAGGAUCACUUUUUCAGGUUUAGGGGGAUACAAAAGGCUUCAUAUUGGGUUCAAUGCUUUUAAUGUGUUCAUUGGACAAAUCUGAAUUAUCAUACGCAUUUAGAUAAGAACAAUAAUGUGAAACCCUAGUUACACCUCCCCUGCAUAACCCCAACCCUGCUUGCUCUAUUUCAGUUUACUCACAAGUUUUACUGGUUCUUAUAAGUCAAGAAAAGGCAACUGAUGUUGGAUCGACUCUCUUCCAUGUAAAAAAUGCAACUUUUAUACAUAUAAAAGAACUUCUUCCCCUCACCAAUGUGGGAUUUCAUAGAUUUAUUCUGGAAACACAUCAAAGGAACAUCUUUUCUCUUGGGUGACCCUAAGUGGUGAGUCAGAUCAUUUGCAUGCCAUUGAGUUGCACAGUUGGAUAAAUGCACCUGCCUCCUGGGCUCCAGAGUUAAAAGGGUGGAUCCCUGGAUUGCAACCCUCUUGGCAUCUUGGUUUCUAUUCCAACAUCCACAUGACUUGACAAAACAAAAAACAGAAUAAAAUCAGCACUAUAUUCAUGCUAAGCACCAAUACAUGAUGGAAAUCAUUGCUUAAAGAUUUGGGGUCGUUUUAGGUUUUGACUGCCUCCUACCACCUCACCUAAUGACAAGUUUUUAUGCUUACAAAUCAAAUAUCGUUCUUCAUUAUAUUAAAAUCAUUUUAAGAUUUCAGAUCCAUCUGCUAAUUAUGAUUAUGAUAACAUUUAUUCACCUGUGCUUCUCAUUUUCGACACACAAGGCAUCUAGGUUUGCAGGAUUUCCUUAUUAGAUGAGAUAAAUGAGUACGUAUGGUUAUGUAUCCAGCAUUCAUUAACCAUGGUAUGUGACAUUUAGAAUUAAGAUAGCAAGCAAACUUUCCCUGCAGCUAGAGUAAAUUGUGAUUUCUUAGCCUCUAUGAGUGGUUCCCAAAUCAAAUUAACAUAGUGAAAUAUACGUAGUCCAGUGAAAGGAAAUGUAAAUUAUAAACUAACAGCACUACACUACUGGUAACAAUCGAUACUCUCUAUAUAAUGCAAUAAACAAUGUCACAAUUGCCUACAAGCAAGGCACAAACACUAGAACAAGUAAAGCACAAACCUUUCCCAACAGUUCCCAGUGACUGAUGCAUAUCAUACCCUCAACUCACAGAAGGGGAUGAUAUCAGUGCACUGCAGCACUUAUUUUACACAUACUACCACUACUACUACUACUACUACUACUCAUUAGCCAAAGUCACUCAGUUGGGAUGAGUGUGAGGUAGAGGUUUGUGGGGUGCUAUGUGGAAAGGAGUUUGGCUUCUUCUCAGGAGAUGGUAGCUUCUUUGCAGGAGUUGAAGGAGGCUUAAUCUUCUGUGGUGGAUUGAUUGUAUGAGUCUUUGGCACUCUCUUCUCUAGUACAGGUGAAUACCCAGGGGUGCAUCCAUAAUGCGGUGGCUUCUAUCCCUUAGGUGGUUUGCCAAAUUCAAAAUCGAAGGAUUUUUUUUUUUUAAGUAUACGUAUCUUUGAAAGCUUUUAUUUUGUAUGGCAAAUGGAAUGAGAGGAGCAGUCAUAUUCUAUUUGGCCAGAGCAACAUAUCACAAAUGAACAAGCUAUUUACUGCCACACUGGGCAAAACAUACAUAAUCCUUGUACUUCAAACAUCCAUGAAUUCUCAUCAUUUUCAGGACACGUUGCAUGGUCUAUCAUUCUAUAUGUCGGCAUAGUAAGUGCAGCUAAUAAGCCUAUUCAGAGCUGAAAUUCAAAAUCUAUUCACAGGAUAAUGACCUUAUUAUUGGAUUUUGCUCACUGUCAUACACACAUAUCAGAUAAAGCCCCACAUGCUCAUAAGCUACAAGCAACCUACAAGCACUAAAAUGAGUGUUAGACGUAUGAAACAUUCCCCAAUACUAGUAGUAUUACCUGUUCCAUAGAACACUAAAUUAGAAGAGAGAAGAUGUGAGACUCCAGCUUUUCUUUCUACAUAUUACUCAUAUCAAGUUGGAAUAGUUAGGCGGUAGAGGCUUGGGGUGGCUUGUGUAGGGGACUAGGCAGCUUCUCUCAGGAGUUGAUUUCGUCUUAUUCUGGAUGUCCAGGUUUCGUCCUUUCGAAUUUCCCAUGCAAAUCAGCAUUCUCCUUGGGAAACUUCACUCCGUUGGGAAACUUGUGUGAAUCUUUGGCAUUCUCUACCAGAGAAGGCCCAGGGCAGUGACCAUAAGGUGGUGGCCUUUUUUCAGGUGGUGGCUCCUCUCCCACUGGAGGCUUGUGGUAAUCAGCAAGAGAGGCAGUGGAGAGAAUCAUCACCCCAAGGAACAGCACUAGCAAGUAUUUGUGAGCCAUAUUUGGGAUCUGAUGAUGAAGACUAGAAGAUAGGAGUUGCCUCAUAUAAUGGGUUGGAGACUAUAUCUCAAGGGGACGUGUAUUUAUGCAUAUGAUCUAUAUAGGACCAUCCUCCUAAUAUUUUCAAAAUAAUGUUAUUGUCUCUCUUGGGUGACAGUUUGAUUUGGUCUAUUUCCAUGCCACUGAGUAGAAAAGUUUGACAAUUGGCUACACCACCUACCUGGAUUACAUGGUUGAAAGUGAAGAUCAGUACAGUGUGAUCACACUUGACCUCUUGUUCCCCAUUCCAGUAUCUAAUUAACCUGACAAAAGUAAAAGGAAAGGAAAAAGGGAAAAAAUAGAAUAAUGUUCAAAUAAAAACGAGAAAAAAUAGCAUAAUGUUGAUGAAUCAUGAUAAGCAUCAAGGCAUGAUAGUGAGAGAGAGGAAAGAAGACAGUGUAAUUUGCAAUCCUGAUAAUCAUUAUAUAGCAGUAACUUUAAUCAUUUUUCUAUCACAGGGAACAUGACACUCAUCUUCCUAUGGAGAUAUUGCAUAAGUUUUUUUCUUUGUAUGUCAACACUAACCAAUGAAGCAUGUUAGCUGGUUUGAAACUGAAACUGUAGCCCUCUGUUUGGUUCUUGAAAAACUUGAGAGAAAAUGGAAGUAAAGUUAAAAGGAAAGAAAAAGUGAAAAAAAAUAAAAAUAGAUUGAAAGUUAACAAAUUAUUUUUACAUGUUCCCUCAAAUUUCUUUCACUUAUUUUUCCUUUUCUAUAUAAAGAUUAAAUGAUUUAAAAAUCAUAAAUUUCUAACUAAUUAUAACUAUAUUUGAUUUUCUUUCAUAUUUUCCAAGAUAAAGUCAGACAUGAGAAAAUCAUUUUCCUUAAAAAAGAAAUUCUUUCCUUUACAGUUUCUUAGAACCAAACCUGGCACAAAAGUCCAAAUUGGGGUUUCUCCAUGUUCCAUUUUUUAUGGCUACCUUUAUGGACCAUAUAAUAUAGAAUGUACUUCUGCAUACCUUCAAGAUCAAGCUGAACUAUAAGAAAAAGACAAGCCAUGGCCCACGGAGCAGGGAUACCAAGCUGCCUUCUCCUAGAUUAAGUUCCAAGAUUUCAGUCUUCAAACCUGCUAAAAGCUAAAGGCAUGUUUCCAGCCUGCGGCAGAUAACAUGCACUGUCCAACAAUAAAUUGCAAACACAUUCGAUGCAGUUUAUUAGUACAAUAAGAUUAAAUCCACCAAAUCUUUUACAGUUCAACCAACACUUGAACUAGUAGCUAGCUUCACUACUGGGUAAUAAUAUAUAAACCAAACUCUUGAUAGGAACCAACCUAUCGCAGAUCGAACUUCUUACAUCCACCAUGAAUUACUGAACCAAAAGAAGAAUCGAAGAGACUGCCAAGGAGGAAAGCCUUCCUAUAACUAGAUAUUUAUAUUCCAAAUUAGGGAGAGCACCCACUGCCCAGGCCUCGCCCAGCAUAAACAGAUAGUAUACAUAUACAUGCAAAAAGCUCCAACCUUCAAGAUUUUAACUAUUAACUUAACACAAUUAAAAAUGUAUCCAAAAAGCAAAUCCCCUUGAACUCCUGAAGCAAUUACUCCAACCAAAUAAAGAUUUUAAGAGUUCCAUGUUCAUAUCCUGCAAGGAAAUCAUUCAAUGUUCAGACCUCUAAUUUCUGUCUUUCUAAAUGCCCAGCCAAAAGGCAUAAAGUAUCAUCCAAAUUGGAUGCACAGCAUAUGUUCUUAAAUCAUGGGAUUUCACCAUAAGUUACUACACUCUAACAGGGCCCAGAAAUUGACCUCCAGAUAUGCCUAUCAAAAAAUUAUCCCCACAUACAUUUUUCUGCUGAAAAGACAAUAUUGUUACAUUUGACAUUCAACCACUACUUGAACUCAACAACCAGGGAAAAGAAUAUAGUAUUUCUACCAAUGAGGAUGAGAGGGGCUGGUGAAUUAACAGGUAAAAGUUUGUUUUGGGUUCAUUGUUUGCAUAAUAAUGUAAAAAUGGAGUAGUAUAUUAUAAAUUAAUGUAAAAAUGGAUUAGCAUAACAUAAAUUGCCAUAAGAGAACCACAAACUACAAAGAAACUUAUUUUCCAAACAAGGAAAAUUAUUCAUAGCCAUUAUUACAUAAGAAAGGAAAUUGAUAAAAUUAUUAUCCAGUUCCCCAUCAGGAAAUAUGAAAGUACUCCUAAAAGCCUCAAUUCUAACCAGAAAACCAUAGAAAUGUAUUAGAAAUAUUGUACAGGGUUCUCUCCAAUAUUAGCUUCAGUUGCUAAGGAGAUCAGAACCUUGAAAGUAAGUCACAAAGGUCGUGUGGGUUUCCCAGAGUCUUCAACAACCAGUAUUCACAUAUGUACACAUUAAAAUUAAAUAAAGCAGGUAUCAAUUCCACAGGCUUUAAGAUUUGAAUUGCUUCUCCCUGGAAUCAUACACCACUCAUAUUGUCACUGACUUUCAAUUACUUCUCCCUGCGAUCAUAUGCCACUCAUAUUGUCACUGCCUUAGGGAACAAAGUGAAAAUCUGCAAUUUCAAUUAAUUCCAACAUAAAAAUAAAAAUCAAUCCUCAAAAAAUGGAUUGCCAGGAGGUAAAUAUAAUAGAAGACGAACAACUCUCACAACCAAGUUAAAGAAACCAGCCGCUAGGUACCUUUGAGUUCUAUACUACCAGGAACAAAUUGGAUGAGAUUAUUUAAAGGCUAUUCCACAGUGGAAAUUCAUUCGUUCAAAAAACAUUUGUCAUGCAUAUAGGCAAUCUAUCCUAUGCAUUCAUACAUCAUGGUCUCAUGCAAUCUUAAUAAAAGUGGUCCUGGAAAAAGAGAGAAAAAAGUAAUUACAAGCCUGUGCGACCAGAUUUCUUUUGUUUUUUUUUUUUUUUUCCUUUGCCAAACAACCAUGUUCAUAGUUUCAGAAGUUCAUUCUGUCUUUAAGAGACCAUGGCAGUGACUUGGCCAUUCAGCUAAGANNNNNNNNNNNNNNNNNNNNNNNNNNNNNNNNNNNNNNNNNNNNNNNNNNNNNNNNNNNNNNNNNNNNNNNNNNNNNNNNNNNNNNNNNNNNNNNNNNNNUCACCAAGGACUCCUCAACCUCAAAAUAAUAGAGAAAGUCUAGGACACCAUGUCACUACUGAGGACAACCCAACACCACAACAUUUCAGUCCGUUCAAAAAGAGUAAUUGGAAUUGUUGCAAAAAAUGUUCAACUAGUCCCAACAGGAGGCAAAUUCCUCCAUUUCUUCAUCGGGUCCGGAUCCUUUGCUCAAAAAGGUAAUUUUCUUACUGCCCUAAAAGAAAAAGGGAAAAUGUGAGUCAUUGGAUUGUUGACUCAGGAGCUUUUGAUCACAUGACUAGAGUGCCACAAUUUUUCAAAAUUAUACACCUUGUUUUGGGGAUGAUACAAUUCGUAUGGCUGAUGGUUCUCUCUCAAAGGUGACUGGUACAAGUUUUAUUGUCAUCUCUAAGGACCUAACUCUUGACUCUAUUCUUUUGGUUCCAAACUUGGAUUGCAAUCUAUUGUCCAUUAGUAAACUCACUUAUGAAAAGAACUAUGUUACUAAAUUUUUCCCAAACCAUUGUGUUUUUUAGAAUUUGAAUUCGGGGAAGACGAUUGGCAAUGUUGAAGUGUGUUUAGGACUCUAUGCCUUCAAAGUGAAUUAUUAUAUUGAAAGACAAUCUUAACCAACAGUUGGUGAAAAAUGGUGUCUUUUUGUCUUUAGUUCUAAUAAAGAUAGUGAUGUUAUGUUAUAGCACUAUUGUCUAGGACAUCCUAGUUUCUUAUAUCUCAAAAAACUCUUUCCAUGGUUUUCAGUGUGAAAUUUGUCAACUAUCCAAGCAUCUUUGCAAGCCCUAUCCAUAGUUUUAAAAGACUUAAGGCACACCAAGACGCAAAGUCCUCUUGGAGCCUUAGGCGCAAGGCACACCUAAGGCGCGAACUUUAGUAAAGUGAGGUGCAUCCUGUUUUACAUAUAUAUUUUUAUAUAAUACAAUCAAGUGCCCGAAAAUUUUCCUCUAAUUUUCCCCUUCUUCUUCAUCCUCUUCUCUUCUUCACAUUGUUCGGGAGGCUAGGACAUUUUUUUUUUUUUACAUGUCUAAAACAAGCAUAUAUUGGGUUUUGGAAGAAGAACAAGCCAAAAUGACAUCGUUUUGGAGCCUAAUCUUUUAAAUAAAUAAAUAAAUAAAUAAAAACCAGCCAAAAAUGACACCGUUUUGGCCCCUGUUCUUUUAAAAGAACAAACCAAACAACGUCAUUUUGAUCUCAGGAAAUUAAAAAAACAAAACCCUCGUCAUUCUCCCUUUGCUACUCUACAACUCAUCGUCAAAGGGUAAAAAGAUGACCAAAAGAAGAAGAAGAAAAAAAAAAAACGACGACAGAGGAUAGAGGUGCACCUGUUGAGGGCGUUGCGCCUAGCCAAGAGGCGAGCGCCUUGCACACUUAAUCAACGCCUCUGUGAAGGGGCGGCUCCUGCAAUCAGGCGAAGCGCUGAAGGGUGAUGUCACAUCGUCUAGAGCCUAGGCGCACCUUUCACAACUAUGACCCUAUCCAACUCAACCAUACAAACCAUCUCAUCUUUUUUCCAUACAUAGUGAUGUUUGGAGGUCAUCUAAAAUAAAGAACAUAACAGGGACUAGAUGGUUGAUGAUCAUACUAGAAUUUCUUAGAUAUUUCUAAUGAAAAAAAAAUCAAAAAUUAGUCAAAUUUUCUAAAAGUGGACCAGAAUUUCUUUAUUGAAUUAAAAAGUUGAAAUUAAUAUUUUGGAAAAGUUAGGGCCGCUCAAGAGGUAGAAAUAGCGCUCGAGUGGUAGAAAUAGCGCUCGAGUGGUAGAAAUAGCCCUCAAGUGGUAGAAAUAGCGCUCAAGCGCUAGGACCGCUCAAGCACUUAACUAGCGCUUGAGCGCUCAUAUAGAAUCUGCCAGAAUAUGGAAGAAUAUUUUUUGGAUAAUCAUGAAAAUUGGAUUUGGAAACUUUAGAAUAUCAAUCUCCUUCGGCCUAGAGGUUUAUAUAAACCCUAUUAUAACCCUUUAGGGUUAAGAAAUUCACCAAGUGGUUUACCCUAACUUGUCAUACCAUUCCCGAUCUCUCAUCAAGGAAUCAAAGUGUUUAAUCUUGGGUUGUUUGAAGACCUGCAUCCCUUCAACAAGGCUAAGGUGUAUUCACUAGAACAAUUGAAAUUGUUGCAUUGCGGACAUGAAUCAAGUUGCAGGUUCUAGAGAGUAAGUCUUUAGAAUAAAGCAGACAAAGAGUUCUAUGUGACUUUAUCUCAUAUAGUGGAUUUAGCUUUGAGGUCUUAGACCUCGUGGGUUUUUAUCUCCAUAGUUAGUGUGGGGGUUUUCCACAUAAAAAUUAUUGUGUCUCUUGAUCUUAUGUUUGAUUUUAGAUAUUCUAUUUAUCCCUGAUAUCUCACAGGUUAACUUUAGGUUAAAAAUUCAACUCCCUAUUUAAUAAUUUUUAAAAUACACCCAUUCACGAGUGUUAUCCUACUGGACAUUGGUUUUUCACCAUAUAUAACACUCAUACCAAAACCCAUGCAACAUGGACUCCAACCUUAAGCUUAACUUUCUACGAAUGGAAAAAAAAAAAGACAUAACAUAAAUAGACAGAUUUAACAACAUGCUCCUAAUCAAGGUGAAUGUCCCUCUUUUUGAAAGAUAUGACCUUUUCCAUACGAGGAGCUUUCUUUAAAAUUUCACCUCUACCAAUUCCCAUGCCUUUACAAAGUUGUGGAAAGCUCCAAAGAGAAGGCCCAGACAUGUAAUGGGUAGAUUCCCUACCUUAGAACCUUACACCAAAGCUAAACCCCUAAUAUUUGUGACUUCUAUAAGAAUCAAUUCAUUUUUUUCCAUAUUUAUUUCUAAAUCAGACAUUGCCUCAAACCACAUGAAGUUAUAACUUGGAUGUUACAGAUGCUCUUAAUUAGUGUCACAAAAAAAUAGGGUAUCAUCAUCAAACAAGAAAUGUGACACUUCCAUCCCCUCCUCCUGUCUUCCUCCCACUUUGAAACUUGAGAUGUAACCCCUUUUAUCUAAUUCUCCUCAAAAUUCAAUUGAAAGCCUUCAUUGCCAAUAUGAAAAUGUAAGGGGAGAGAGGAUCUUUCUACCUCAAAUCCCUUGAGCUCUCAAAGAAACUGAAUAGGACACUAUUUACUAGAAUAGAGAAUUGAGUAGUGGAAAUGAACCAUUUGAUCCACCUCACCCACUUAUGAUCAAAGUCCAUUUUAUCCAACAUCAUUAACAAAAAGUUCCAAUUUACAUGGCCAUCGUCCUUUCCAAUGUCUAACUUGCAAAUUACCCCACUAUUGGGACUCUUUAACCUUGAAUCUAGAGCAUCAUUUAUGAUUAGAACUGCAUCUAGAAAUUGUCUGUCUUCCACAAAAGCAUGCAAAUAAACUAAAACUAUUUUACCCACCACAUUUUUUAGUCUUUUAGCCAAGACUUUUUCCAAUAGCUUGUACAAAAAAACCCCCAACUAAGCUAAUCAAUGUAAAAAAUUUUAGGUUCUCUGCUGCACCUAUAUUAGGGAUCAAGACCAAGAACAUGACAUUUAAAUUUUGCUCAAAGGAACAAUUAUCAAAAAACUCCCCAAGCUCAUUUGCCAAAAUAUUAUAAUAAAUCCAUUUGGCCCCUACAGCUUUAUCCCCACUCAAGCUAGACAAGGCAACAAGAAAUUCCUCAUCAAAGAAAGGUAACUCCAAUUUCCUAGAAUCAGCACAUAGCAUAACUUCAAAGGUCAUCCCAUUAAUGUUGAGUCUCCACUCGCCCAUAUCAGAUAGGAGAUUUUGGAAGGCCCUAAACUCCCCUUCCUUUAUAUUUGCUUCCCAAGCAACCAUUUUGCAUUCACUCAAAUUUUAAACAUGAAGUUUUUUAUUCUUUGGGCAUUGACCAUUUCAUGGAAAAUUUUGGUGUUUUUAUCCACCCCCUCUUUUAACCAAAUUUCUCUUUAUUUUUGCCCCCAUACAUAUAGAUUCUUCUAACAAGGCCCACUUGCUAAACUCAAUCACCACUAACCUUUGGCCUCAACGAUUUCAAGAGAUAAGGUAACUGCUCUCUACUUUGAGUCCCAGAAGUUGAUCCAGUUUAGCACCUCUAGGUUUUUUGUUGAGACAUUCCCAAAACCUUCUUCAUUCCAAGAUUUUAAAUCUCGUUUGACAGCCUUUAGUUUAACUUCCAAAAUAUGACCAUACAAGCCAUCCACAUUAUAACCAUCAACCAACUCCUCACAAAAUCUUUUAAGCCUUUUGUUUUAGGCUACAUAUUUUAAAAUGUAAACUGUGUUUUCCCACUCCUUAUCCUACCUCCAUCUAAAACUAUGGGGUAAUGACCAAAAAUUGGUUUAGGUAAAAUACUCUAGAUUAAAGUAGAAAAACGAUUCUACCAAUCAUCUGACACUAGGAAAUGGCCAAGCUAGCCUUGAAGAAGACAAAAGAUUAUGAACACCACUCCAAGUGAAUAGCCCUCCAACUAGCGAAAGAUCCCAAGGUCAAGUCCUCUAUGUCCUCUGAAAAGAACCUCAUAUCAAACAACAUUCUAAGGCAAUUCCUCCUUUUCAUGGGGAACUUGACCAUAUUAAAAUCCCCUCUGAAGCACUAGAGGUCAUCCCAAAGGCCUCUUAUGGCACCCAACUCUACCCAGAAAUCCACUCUUUCUCCCCUUUAAACCAACCCAUAAACUCUUACGUAUACCUAGACAAAGCUAUCUUCACAAUUCAUAGACAAGCAAUAGAGAAUGCUUCCACCUCCUUACCAAUUAACUCUAAUACCCUACUAUCUUGGAAAACCAAAAUGCCUACUAUCAAGCUUCUAACUUCCAAUACCAUUUCAAAAAUUUUCCUACUCCUAAACUCCUUACCAGUUGAACGAACAUCUAUCGAACCUUGGUUUCUUGUUAACAAACUAGAUCAACCCCUUGAGACCUUAUCAAUGACUUUAUUAUCAUAUACUUUUCCUCAUCAUUUGCUCAUUUGACAUUCCAAGACAGGAUUUUUAGCUUCAUCAUGCAACCUAUGUUGGAUCCUAACUGCUACUCUUGGAGCCCUUUUCCUUUUUGUUGAGCUUUUAUAAUUGACUAAGCAUCCCAACUUGUUGAGGUCCCUCUCAAACCAAGAUAUCGAGGUUAACUUCCUCUUCACCUCCAACGAAAAAACAGAAACCCCUCUCCUUAGCCUGCCACACAAGGGAAAAGAUCUCUUUUUCAAAUCCAUCAACUGGCAUUCUUGAGAAACUAUUGAAAUUUGCCAACUUACAAGAUAUACAAUUGGAGGAGUGCUUCUCUACCAAACAACUACUAAAAUUCACCUCAAAGGUGACCUUUUCCCCUGAUCUCUCCCCGGCCUCCAUACCCACUGACCCUUUCACAAAAUUUUCUAGAAUUUCCACUAUCAAGCCGUUACGGAGAACCAUCCUCAACAAACUCCUUUGACUAAUGUGAAAAACCCCACCCAAGAGCAUCUUCCAGAAGUUAACUUACAAGAUUAACUAUAAUCUUGUGAAGACUCGUUACCUAAUGGGUAAAAAAUUUGAAAUUCUAUUAGUAUAAUUCUUUUUAGGCACAAAAGCUGUGAAAAUAGCAUUGGUGCUCUAAUUAAUAACCCCAUAAUUAUUAAGCAAUAAAACAACUUUUAAUAAAUUCUCUUUCACCACAUCCCACCAAUCCUAAUGCAAAAAAGCUAGGAAAAAGUCAUCAUUGCUCUAAGCAUUUCUCCUCACUAGUUGAAAGACUGCUUUAUGAACUUCCUCUUCGACAAAAGGACAAUCCAACCAAUUAGCACCAUUUUCCAAAAUGAGAGACCAACCCCCACUCUUCUAUCCUCUAAGGAUCUUCAUAUAACCAUUAAUGCCUUUCUAUACCAGCUAGUAUAUAUCGGGUUUUGGGCAAGUCCUAUAAAUUGGUUUGAGUAAGAUUUUUAAUUACCCUGUUCUUUCUUUUUAGUUGAUAAAUAUGCAUAUAUGUAGUAAUUCAUACAUCAGAAAAGAUUUUGCUAAAACAAAAGAAUUGACAUGCAGAUAGUGACUUCUUGAUAAGAGUAAUAGCUUAAGGGAGGAAAAUGAACUCCUCCAGUGGCCCCAAAGUGGUAAGUUCCUUCAGAUCCCAUGUUGCUAUUCUGCAUUUCUUUGUGUUUUGGCAUCAGCCCUCUUAAUUAAUUCACUAUCCAGCUUCUCAAAUUCCUCGGAUUCUUCCCUUGUUCUUGUGGAAACAUCUGCAUCUUGUCCUUGCAUUGUUAUGGAUUGGUGAUUAUCAUUCUUUGAGAACUGUGUGGCAGCUGCUCGUGCACCAGCUAUGGCUGCAAGGAGACCUUCUGGUUUCUUGUCUUCAGCAGCUUUGGAGCCAUCAAAGCAAGAAACAAGUAAUCCUGGUUUCAAAGAGAGGGGAUCUUGUGGUUCUGGAAGCAGAAACUUGACAGGUAGUGGAGCUUGAACAGGACGAAGACCCCUAACUGCUGCCUCAUAUAUCUGCAACAAUUUCAGGGGGGAUAAGUAAUUAAAAAUCAGUCACUCUAUUGCAUUAGUUAGACUUGCUUUCAAUGCGAUAGCAAAGAAAGAAUCAUCAAUGAAAAAAGAAAAAAUAAAUGAAAAAGAACAAAAAGGAGAGGGAAAAAAAAAUGAUGGGUGCUCAAUUUGUACUUUUCUUUCCAGGUUAUAAAUACGUUGGUACCCGCGCAUCUCAAAUGGUAUGAUUAAUUUCUGCAUCAGGUCAGGAGAACUAAGUCCAUCAAUAUACUAAAAAGCAAAUAUACCAAAAGGCAAGCAAAAAUGUUUAACCAUCUUGAGUGUCAAACUCUCCAAGAAACUAUAUACUUUUAGCUGAAUGAAAACACAUGCCUGUGGUUGCUCACAGAGCCAGCAAAACUCUGUUUGCGCUUCUAGCCUUACCUACAAAUAGAGUUUAGGUUAUCCAACCAAAAUGGAGAUACAUCACACAAAACAAACUGUACCUAAUCAGUUUACGAAGGGGACGGGGGGAAGCAAAAAGCAAAAGUAAAUUUCUAAGAUGCCCACCCCUUCAGGUACCUCCUUCCAGCACGCCAGCUCUUCACAUUUAACACAACCAACUACUUCAAUACAACCUGUGGCAAGAAUAGAGUUUGUUGGAUUUAUUGUAGCAUGCCAUACAGAAAAAUUUAGCAUUUCAGUAAGAAUAAGAAUAAGAGAGCUACUUUCCACUAAAAUACGAAUCACCCAUCAACUGUUGCAAACAGACAACAAUGUGAAUAACAGGUUUUAUAUAUAUAUAUAUAGAGAGAGAGAGAGAGAGAGAGAGAGAGAGAGAUAGAUAGAUAUAGAGAGAGAGAGAGAGUCAAAUAAUAAUAAAGGACAAAAAUAUUUCUUUGAGAAAGACUAAUUAGAAAGAAGAAACAAAGAACCCACAUGAAAUCAAUUUAGAUAAGAGAAAUACCUUUAAGAAUCUAGUUCUUUUUGCAAAUUGCAACUUAGAAUUGGAAUGCCACAUAUUAUUAUAAGGUAUCACAAGAGAUUAUUGCUUCAUUUUUUUUCUUUGCCAGAUCAGUUUUAAUAAAUAUAAAUAUAAAAAUAUAAGCAUGUACACACACACACGCAAACACAUUAUGUGUGUAUGUUUAUGGAUAUGUAGAUAUAGGUUUUUAAUAAUAGAGCAUGAAAACAUAUCUAGUCAGAAAUUCCAAAAAUCCAAAACCAUUAGCAACACCUAACAGUCUUGAAACUGGGUAAUGUUCUGGAAACUUGAGGUCUGCUAUCCCAUUCACAGCAUAGAUCUCCCUGUAGAAAUUCUCCAUUGCUUUGAUUGUGUCUGAAUCUGGGACCUUACUAGCAGCAUGAAUCCAGAGUCGGCCUUCAUAAAACAAAACAUGUAUAUUAAGAAAUAUCCUUGUAGAACAGUAACAUUUUUGCCAGCAUGCAAUUCGUGUUAAUAAUCCUUGGUUCUCACCACUCAUUGUACAUUACAAUGUAAAGACCUAAUAAGCCCUAAUAUAGGUAGGUGUCUGUGCAGAGAGAGAGAGAGAGAGAGGGGAGGGGGGUGAAAGGAAAGAUGAUUAUAGAACAAAUACAAGUUGAAUCUCCUGAAAUAAUGUCCAUCAAGUUAUUUCCUAGCAACAAGUACUGAUUAUGCUUUUCCUGAUAACAUGAUUUUCUUUGCUAACAACCAUACUAUAUUUUAUCAAGAAAGAGUAGUGCAUGUGGCGUGCAUCAAGACCCAUUAGAGUUCCGCUAAACCUAUAGUUCUGUCAACGUUAUCAUUUACGUUUCCUCUAGAUAAUGGCAUUUUCCUCUAAAACUCUUGCACCAUUAGGCUUCAAGUCAAAAUUUCACAUGUGAACUUUGGAAAUUUUCUCCAUUUGCCCCUAAGGAUACAGUUAGAAUUGACUUAAAAUCCUGAUUGAUGUAUACUUUUAACCGAAGAAUAUUGUAUAUAAUAAUUGAAAUAUUGUUGAUUCAUCGUGGAAAUACAUUUUGUAAGGAAAGUUGUUAAGAAUUUAGUAUGCUAUAUGGAGAAAAAAGUCAUGACUUAAGGUUGAGUAUGUAUAUUCUAUAUCAAAUAUUAGGUAGGAAUGUGGAAAAGAGCAGAGUGUAAUUAUAAGAAACAAAGAAAUAUAAGAUAUUCUUGAAAGUGGAAAAUGUAAAAUGGCUAAAAGUCAAAUUUAUGAUGCAUAAGGGGGAUCAUGUCACAUAAGAAACUCAUGGCAUACCAAAUACGUGUGGUAUGGAGUAACAAUUUUGUUAAAAUAAGUUUCUCGUUGGAGUACAUUAGGUGACAAUUUUUUAAUAUCAAAUUAAAGAGUCAAGUGCAUCAAUGAAGUCAUAUGUAGAAAAUUUGUUUGUGACAUGUACCAUAAAGAUAAGAUUGACUUGAUAUAAUUUAGUCCAGGUAGGAGUUGUUAAAGGUGUCUCAAAUUUCUAAUUGAUAUAUAUUUUUUUCUAAAAAAAUAUUAUAUAGAUAUUUCAAUAAAUGAUUAAUUCUUUGUAAAAAUACUUACAUAAUAAAAAACAUCAUUAGAAAUAUCUCUAUAAAUAUUUUAAAUCACAAAAAGAAAAAAAAAAUCACUAUGAGAUAAUUAUAAACAUGCAACAUUGUACCAAGUAAACAGAAAUGUGAUAAAAAAAUUUUGAGAAACACUAAAUAAAGGAAGGGCUUGUAUAUCAAGAUGUAAAUAUAGAGAGCAAUAUUUUUAAUCAUAUGAUAGAAUUAUUUUCUCUCAUUCAUGAUUAUAAGCAAAAUUGGGAACCAUUAUAAAAUCUUGUACACCUCGUGUAAAUUGAUGUUUGUCUUCAUAUUUUACACCAACAAAUGACAUUGAAGUUGUCAUUGAUAAAAGGGAAAAGGCAUGGCCUCCACACCAUGUGCUUGAAUCGUAUGGUUCAAGUUUAAAGAAUUUUCUCCAUAAUUUGAAGAUCUAAAACAUUUUCACCUUUAAAUUUCAUUUAAUUAUUAAUAUCUACAAAAAAUAGUUAAAUACUCUUUCUAUUUUUGAGUUGUUGAAUUUUUUGAAAGUUUUUAUAUUUGUUAUCAAGAAUUUAUAUUUUAUUAAGUGUGAAUAUUUAUAAAUAAGAUAUUAUAUAAUAUUUGGAUAAGAGAGAAUGGUGGAAUAUAAUAAAGUUUUAAUCCUUCCCAAUUUUUAUCUUUUUUUUUUUUUUUUUUUAUAAUCGCCUUUCUCUUUCAAUCCUAUUAUCAGGUACCUUAUAUUUGCUGAUGCUAUCUGGAACUAAAUUCCAAUCAGACAUUGUCCAAUUACUAAUAGGACAGAUCAUGUCUCUCUGUUUCUAAACUAACAUGUAUCGUAAUGUGGCCUCAUAAGGAAGGCUAGGAAGAUGGAGGAUUUUGUGGGAAGCGACCAGAAUCAGAUGGAAGAGAGAUAGCCCUGUUGACCUAAUGGCUGUAAUAGGAGAAGCGUGUGGAUUUAUGGGACUUAACUGAUACUAAACCUAUAUGAUGCUUGGAGUGGUGUUUCUUUCAUUUUGUUAAGAAAAUAUGGCAGCAUACAUCCUUUCAAUUGAGUGCAUCAGAGCAUCCAUAAUAGAUGGUCUGCAACCCUAGGUGCAUGCCACUUUCUGACUGAUAAUGAAACUGUCAGGUACUUGGCCUUGACUAAGCUCAACAGCAUCACAUAAAAAGAAGCUUUCAUACUUAGAUUACUGUUUAAAGCUUUUGCUUAUUUGCUUUCUUAAUGCCAUUAUGACAUUAUUGUUUCAAUUCUGCUACCGAUUUUCGAAGUUCUGGGCAUCUACUGAUUGCAUCAUUAUAUGAGAAGUUGCAUGAGUUUAUGUAUCCUGUUAUUGCUCCUUUGCGAUUUCACUGCUCACGGGACUAACCUCUCCAUUCAGUCGAAAUGAAUUGUAAUUUCUUUACUGGUAGCAGUAGUACUUUUCAUAGCAAAGAUAAUAGUAAAUAUGAAAUAUAAAUAGAAGGAAAUCUGAAUUGUAGAUGGCACUAUAAGUAACACUCAAUAUUCACUACAUAAUAAAAUAGACAGUGUUACAAAGGUAGAGAAACCUACAAUGAGUACUCAUCACCAUUCUCAAACAGAAACAUAGCAGCGACUUAUACAUAGAACCUAUAGGCUUGCAGGGAAAGAAGGGAAAGAGUAACAUGAUAAGUUCACAGCGGGUAGCAGCUCUUAUUUUACGUAUUACUCAAAAUCUCAAACUAACCAAAGUCACUCAGUUGGGAUGGGUAGGAGAUGGUGGUUUGUGGGGUGGCUUCUGGGUAGGAGCUGGUGGCUUCUUUGUUGGAGUUGAAGGAGGCGUAAUCUUCUGAGGUGGCUUGUAUGAGUCUUCGGCACUCUCUGCAGGAGGGUGCCCAGGGUUGUGACCGGAAGGAGGUGGCUUCUGUCCCUUUGGUGGUUUGCCUAAUGGGCUUGGUGGCUUGUGCUCCGGGAGUUGUUUCUCUCCCUCGAGUAGGUUUCGAGUUUUGUCAGAUGGCUUGUGUUCUGGUGGUGGCUUCUCUCCCUGGGGUGGUUUGCCGAAUGGGCUUGGUGGCUUGUGUUCGGGGAGUGGCUUCUCUCCCUGGAGAAGGUUACGAGUUUUGUCAGAUGGCUUUUGUUCUGGUGGUGGCUUCUCUCCCUGGG